AAGGAGUUUUUGAGGUGGUGGCUGACAGAGCUCCAGAGUCUGUAGCAGAUGAAAGACCUACUGAGCGAACACUAGUAGGCUUGCAAUCACAACUUGAACAAGUCUGGAGAUGUCUUAUAGAAGAAUCAGCGGGAAUCAUUGGCCUAUAUGGUAUGGGCGGUGUUGGUAAAACUACACUAUUGAUCCAUAUCAACAAUAAAUUUCUCGAGAGUCGAACCAACUUUGAUUUUGUGAUUUGGGUAGUAGUUUCAAAAGACCCGCGACUCGAAAAAAUUCAAGAAGAUAUUGGGAAAAGGAUAGGUUUGGUUGAUGAUUCAUGGAAGAGUAAAAGUGUAGAGGAGAAAGCUCUCGACAUCUUCCGGAGUUUAAGAGAGAAGAGAAUUGUAUUGUUGUUAGAUGAUAUAUGGGAGCGGCUUGAUUUAACAAAAGUGGGCGUUCCACUUCCCGGACCAAAAAAUACUACCUCAAAAGUCGUAUUCACAACCCGUUUCUUCGAUGUUUGUGGUAGCAUGGAAGCUCACAGGACGUUCGAAGUGGCAUGCUUAUCAGAAAAGGAUGCUUGGGAACUGUUUCAAGAAAAAGUAGGAGAAGAAACUCUUAAGAGUGAUCAUGAUAUCGCUGAGCUAGCCCAAACCGUGGCCAAGAAGUGUGGUGGUUUGCCGCUCGCACUUGUUACUAUUGGUCGAGCUAUGGCCAGCAAAAAGACAGCCGAGGAGUGGAGACAUGCAAUUGAAGAGUUAGGAAGAUCAGCUUCAGAGUUUCCAGGUUUGGGAAAAGAGGUGUAUCCUGUUUUAAAAUUCAGUUAUGAUAGUUUGCCGAAUGAGACGAUUAGAUCUUGUUUCUUAUAUUGUUGUUUAUAUCCUGAAGAUUAUGGCAUUCUUAAAUGGGACUUGAUUGAUUGUUGGAUUGGUGAGGGAUUCUUAGAGGAAUCUAACAGGUUUGGUGCAGAAAACCGAGGAUACUACAUUGUGGGCACUCUUGUUCAUACGUGUUUACUAGAAGAGAUAGAAGAUGAUAAAGUAAAAAUGCAUGACGUUGUUCGUGAUAUGGCUCUAUGGAUAGCUUGUGAAACUGAGAAGGAGAAGAUAAACUUUUUGGUUUGUGCAGGUGCUGGAUUAAAGGAGGCACCGGAUGUUAAAGGAUGGGAAAAUGUGAGAAGAUUGUCAUUGAUGCAAAACCAAAUUAAAGUUCUGUCAGAGGUUCCUACAUGCCCUCAUCUCCUCACUUUAUUUCUUGACUUUAAUAGAGAGUUAAUGAUGAUCGCGGGUGGCUACUUCCAAUUUAUGCCUUCUCUCAAAGUUUUGAAGAUAUCAAACAUUGGGUAUUUCAACGUUUUGAAAUUACCUUUGGGGAUGUCAAAGUUGGGUUCACUAGAACUUCUCGAUAUUUCACAUAGCAGCAUAGAGGAGUUACCAGAAGAGUUAAAGUUGUUGGUAAAUCUGAAAUGUCUGAAUUUGAGGUGGACAGAUGUGUUAAAUAAAAUUCCACGGCAACUAAUAUCAAAUCUUUCAAGGGUACGUGUGUUGAGAAUGUUCGCUACUGGCUAUGAUCGUUUUCAUGAAGCAUCAGAAGACAGCGUUUUAUUUGGUGGGGGUGAAGUUUUGAUACAGGAAUUGCUCGGUUUGAAAUAUUUAGAGGUAUUGGAGUUGACCUUGGGAAGUUAUCAUGCUCUCCAAAUUCUUUUGAGCUCAAAUAAGUUAAAAAGUUGUAUUCGAUCUCUUCUCCUCUUCGGGUUCAGAGGUACAAAGUAUUUUAUUGAUGCUACGGCUUUCGCAGAUCUAAAGCACCUCAAUGAAUUACAGAUUCAUGAUUGUAGGGGGUUGGAAGAGUUGAAGAUUGAUUACACAGAGAUAGCACAAAAAAGGCGGGAACCUUUUGUUUUCCGCAGCCUUCGUCGUGUUACUAUGGUUUCGUGCCAUAAAUUGAAAGAUUUGACAUUCCUCGUUUUUGCUCCAAACCUCAAGUCUAUUUCGCUAGGCGAUUGCGAUGCUUUGGAAGAAAUAAUCAGCGUUGGAAAAUUUGCUGAGGUUCCUGAGAUGAUGGGACAUCUAAGCCCUUUCGAAAAUCUCCAAAAUCUUGACCUAUCGUAUUUGCUGGCUUUGAAGAGCAUCUACUGGAAGCCAUUGCCUUUCACUUAUCUGAAAGAAAUGGUGGUAAAUGGGUGUGAUCAACUUAAAAAGCUUCCACUCGAUUCCAGCUGUGCAGAAGAGCGUAAAUUUGUUAUUCGCGGAGAAGCACACUGGUGGAACUGCCUUGAAUGGGAGGAUGAAGCCACUCAAAUUGCUUUUCGUUCCUGUUUCCAGCCUUAUUCCUGAGUGGUGGUUGCAAAAUUUGAUUUCUGGUGUGGUCUUUUAUUCUCUGUUUUUAUUUAAGUUUCUUUUCCUUUCCUUUUCCUUUUUUUUUUUAAUUUCUCCUGCAAAUCACAAUUAAACAUUGAAUUAUAUGGAAUUAAUGCUUUAUAAAUUUGCCGGCACUGCCUUUUUUUUUUUUUGUCGGAGUGAUACUCUAGCUUUUGACUUUUGGUUGUCAAAUUCUGCUCUGCCUUUUUAAAUUGAUGCUUUAUUUAUAUUUUCUUAGUGAUUUAGUUUCCUGUCAAAAGACGAACGAGAAGAACAUUUGAAUUAAAUAAAUGCUCGCAAAUUUGCGGUAAAAAGAUGUAAUUAGCCGAGAAAAUAUUAAAUAUAGUAGCCCUCUUUACAGAAAAUCAAGUGGAAGUUAAUUCAGCAAGUUAUAUUCUUGAUUAAUUCCUUUUCUGAAGUUUUUAUUUUCUAUGGUCAAUUAUACCUUCAUACUAAAAAUUGCUGCUAUUGGGUGUUGAGUGUUAUGCUAAAAUUUUGCCCUAUUUUGGGCCAAUAUUUUAGAAGUGAAACAUACUUCAGAGUUGAAGUAAACUUUGAAAAUAGAGAUAAUGAUUAAUUUAGAAGAGAUGCAAGUAAAAGAUAUUCUAAAAAAAAAAAAGCAAUAUGUCCCUUUGGAGGGCAAACUUGUCAGUUUGAAAAAGUUACAUGCUUUGGAUUGAUAGUUGCAGGAUAUUUGUUUUGUCACUGUGUAUUAGGUGCGUUUGGAAUUGAAGUGUUGUAGUUUUUAAGUUAUAAUUGUUGUAAAAAAAAAUUGUAACUAUAAAACAAAAGUUAAUAAUAUAUAAUAAAUUUAAAUUUAAAUAAUAAUUUUAAUAAAAUUAUUAAAGAUAUAAUAGAUUAUUUAUUAUACAAGUGAAAAUUAUAUCAACAUAUCUUUCAAGUUACAAUAGUUAUUGAUUACUAAACACUUUACUGUUGUAACUUUUAAGUUAUAGCUAUUUAACCUCAAUUCCAAACGCAUCGGAGAAGUCACGCCUAGUGAAGAAUGUUAUGAAAGAGCAAAGGAUAUUCCUAAUCGAGCUCUAUUUGAUUAUGUAUCCAGUGAAUGGAUGUGUUGUUGGAAGAUAUUUGAGUGCAUUAGUUCAUUUGUGUCGGUCAAUGUGCUUUUAAUGAUUUUUCCACUUGUUUGUUGUAAAAGAUUAUUGUAAAUUGAAAUGAAUUGGAUGUUGUAAUAUUUUCUCUUUAGUGGAAUUUCACCUUGUAUGUAUUCAGUUGUGUUGUCUAAAAUUUUACAUUCGAAUAAGUUUUCACCUAAAAUAUUAGCAUGAGUUGUGGCCCUUGAAACUUUGGUCAAAAUUAUUGUUAUUAUUUCUUACUAGAUGUAAACUUUUUAUUAAACCUCGUUAACAUAAUUCUUAAUUAAAAGUAUAGGUUAGUGUCGGUGCAGAAUUUGCAACACCAAAUCCUGCCUAGGCAAGUGUCAAAAGUGCAAAAUAAAUGAAGAGAAAGCACGAAUACAUGAUUUAGAUUAGGAUAGAAGGAAACUUAAAUCCUAGAGAAAAGGAUAGCUAUAUCCCAAGAUUUAAAAAAAUAGUCAUGUAGAUUUUUAAGAUUUCAAUAAGCGACUAAGAUUUUCUUUUGACAAAUAAUUUCCUUUAGCUCUAUUAACAAAAAAAAUAAAGACUCAAAUAUUUUAUAAUAAAUAAAAUAUAAUAUUAAAAUAUAUGUGAUAAUAUAGAAAUUUUAAAUAAUUUCAAUCCAAAUAAAUAGUUAUGUUUUACAAGCUAUUAAACAUAUUUUAUUAAAUUAAUAUAAAUGUUUUAUAAAAUAGGAACAUAAUAUUAAAAUAAAUUUACAAAAUUUUUAAGAAUUUUGAAUGUAAAAUAAUUUUAAUAUAUUAAUACGUGAGAUUUUUUUAUUAUUAUAAAAAUUAUUUAACUUUAAGAUUUUUUAAAAUCCUUACAAUAAGUAUAAAUAUAUUAUUUACAUUUAAAAAUAUUUAAAUAUUAUUAACCUACAAUUAUAUUUGCAUUUAUUAGAAAAUUUUAAAGUCAAAUAUUUUGCACUUCUACAUUAUUAGAAUUAUUGAACACAAAGAAAGAAACAUAUAUGCUUUAUAGCUUUAGAAAUUGUUUUCUUUUACAUCUGGAAACAAAGAUGAUGAUUAUUAUAAGGAUAAAAAAUGGAUAAAGAAUAUUAAUGAUUAACGAAAUCUCUGUGCAAAUUGAUUUUAGUAGAAAAAGAGUGAGAUGAAUGAUUUCUUUUACAACUAGAAACAAAGAUGAUGAUUAUUAUAAGGAUGAAAAAAAGAUAAAGAAUAUUAAUUAUUAAUGGAAUCUCUAUGCAAAUUGAUUUUAGUAGAAAAAACGAGCUAAAUGAUUUAGACAUUCAUUCUGUGUUUAUUUUUGUGAUUAGCAUUAAAAAUUGUUUAAUUAUCAAACGAUAAUAAUGUUAUUUUGUACUUAUGUUAUAAUUUAUAUUUGUGUUUAUGUAAUAUAUUAGAAAUUAUUAAUUAUGUUUUAAAUAUAUCUAAUUUUGAGUAUAUUUGUGUGUUUAUUAGGAAAAAUAUUAAUUUUAGAUAAAUUGAGGCUCCAAACAAUUAAACGGAGGUCAAAUUUGGAUUCCGGAGGUUUGAAAACCUUAAGAUCAGUCAAGAUCGGCUUAAAAUUAGGUUUGUGUAAAAAGAGUUGACUUUUUCUGCUGACCGAGCACUGAUUGGAUGAUGAAAUGAGCUUACAAUAGAUAUGAGUGCAUGGGAUAACUGGCAAUUUUGACUAAAUCUCAACCGUUCAUGAUUCAAUGGCCAUGAUUGUGCCAUGUGGUAGUGGUUGAUGAAGCAAGUUGUAGGAUCUGAAUCUUUGUAUACGGGUCGACCUGAUCCGCCCAUUAACUCGCCAAAUCACAACCGUUCUUUGGCCAAAUCGGACGAGUCAAACGAUGCCACAUGUGAAGUUGACUUUUGAAGUUUGACCAGCCAUUGGAUCUUGAUCUAAAGGUUGUGAGAGCAUGAAGCUUAUGGAGCUUAUGAUGGACCGCAAAACACUGGAUUAUAAAUUUAUUUUUCUAUAAAUAGAGCCUCAUUUUUAUGUUUUUAAUUAUCUCUACAUCUCUCUUCUUCUCAAAUUCUCUCCAUCUCCCUGUAAUAUUUUGUAUAAUUAUUUUAUUAAAUAAAUUUAGUUUUAUUUUCAAUUUUAGUUGUUUUUAUUACUUUUAAUUAUAAGUAAUUAAAUUUUAAUAUUUCUUUUUAUUUCAAUUAUGCUUAACUAAAUAAUAUUAGUUGGGGUAAGGUGAAACUCUUAGGAAAUAAAUAUGAUUUAAUCAAAUUUUAUUUUUAAUUUUAUAAAUUAAAUUAUUUUCUAUUUAAUUUUAUACAUAUUUUAUAUUUUAAAAUUUUGAUUUAUUGUAGACAAACAAAUAAAUUUGGCACAAUAAAUUCUUAAGAUCUUAAUAUAAGGUAUGGUAAAAUGGUAUUUUGACUUAUUGUAGACAAAUUAAAUUUUGACACAAUAAAUACUUAAUCCAUCAUAAAAUUAGAGGGAAAAUAAUAAUAAUUUAUAUAAUUAAUCUUUUGGGCAAUAAAUUUAAAAAAAUAGCAAAAAGAAUUUAUUGAGUUUUAUUUACUACUAAGAGUGGAUCCACAAUCCUAACUAGAUCAAUUUCAUAAUUUCAUUUAAAUUAAGUUGUUUUUAUUCAAGUUUUUAUUUCAAUUUUUAGAUAAAAUAAAUUAAAUUAAUUAAAUCUUUUCUCUGUAGAUCGACCUCAGACUCACCGAGGACUGACCAAGGUAUAAUACAACAAGACACUCUUAUAAUUAAGAGUUUAAAAUUACUUUUAAGUUGUGUCAUUUUGGAUUGGUGAAUUAGAAUUAUUGACAACGCUAACUUCAUCUUCACAAUUUGCAAUCCAAUAGCAGCAAUUGUCACCGAUAAUGAUAUCUCCAAUGAUAAUGACGAUUUUAUUAUUAUUAUUGAUAAAAAGUAUUAUAAUUAAUUAAUAUAUUAAUGUUAAUAUUAUUAUUAUUAAGAUUAACAAUAAUUAUUAAUAAUAACAAUUUUUUGAAUAAAAAUAAUUACAAUAAUUUAAAUAUAAAUUAAUAAUUAUGACAAUAAUUAAUUAAUGUCUUUUUAAUAAUUUACUGAUUAUCACAGUUCAAGUAAACAAAUUAUUAUGAUUCCUAUUCUCCAUUUCCAUUUCAGCUCACUCCGAUUCCAAUCCAUUUCGACUUCUGCCUAAAAAACUCACCAUUAGUGCUAUAGUAAUAUUUCAUAUAGAGAAAAGUAAAAUCUACACCUAAGAUUAAGGUAAAGGACUUCAAAACUCUCUUUUGAUUAUAAUACCUUUUGUCCUAAUUAACUUAAAGAUUUUGAAUCUAAUAUUUUAUAAUAAAUAAAAAUAUAUUCCUAAAAUAAAUAUAAUAUCAAUAUUUAAAGUAUGUUUUAAUAUUUUACAAUCUAUCAGACACAUUUUAUUAUAUUAAAGUAAAUUUUAUAAUAAAUACAAACAUACUAUUAAAAUGAAUAUACAAAAAAGUUUAGAGUAUUUUGAAUAUUAUAUAAAAUAAUUUUAAUAUAAUGCGUGAGAUAUAUUUUAUUAAUUUAAAAUGCUAUUUUACCUAAAAAUUUAUUUAUGAUAAAUUAAUAAUUAUAUUUUUAAAAUUAUUUUAAAUAUUAUAAAAAAUUUAAUAUUAUUAGUGUUUUAGAUAGAUUAAAUUAUUUUAAAAUGCCUUAAUUGUUUUUACUUUUAACGUUACCGGCCUUUCUUAUAUUUUAUUGCAGCUAACAAGAAAAAGCCAGAUCAUAUUCCACAAAAGCAAAAGUGACAAAACAACCAGCUGGAUUCUUUUAUUAAACUACAAAUUAAAGGAUCCCAUUAUCUUACAACUAAUGUAAGAUACAUCCCUCACAUAAAUAGUAUAUAAACUCCACAUAUAUACUGUUCAUGUGAGGAAAUGUACCUUACAUUAAGAUAGUGUUUGCCCAAAUUAAAAUAGAUUUUUUCGAUGAACUACAAAUUAAAGUGGAUUCUUUUGAAUAUAGCUGGGGUUAGGGUAGGCUCUUUUAUUUAAGGCAAGUCUAGAGUAGUCAAAGACGAUUAGGCUCUUUUAUUAAACUACAAAUUGUAUAGUCUUUUUCAAAUUGUUCAGAUGCUUAUAAAUUAGUGGCCCCUUGUAAAUUUAACUGGAAGUGCCAAUCAGAGAAAAGUUCAAUUCUAAAUAAUUGUUCCGAUAUUUAUAAAUUGGUGGCCCCUACAAUCCUCAAUAAUUGUUCCGAUAUGUAUAAAUUGAUGGCCCCUACAAUCCUCAAUAAUUGUUCCUAUAUUUGUAAAUUGGUGGCCCCUUAGAAAUUUAACCGCAAGUCUGCAAGUGACAAUCGGAGAAAAGUCAUAAUUUACAAUCUUCCAAGGGAAGUAGGGAACCAGGGGAUAUACAAAGAUUAAGACAUGUCAUUCAUUUUUUUGGCUGCAUUCCCUUUCGUGUUCUUAAUAAUUGAAGACAGGUUGUUCAUUACAUGCUUACUUUUCAAAUGUGGAGCCGCAGCUAAUGUCGCUACUUUAAUUUGGGAUUAAAUUAGGGAAACAUUAUAUUGUAGUAUGCACUAACUUGAUGUUUAUCUAAACUCCUUAAAUUUAAGACAGAUUAUGGCAUAAAUAAGAAUAUAACGAUAACAAAAGAGUAUAUAAAAUAUUUAGAGUAUUUUGAAUAUUAUAUAAAAUAAUUUUAACAUAAUGCAUGAGAUAUAUUUUAUUAAUUUUAAAUGCUAUUUAACCUAAAGAUGUAUUUAUGAUAAAUUAAUGAUUAUAUUUUUGAAAUUAUUUCAAAUAUUAAAAAAUUAAUAUUAUAGACUAAAUUAUUUAUAUUAUUUUUUAUUUAUUAAAAAAUUUUUAAGUCAAUCUUUUUAAUUACUAUUCAAAGAAUAUAAUGAUUAAAAAAAUCUUUAUGCCUUCAUUAAAAAUUUAAAAAUUUACAUAACGAUUUCUAUAAAUAUUUAGGGUAUAUAUGAAGCACGGUGGAGAAGCUUUAUUUAAUAUUAUUGAUUUAAAUAAUAUCUCAAUUAAAAAUGUACAGAGAAGAAAUUUCGGUGGGUAUUUUAGUCUUUUCAGCAAUUAUCAUGACCAGAUCUGCCUUUGGCCUUGAAACGUCGGUCAGAAAAGUUUUAAAGUGCUUUAAUUGUUUUUAAGGCCGCUAAUAACUCUGCUCGUGCAAGUUGAGGAUAAAUGUUAAAUUAAUUACAAAAGCAAAAGGCUAAUUUAUUGAAGACAAGUAAAGCAGUCACGAAUGGUACAUGCCUAAUCUUUUCUAUAUUUACAGAAACACAAUUUUUUUUCAAUCCGCCGCAGCUUCUGUUAAAAUUAUCUUGGUUUCUCGUAGUUGAUUUCUAUUAUCCCAAAAAAAAAAAAAAGGUAACUGUUGAUGCCGAAAAAUGAUUUCAACAGCUGAAUUUAUUUUUUUUGGAGAAUUACAGUGUGAAUCCAAGCUCAAACGCAAGUCUGAUCGCAACUUUCUAUAUCUGCUAAUCAGAAAACACAGUUAGGAUACGCCGGUGGGGUUUCGGCUAGACCUUCCGAUACUUAAGUCAGAAAUUAUGUAUAAAAGGAGAAAAAUGAGAAUGAAGAAUUAUGAAUGAGUUAAAGUCAAGUAAUUUUCCGGUAGAGGGGUUGAAAAUCUUGUAGAAGCUUUGGUUGAUUUUGCUAACCCCUUCACCUGAUGCGCUCUUCAGUUUAAAUAGACUCUUGGUCGUGUACGGUUACCUCCUUAACUUCAGAAGUUGCAAGUGGUUGUCAGUUGGAGGUGGUUUAAAUAGAUCGUGGCACACAACUUCCUUAUAAAUUAGGCCACGUUCUCUUAACUAGCAAUUUUCCAUGUCAAGCUAAUUCUCAGGUCGGACAAGAGAAUUUCAAGGUCGGAUUACUUCACUUUCAGAUUAGACAGAUGAAUUUCUCAGUCGCUCAUAUAACGUUAAGGUUGUAUUCUUAAACUAAGUCAUUCACAUAGAUCUUAGGUCGUACUUAUAAACCAGGUCGCCAACAUAGGCUCCAGGUUGUACUUAUGAGGUUAGCUCAACAACAAUAAGUUUUGAGUAGAUUAGGAUCGACUAUAUUUUGAGACACUACCAGAAAAAUCCAACCCAAACACCAGUCCCCUAAUUUUCAAUACUGGAAAGUCAUUGCCAGUGUUGGAAACUAAUGGAAAACAUUUCUCAAAACCCAAUACCAGUCCCCUAGUUUUCAAUACUGAGAAGAUAUGAACGGUAUUGGAAACUAAAAUAAUUAAGAAAGAGCAAUAUAGCCACAAGCAAAAGAAAGACGGUGUAGAGCGGAACAAUGAGCAAAGAGAAGAGUAAAAAGAAAACUUCAGGUGUGGACCAAGAAAAUAACCAUGACCAAAUGCCUCGAGGUGAUAGAGUCGGGGUUGAGGGUGAGGUCUUCCUAACUAGUAGGGUUGUUGAAGACCAAGAGAGAACUUCCUAAAUUUAAUUAUUACAAUGCUUGCCCUUUUUUGCAAUAUGAACUUGUGUAGACCGUAUGCUACUGAACUUUAUUUUGCCUUUGUAAUCGGAUAAUUAUUAUGCUGACCUUGCCUUUUUUACUCUUUAUUUACUAGGGUUGGUUAUGAAUUGCAUUCCGUAGACUGAGCCCAUUUAAGACUCUGUUGAGGUCAAACAAAUAGAUAUGGUCAACUUUGGUAGCAAUAACACCAAGCAAUGACCUUGAAUUCACCAAGAUUCUAUCAUUUCGAUAUCAAUCUUGAUAAGGAAAAUGUUGACCUCACGAAAAUAUCAACUUCAACAAGAUAAAUUGUUGACCUCAACAAGAUAAAUUGUUGACCUCAACAAGAUAAAUUGUUGACCUCAACAAGGUUAAGUGUAGAGCUAAAAUGCCAACCUCACGACAAGGAAAAUGUUGACCUCACGAUAAGGAAAAUGUUGACCUCACGAAAAUGUCAACCUUAACAAAAUAGAUUGUCGACCUCAACAAGGUUAAGUGUAGAGCUAAAAUGCUGAACUCACGAUCUCACGACAAGGAAAAUGUCAACCUCACGAAAAUGUCAACCUCAACAAGAUAGAGUGUUGAACGCAAUAAGGUUAAAAUGUAAAGCUAAAAUGCCGACCUAAAAAAAAAUUGAAAAUUGGAGAACUUAAAUGUUAAGCUUAUGAUCAACCUCAACAAGGCAAUGACUGACCUCAAUAAAAUUGAAAAUUGGGCAACGACCUCAACAAGGCAAUGGCCGACCUCAACAAGGCAAUGGCCGACCUUAAAAAAAAUUAAAAAUUGUAGAACUUAAAUGUUAAGCUUAUGGCCGACCUCAACAAAAUUGAACAUUGUAGAACGUAAAUGUUAAGGCUAUGGCCAAACUCCACGAGGCAAUGACCAACCGCAAUAAAUAGAAAAUUGUAGAUUUUAACUUAUGGCCGACCUCAAUAAGGUAAUGGUCGACCUCAACAAAAUUAAACAUUGUAGAACGUAAAUGUUAAGGCUAUGGGCAAACUCCAUGAGGCAAUGACAAACCUCAAUAAAUAGAAAAUUGUAGAAUUUAGCUUAUGGCUGACCUCAAUCAGGCAAUAGCCGACCUCAACAAAAUUGAACAUUGUAGAACGUAAAUGUUAAGGCUAUGGCCAAACUCCACGAGGCAAUGAGCAACUUCAAUAAAUAGAAAAUUGUAGAACUUAGUUUAUGGCUUACCUCAAUAAGAAAAUGGUCGACCUAAAUAAAGUAAAGGCGAAUUUCGAUAAAAUUGAAAAAUGUAGAUCUCAACAAGAUAAAAGUUAAGGCUAUCUAACCACAAGGUAAUAGCUGUCUUCAAUCUCAAAAAGGCCGAAUUACAAUUAGACCUCAACAAGGUCAAAAUGACAAUCUCGAUCUCAAUAAGAUUUGAUAAAUUUUUCAGGUAGGACCUCAACAAGGCAGCAAUGUCGAUCUCAAUCUCAAUAAGAUUGGAUGAAUUUUUCAGGUAGAAUCUCCACAAAGCCGAAAUGCCGAUCUCAAUCUCAAUAAGAUUGGAUAAAAUUUUCAGGUAGGACUUAAAUAAGGCCGCAAUGUCGAUCUCAAUCUCAAUAAGAUUGAAUGAAUUUUUUUCAUGUCAGACCUCAGUAAAGUCGUCAUGUCGAUCUCAAUCUCAAUAAGAUUAGAUAAAUCUUUUCACGUUGGACCUCAAUACGGUCCAAAAAUGCCGAUCUCAAUCUCAAUAAGAUUGGAUAAAAUUUUCAGGUAGGACCUCAACAAAGCUGCAAUGUCGAUCUCAAUCUCAAUAAGAUUGGAUGAAUUUUUUCACGUUGGACCUCAGCAAGGCCGCCAUGUCGAUCUCAAUCUCAAUAAUAUUGGAUAAAUCUUUUCAUGUUGGACCUCAAUACGGUCCAAAAAUGCCGAUCUCAAUCUCAAUAAGAUUGGGUAACUUUUUCAUGUUGGACCUCAAUAAGGUCACAAAGUUGAUAUCAAUCUCAAUAAGAUUGAAUAAAUAUUUUCACGUUGGACCUCAAUACGGUCCAAAAAUGCUGAUCUCGAUCUCAAUCUCAAUAAGAUUGGGUAAUUUUUUCACGUUGGACCUCAACAAGGUUGCAAUAUCGAUAUCAAUCUCAAUAAGAUUGGAUAAAUUUUUUCACGUUGGACCUCAAUAAGGUCCAAAAAUGCCAAUCUCAAUCUCAAUCAGUCUGGAUAAAUUUAUUUCAUAUUGGACCUCAAUCAAGUCCAAGUGUCGAUCUCGAUCUCAAAUAAGACCGGUCACAAGUAGAUAAGAAAUAAAGUUGCACUUUUAAAUAACCUCAUUGAUACUAAUAUAACAGAAGUUAUAGAAUUGAACGCAUAACAAAUUGAAAUAACAAAGAAACAAACUUUCUUAGCAUAUUUAAAGAAAAUAAACAAACAAUAUUUAAAGAAAAUAAACAAACAAGGACAUCAUAAAUAAGAUAUAUCUUAACUGAUAGUAUUUUCGCAGGUGCUCUGCAUUCCAUGCCUUGCCAACGACCCUGCCAUCCUGAUAACUUAAUUUAUAUGCCCCAUUAUCAAAUUAGGGUAGCACUUUAUAUGGUCCUUCCCAGCUCGGCCCUAGAACUCCAUCAAUAAAUCUGAAGCUCAUUGGAGAUGUCAUCCAUCAUUUUUGUUCCCACUCUUACCACCCUGCUCGGAUCAACCUCACUUAUCGGCAUGUUUCAUUUCUUCAUUAGGUCACUGUUGGCACAAUCUAUUCUCAGCUCGUGGGUCGAUACUCGUGAUCUGCAUGGAUUCUCUUGCAGCUGUAGCGUAACAACUUCGAGCUAUUUGUUGCUGGCCCCUCAUCACUCCAACCCCAUAUUGAACUCUAAACUUCACACGUUGCAUGUGGGUUGAGCUCACGGCUCUUACUAUCCUAUUGAAAGGUCUACCCAAAAUAAAUUGAUAAGGGUUGGGCUCAUCAACUACCACCCAUGUCACCAUCACUGUCUUUUGUAGUGGGUUGGACUUUAUUAUCAGUGGCAAGUCAAUCAUCCCAAGGGGAAUCAACUCAGCUCCGCCAAACCCUUUUAGUGAUGUUCUGACGGGAUCAAGCCUAAGGUCCCCUAUUUGUAGAUCUUCCAGGGUUUGCUUAAACAAAAUGUCGACUGAGCUUCCUCCAUAUAUAAGAGCUCGGUUCAAAUCCUGCCCUACCAAGGUAACCUUCACUAUGAGCGCAUCCUCAUGUGGAUGUGCGACCGCUUCCUCGUCCUCGUCUGUGAACAUGAUCGGCACCCUUUGAACCCGUUGCUUCUUUGGUAUUGAAACAUUAAAAUUCAACUUAUAACUUUCUAAUGACUAUCUACUAUAAUUUCUCCUUGAACGAUUUGAGUCUCCUACUAGGGUCGGCCCUCCCAUAAUCAUCAUCGCUACAUUAUCUCUGAUGUCUCCUCUUCUCCCACCUAUUCCUUGGUCAUUCACAUACUCCUUUAGAUAUUGAUUUUGCACUAGCCACAAAAUCUGUUCUUUCAAGUCUAUGUAAUCUGCAGUUCCAUGUCCGAACACAAUGUGAAACUCGCAAUACUUGUGGUGAGCACUUCUGCCCAGACUUCUUACAAUUGGCUUUGGCGGUUUAAGUAGCCCCUUCUUUUCUACUACAACAUAUAUUUCCGCUCUGCUUUUGUUCGAUGGUGUGUAUCUUCCACUCUACUCUAAUAAGUUCACCCCAUGGUCAGAUCUCGAUACUCUCUGUUCUAUAGGCAGUGGCAACCUAUUGUAGUCUCUUGCUCGGUUCUCCCUUUAGUUCAUCUCAUAAUUAUUUCCUCUAUCUCGGCCCCAUCCCAUUAAUGAGAUUUAUCUCAUUUCACGAUUUCUUUCCCAAUCUCGACCCGACCUUUCUGGUCAUCUGUAAUUGAACAACUCUCCGCCGUAAUGACGUCUAUCAUCCGAGUUCCUCCUCGAGCUAUACUCGAGGUUAUCACUUGACCCUCUCUCUGCUCUUCCAUUCUCCUAUUUUCUUCCUCUGCAUCUUCAGUUUUCAUAUCUAAUUUUGUCUAGUCGUACGCCUCAGCGUAUGUUGUUAUCCCCUUGUUAUAUAAGCUAUUCCAUAAUCGAUUGAUUCUCAACUCCUUCUUUAAUCCCUCUAGAACAUCUGGAAGAUCAAAGGCCCCUAGAUCGGUAACCUCUCUAUGAUACCUGGUCACAAAACUCGUCAAACUUUCAAAUUCUCCUUGGACCAAUUUUGUCAAGCUGCUCAUAUCCUGCUCUGAUAUGCAUGAACCUCUAAAAUGCAUAGCGGAAAGCACACAUAACUCCUUGAAAUUUCCUAUGCUUCUAUUCUUUAAUCUCCGGUACCAUUCCCAUGCUUGUCCAUCUAGAGUUAAGGGAAAAAUACGGCACCUUUGAAAAUCAUUCAAACCUUGAAUUACAGUCAUCUCAUUAAACUUCUCCACAUGAUGAUUUGGGUCAGUUUUUCCUUCAUACACCAAGACUUGAACCACAUACUUGGGUGGCAAAGUUACUGCCAUCACUUCAGGUACCAAGGGGGACUCGUCAUCGAGUAACAGCCUUCCUACCACUUUCUUGCCCUCUGUUUUCGCCUCUAAUACCUCUAAGGUUUUUUGAAAUUGCAGCAUUCGUUGCUCAAGCUCAUUUGCCCGUUGGGGUCUCUCAGCUCUUCCCUCUCUCUUUCUUGAUUCAAGUCAUUGAUUCUCCCCCUCAACUCAUUCACUUGUUCUCCUGCACUUCUAUUCUUUUGUCGUACCCCAACUUGUGGUAGUCCCAUUCCGCUCUGCUGUUCACCAUCAAGCUCUUCCCUCUCUCGCGCUCCACUACAUUUUGGAUCACUAGCUCGAACGUGAGCCUCUCUGACUUGGGCAUCAACCAGCCCCCGAUCAUCUUCUCAAAUCUCGCCAUUUGCCUCUCAAUCCCUUCUCUCCAUCUCUUAUCUGCCGUGGCAUUCAUUUCCUCAGCCAAUUGGCGCAAGGUCUACGUAUCUUCAUCCUUAUCAUCUAUCACUAUUUUGUAAUCCGAUAGCUUCUCCUUCUAAAUCUUCAAACGUAUGGCUUUUCGCACUGAUCCCCACAGAUAGCGUCAAGAUGUUGAUGCUGAAAAACGACAUGAACAGCUGAAUUUGUUUCUUUUGGGGAAUUACAAUGUGAAUUUAAGCUCAAACGCAAGUCUGAACGCAACUUUCUAUAUCUACCAACCAGAAAACACAGUUAGGAUAUGCCGGUGGGGUUCCGGCGCAGACCCUCCGAUGCUUAAGUCAAAUUAUGUAUAAAAGGAGAAAAAUAAGAAUGAAGAAUUAUGAAUGAGUUAAAGUCAAGUAAUUUUCCAGUAGAGGGGCUAAAAAUCUUGUAGAAGCUUCAGUGAAUUUUGCUAACCCCUUCACCUGAUGCGCUCUUCAAUUUAAAUAGACUCUUGGUCAUGUACGGUUACCUCCUUAACUUCAGCCCGCUUUCUUCAGUAGUUGCAAGUGGUUGUCAGUUGGAGGUGGUUUAAAUAGAUCGUGGCACACAACUUCCUUAUAAAUUAGGCCACGUUCUCUUAACUAGCAAUUUUUCAUGUCAAGCUAAUUCAUUGGUCGGACAAGAGAAUUUCAAGGUCGGAUUACUUCACUUUCAUAUCAGACAGAUGAAUUUGUUAGUCGCUCAUAUAGCGUUGGGGUUGUAUUAUUAAACUAAGUCAUUCACAUAGAUCUUAGGUCGUACUUGUAAACCAAGUCGCCAACAUAGGCUUCAGGUUGUACUUAUGAGGUCAACUCAACAACAAUAAGUUUUGAGUAAAUUAGUAUCGACUAUAUUUUGAGACACUACAAAAAAAAUCCAACCCAAACAGUAACAUUUUGCAAAUCUCAAUCGACGGUGCUAUUUUCAAUCGUUGCCUGGAUUGCUUUCUUGGAAAAGCAGCAUCUAUAAGAAACCUGCAAAAAAAUGUUGUAGCCUUGGAGACUGAAUUGGGAAAACUAAUCGAAGCAAAGAACGAUGUGGUGGCGAGGGUCGUCAACGCUGAAAGGCAACAAACGAUGACAAGGCUGAACAAAGUUCAAGGCUGGCUUUCGAGGGUGGACGCUGUUAAAGCUGAAGCUGAUGAAUUGAUAAGACAUGGCCCUCAAGAAAUUGAGAAACUAUAACUUAGAGGCUACUGUUCCAAGAACUGCAAGUCAAGCUAAAAGUUUGGCAAAAAAGUGGCUAAAAAGCUAAGAGACGCCGGGACUUUAAUGGCCAAUGGAGCAUUUGAAGUGGUAGCUGAGAGAGCUCCAGAAUCAGUAGCGGAUGAAAGGCCUAUCGAGCCCACAGUAGUAGGCCUGCAAUUGCAACUCGAGCAUGUUUGGAGAUGUCUUGAAGGAGAAUCAGUCGGAAUUGUUGGCCUAUACGGCAUGGGCGGUGUCGGUAAAACUACACUAUUGACCCAUAUCAACAACAAAUUUCUUGAGAGUCCAACUAAUUUUAAUUAUGUGAUAUGGGUCGUAAUGUCAAAAGACUCGCGACUUGAAAACAUUCAAGAAACUAUCGGGGAGUAGAUUGGUUUGUAAAAAUUUGCCAAUUUACACAGCAAACAAUUUCCACCCAAUUAAUGUUUUUUAGAAAAUUGUAAAAAUUUGGAGUUAUGAAAAUAGAAACUAUAUAAUAAGAAGAAAUAAUUUAAGAUUUUAAGAUUUAUAUAUAUUUUAUAAAUAAAACAUUAAAAGAGAUGCUUGUUAUUACGAUGAAAUUUUAUGAGUAAGAUGAUUAACUUUAAUAUAUGAGUUUGUAUUUUAUAAAUUAAUCAGAGGUAUUUUAGAAAAUAAAUUCAAAAUGGGAGUUAUAAGAGUUUUAGAGUGGUGUUAAAAGCUCAACUCUUUUGAAUUUUACUGCCCAAUUAUAUAGUACAUUAGCGUGAUUGUUAUGUAUUCAUUUUUUUCAGAUACAACAAACGAGCUGCGUAGUGCUCAAAUAACAAAAAUUAAUAAUUUCACACACCCAUAUACAUAUAUGUAUACAUAUAGAUACAUAUUAUAUUUAAUUAAGCAAAAGAAAGAACCCCCUGUACGACGCCAGUGAGAAGAGAGAGAGAGAGAGAGAGAGGAAGAGAGCUUUUUGUGUUAUAUUUCAUAAUUUUUAUUUAAUUAAAAAUAUUUGUAGUUUGGAUUUGGGCGCCCCAAAGAAUUUCUAAAUCAAAACCUUAAUUUUUAUUAGGUCUUGAGCCUAUUCUCGAAAUAGAUCCUAUUAUAUUCUUAGGUGGUGUUUGGUUUUAAGAAAAUGGAAGAGAGGAGAGGUGAAAAAAGAAGAUGAACGGAGAGGUGAUGAGAGGAAAAGAGUGUAAAAAUUAAUUGUUAUUGUUUGGUUUCACAUUAAAUUUGAAAGGAAAAGAAAUUACAUAUUUUUUAUUUGGACGAAUAUACCCACUAUUUUAAUGCUAAUAUUGUUAAUAAAUUAAAAAAUAAUAAAACUAUGAAUUAAUUUAAUCUAGAAAUUACCUAAUUAAAUUAAAAAAUUAUUUUUUAAAAAAAUACAGCAUUUGGCCAUGGACAGCCUCCACGUUGACCACCGUUGACUGGCGAAUUUGACUGUCGUUGACCGUCAUUUUUCAUCGCGUUAAAUGCAUAAUAAUAAUAAGAAAUGAAUGAUUUAUUCAUUGGAAGUGUUAAUUUUGCAGAAAAUACACUAUAUAGUAGGAAAUAUGAGAGUUAAAAUUUUCCCAAGCAUUUAAACAAGACUUGAGGUAAAUAACAAUGUAUAUUAGCAUUUUUAAUCUCAUAGCAUUGUAGAUGGACUCAUGAGGAUUCCAUUGAUACCGGUUUUGAUGAAAAAGUGCGUCUCCGGCGAAACUCCGACGAGUCACUUUACUGUUUUUUCUUUUUUCAAAUAAGUUUAUCCUAUUAAUUUAAGAAAAUAAAUAUAAAUUAUUUGUACUUUAAUUUAUUUAACAUUGAUUUUGUUUAGAGGAUAAUAUUGGAAUUUUUGUGUUUAAAUAGAUAAGAAAUUUAAAAUCUUUAGUCAUUGAUAAGAAAUACAAAUUCUUCAAAUUGAUGGAAAUUCAAUUCCAUUAAACUUGGUCCAAGUAGAAAAGAAAUCAAUUUUUUUUGGCUCUCCCCACUUCCCUACCCCUAAGCAAACAUGGCCUUAUGGUUUUUGAGAACUCAUACCAAAUUCAAAUUAAUCAGGAGCCCACGGGUCCCGGGGCUCGCGGGAAAGUUGCCAUCCCUACCUUCAUCUGACGGAAAGUCCCUACAAACAAAUGUUUCUUUAUUUAUUUAUUUUUAUAAAAGAAAUUUCAGUUUGAAUGUCUUUUGGACGUUUCCAAUUGUCAUGAUUAGCCCUUGAACCUUUGGUCAAAAAAGUAUUAUCACGCGUUGAUUGUUUGUAUCGCAAAUGCUAGUGGCAUUUGAAAGUUGAUAUAAUUAAUUACAAUCUACAAAUGUUUAACAAAAAAGUGGGAUGGAUAUGGCACAAAAGUAAAGCAAGCAGGAUUCGUUGAAAAAGCUAUUUUGACACCUACUUCGGUUAUAAAAUUUUCAAAAAAAAAAAAAAAUUUUGAUUAAAAGUAAAUUGUAUAGGUUCAACUACCGUGCACUUGGUGCAUGGGACAUGUAUUUUGUCUAUAUAUAAGUUACCCGUCAGAUAUAACAUAGAACUUGCUUCAACGGCAUAGAUGUAUUCUCUUUAGUUUUUAACAUUGACAUCUAUGUUGUUUUUCAAAAAAGAAAAAUAGUGAAAGGUUUGACACAUAAUUUUAGAUUAUUUUUAAAUUUUAUAUUUUAAUCAAUUGAUUUAAUUUACUGUUAAAAUUAAUGACAGUAUAAGCGUAAUAACUUGAAAAAACUUUUUAAUACAUAAUUUUUUUUAUUUUUUGAAAAUAAUAUAAUAUCAAUUUAAUCUAUAAUAAAUAAUUUUAACAUAUAAUUAAAUUUUAAUUUAUCAAUAAUAAUAUGACCAAAUGACAAUGUUAAAGAAUUUCAUUAUAAUCAACUAUGAUUUAGUAUUCAAAUAUAAAUAAUAGAAAUAUACUCUAAGUGUAAAUAAUAGAAAUAUAUCAAACUUAUAUGUUAAAAUUUCAAAACUUUUAAUUUUUUCACUUUUCAGCAAACAAGAGGGAGUAAUUUACCAAAAACAAGGGGUAUCGUACACCUGGGGCACCAUAGCUUCCUCCAAAUUGUAUAAAAAAUAGAAAUAUUUUUAGUCUCCAAAUUGUAUAAAAAAGUAAAAAUAUUUUGACUAAAAGUAAAUUGUGCGUAACUACUUUAAUAUUUUAUUUCUUUCAUAACUUUAUCAAAAUCUUGUCAUCAAAUAUUUUAUCAAUGUAACGCUGUAAACAGCAAAUUAAAGUUUAAUUAUUUAAUUACAACUGGCAAAAGAGACGUUUAAUUAUUUAAUUACAAGCGGGAUAGUCUCUUUUGUUGAAGGAAAUUAAAGUUUAGUUAUUUAAAUCGAGCACGCGUAAUCUUUUCAAGCACAAACAAAAGAGAUCAUAAUUCAAAGUUGAUGUUCUCUUCACAGCAGCUUCUAUUCAUCGAACUCCAUCGUUAAAAUUUCCUUGGUUUUUCCUGGUUGAAUUCUCAUCCAAAAUAUGGGUAACAUUUUCCAAAUCACAUGCGACGGCGCUCUCUUUAACCGUUGCCUGGAUUGCUUUCUUGGAAAAGCAGCAUAUAUAAAAAACCUCAAACAAAAUCUUGCAGACUUGGAGACUGAAUUGGGAAAACUAAUCGACGCAAAGGAAGAUGUGAUGAGGGAGGUCAACGCUGCUGAAAGGCACCCAAUGAUGAAAAGGCUGACCAAAGUUGAAGGCUGGCUUUCGAGGGUCGAAGCUGCUAAAUCCGACGGUGACAAAUUGAUAGCAUUUGGCUCUCAAGAAAUUAAGAAACUAUGUCUUGGAGGCUACUGUUCCAAGAACUGCAAGUCAAGCUACGAGUUUGGCAAACAAGUGGCUAGAAAGCUAGGAGAUGUCAAGACUUUAAUGGCUGAAGAAGCUUUUGAAAAGGUAGCUGAGGAAGUACAACCACCUUUGGUAGAUGAGAGACCCACCGAGCCAACCGUAGUAGGCUUCCAAUCACAAUUUGAACAAGUCUGCAAAUGUCUUGAAGAAGAAUCAGUCAGAAUUGUUGGCCUAUACGGCAUGGGCGGUGUCGGUAAAACCACACUAUUGACUCAUAUCCACAAUAACUUUCUUCAGAGUCCAACUUUUAAUUGUGUGAUAUGGGUCCUAGUGUCAAAAGAUCUGCGACUUGAAAACAUUCAAGAAACUAUCGGGGAUCUGCGACUUGAAAACAUUCAAGAAACUAUCGGGGAGCAGAUUGGUUUGUUAAACGAUACAUGGAAAAAUAAACGAAUUGAACAGAAAGCUCAAGACAUCUUCAGGAUUUUGAAGGAGAAGAAGUUUUUGCUGUUGCUAGAUGACUUAUGGCAGCGGGUUGAUUUAACAAAAGUGGGCGUCCCUCUUCCUGGCCCGCAAAAUAAUGCAUCCAAAGUGGUAUUCACAACCCGUUCCGAAGAAGUUUGUGGUUUGAUGGGAGCUCACACGAGGUUUAAAGUGGCGUGCCUGUCAAAUAUCGAUGCUUGGGAAUUGUUUCGGCAGAACGUUGGAGAAGAAACUCUGAACAGUGAUCCCGAUAUUCUUCAACUCGCCCAAGCAGCAGCCAGAGAGUGUGAUGGUUUGCCACUAGCACUUAUUACCAUUGGCCGAGCUAUGGCUUGCAAGAAGACACCUGACGAAUGGAUUUACGAUAUUGAGGUGCUAAGAACAUCAAGUUCUCAGUUCCCAGGUUUGGGAAAUGAGGUUUAUCCUCUUUUAAAAUUCAGUUACGAUAGAUUGCCGAGUGACACAAUUAAAUCAUGUCUCUUAUAUUGUAGUUUAUAUCCAGAAGAUUAUUGCAUUUCUAAAGAGAAAUUGAUAGACUGUUGGAUCGGCGAGGGAUUUUUGACAGAAAGGGACAGGAUUGGAGAACAAAAAGAAGGAUACCAUAUUCUGGGCAUUCUUCUUCAUGCCUGCUUACUGGAAGAGGGAGGAGACGGUGAAGUAAAAAUGCACGACGUGAUUCGAGAUAUGGCAAUAUGGAUAGCAUGCGACAUUGAAAAGGAGAAGGAGAAUUUUUUUGUUAAUGCUGGCGUUGGAUUAGUUGAAGCACCCGAUGUCACAGGAUGGGAAAAGGCGAGGAGAUUGUCACUGAUGCACAAUCAAAUUACGAAUCUAUCAGAGAUUCCUACAUGUCCUCAUCUCCUUACUUUUUUCCUUAACAAAAAUAGGUUUCAGAUGAUCCCCAAUGACUUCUUCCAAUUUAUGCCCUCCCUCAAAGUUUUAAAUCUGUCAUACAGCAAACUAACCAGCUUACCAUUGGGGAUUUCAAAGUUGGUUUCACUGCAACAUCUUGACCUGUCAGAAUCCGACAUAGAAGAGUUGCCAGGAGAGUUAAAGGCAUUGGUAAAUCUUAAAUGUUUGGAUUUGGAAUAUACAGGGAAUUUAAUUACAAUUCCACGUCAACUAAUAUCUAAUCUUUCAAGGUUACAUGUGUUGAGAAUGUUUGGUGCUGGUCAUAAUGCCUUUGAUGAAGCAUCAAAAGACAGCAGUUUAUUUGGUGGGGGUGAAUUCAUAGUAGAGGAACUGCUUGGUUUGAAAUCUUUAGAGGUGAUUAGCUUCACCUUGAGAAGUUCUCAUGGUCUCCAAAUGAUUUUGAGCUCGGAUCAGUUACGAAGUUGCACUCGAGCACUCUCAUUCCAAUGCUUCAACGAUUCGACAUCGCUUGAAGUUUCAGCUUUGGCAGAUCUGAAGCAACUUAAAAUGUUGCGGAUUGCAAGGAGUGAAAUAUUGGAGGAAUUAAAGAUGGAUUGUGCAGGGGAAGUUCGACAGUUUGUUUUCCAUAGUCUCAAUAAGGUUGAAAUAUACGGUUGCAGUAAAUUGAAGGACUUGACAUUCCUUGUUUUCGCUCCAAACCUCAAGUCUAUUAAAGUAACAGGUUCCCAUGCUAUGGAAGCAAUCAUAAGUGUGGGUAAAUUUGCAGAAGUUCCAGAGGUAAUGGCAAAUUUAAACCCAUUUGCAAAACUCCAAAAUCUUGAAGUAAUUGGUGCGAUAAAUUUGAAGAGCAUUUACUGGAAGCCCCUGCGCUUCCCACAUCUGAAAACAAUGAGUUUCUUUCAUUGCAACAAGCUUAAAAUGCUUCCACUUGAUUCCAAUAGUGCAAGAGAGCAUAGCAUUGUUAUUCGUGGAGACAGAAUGUGGUGGGCACAGCUUCAAUGGGAGGAUGAAGCCACUCGAAAUGCUUUUCUUCCCUGUUUCAAAUCUUGAGCAGAGAUCACAUUUGAAUAAUUUCUGGUGCGUGCUUUUUCUUACAUUAUUCUUCUUGUUAAUUUCCUUCAUGCAGACAUCUGCACCUAAUAACUCGUUACUUCAAAUAUUCUCUAAAUUAUUUGAGGGUACUCGCCCCUGCACAUAAUGUAUAUUUAUAUCUAAUUAAAUUUUUUAAAAAGUCAAUAUUAUAUUUUUUAUGUCAUUAAAUAAAGUCUUGUUAUUUUAUCGAAUUAUAUUCAACUUGAAAAUAGUUCUAGCUUUUAGAUAUAAGUUAUGUAAGUACAAGUUCAAAGUGUAUCAGCAUUAAAUUACUCAUAUUCAAUCAUUUAUAAUCUGAUGUUGAAAAAAAAAUGUCAUUCAAUCAUAUGCAUUUAACUAAAUUCAAAUAUAAUCUAAAUUCAGAUACGUUAAAAUUAUUUGGGAAAAAAAAGCGCCACAACUCUAUAUUGUUUAUUGAGUAAACCAGAUAUUAACUCUAUCAUGAACGUAAUAGCCUCCAGCAUUUUUUAUUAUCUGUUCAAACCAUAUUUUAUUAUUUUAAUUUAUUUAUAUUCAUUGCAUUUCAAUUAGGUCAUGUUUUCUUUUGUUUUCUGUUUUAUAUUCUUUGAUCAUUUUGGCAACAUGGAGUACUAUGAUUAAUCAUUUUGUACUGGUCUCAAAUUUCAGUCGGAUUAUCUGCGGAAAAUAUCUCUGAAGAUGCUUUCAAUGGAGUCCAGUACUCAGAAUGCGAUGCCUAAUCCUUUGCAAUCCAACAAUGCUAGCAGGAGCAACGAACCCCCUCAUCCAGGUAGUGACGUGGAAUAGUAAAUGCAGCUUCACUUUCAAUUUGUCUCUGAAACCGCUCCCUAUAAUCAAUCCUAGCAUUCUUAUGUGUUCUUAACUUCUGCAGCCUGAAUAUUUCUUCCUCGACAAUCAAAGUCAUAACAGUAUGAUUGGCUGGAGUAGCUUUCCUCCAGACCCCUCAUUAUAGUUAUAAAUAAUUCCGAUAUUUGAUAUCAUGAUCGGGGAUUUCAGAGCUUAGAAAAUAUGAUUUGUACCCAUAUGUGUCUGAUCAUGAGAAGUUUGAAAAUAUACAUCAAAAACUGUAUGGAUUGGAAAAAUAUAAUCUUAUUAUGGUGUGUUAAAUCGUCAUUUGAUGAACGGAUUUGGGAUACAUUAUAAUAUGAUGUCAUUAUUAAUUAGGGUGUGUUUUUGGAAGUGCUUAAUUAUAUUCGUUUAAUGUGUAUUUCUUUUAUCACUUUUGAAAAGAAUUCUUAAAUAUUUAAAUAUUUCAAUGUUUAUAUCUUAACUUCAAAUAUAAUAAAAUAAAAUAAAAUAACUGUUCUCCAAUAUGAGGGUCCGAACUAAGGGUCUACGUCAAUAACAUGAAAUAUAAUAAUUUUUGUAAAUUUUUCUUAAAUUCAAAAUAAAUUUUGUUACUGAUUCAAAUGUUUAACAAAAUGUGGCAGCUUAUCUGUAAUUGCCACAUCAAUUGAGAUUCAAAUUACUACUCAAAUCCUGAAAUUCCUAAAGGUCCCUAACAUUAAUAUUUUAUUAAGUCAAUAUUGAAGUUGAACUAUGGGGUUCGUCGGCUAUUUCACACUAACAGAGGAAUCAUUUUAUCUUCUACAAAGGGUUCAGUUUUCUUGCACUGUAUGAUAUGAAGUAAUAUUGUCAUAUGUUGUUCUGAAUUAAUUUUUUUCUUCUCUCGUGCGAAUCAGAAAGAAAUGUUGUAUUUAAGAUGUGGAAAGUAUAAGAUCUUAGGAGUUUUACAGUGUAUAUAUAUAUAAAUUUUUUUUUGACAAACAGAGAAAUUCAGUCUAGAAUAUGAGAACAAACUAAAAGCUACGAAAUACAUUGGCAUUUUUGAGAAGUAGGAUAAAUAUUAUUUUUUUUUUUGAAAAAAAAAGGACUUGGCACCUCAAUGCUUUAAUAACCUAAUGUUAUACUUUUGGUUUGAUUUUUCUAUGUACUCUCUUCCAAUGGUCAAUUUAGGCUAUGUUUGGUAUUGAGAUAUUAUAACUAAAAAAUUUUAGGAUUUAUCACUUAAAAGAUAGAGUAGCCGUGGGAAAAAAGAGAGAGAGAGCUGAAAUUAUGAAAUAAAAUUAUUAAUGUAUUGUAAAUAAGAUGUUCAAAUAAAAAAAUUGACAAAAAUAGUAAAAAUACAAUACCAAACAAGAAUUUAUUUAGGAUACCGAUUCCAGGUCUCUAAAGAUUUGUUUUUAUGCUUUGCAGUUAUUUUCUUCUAGCUGACUGAUGAAUUAUUGUGAAAUUGCUAUGAAAAUUACUAGGGAAAUUAUCAGUCAUACACUCUUAAAUGACACCCGUAUCAAAUAUGCUACAACAUUUUUCAAGUAUAUCACUCGUAUACUCUAAGUUGACAAAACACUUCUACCGUCCACCAAUAUGUUAACUUCUAUUAGAAAGUUAAUAGAAUUGUGGCAAAUUGACUAUUUCGUCCUUGAAACUCAAAAUGAGAUUAAAAAAAAUUUACCCAAAAAAUUAAAGUAAAUUUUCAAUACAUAAUUUUUUUUAAUUUCGUUAUUAACAAUACAUUUUUUUAUUAAAAAAUAUGAAUUAUUAAUGGUACAUAUUAUUAACAAUUAUCCAUAAAAAUAUCCAUAUUAUACCAUAAAAAAUUAUUAACAACAUAUUAUUUACAAUUAUACAUAUUAUACCAUAAAAAACUCCAAUUGGAGCUUGGAGGAGUAGAUCUUAAAAAAUUUAGGUUAAAUUUUGGAUGAGUAGAUUCGGUUGUAAAGUAGUUGUUUUUUUAUAUGUAAUUAUUAACAAUUAUCCAAUAAAUGGGAUGACAUGUCAUUUUAUCAAUAUAUAUCAUAUGACAUGUCAUUGCUUAAUAGGAAAAUGGGAUGACAUGUCGUUUUUAAAAAAGACUAUAUUUACCCUUAUGAUGUCAGCACUUGCAAACGGCAGUUAACGGAUUGGUGAACGGUAGAAAUGUUUUGUCAACUUAAAGUAUACGAGUGAUAUACUUGAAAAGUGUUGUAUCACGUUUGAUAUUAGUGUCAUUUAACGAUAUAUGACUGAUAAUUUUCCAAAUUACUACUAUAACUUAUGGCAAAUUGGCAAUUAAAAAUCAUAAAAGUCUUUCCUCUUGAAUGAGAAAGUGGGUUAUUUUCGUUUACUAUAUAUAUAGUGUCACAAUCAAGAUUAGCAAAGGUUUGUUCACAAACCACCAUCUAUGAAACUAUGAUGACAAAUAUUAUUUGCUAUUAUCAUGUCACUGCAUUACUCUAAUGCCAUUAUUUGCCUAAUUAAAUAUUCAUGUCGGUUUUAAGAUGAAUUUCAAGACAUUUAACUAACCAUAUCUAUUGUAUUUUAUUAUGGUGCUCUAGCUAGCUGGUUGCCAGCUUUGCCUUUCAAUGGGGUUUGAUUAAUUACUCUGCAUAUAGACCAUUAUAUACUAGGACGGCCAAUGGUUAAUGUAAUAUAAACACAAUAAAUUUUAAUCAAAUAUGAAUUUUCUGAAUAAUUGUUUCUUUAUUUUAUGAAUUUUAUUUAAACGAUAUCCCAAUUUAAAAAAAAAAAAGAAAGAAAGAAAAUCAGCGCGUUUGUCUCCUCCCCAUUGUCAUGAUCAACCUUGUUGGAAACGUUGGUGAGAAAAGUAAUACUAUACGUUAAUUGCUUUUAAUAUUUUAAUCGUUGGUGGCACAACCGCACAAGAAAGUAAAAGUUGUUAUAUAUAUAUAUAUUUUAAAUAAAAGUUUAGCUUUCAAUAAUUCAACUUUGAAAAAGGUACAAAAGAUGUGUAGGACAUUCGUUGAACCACAUUAUUGGUUGUACACUUUCUAAAGCUACUUUGGCUAUGGAAUAGGCCAUGAUUAUGAAGCCGAGAAGUAUGUUGCAGUGUGGGGUUGUGUAGUUCCUUUUAGCUUCUUCUUACAAAUUAAUGCUGACAGAAAAAGCAAGAUCAUAUUCCACAAAAGUAAAAGUAACAAAACAACCAGCUGGAAUCUUUUAUUAAACUACGAUAAACUACAAAUUAAAGUGGAUUCUUUUGAAUACAAGUGGGAUAGACGAUUGGCUCUUUUAUUAAAGGCCAGUAGUCAAGAAUCGAAUAUCUCGAUUGCAUAGUCUUUUUCAAAUUCUUGUUUUAUUAUUUUUCAAAACUAAUUUUUUAUUAGUCUACAAUUAUUUAUAAUUAUAUUUUCAUUUAGAAUACAGUUCAAGUCAAAUCUUUUGCACUUCUACCUAACUCGGGCUAAUACUAGUCCACUCAUUAUUCAUGUGAGAGAGUUGUAAGGUACAUGCAUGUAACUUCUCUAACUCGAAUUAUUCCACACAGAGAAAUAAACAUAGAUGCUUUAUAACUUUAGAAAUCCGAUCUCUUACAGUUGGAAACAGAGAUGAUGAUUACUAUAAGAAUGAAGAAAAAGAUAAAAAAUUGUCAAUGAUUAACGAAGUCUCUAUGCAAAUUUCUCUAUGCAAAUUGAUUUUAGCAGAAAAAUAGUGAGUUGAAUGAUGUAGGCGAUUAGUGGUAAUAUUUCAUAGAGUUAGAGUAUUGGCAACCCUUCAAUCUUCUCAUGAAUCCCCUUUUUGAGUUAUAGUUAUUUUAUUUCGAAAUAUCCUUUUUCUUCUUUAAUACACUUCUAAUUUUUCAUUUAAUUUUUUUAUUGUUAAACUCAAAGUAUUAUUGUGAUAUUUUUCGUUUCUUUUGUAAUCUUAUUAUAAUUAAAAAAACCAAAAAAAAAGAUUGGCUAUGAAAUUUGUUGGAAAAAAUCUAUGUGCGUUUAAUUUUUGUUUGUCUUUGACUGUAAUUUAUUUGAAGUGGGGUUUUAUAAGCAUAAUGAAGGGAUCAAAGGAUGCCCAUAACUUCACUCUAUUUUAUAUGGAGAAAAGUAAAAGGUACACCUAAAGUUAAUGGAAAGUACUUCGCAGCUUUCUUUUGAUUAUAAUAUCCUUUAAUUUAAUUAACUUAAAAAUUUUGACUUUAAUAAUUUAUAAUAAAUUAAAUUAUAAUCUUAAAAUAAAUAUAAUAAUAUAUUUUAAAAUAAUCUCUAUAUUUAAAAUUUAUUUAUUUUCACAUUUUAUAUAAAUUUUAUAAUAAAGACAAACAUACUAUUAAAAUAAUAUAUAAAAAAUUUAAAAGUAUUUUGAAUAUUAUAUAAAAUAACUAUAACAUUUUUUAAUACAUGAGAUAUAUUUUGUUAAUUUAAAAUUCUAUUUAAUCCAAAGAUUUAUUUAAGAUAAAUUAAUAAUAAUAUUUUUGAAAUUAUUUGAAAUACUAAAAAAUAUUUUAAUAUUACUAGUCUAUUAAAUAAAUUAAAUAUAUUUAAUAGACUAGUAAUAUUCUGAAAAAUAAUAAAAGAAGAAUUAAAAAAAGACUAGACAAUAGAGAUAUUCGAUUCUUUUAAAGCAAAUCGUAAUAUUCCACAAAGGAGUAAGAUCCACAAAAGCAAACAACCAGUUGGAUUCUUUUAAAGUGGAAUCGUUUAUUAAACAACAAAUUAAUGUUCAAAUAUUUAAAUAGCAGUGCAUUAGACGAUUAGACUGUCUUAUUAAAGGCGAGUAUAAAGUAGUCAAGAAUCGAAUAUCUCUAUUGUCUAGUCUUUUUUUAAUUCUUCUUUUAUUAUUUUUCAGAAUAGGUUUUGGUGAUUACAAUGGGUUAUUAUUCAGAGUUAUUGUUAUCUUCCGGGUCAAUUUCUGUUCAUCGAAGUCGUUAAUUCAAAUUUUAGAACUUUUAUCAAAAGAAUGUUUUUCGUUAUCUUUUUUAUGGUCUAAUUCCAAUUGUAAGAAGUAGUCAUUUUAAAAUUUGGGUCUUGAAUCGAAUUUCAGUGCAUGAAUUAAUAUUAAAAAAAAAUCACUACACACAGUUUAGGCUGCAGACUACUUUUUGCAAAUUUGACUCUGAAAAUUGGAGAAAUUAAGUAAUUUAGAAUGUUUGCAAAGAAAAAGACUAACAUACUUCCUAUUACACUAAAUCUCUAUUAUCAUAAUGUUGAGACUAAACUAACUUAAAUACGUUUUAUUUGAAAAGCUAUAUUAAAUGCAGCCUAAUUUUAUUAACCUGAAGAGCUAAUAGAAGUGUAGUUAUAAAAAUUAUAUUCUGACUUAAUUAGUACAAGUGAUAUAAAGGUUAAGUGUGCACUAUAUUUAAUAAUUAAUUAAUGGAGCAUGUUAAAUAAAAUGAUAAUUUAUAUUUAUAUAAUGUUAGGAAUAUGUAAAGUCUAAGUCCACAAGUUGCAUUAUCUUUAAUAUUUUCUCUCAAUUAAAUUCUAAAAAUACUUUACAAUUAUUUAGUAACAACUGUAAAUUAAGAAUAAAUUAUUGUCCCAAACAACAUUAAAAAAUAUUUUAUUCCAUUUGAAUCCUUUAAUUUUUUUUACAGUAUAUAGAUAAUUAUUACUAUGUGAAUGUAAGUUUCUUAAGAUGGGACCUAUAACAAUUUAGAACUUAUUACAACGGGGAGUUUAUUAGGACCAAAAUUUUUUAUGAGUACAUAAAGUUAUCUUGUAUAGAAUAUUAGUAUAUAGAUGUUUUACUGUAAUUAGUCUAGAACAUUUAAAAAAAAAAAACAUAUACCGUCCCUUGGAUGUAGCUCUUGGGUGACCAUGAAUGUUCUUUGUUCCACAUACGNNNNNNNNNNNNNNNNNNNNNNNNNNNNNNNNNNNNNNNNNNNNNNNNNNNNNNNNNNNNNNNNNNNNNNNNNNNNNNNNNNNNNNNNNNNNNNNNNNNNACCCUCUAUGGGAAUAAUCUAUUUAGUUAUAAAAAAUUAUGAUCCCAAUUUAGACUAGUUAUAAAUAACAACAAAUUCCACUUUGUAAUAAAUUAUAUUUUUUCUAUAUCUUAUCUUAAGAAACUUAUCUCUACAUAGUAAUAAUUAUUUGUAUAGGUAAGAAUGGAUCAAGAUCCUCUCCUGAUCUGAGCACUCCUGAUCUUUUACAGAUCUUAUACCACCUGUGUUUUACUGUUAGUGGAUGAUUAUGAUUUGACUAUUUUUUCUUUUUAAUUUAUUAAUCACCAAUUAUAUUAAUAAAAUUUGCUCAGAUGAAGAUCAGAUCAAGAAAGGAUCCUGAUCCAAUAAGAAUACAUGUUAUAUUAGACUAAAGGAACUUGUCUGCACAUAACGAUUAGACAACGAGCGAAAAUUAUUAAAGCGAAUGCAAAUAAUUAGAAUUUUUUAAGAUGACUUUGUAUAUUCACAAUAAUAAUUGAUAGAUACAUGUACCAACGUUUUAAUAUAUUUGACAUCCUCCAUUAAUAAAUCAUUGAUGUAAUAUAGACUUUAUCUCUAUAUCCUCACACUACGGACAACUAAGUCAUAAUAAUAAUUUUUGUAACUACAUCUCUAUUACUUCCUCAUAAUAAUAAGUUAAUUUGAUCUCUACAUUAUGACUAUGGAGAUUUUAUUGUAUAGGGACACCCAAUAUAAAUAGUAUCCCAACUAAAAUUGUCCCAAAAAAAAAAUCGCUAAAGGAUAAUUAUAAUUUUUUUUCACUUCUCAAACGUUGGUGGCAGUUGUAAGCUAAGUUGUCAAAUAUAUUAAACUACAAGUGCUGCCACCAAGUGCGAUGCUCUUUUCUAAAGAGAAGUACAGUGGGUCCCGAAUAGGACGUGCUUAAAUCUGUUUAAAUUUUUCCAGUAUAACUAACAGAGGUCAUUACUAGAAUUAUAUUACUAGCCUAUUAGAUAGAAAAAAUUAGUUAUAUUAUUUUAUAUUUAUUAAAAAAGUUUAAAGUUAAUCUUUUUAAUUACUAUUUAAAAGAUAUUAUAAUAAAAAAAUAGUGUCUUUACUAAAAAUUUAGAAAUUUAUUUGACCGUUCUCUAAACUUUAUUUAAUAUUAUUGAUUUAAAUAAUAUCUAAAUUAAAAAUGUACAGAGAAGAAAUUUCGGUGGGUAUAUUAGUCUUUUACUUUUAACGUUAGUGGCCUUCUUAUAUUUUAUUACAAAUUAAUCCUAACAAGAAAAAGCUAGAUCAUAUUCCACAAAAGCAAGAGUGACAAAACAUGAAAACAACCAACUGGAUUCUUUUAUUAAACUACAAAUUAAAAUUGUUUUUUUUAAUAAACUAUAAAUUAAAGCGGAUUCUUUUGAAUACAGGUGGGACAGACUUAAGCUCUUUUAUUAAAGGCAAGUAUAAAGUAGUCAAGAAUCGAAUAGUCUUUUUCAAAUUCUUGUUUUAUUAUUUUUCAAAACUAAUUUUUGGUAAUUACACUCGGGUCAUUAAUCAUUAUUCAGAGUCAUUGUUAUCUUCGGAGACAGUGGGUAAAAGAUAAUUACUGGCUGUUUUUCCUUCAAAAGUUAGUGGCUCAUGUUUGCAAGUGUGAAUGUGCGAUGCUCUUUUUCCAAAUGCAAUUACAGUGGGUCCCGAAUCGGAGGAUAAAAAUCCUUUUAGUUUUUGUAUUUUAAGAUUAGUAUAUAUUUAGUCUUUAUAUUUUUAAAAAUACCUCGAAACAUUCAUGCCGUUAAAGUAUUGAUACCACUACCAUUACUUUUCAUUUCUUUUAACUUAAUUUUACAAUAUUACCCUUUUAUAAUAAUUUUUUUAGACAUUAAUAAAAAAUAAUUAAAUCACUAAUUUAACUCUAAAAAAUAAAAAAAUUAUAUUAAUUUUUUUGCAAGCACCGUUUGCACACUUGGUAGGUUGCAUACAAUUUUUGAUAAUUAAAAAUUAAUAUAAAUUUUUAUUUUUAUUUUUAGGGUUAAAUUGAUAAUUUAAUUAUUUUAUUUUUAUUAAUGUACAAACAAAAAAAUUAUUAUUAAAGGGUAAUAUUGUAAAAAUAAGCCAAAAGAAAUGAAAAAUAACGGUAGAAGUAUCAAUACUUUAACGACAAGGAUGUUUCUAGAUAUUUUUAAAAAUAUAGAGAUUAAAUGAAUACUAAUCUUCAAAUACAGGAUUAAAUAGAAUUUUACCCCGAAUCGAACGUGCCUAAAUCUUUUUAAAAUUUUUGCCGUACAACGGACAGAGGUCAUUACUAAAAUUUCUCUUCCACAGCCCACAUCAGCUUCAGGAAUCAGUUUAUCAAACUCAAUCAAUUUUCUUUCUUAACAAAAUUCCAAAGAUGUGUAGCAUUUUUCAGAUCACAUGCGAUGGUGCUUUUUUCAAUCGUUGCUUGGAUUGCUUUCUUGGAAAAGCAGCAUACACACGUAACCUCCAAGAUAAUCUUGUGGCCUUGCAGACUGAAUUAAUGAAACUAAACGCAGCAAAGGACGAUCUGAUGAGGAGGGUCGUCAAUGCUGAACGUCAACAAAUGAGAAGGCUGGACGGAGUGCAAGUGUGGGUUUCGAGGGUGGAUGCUGUUACAACUGAAGCUAAUGAACUUAUCAGAGACGGCUCUCAAGAAAUUGAAAAAUUAUGUCUUGGAGGGUUCUGUUCCAGGAACUGCACGUCAAGCUACAAGUUUGGGAAACAAGUGGCUAAAAAGCUACGAGAUGUGGAGGCUUUAUUUGCCGAAGGGGUUUUUGAGGCGGUGGCUACCAAGGUGGUGCCUGAGAGAGCUCCAGAGCCUGUAGCAGAUGAAAGACCUGCCGAGCGAACAGUAGUAGGCUUGCAAUCACAACUUGAACAAGUCUGGAGAUGUCUUGCAGAAGAAUCAGCGGGAAUCAUUGGCCUAUAUGGUAUGGGCGGUGUUGGUAAAACUACACUAUUGACCCAUAUCAACAAUAAAUUUCUCGAGAGUCCAACCAACUUUGAUUGUGUGAUUUGGGUAGUAGUUUCAAAAGACCUGCGACUCGAAAAAAUUCAAGAAGAUAUUGGGAAAAAGAUAUGUUUGGUUGAUGAUGAUUUGUGGAAGAGUAAAAUUUUUGAAGAGAAAGCUGUAGCCAUCUUGCGGAGAUUAGGAGAGAAGAGAUUUGUAUUGUUGUUAGAUGAUUUAUGGGAGCGGGUUGAUUUAACAAAAGUGGGCGUUCCACUUCCCAGACCAAAAAAUACUACCUCAUAAGUCGUAUUCACAAGCCGUUUCAUCGAUGUUUGUGGUAGCAUGGAAGCUGGCAGGAAGUUCCAAGUAGCAUGCUUAUCAGAAAAGGAUGCUUGGGAACUGUUUCAAGAAAAAGUUGGGGAAGAAACUCUUGAGAGUGAUCAUGAUAUCGUUGAGCUAGCCCAAACCGUGGCCAAGAAGUGUGGUGGUUUGCCACUCGCACUUAUUACUAUUGGUCGAGCUAUGGCCAUCAAAAAGACAGCCGAGGAGUGGAGACAUGCAAUUGAAGUGUUAAGACGAUCAGCUUCAGAGUUUCCAGGUUUGGGAAAAGAGGUGUAUCCUCUUUUAAACUUUAGCUAUGAUAGUUUGCUGAAUGAGACGAUUAGAUCUUGUUUCUUAUAUUGUUGUUUAUAUCCUGAAGAUUAUGGCAUUCUUAAAUGGGACUUGAUUGAUUGUUGGAUUUCUGAGGGAUUCUUAGAGGAAUCUAAUAGGUUUGGUUGUUAGAGUGCAAUUUAUGCACUAGUUUUGCAUUAUUUACUUCCCUUAAUAUCAAUGUUUUGCACUUAAUAAUAGUGAUUUACUUGUGUUUUACUUUUGUAGGUGCAAUUCUAUUGAUUGAUGAUAAAAUUGAGCUAUAAGAUGAUGUUUAAGGAUGAUUGUUCUCUUGAAGAAAUUAUGAGCGUCAGAAGAACUUUGUUGAUAAGGCGUGGGCGCGUGCUGUCAACUGCGGACCUGCAGUUUUAGUUUAACGUGUUUUGUAUUUUUGGUUAUUUUUGUAAUUACGAAUUUAAUAUUUCAGAUAUUAGGAUUUUAUUUUAAAUAGAAUUCUAAAAGAGAAGAGAGAGAAAGUAUUUAAGGGAGGAAUCUAUUGUGAAAGGGGGAUUUUGGAUUGGAGAAAAAGAAACCCUAGAUCUAAUUUUUCUCUUCUCUCUAUGAGGAACUAAACCCAUUUUUCUGGUUGAAGGUUAAUGAAGCUUUGAUUCAUCACUACUGUGAGAUCUUUCUUGUGCUUUAAUUGUUUUAUUACUUUUUGGGUAUUUGUUUAUUCUCUGAAUUAUUUUCAUGAUUAUGUUUGUUAAUUAGGUAAUUGGCCACUAUUUAAUUAUCAACUUAAUCUAUUGUCAAUUAAAGGAUUCAUCGUAUGAAGAAUUUAAUGUUUGUGACAAAUAACAUAGCAGAGAGUUGUGUUGUGAGAAUAAACAAUCUAAUUUAAAUGAAUCAUCAUAUGUGUUGAUUAGGAUUUGGGUCUCUCUGGUUUUUCAGGCUGUCAAUUGAUUAAAUUCUAUGAUCGUAUCUAGGGUUGUCUAUUGAUUAGGGAAAUAACCAACGGUCGUACCUUGGUUAUCGACUAGUUAAGGAGAGAUUGGCUAUUAGAGGGUCUCAGUAGCUAUAACCGGUCUAUUCAUGAGUAAUAAUAAUCUAUAUUUGAAUCAAUGAUCAGUAGUCGAAUCAAGCUGAGUUAAUUCCUUCAACCAGAGCUUUCUCCAAUUUGAAUUACAACUUUAAUUUGCAUUCUUGUUAUUUUAAUUUGAUUUUUAUUAUUGUCAACAAUUCCCCUAUUUUACGUUUUACGUUUCAAAAGGAUUUAAUUAAUUACCGAUCUCUGUGGACACGACCCUGCUCAAUCACUAUACACAAUUUAUUUAGAGUAGGAAUUUACUUUUGUUGGCUUCGACACCCAUCAUUGGUGCAGAAAACCGAGGAUACUACAUUGUGGGCACUCUUGUUCAUGUGUGUUUACUAGAAGAGAUAGAAGAUGAUAAAGUAAAAAUGCUUGACGUUGUUCGUGAUAUGGCUCUAUGGAUAGCUUGUGAAACUGAGAAGGAGAAGAUAAACUUUUUGGUUUGUGCAGGUGCUGGAUUAGAAGAGGCACCGGAUGUUAAAGAAUGGGAAAAUGUGAGAAGAUUGUCAUUGAUGCAAAACCAAAUUGAAACUCUGUCAGAGGUUCCCACAUGCCCUCAUUUCGUCACUUUAUUUCUUGACUUUAAUGGGGAGUUGAAGAUGAUCGCGGAUGGCUUCUUCCAACUUAUGCCUUCUCUCAAAGUUUUGAAGAUGUCAAACUGCUGGAAUUUGAAAUUUCUUGUUGGGAUGUCAAAGUUGGGUUCGCUACAGCUUCUUGAUAUUUCACAGAACGCCAUAGAAGAGUUACCAGAAGAGUUGAAGUUGUUGAUAAAUCUGACAUGUUUGAAUUUGAGGGGGACAGGCCAAUUAAAUAAAAUUCCACGGCAACUAAUAUCAAAUUUUUCAAGGUUACGUGGGUUAAGGAAGUUCAUAACGUGUGCAAGCAGUCAACUCAAGGUUAGCACGUGGGAGAAUUUGCUGAGCUAAAGUUAGUUAAAUAAGCAAUGCCAGCUCAACAAAUUCAGUCAAGGUUUACUGAGAUUUUAUUCCUAUUGUUUUCUUUUCUGUUAACAAUGUAUAAAGGUGUUCUUUGUACUCAUUUGAUCAUUAAGAAAAAAAGAAAUAAAAUCUAGAAUAUUCUCUGAAGUUUUCUCAGUAAAACAGAGUAAAUUUUCUCAGUAACUAAACAGUAUAUAUCAGUGGAAUUUACGUUUUAUAACAUGGUAUCAGAGCCAAACAGUAACCAGCAAACAAUGAUGAGAAAUCUAGCAAUCAAUAAUACACAUCAACACACUCAAAUCAAUUUCUCUUUCACGAAUCCAAUUAAACUAGAUCGAUCAAACUACCUGCUCUGGCGUUCACAAGUUCUGGCUUCGAUUAGAGGUAAUCGACUAGAAGACUUCAUAACUAGAAUCAAAUCAACAUCUGAAGAAAAUAUUUUGUUAGCUGGAGUUGAUGGAUCUACACAACAAAUUGAGAAUCCUGAGUAUCAGAUCUGGAGAUCACAAGAUCAAAUUCUUCUUGGUUGGCUACUGUCAACCUUAAGUGAAGGUAUCCUUAGUCUUGUUAUUAACUGUAAAAGCUCAUUUUCUUCAGCUCAGAUAUGAACUGAACACUCUUAAAAAGGAGUCUCUUAGUAUUGAAGAUUAUUGUGUUAAAAUGAAAGCAAUAGCUGAUAAGCUUGCUAGUGCUGGUAGCUCGAUAACAGAAAAGGAUCUAAUGCUAACCAUACUCAAUGGAUUAGGAUCAGGAUAUAGUGAUAUUGCUACUUUCAUAACUGGUUCACGAAUGGAAUUUGAUGAUACUUAUGCAUUAUUGCUCACUCAUGAAACUAGGUUGGAACAAGAUCAUGAUGAUAAGAGUAUGUUCAAUGCUAACUAUGCAUAUACUAAUGCAUUUCAUCCUAAGGUUUAUUAUGCACAGCCUAGAGGAAAUUUUAAGAGAGGAGGUUAUUAUGGUGGUAGGAAUGUUUUCUCUGGUAGAGGGAAUAUGAAUUUUUCUCCAAGAAUGUUUAAUGGAGGUUUUAGAAGUGGUUUUGGUAGAGGAUAUUAUGUUGGUAAUCCUUUUAAUGGUAAUAAUUCUUUAGCACCAAAGAAUUCAUCAUCUGUUAUCAAGAAUGGAUCACAGAGAACUUUUAAUAACAAUCCAGGGGACUCAGUAUGUCAGAUUUGUCUCAAACUUGGUCAUACUGCUGAUAUUUGUUGGCAUAGAUUUGUUGAAGAUUAUGUGCCAAUGCCAAGGGGUUUUUAGAAAAGGAAAAGCACCCAGAGCAGCAUCACUACUAGAAAAAUAGCUUUUACUGAUACUUGUCUUGUGAUACUUUUCUAAAAAGUAUCAGCAAUUACAUAUAUUUGGGCCAUUUUCCGUGUUUAACAAACAAGUGUCACAAAUUACUGAUUCUAUGAUGUUUGUAUAUUAAACAUCAGAGAUCGUCGACACUAAGGUAUCAGAAACAACAAAAAAAAAUAAAAAAUCUAUUUUUGUUUUAGUUGCGACUCGAACCUAGGACCUCAAAACUAAAGUGCUUUAUGUUCAACCAACAAACCACCAUGCCAAAUUCAUAAAUUAGUUUGUGUUGAACAUGUUGAAAUUAUCAAAUUAAAUUAAUAUAGAAAACAAAAAUAUAAAAGCAAAAGAAAAAAACCCUAAAUCAACAUAAACAUAAAAUUCCCUAACUCCUAAAUCCAUGGCCAGCCGCCUCAUCUCUCUGGCGAUAUCCUUCUUCUUCUUCAUACCUCUAAAACUUCGAGCCCUAAAAUUCAAGGGUCCAUGUCAUAAGAAAUCCUACCACCACUGCUCAAAUUCUAACACCCAUACCAUACGAAACCCUAAUGAUCUACAUUAUGCAAAACAUCCACCAUGCCGCUAUGCCACAAGCUCACAAGACCCGCUUUAGAUCUCCACAUUUUGCUCACCCUACUCGAGUGCACACCGCCCCUCUCGCUUCGACUUCUCGGGAUUUCUUGUUAGCUGAAGUUUUGUUUUCUUCCGCUAAUUCGAUCUUCGAAAGGUCUCGGAGCUCCAAGUAACUAAGUAAGCUCGGUUUUCUUCUAUUCUCUCAGAUACUUGCUUACACAUUCCUUUUUUUUUCGUGUUAAAUUUUGUUGUUUCGUUGUGUUAUAUGGAUCGAUGAGAGUCACAGACUUUGACGAGACAAUGACGAUAUUGUUUUGGAGUUUCGUUUCGUAGAUCUGUGAUAGAGUCUCCUUUUUCAGAUAUUUCCUUUCAUUUACCAUAUUUGCACAAUUUGUUUUGUCAUUAAAUUAUUUGCGUUUGAAUGUACAAUUUUUGUUUUCGUUUUAUAUUUUCAAAUACUGUUUCUUGGAGCGAAUUAGUGGAGGAAUUUUUGGUUGAAGCAGAGGAUGGAUAACUUUUGUAUUUUGAACUUUGUAUGUUAUUUAUUAUUUGAACUUGAAGCUAAAAGGUGACCAAAUUUUCCAAAGGUUAGGGUUUGGUUGGCUUAUGUGAAAAUGCCGAACGAAUGUGUAUUAUUCAUACUCCAAUAUUGUAGGUGCGUCAAUGCACCUCCUUGCGAUGGUUGCAGCAACGAAACUGUAGGUCAAGGUUUGGGUACCCCAUUUCCUUCAAAGAUCCAAUAUGGAGCAACUCGAGUCGAGCUUUUUCGGUCAAUUUAAACAAAACCUUUACUCCUAAUUUAUUGUCUUUUGCUUUCUGUUUGUACCUGUAGGAGUUCAUAUUUUGUAAUGUUCCGUAAGUGUCCAAUAACUGGUUAAAUUAUGACUUAUGCUAGGUGAAGAUUUUGUGUUACAAUCCCCUUCAAUAGGCAAUCACUCUUUUUGUAAAUGUUCAUGGGUAAUUGCUUUGCCUUUGCUUCUGUUGUACUUUUGUUUUUGUGGGGUUUUAGUUAAUGGAUGUUGAGUUAUAUUUCAAUCAGUUUGAUUUCUCUGCAUAUUUUUCAUAUUUUAGUAUUAGAAGAGGUAUUUAAUCAAAUGAAGACAAAAACAAUUGUCGGCCAACCAACAAACUCACUUUAGUUUGUUGUGAAAUGAUUUUCUCUCUCUCUCUCGAUUUUCACUGGUUCUGUGGUUUUUUCCCUUCCACAAUGUGAUUUAGUUCUGUUCUAUUUAUGGAUGUUACCAACAUUUUAGCUUUUAAGAAACAGACAAAAAGAUUCUGAAGUUUGUUUCUUGUUUCUUACUCUGAAUUUCCAAGGCAUCUUAUUUGGAGAAAUGCAUUCUGAAUGGAGAAAUUUCUCCAAAUUUAUGAGAUGUGGUUCUGUCUUGCUGAAUGAACAUUGUAUUUCCUUCAAUGGUUUGCGAGCCAUUAAGUUAUUUGAGCAAACAAAAUUAGCAAUAUGGAAUCCUGUUUCUACAGGAUUAUAGUUGUAGGACUCUAGAAUUUAGUCUAGGUAAUGUUUUUACCAUUGUAAAAAGUAUCUGACAUUGGUGAUGUUUAAGCAUAUGUGUCAUUUCUUUUGGGCUUCACUUUGGAUCCUUUUUUUCUUUUUUUACAAACAAUGGAUGGUUAAAACCUAAGAGACUGAUUGAUUUUUGUUUUAAAUCCAGUGGUUAUGCCUUGUAAACUUUUGAGUUGUAUCAAUUUCUUUUCCUGGCCUAACUUGGCUAAAUUUAUGCUAUAUAAUUGAAUUCUACAAAUUUUGGCUAUGUAUGAUGUAAAGGUCAUAAGUCUUGUAUCUUCAUUUGUUCACCACAGGCUUGAUACUUCACAACUACCAUAAGUUAUGUCAUGCCAUGUCUUCUUUAGCAAUAUUGUGUGGCUUUGAGUAGUAUUAAUGUUUUUGUUUGUUAAUUCACGACUUAAUGGAACCAUUUUCCUUAUAAUCGAGAACCUUCGUGCGAGUGUUGUGGAGAAAUCUUAUGAUUCAUGUGUAGGUGUGUUUGCUUAAUGUGAUGACUUUUAUUAUGUGUUGUAGUUCUUGUGUCUAUAAGAGGAACCUUUGCUCCUAUGUCUAUUUAUCUCCGACUUUCAGUUUAGGCGUAAAUAGGUUACUCUUCUUUCUUUCUCAUUUUUUAAUUUCUAUGUUCUCCUAUGUCUAUUUACAUGGACUGCUUUGCUGCUUCUCUGCAGUGAAAACAACCCUGGUAAUUUACAGGAGCUUUUUUCACUUCAGAACAAUAGCAAGACAUCCCCUGCAGAUUUUUUAUUGAUUUUGCAUAGAUUGGUUUGUUGCUUUGGGUUGGAAUGCUACUGGAUAUAUGUCAGAAUUAUAGCGCUAUUGGAAGAUGGUGGGUUGUUGCAUAUGAGUUGGAGUGUUCCUGGGUAUGUAGCUAGAAUUAGAGUGCUGUUGGAAGAUGGUAUUGCUACUGGAAGUUUUGCUCAAAAACUUGUCGUUGGAAUACUUGCAUUAAUUUUUGGAAAUUUUAUUGGGUAACUUGGCUAGGUGGCUGAAAUUUUAAUUGCUUUUGUGUAUUGAAGCAUUUGGAUUGUGUAAUAUAUAUUGAUAAUAUUUAAAUGUUAUGAAAGGUUUUGAUAAAUAAAUUGAUUUUUGUUCUUAUUUCUCACAGCCUUUUAAUUCUAUCAACAAAUCAAUGGGUAAUGUCAUUUUGUAUAAUUAUUUUUUUAAAUAAUACAUAAAGUAGUGAUACUAUAGUAACAGUAUCACAAAUACUAAUAUAGUAUUGUAAUAUUUUGAUACCAUGGUGUUAUGAUUUUAAUGAUACUAUAGUAAUAGUAAUUACUGACACCACUUACAAGUGUCACUAUUUUUCUGACUGCCAGAUUACUGACACAAUUAGCAAGUGUCACUAAAAGUAAUUACUGACACUAUUCUAAUGUCAGUAAAGACCAUUUUUCUAGUAGUGCAUAUCUGUCAAAUUUUGAUGGUUCUGUUUCAAAUCCAAACUUUGAAGAUUAUGAGAACUUCAACUAUAUGCCUUCAGCUUAUAAUCCUAUGUCUGGCAAUAGCUAUUAUUCUGGUUUUGAUGCUUGUACUCCUGGAGUAGCAUUUAUGGCUAACUUUGAAGGAGUUGCUAAUGAUGAAUGGUACUUGGAUAGUGGGGCAACUCACCAUCUGGACAACAACAUGGAGAGCUUGCAGAUCAGUGAGGAGUUUAAGGGUACUGAUUAGCUCAUAAUUGGUAAUGGUCAAGGUUUGUUUAUCACUAAUGUUGAUUUUGCAUUUCUGUCACAAAGAGCAUCAAAUUACUUAUCUGCACAUUCCAGAAUAGCACUUAAGGAUAUAUUACUUGUUCCAUCAAUUACCAAAAAUCUACUAAGCAUUUCCAAAUUGACAUCUGAUAACCCUAUAACUGUUGAAUUUUGUGGGAAUGUUUGUUUUGUGAAGGACAUGAAUAGACAAGUUCUGCUGCAGGGACUUGCCGAAAAAGGUCUAUACAAGCUGCUGCUGAGUUCUAAUUCCUCUUCUUCAUUUCCUUCAUCUCAUCUUUGUCAUACUCAACUAAAUAAUUAUGUCUCAAUGUUGUCUAGCUUUCAAAGCUUUGAUAAUCCUUCUAAAGUUUGUUAUCAUUCUGUUUUCAAUAAAUGCAAAACCAAAUAUGAUGUAAUGACAUUGUUACAUAGAAAAUUUGGUCAUCCAAGUUCAAUGAUUCUGAUGCAUUUAGCUAAGUCUUGCAAGCAAUUAAAAAUCUCUCAAAAAGAUAUUCUAUCUUGUACAAAUUCUUUGUGUGAGGCAUGUCAGUUAGGCAAAGUUCACAGGCAAAGUUUUCCAGCAACUGAAACAAAAACAAAAGGAGUAUUAGAACUGAUUCAUACUGAUAUCUAGGGACCUUCACCCACUGUAUCUAGAAAUGGAUACAAGUAUUACAUUAGUUUUGUGGAUGAUUACACUAGAUACACCUGGAUCUAUCCACUUAAGCUUAAAUCACAAGCAUUUGAAGUUUUCAAACUGUUCAAGGCACAAGUUGAAAAUUAGUUUAAUACCAAGAUUAAGGAAUUACAAUCUGAUCUGGGGGAGAGAGUUUAGAGUAUUCAGUAAUUUCCUAAGUCAAAAUGGAAUCAAGUUUAGACAUUCAUGCCCUUAUACUCAUCACCAGAAUGGUCUUGUUGAGAAGAAACAAAGACACAUAAUUGAAUUAGCAUUAACACUCUUAGCUCAAGCUAAUCUCCCUUUUCAGUUUUGGUGGAAAGCUGUUCACACAGCAACAUAUCAUAUUAAUAGGUUACCAACACCUGUUCUUAAGCUUUUAUCUCCUUAUGAAAAGCUCUUUAAACACAAACCAGAUUAUUCAUUUCAUAAGUGCUUUGGUUGCCUAUGUUAUCCAUAUAUGAGAGAUUUAAAUAAACACAAAUUUGAUUUUCACACCACCAAAUGCAUCUUCAUUGGCUAUAGUCAUUCUUACAAGGGUUAUAAGUGUUUAACAAGCUCAGGAAAAAUUCAUAUCCUAAGGCAUGUUAUCUUUGAUGAAAAUACAUUCCCUUACUUAACAAACAAAGUCUUUCAUUUAUCCGAGAACAGUUCAAAUUCUGAAAUAUCAGUGUCAAACUUUUCCCAGUAACAAAUUUAUCAUCUCUCCACAUUAUCCUUAACUGACAGCAGCUUGGAAGAUCUUCAAUCAGCAAGUUCAGAAAGCAAUGAACAAGUACCUUCUGUUUCUGCACACACAAAUAAUCUGCAUCAACAAGAGCAUUCUCAAGAGCAUUCCUCAUCAACUAUACCAUUAUCACCAACACAACAACAAACUGAAUCACAACCACAAAAUGAACCACAUCUAUCUACUUCCUAGCACAUAAAUCAAACUCAAACUAGAAACCUUCCUUCACAACCAUCACAUUCAAUGGUAACCAGAUCGAAAAUAUGGAAUCUUCAAGCCAAAAGUUUACAUAACCACCUUAACCAACAAAGAACCCAGUACUGUUCAAGAAGCUCUAAGUGAUCAGAAUUGGCAUCAAGCUCUGAAAGAUGAAUAUGAAGCUUUGCUUAGGAAUGAAACAUGGUCACUAGUACCAUUUUCAGAGGUAUACAAGGUUGUUGACAGUAAAGGGGUUUUCAGAAUUAAACAAAACACAGAUGAGAGUGUAGCUAAAUACAAAGCCAGGUUAGUUGCAAAGGGUUUCCAGCAAACUAAUGGUGUUGACUACUUUGAGACCUUUAGUCUUGUGGUAAAGGCCUGCACAGUAAGAAUUAUUUUUAGUUUGGCUGUGAUGAACAAGUGGAAAAUAAGGCAAGUGGAUGUCAAUAAUGCAUUCUUAAAUGGAGAAUUGACUGAAGAUGUUUACAUGUAUAAGCCAGAAGGUUUCAUUGAUGAGAAAAAGUCCAGUUAUGUAUGCAAGUUGAAGAAAGCCCUGUAUGGCUUAAAACAAGCUCCUAGAGCUUGGUAUGAUAAGUUGAAAAACCGUCUGAUAAGUUGAAAAACUGUUUGAUAAGUAAUUGGGGUUUUCAAAAUUCCAGAGCUGAUACUUCUCUCUUCUUCAAAGAGAUUCAAGGCUCAAUAAUACUUGUGCUUAUAUAUGUGAAUGAUAUACUUAUUACAGGGCCUGACAUUGGAGAAUUAGAGAAGUUUAUCUUAGAAUUCAGUAAGACAUUUGCUUUAAAGGAUCUAGGAAUACUAUCAUACUUUCUUGGGAUAGAAGUCUCUUAUGCUGAUGGUUGUAUGUACUUAUCUCAGAGAAAGUAUAUUAAUGAUCUCUUGUCUAAAGCUGAUAUGUUGAACUGUAAAGGGUGUGAUACUCCCAUAGCGAUUGGACUGAAACUUCAAAAGGAGGUUAAAGGUUGUUUAGGUCAGUAUGUUGAGGAUGCAACCAGUUACAGAAGUUUGGUUGGAGGCUUGCAAUAUCUGGUGUUAACCAGACCAGAGAUAGCCUUUGCUGUGCACAAACUCAGUCAAUAUGUGACAGCUCCAACAUUGCAGCACAUAAUGGCCUGUAAACGAGUUCUAAGAUACCUAAAGGAAACCAUGGAUUAUGGUCUAAAGUUUUCAGCUGGUGGAGAAAUGGAAAUCACAGGUUUUAUAAAUGCAGAUUGGGCAUGCGAUAUUGAUGACAGAAAAUCUAUAGGUGCAUACUGUAUCUAUUUUGGAAAUAAUCUGGUGUCAUGGUCAUCUAAGAAGUAGUCUGUGGUGAUAAGGUCUAGUGCAGAAAGCGAAUACAGAGCUUUGGCUUCUGCAAGUGUAGAAAUAGCAUGGAUUCAAUCUUUGUUCAGUGAGCUAAAUAUAAGAUGUGUCUCAGUACUUAUCAUCUGGUGUGACAACAUGAGUGCAACAAAGUUAAGAUAAAAAUCUAGUCUACCAUUCACGUACCAAACACAUUGAACUGGAUAUGCAUUUUGUUAGAGAUAAGGUUUUAGCAGAGGAGCUGAAAAUUAACUUCAUUCAAAGUGAAGAACAGAUAGCCGAUGUCCUAACAAAACCUCUCACAUUCAUUCAUUUUAAUUAUUUCAUAAACAAACUCAAUGUGCAGCCAUGCCCCUUGAGUUUGAGGAGGGCUGUUAAGGAAGCUCAUAACGUGUACAAGCAGUCAGCUCAAGGUUAGCACGUGGGAGAAUUUGCUGAGCUAAAGUUAGUUAAGUAAGCGAUGUCAGCUCAGCAAAUUCAGUCAAGGUUUACUGAGAUUUUAUUCAUAUUGUUUUCUUUUCUAUUAACAAUGUAUAAAGGCAUGCUUUGUACUCAUUUGAUCAAUAAGAAAAGAAGAAAUAAAAUCCAGAAUAUUCUCUGAAGUUUUCUCAGUAAAACAGAGUAAAUUUUCUUAGUAACCAAACAGUACAGAUCAGUGGAAUUUACGUUUUAUAACAACGUGUGUUGAGAAUGUUGGGUAUUGGCCAAUUCAAUUUUCAUGAAGCACCAGAAGACAACGCUUUAUUUGGUGGGGGUGAAGUUUUGAUACAGGUAUUGCUCGGUUUGAAAUAUUUAGAGGUAUUGGAGUUGACCUUGGGAAGUUAUCAUGCUCUCCAAAUUCUUUUGAGCUCAAAUCAGUCAAAAAGUUGUAUUCGAUCUCUUCUCCUCCACAAGUUUAGAGGUACAACGCCGAUUAUUGAUGCUACGGCUUUCGCAGAGCUAAACCACCUCAACGAAUUAUUUAUUAAUAAUAGUAUUGAGUUGAUAGAAUUGAAGAUUGAUUAUACAGAGAUAGUACAAAAAAGGCAGGAACCUUUUGUUUUCCGCAGCCUUCACCGUGUUACCAUAUUUAGGGCCCGUUUGGGAGUGAGGUGCUGUAGCUUUUAAGCUGCAGUUGCUGUGGAGUAAAAGCUAUAGAUGUGGAAUGGAAGUUGAUGGUGUUUGGUAAAAGUGUUGUAGCUUUUAAGCUGCAACUACUGAUGGUGUUUGGUAGAGUGGAUGAAUAUUUGUAAUAAUUAAUUUUAAAUAACAUUAUUUUUAAUUGUUAACAAAUCAAUUAUUUUUCAUUCUUCAAAUUAUUAUAUUGACAUACAAUUACGAUUUAUUCCGUUACAAAUUAAAUUAAUAUUUAAUAAAUCAAAUUUAUUUUUUUGCACAAGUUGUAAUAAAUAAUUUAUAAAACACAUCAUGGGGUCAAUUAUAAAUAAUUUUAAAUAACUAUUAUUGACAAUGCCAACCGGGCAGUGUACAUGAUAUGCUUCUCCAAAUUGCUUCGGUUUGUACCUGAUAUGAUUAAUCGAGUAUUAUUUACAAUACCAAAUAUAUCUAAUAAAAAUCAUACAACAAAACAAAAUAAAAUUAAAAUGUAAUUAAUUACAAAAUUUGUAUAAAUAUUUCUAUUGUUGUGCCUCCAUUAAACUUGCAGCAAUGCCAUCUUUCAAGAUUAUUAUAUCUUGAGUUGUGCUAUCAAUUGUUUCAUAACUUUCUUCAUGAGAUGCAAUAUGUUCGCUAAUACUAUGACUUGGUUCAUCCGUCAUUUCAUCAAAAUGAUCAUUAUUUUGUGAAUAUCUUCUGAUAUAAUUAUGCAAGGCCAUGGUAGCAAUAACUAUUUUCACCUGCUUCUUGAAUGGAUAGCUUGGCAUACUUCGUAAAAUCUUCCAUGUAUUCUUCCAAACCCCAAAAGUACGCUCAAUAACACUUCUCAAGGAAGAGUGCUUGUAGUUGAACAAUUCUUUAUAACCCAUUGGUUGGCUACCUCUACGAAAUUCAGGAAGGUGAUAUCUUUCACCCUUAUAUGGUCCUAAGUACCCACAUAACUCCGGAUAUCCUGCAUCUACUAAAUAAUAUUUUCCUAAAAAUAAAAAGAAAAAUACAAAAUAAAUAAAACAAUCUAAUCAAUUGAAUAUGUAUAUAUAAAAGAAAAAUUAGAAACACAAACCUGGAGGAGGGUUUGGAAAAUUGAAUGCAGGAUUCGUAAUAGUUGUUUGAAAUACCCUUGCAUCAUGGGCACUGCCUUCCCAACCAGCCACUGCAAAUAUGAAUUGCAUAUCAAAGCUACAUACAGCCAUUACAAAUUCUUUUCCCACCAUUCCUCACUUGCAUCAACUGUCCUCAACCUAUGAUUCCACCCUAAACCAGUUUCUUUGCCAAUCAAAUUCUUCCACAAUUUCCAAUCAGUUCUAAGAGAAUCCCAUUUAUUUUUCAUUUGAGUUCUGUUGUAAUCUAAUCCAGUUUCUUUAGUGAACUCCUUAAUCAAAUUUUCAUAUCCUUGGGAAGUCAAAUGAGUCCCUGGACGAUGUCCGGCAUCCACCUCUUUAACGCAUAAGUCACAAAAUACAUCUAAAGUCUGGGGGUUCCAAGUAGCCUUACUAGUUGAGCUAUUAGACACAAUUUCAUACACUUAAACCUAGGAAAAAAAAUAUUUCUUUAUCAAACAACAAUACAGAAAAAAUAAGAAUAUAGAAGUUAAGAAAAUUACUAGAAUCUUGUUAUGGAUGGUGGAAGGAAAAAUAAUUCGAUAUUAAAAAAUUAAAAAAAAAGACAAACCAGAACAAGUUACCUUAGUUGUUACUUUACUUGAAAUACUUUUCCAGCAAACAAUAAUGAUCAUAGCCCACGAAUAGAAACAAUUACAAGCAAGUCAAUAAAGCAACAAAAGACAAACCAGACUAGGAAACAAAGAAAUUCAACUAAACAAUCAUUAGGUACAAACUGCAAUUGCAUUUAGCCUCACAAUCUCAAAUUUGCUACGUGCUUUGAUAUUUCCUGUACUAUUCUUUUGGCCCAUCCUAAGACAUAUACAAUUGCAAUUGCAACACUUUCUCCCUUCUUUUUUCUGUAAUUCGUAUGGCGACUUACGUAUAUAUAACCUAAUUAAUUGAAUUAAAUUGAUGAUGGGUUAGAAAAUCAUUAGGCUUAUUAAUUAUACGCGUCAAAAGAAUGGUCGGCCAAUAAUUAGGUGUCCUGCUUAUACUCCUGUAAUUUAGUCAUUCUCUAGUAAAUAUUAUUAAAUAAAAAGAAACACAAACAAUUAAGCUUAUUGGUAACUGAACUGGUGCCCAAAAAUAACAAGAGCAGGAGAAAGCAAACACACCCAAGAAUUUGACAAACUUCAACUUGAAAUCCAGAAUUUGACAAACUUCCUUUUGUUUACUGAAGCAUAGUAUUUCAUAACGAAGGCAUGCAUUUUAUUAUUUAAUGUCUUGUAGAACUGGAAACUCAAAUCAAACAGGGGUUGUGCAUGUUUAUAAAAAGCAACUACAAAAAUAAAAACUACAAUAAAAACAAUGGUUACAAGCAAAUAAAUCACGCAUGACCCAUCACCCAUCAAUUUAUUCUAACAAAAGCCCCAACAUUUUAUGAAUGAAAAGGAAGAAAAUGAAAAAUUGCUUGAAAUAGAGUAAAGGAGUACUCAAAAAUGAACAACAGAUAGAGGAAAAGGCACCACUGACAGAGGCGUAUGAGAGUGGCCGGUGUCGGAAUCGCGCCGAUGAGAAUUUCGGUGUCAGAAUCGCAUCAAUUGGAACUCCCACAGUCGGAAUCGUGCUGAUGAGAAUGGGUGUUUAGGGUUUGUUUAAAAAAAUCGAUUUGAAAUAGAACUCCCACUGACAUGACUGUUUGAUAAAAUGAAAAUGGAAUAAUAUAUAAAGUUAAUUUAGUAAUUAAACUUGCAGCUGGGAAAAAAAAUCUGUCAAGUUGUCAAAACACAACUAUAAGUGGUACCAAACACUUUGGUGGCUGGGCUGCUCACCACACUCCCAAACGGGACCUUAGUUGCGGUAAAUUGAAAGAUGUGACAUUCCUCGUUUUUGCUCCAAACCUCAAGUCUCUUUGGCUAUUCGAUUGCGGUGCUAUGGAAGAAAUAAUCAGCGUCGGAAAAUUUGCUGAGACUCCUGAGAUGAUGGGACAUAUAAUCCCUUUUGAAAAUCUCCAAAUGCUUAAUUUAAUGGAAUUGCCGGAGUUGAAGAGAAUUUUCUGGAAGCCAUUGCCUUUCACUCAUCUGAAAGAAAUAUCUGUGGGUUAUUGCCGUAAUCUUAAAAAGCUUCCACUCGAUUCCAACAGUGCAAAAGAGCGUAAAUUUGUAAUUCGUGGAGAAGAAGACUGGUGGAACCGACUUCAAUGGGAGGAUGAAGCCACUCAAAUUGCUUUUCGUUCCUGUUUCCAACCUCGUUCCUGAGCGGUGGUCGCAAAAUUUGAUUUCUGGUGAGUGCGUUUUUGUUAACGCUUAUGUUUUUAUUCCAGUGUGUUUUUCUUCUGUCUUCUGCAAAUCACGAUUAAAUGUUGAAUAAUAUGGAAUCAAUGCUUUAUAAAUUUUCCGGCGUGGCCAUUUCCUUUUCCCUUUUUUUUUUUGGGGGGGGGGGGGGGGCGUGGUUCGAUUGAUGCUCUGGCUUUUUACUUUUUGUCUUCGAAUUUUGCUCUGUUUUUCAAAUUGAUGCUUGAAUAGUUGAAUUCAAUUAAUGCUCACAUAAAUUUGUUUAGUUGCCGUAAAACGGUAAAAGGAUAUAAUUAGAUUGAAAUUCGCACUUCUAGAAUGAAUAGAAUUACAAUAGAGAAAAUAUUAAGUAUACAAGCCCUCUUUACAGAAAAUCAAAUGAAAAUAAAAUUUUUUGGAUAUUUGAUUUUCUAUGGUCUACUGUAUACGCUUUAUAAAUUCCUCUGCUUUAACGAUAACCAAAUCCUUUUUUCAAGGAUUUUUAUUUGGGGUAUUGAUAAUAGUCCACCAACAUAGUGAACGCUUGGAUGCUGCUUAAGGAUCUCUAAUCAGUAGCUGGAAGCAAAUGAGAAGGCGGUCGCUACUUUGUACAAAGCCAUGCAGCAAUUGCUAUUCAUUUUCAAACAAAGUUGAGAUGUUAUUUUCAGAUUUGGUUCCAGAUUUUGUAUGAAUAUCGUUGUUCCAUUGAGUUGUAUAUGAAUUCAAAUGUAAAAUAUUCUUUGGUUUUCAAUUUUGAAUUCAAUUUCUUUUUCUUAAGCAUGUUGUGCAGAAAUGAUUUCUACUAAAUCAUUUUUGAUAAACUAUUUAAAUUAAACAACUGGAAUAAGAACUGUAAGGAUUUAUCGUAAGCAGACUAAUAUGAUAAUUCUGAAACUAUCAUUUUUUUUUUUUCAAUUUGUUGCAGGGAAAGCCAAAUUUUGCGUUUUUCAGUUUUAUCUGAUAUGGGCUUUAUUUCCUCUACACUAGCUACCUAAAGAUUUAUCAAAUUGCUUCUCUUCCCUGCUUCAAAUAUCUUCAUGGCAUCAUAGGAAAAGAGAGUUUGGGUUGUAUUUAUUAUAGUUUUUAUUUUUUUUUUUGUUAUAAGCAAAUUUAUUUUAAAUACUUUAGUAGUAACAGUUUUUAUUGAAUAAUAAUGAGGGAUGAUUAUUAUAGGUUCAAAUAGUUGUUAGAACAUUAUAAAAAGUCUAUUUACUAUCAAAUGUUUUAAAUUGAUGCAACGUGAUAAUUGUCUCAUAUAAUUUUUUUAUAAUAUAUAUGUCCCAUAAUCUUAACAUGAAUAAAUGAAUUUCAACGGUUAAAUUUGACACGAUUAUUAAAUAGAUCAUAUCUAUAUUAAUUCGAUUUAAAAUCUGGUCACAUUUGGAUUUAGAGUUUCUAACAUGAUAACUUGUUUUAUGACAUGAUUUACUAAUCAAUUAAUAGUAAAUCAAAUGUCAGUCAAUUAAAUAUGUGGUACAUUUGUCAUAUUUUAAAAAUUAUUUAUUUAUAUUUGAAAUGAAUUUGGUGCNNNNNNNNNNNNNNNNNNNNNNNNNNNNNNNNNNNNNNNNNNNNNNNNNNNNNNNNNNNNNNNNNNNNNNNNNNNNNNNNNNNNNNNNNNNNNNNNNNNNAUAAGACGACGCGACACAAAUACAACCAACAAGUCAACCCAAAUUGCCACCUUUUACUAUCUUCUUUGUGUUAUUUCUCUAAAAAUUUGUGCCUUCUCUUACACUUUUAAAUCUGAAGUGUUUGAACUGGAGUACACAAAUUAUCUCUCUACAAUUCCAAAACAACCAAUUUGUUACUUGGUAAAUCUUAAUCAAUGGCAGGAAGCAAUUGAGAAGGCGGUCGCUACUGUGUACAAAGCCAUGCAGUAUUUGCUAUUCAUCUUAAUAAUUGUUAAGCUUUGGUAAAAUUUUCAAACAUAGUUGACAUCAUGUUGUUUUGAGAUUUGGUUCAUGAUUUUGUAUGAAUAUCGUUGUUCCGUUUGAGUUGGAUGUGAAUUGAAACCUAAAUAUUCUUUAUUUUUCAAUUUUGAAUUCAAUUUCUUUUUCUCAAGCAUGUUAUGCAGAAAUGAUUUUUACGAAAUCAUUUUUGAUGAAUUAUUUAAAUUAAACAAUUGGAAUAAGAAUUGUAACGAUUUAUCAUAAGCAUGCUAAUAUGAUAAGUUGUUUUACGAACGAUUAAUUAAUCAAUUAAUAUUAGAUUAUAUAUUAGUCAAUUAGAUAUGUGUUACAUUUGUCAUAUUCUAAAAACUAUUUAUUUAUAUUUCAAAUAAAUUUGACCAGAGGUUACGUAGGUAAUACUACAUAAUUUCUAAAGGAAUGUAAAAAUUUAAAGUUUUAUUAAAUAGGUGACUCAAUAAUAAAUGGAUUUCUGCAAGAAUUGAGAUUCUUGAGAUAAUUAUUACAUAGGGAAUUUUGGUUAGUUCAAUUUUGACAUGGUAAGAAGACGACACGGCGCAGAAAACCCAAAUUGCCACUUCUACUAGUAAUAAAAGAUACCUGUUUGAAAAGUAAUUAUAAACUAUCUUCUUUGUGUUAUUUCUCAAAACUUUUGUGGCACAAUGUUAUUUCCCUGGAGAAAAGUACGAAAUACCCCCUUUCACGUCGGCAGAAGCAAAGCAAAGCUAUGAGCUAUCUCUGUAUACUUGAAACGCCAUUGCUAAACGAUUCUCGAUGAUGGGUGCCACUGGGUCAGUGUUGUCUCUGAUUUACAUGAUUUAUUAGUUGUCCAGAUGCCAGAGAAACCAUGGUGGCAUUGAAGUUGCCCAGAUGGUUAGUUUUCUGAUCAUUUUUUUAUUCAAUUAUUUAUUUUUUUAGAAAAAUGUGAGAAAUAUGUAGAAAUGUUGACAGCUAUGAUUUUGAAACUUUGCCUAAAAUUGUUAUCAUCACUUAUUUAAAGAGAAAUCCUAGAAACAUGAAAUGAUUAGUAGCCUAAUUCAAAAUUAGACGUGAUUACAACAAGAGAAAAGUGGAGAGAACUUGAUAAUCGAGUGCAUUUAGAAUUUAAUUUUUCUUUUAGCUGCCGAUCAUUAAAUUUUCGAUUUCAGAAAAUUAUACCUAGAAUAUUUCAAGGAUAUACUAUGAAGAUUAUGAAGGUUUGAUUACAUGUCACUAUCAAUUGCCCCAAUCAUUUGUAGUAAAUUAAUUGAUCAUUUUGAUGCAAAUGAUUCCCUACUAAAAAAUUUAAGUCAAGGCUGAAUUGCAUAGUAGUUAGUCGCGCUUGCACUUCAAAUUAAGUAUUGUAUUUUCUGCCUGGUUUGGUUGAUUAAAGUGUGUGCAUUUGCUUUUGAACGUUGUAGUAUAGAAAUCGAAACAUUUGUUUUUCGCUAAGCCCAGAAGCAAAGUUCUUUGUACUGUACUCAUCACUUCUCUUCAUUCUCUUUGUUGAAAUUUUUUCCAAACAGCGGUUUCUUCGAAUUUGUGCCUUCUCUUCCACUUUUAAAUCUAUCAAAGAACCGUUACCUGAGAAGAUUGCCAUCAGGAAUUUCUAAAUUGAUUUCACUAUAAUACCUUAAUCUUUCAGAUACUCCCGUCACUGGGUUGCCAAAAGUGCUAAAAGCCUUCGUAAAUCCUACGUGUUUGAACUGGAGUACAAAUGUUAUCUCUCCACAAUUCCAAAACAACUGAUUUGUUACUUUUCAAUGCUACACGUUCUGCGAAUGUUCAGUUGUGGUUAUCUUGCUGAAAUACCAGAAAAUAGGGUUCUAGUUGGCGGUAGUGGAUUCUUGGUUGGGGAAUUGCUUAGUUUAAAACAUUUAGAUGUAUUAAGCAUCACCUUAAAAGGUUUUUCUUCUGUCCAAAAACUUAUGAGCUCCCAACAGUUUCAAAGCUGUACAAAAUGUUUGGAGCUUAUAGACUGUGAUGAUUCAAAGUCGUUUGCCUUGGCAGAGUUGAAGCAUCUUGAAAAACUAGGUUUUUCAAAUUGUGGAAAUUUGGAAGAUAAAUUACAUUUAUAAACUGUGGAUCGCCCUUUAUAAGUAUUAGGCUUAUCCCAUACUCGAGCAAUGUGGAAUACCUUUAUAAGCAUUAAGCCUCUCCCAUACAAUUUCUGUACAUGACUUUAAAAGUGGUUGAUGACCCGUUUUGUAAUAUCAUAGAGGGAUCAUGAAUUCCUUUUCUUUUCUGUGGCUAGGCAACACUUUUGGGCCAAAGUAAGGAAAUCUAUUUUAGGUAAUGUAAAAACCAGUUGUGGGAUGUAAUAGUUUAUUAUGCACUGACAACAACUUUUUGUAUAAUUGUCAGUUUAAUGAAUACGAGAGGAACUCUGUUGGCAAAUUCAUCCAUGAUAGAUGCUAAAAUUAUACCAGUUGCCUUAACUAAUUUUUCUCAACACUGGUAUUGAACAGGAAAAUGAAUAUGCAAUUUGUAUUUGUGCCAUUGUGGAGAAUUUGGAUAUUCUUAGUUUUAGUAACAAGGAGAGUAUUUGCCUCAUCUUUAAACAAUGAAUCUUUGAGAAAUGAGGACUGGGUGAUUGGCAGUGUCAGAGUGUCUUCAUGUAAAUGUUCAUUUAUUUGUAUUUUGAACUAUUAUUAGAAUCUUUAUAUGCCAAAUUAGUAAUACAAAUGUUCAGAUGAUUUUUCCUGGUGAUCAUUUCAUUCUUGAGAGCCAUGUACAAUACUAGGAUACCAGAGAAACCAAGGUAGCAUUGAAGUUGCCCCAGUGGCUAGUUUUCCGAUCAUUUUUUAUUCAAAUUUUUAUGUUUCAGAAAAAUGUAAGAAAUUUAUAGAAAUGUUGAUAGCUAUGAUUUUGAAACUUUGCCUAAAAUUGUUAUCAUCACUUAUUGUUUCUUAUUUAAAGAGAAAUCCUAGAAACGUGACAUGAUUAUUCCAUACUUGUUUUAAUAUUAUUUAUUAGCAGCCUAAUUCAAAAUUAGACGUGAUUAUUUGUUACUUUUAAUGCUACAUGUUCUGGGAAUAUUCAGUUGUGGUUAUCUUGUUGAAAUACCAGAAAAUAGCGUUCUAUUUGGUGGUAGUGGAUUCUUGGUUGGUUUGAAUGUAUUAAGCAUCACCUUAAAAGGUUUUUCUGCUGUCCAAAAACUUACGAGCCCCCAAAAGUUUCAAAGCUGUGCACAACCUUUGGAGCUUAUAGACUGUAGUGAUUCAAAGUUGUUUGCCUUCGCAGAGUUGAAGCAUCUUGAAAAACUAGGUUUUUCAAAUUGUGGAAAUUGGAAGAGUUUAAGUUCUGCUGUGUUGAGGAUGGAAAGGCUCGAGAAUGUUUUCGUGUGAACAGCUUCAACGAGUUAAGAUAAAGGCUUGUCAUAAAUUGAGGGAAGUGACAUGGCUUGUAUUUGCUCCGUAUCUUGAGGUUAUUCAAAUAGCCAAAUGUAUGGGGAUAGAAGUAAUAAUCAGUGCAAGGAAAUUGGGUGAAGUUCCAGAGAUGAUGGCAGAUCUAAACCCUUUUGCAAAACUCCAAUAUCUUGGCCCACGAGUUCUACCAAAAUUAAAAAGCAUCUAUUGGAAUCAGUUGCCCUCUCUACAUGUCAGGCGAAUUUUGUGUCUGAAUGCCCAAUUCUCAAGAAGCUUCCACUUGGUUUUAACAAUGCAAAGGAAUCUAAAACUAUCAUUAGGGGAGAAGAACACUGGUUGAAUGAGCUGCAAUGGGAGGACAAAGUGACCCUUAAUGUUCUUCUUCCUUGUUUCGGAUCCAUUUGAAGGCAUCAACAUGGAUUGAUACUUUGCAGUGGAGAAAUUUGAAUAAAACCUAUGGUAAGCGCUUUUCCAUUUAUUGCAUAUUUAUAUCUAACUUUUGUUUUCCUUUGUGGUUAAAUUUUGCUCUAUAUACGUUGUUGUACGGUGACAUUCUCAUAUCAAUUAUUAGCUUUUUAAUUCUCUUCUCACAUUAACUGCCCUUUUGAUCAUGUAGGAUAUGCUGAUGUCAAAGAGUCGUAAUUUGGGAUGCAAAUGUAAGAAUUAGACAGAUGACCAGUUGUUUUGAAGCGCUCGAAGAAGGAUUAAUUACGUCAUUGAAAGGCUCCAAUUUUGUGACUUUUUUUUUUAAUUUGUUGUUUUUUCUAUUUUUAGAUAGCUUGAUUGUCAGUUGUCGUGAUGUAAUGCUUUAGUGUAGAAAAAUGAUAUUCGGCCAAGACAACAUUAGCAGGGCACCUUGUGCAUGCAUACUAGUGGAUAAUUUCGGCAUGCUAAAUCCAAUUAGGGUGGAUGACCCUUUAUAAGCAUUAGGCUUCUCUCAUACCCGAAAACAAUGUAGAAUACGCUUAUAAGCUGCGGAUCACCCAUUAUAAGUUUUAGGCUUCUCCUUUACUCGAGCGAUGUGGAAUACCUUUAUAAGCAUUAAGCUUCUCCCAGUAUCUUUAUGUUAAAAAUAAUAAUAAUAAAAGAAAUCCAUUUUAAAAUAGACUCUUUUUUCUUUUUCUAUAUAAACAAAUGCAUUCUUCAAAUCAAUUGUGGGCAGAAGAAGUUAGUAGAAAAGAACUAGUCCCCUUUCAUUCCCCCUUAAAGCUCACCAAAGCCUCUUUUGUAAGCUUUUCGGAUUUUCUUUCUAUAUUGCUUAUGAUCUCAUUUUUGAUUGAAUCACUUCUUUUGCAUGCUGCAUAUUUUGUUUGUUGUAUUUGGAUAUUAUCGUAUCUGGAAUGCUGUUAUGAUUGAUGGAACAAGUAAUCGAUAUUUGGUCUGAUGGAAGUUGACUUAUUUAUUUAUUGUUAUUUUAAUUUGAAACUAUGUACAAUUGCAUUUCAUUCAUUUCUCUCUCUCCCCCCCCCCCCCCCCCACACACACACACAUAUAUUUGUUAUGUAUAAUUGCGUUUCAUUUGAUAUUGAUCAUGCUGUAGAUAACCAUGUGAUUGUAGAUGGGGAUUUCAAGUUUGUUGAAUAUUCAAGUAAGUGAAGUAACUGUCAAAAUACUAGUGAAAUUGGGAGCUUUAUUCAUGAGCUUGUGGUUUUGAAAAGUACCACAGUUCAACCGAUGAAGGUUCCUUUUUGGGGUUCUUCUUUUUCUAGGCUGCAAUUAGGAUAUGUACAUGUUAGACAAUCUUUUGCGGGUUUAGCAUAUCUUCUCUGAUUUUGUCUUUUAUUCCCCAAUCUUAUAAUUGCACACCAUGAAUGUUGAGUGAUUGUAUAGAAAAUUUGUGUUAUAACCAAAGCGUUGUGAAGGAGUUAAGUUAGUGGCUUCUGUUUUAUUGGCAUUGAUUGGGUAGAUUAUGUGUUACAGUGAUUCAAUUUGUGCUCCAAAGUUUGCUUUAAUUUCUUUUUUCCCUAAUUAUUUAUGUCAAAUUUAAAUCCAGAAGCAUGUACUGAUUUUUUCUUUUUGUAUUAAUCUGUGAAGGUUAUUUGGAAUGGAAGUAUCUGGGUUGGGUCUAACGGAUUAAAUUAUGACAUUGGGGGGAAGGCAGUAAAGGGUUUGCUCGACACAUUUGGUUCUGUGUUUACUUUGCAAGAAAUAGCUUUUGGUUAUCACAAUGCCGGUGGAAUCCCGAUUUGGCUCGUGAAUUUCUUUGUGACAAAUAGGCAAACACAUCAACCUCUUCUAUCCAUCCUUCUACUGGUAAGGCAAGGGGUAAAGAGUCUUCAAAAUCAUCAAAUAGUAACAUCUCUGAGAAUUCAUUUUAUGCAAAUGGAAAAUCUAGACCUUCUAAGACAAAAUGGCGUCCUGUAUCAGGAGGUACCGUUUCAAGUUUUCUUGGUAAAAAUUAUGUUAAACCUGCACAGCCAGCUAAUGGCACAUUUCUAGCAUCAAAGCCAUUGAAGUUGGAUCCAAAGGGGUUUCCCAUGUCUCCACUUUUGCGGAGAAGAUACUAAACUGAAACAAUCAAAGGAUGACCAUUUGCAGAAGGAUAUGGAAGAUUUUCUGUUUAAAUUGCUAGGAGAAGUGUUCCUAUUGUCCUUUUCAAUGUUCUUUCUUUCUUUCUCUUCUUUUCUUCUUCUUCUUCUUUUUUCUUUUUGUGUGCGUGUGAUCACUAAUUUGGUAUUGUAGUUUAGUUGCAGAUAGUUGUGGAUAUGAUAUGCAAAAGGUAAGGACUAUAUCUUCCUGAUGGAGGCCUCUGCUUUUUCCUUUAUGUGUAAUUUAAUAAAUUGCAUCUUCCUUUGUGAUUGUUAUAUCAUAUCAAAGACAAGUCUUAAAUACUGCUGUCAUAUGUUAAGGUUCAACUUGCAGUUUGAUUAACAUUCAUGGCUCAAAGGCCUGAAAAAACUUGCCAGUAAUUGUAAAAUGACAUUCUUUGCUUUUAAUGCAAUAGAGGGAACAGGGAAGUAUAGCUUUGGAAGCCUGGAUUGGUAACUAUAGAGAGACUUAGUAUUUAAUUGAUAAAAAUUCCCAUAACCCAAGGUCAAGAAAAUUUUAGAUCGUUAAAGACUUCAUUUUGUUUCGGCCAGAAAUGUUUGUUUCGAUCGAAGACUUGAACCAUUUCGAUUGAACCUGAUUAUGAUGCUUUACGUUAUGCAUGUUCCUCUUAAUCAAGAAAAGUUGAGGUGAUGAUUUUAUAUUUCUAUAUUGUAAGUUGAAAUAAUAAUUGGUCUGCUUGUUUCUGUAGCUUGAUAACAUGAAUUUUCCUUCUCAAGUUAAUUUAAUCAAUAAAGUAAUUCUUCAAAGAAAAUAUGCCCAUUCUAUAAUCAUUUUCUUAAUUAACAUGUUUUUUUCUUCACACUUCAGAGCAUGUUGAAACUAAUUGAUCGCUCGGCAGAGACUUUGGGUGAGAAGACAAAAUUUCUCGGUAAAUCCUCUGAAAAGGUAUGCAUAAUUCCGCAGUAUUAAAUAACCAAUGGUCAUAAUUUUUGUACAGGACUCUUUUCUUGUGGAGAUAAUUAAAAGUGGCUGAUGAUCCAGUUUGUAUAUCAUAGAGGGAGCAUCAAUUCCUUUUGUUUUCAGUGGCUAGGCAACACUUUCAGGGCAAAGUAAGGAAAUCUAUUUUAGGCAAGUAAAGCCAUGUAGAUGUAAUAGUUAACAUGCACUGACAAUAACUUUGUAUAAUGUCAGUGAACGAUACAAGAGGAAUCUGUUGACAAUCAUCCAAGAUAGAUGCUAAAAUUAUUAUGCAUGCCAGUUGCUUAAUAAUUUUCUUACACUGGUAUUGAAGAGGAAAAUGAAUAUGCAAUUUGUAUAUGUGCCAUGUGAGAAUUUGGAUAUCUAUCUAAGUAACAAGGAGAGUAUUGCCUCAUCUUUAGACAAUGAAUCUUGAGAAUUUGGAUAUUCAUGUAAAUGUUCAUUUGUUUGUAUUUUGAACUAUUAUGAGAAUCUUUUAUAUGCCAAAUUAGUAAUGCAAAUGUUCAGAUUAUUUUUUCUGUUGAUCGUGCAUUUGUGUCUGCACACAACCAUUGUAUAUCACUUCAUUCUGAUGCGCAAGUGUCUGUAGUUUAGAAGAAAAGAAAUAAUAAUGAUAUAUUAUUGCUUGAUUCAUGAUUAUUAAAUGAUUAUGGCUUUAAAAAACCUACAAAUUCCUUUUGUUGAUAUAUGAAUGUACCAAGUUUGCUAUAUCUUAGAUUACCAUUUCCAAGAUAACAAGUUCAAAUUUUUUCUUUAUCCUUUUCCUUCACAGUUGCAUUUUAAGUGUAAGAUUUGUUAUUAAUACCUGGUUUCCCGUCAUUAUGAUUUCAUAAACAGUGUAUGGGUAUGUGCUCUACUUUUGGAGGGCCUCCACGUGAAAGAAAAUUGUAACAAUUGAAUUCUUCCGGAUGGUAUGGUAUUUAAUUUAUUUUCUCAACCUCUUGUAAGACUAAUAUAUUUUCCUUUAGUAGACACGGCAUGGUGGGAAGGGUUUUUUAUUGAAAGAAUUCUGAUAUUUCUUAGACUUUGUUUUGGAAGGGGGUGCAGGGGUUUCUCAUCCAUAUAUGGUUACUUGAUUAGCUUUUGACUGUAUUGCCUCAAUCGUGCAAAGGAAGAUCCAAAUACAAACGAAAGAGAAUUGUUUAGACACCCAGAAGAUGGAAAUGAACUACAGAAGGAAGUUUUUGCUGCUUUAUUUAGUGCUCCUGAGAAAUCUGAUGAAUUUCCUGAAAUUACGGUGAAGACCAAGUGUGAGGUCCAAAGCAUUAGGAAAGGUGGUGAGUGAACUGCCGGAGCAAUUGGUACAGAAUACAAGGCUAAUGUGGUGGACUUGCAGCAAGAUAACCGGAACAGUACGUGCUCUUAUAUUAACUAUAUUGACUGGAUUUGCUAGUGUGUGCAUUUUCGUGUGUAUACUUUUGUAUUUAUGCAUAUUAAUGUGUGUAGGAUUCUUGAUUUCUGCCACUUAUUGGAGAACUAAUGGAAAGCUUUAUACUGGUAUAUCUGCAAUAACUAAUGGAAACUAUGAUAUUAAUAUUUUCUCUCGCUUGGAGAAUGCGUAACAGAUAUACUUUGUGGCUCUGGAAUACUAAAGAUUCUGCAAUAACUAAUGGAAACUAUGAUAUGAAUAUUUUCUCUCACCUGGAGAACUUUGUAACAGUUACACUUUGGGGCUUGGAAUGUCUAAAGAAUUUUGUCUGCUUCAGUUAGAUCAAAUAUCUUUUAGUUACAUACAUUAUAGAAAAGAUAAAGUUCUCUGAAUCUGAAAGACUUAAAAUUUUGCAUAUUUCUUGAUAGGGAAAUAUCUGUAGAUACUAGUUCAUGCAUUGUGGUAGCAUCAGUGUUAAAGAAAAACAGCAGUAAGUUAUUAUAUAGAAUUAGGUUCACUUGCUUUAAAUCCUGGUCUGGUCAACCAUAUGAACCUGUAAGUGGUUCUGUAGAAAUAUAUAUAUACGGGGAGAAAGUAGCUAAAUUUUCCUUUCAUUUAUGGGUUUGGUCAUUUUUUCCCCUUAUUUAUGUUUUCUCACACAUUUUUUAAAUGCCCCAGACAUGCAAUUUUGUAUGUGUCAAUUGCCUUUUAAGUUUUAAAAACCAUAAAGUAAGAAUACAGUUUCUUGUCAGGCUAUUGAUGCAUUUGCUCGGGGGGAUCAUGCUCGAGCAGGAAAACUUCUAGAACAGGUAAGGUUUCCAUCUACAGCCAUUUAUUGACAACAUAUAUAUUUUCAUUCAGCAAGCACUGUUAGCAUUCAAGAUGCUGGCAGAUUCACUUGAUUCUUAUUAGUUUGUUUAGUAGCAAAGCAUAUAACCUGUAUUUUAAAGCUAAGUUGUGCUAUUGAUUAUGUUAACUUUAUUGUUCACAUAAAGUGAUAUUGAGGAAAUAAUCAAUGUAGGAAAAUUAGGUGAAGAGAUGAUGUCAAAUCUUGAACCUCUUACAAAACUCCAAGUUCUUUACUUGAAGAAGCUACCAAAUUCGAACAGCAUCUACUGGAAGGCCUUGCCAUUCCCUGAUGUAUGCAGAAUUUUUGUAUUUAAAUGCCCAGAGCUUAAGAAGCUGCCACUGGAUCUUGAGAGGGCAGGCCAAGGUAAAAUUCUUAUCAAGGGAAAGAAAGAUGGGUGGAAACAACUUCAAUGGGAGGAUCAAGUAACUCAGAAUGCAUUGCUUUCAUUUUAAAAAUCAACCAACAAGUGAUUGAAGGGGGCAUCAUCAACGUAAUCAACAUGGAUGGAGAGAUUCUGGAGCAGAUCAGCGGGGUUUAGUACGACCUGUGGUGGUUUCUUUUUUGUGACUUUUUUGCCUUUCAUUUUUUCACUUCCUGUCAUAUUAUCAUUUCUUUGUCUGUGUUUCUAUUGCUAGUGUUGCUGCAUGCUUGCUGUCCUUGACAAAGUUAGCUAGUUUUUUUUGUUUAUUAAAUUUUGUAUGUUCGGUCGGGACAGUCACAAAGUACUACUUGUUCUAUAUGGGGGUGAUGUGAAUCAACUUUUCAAUUAUAUAUUCUGUGGUAAUUGUGAAUUCAAUUUCAUUUAUCUCCUGCAAAUUAUGAAGAAAGUGCAGAGUUACAAUAUGGAAAAGUUCACUGGCAAAUACUUUGUAAAAGCUUCGGAGUGAAACAGGAAAUGCACUUGCAACUAAGGACAAAUUGGUGGCCGGCUAAUGCAUUCAUUUUAGGGAAAAGGACACAGACCCUCAACGUUUUAAUAAGGGACAUAAAACUCCCUAAUAUUUUAAAAAAAAUACUCAAACCCCCAUUUGUUAAUAGUAAAUUCUAAGUUUAAAGUGUAAUUACCAUUAUACCUUUAUAGCAUAUUAAAAAAUAAUUAUUCAUUAUUCAAUUUAUUCUUAUAUUAUUAAUAAAAUUACGAAUAUAAUUUCAUUAUCUAAUUUUUUCAUUUAAUUUUUGUUAAAUUUUCUCUUCAAACUAAAUAAAUUUAAUCCAUUGCUUAAGAAUAAAAAUAAAUUAAAUUGAUUACUAAUAUAAUAAAAAUAACAUAUAUUUAAUAUAAAAAUAACAUAUAUUAAAUUAAAAUAAAUUUAAUUUAUAUAUAGAGAAUUGUUAUUUUUAAGAAAUUAUCAAUUUAAUUUAUAUAUAAGAAAUUAUAAGAAAUAACAUAUGGAGAAUUGUUAUUUUUAUUAUAUUAAUAAUCAAUUUAAUUUAUUUUUAUUUUUGAGCAAUGGAUUAAAUUUAUUUAGUUUGAAGAGAAAAUUUGAUAAAAAUUAAAUGGAAAAAUUGGGUAAUGAAGUUAUAUUCAUAAUUUUAUUAAUAAUAUAGGAAUAAAUUAGAUAAUGAACAAUUAUUUUUUAAUAUGCUAUAAGGGUAUAAUGGUAAUUGUACUUUAAAAUUAGAAUUUACUGUUAACAAAUAGGGGUCUGAGUGUCUUUUUUGAAACAUUAGGAAAUUUUGUGUCUCUUAUUCAAACGUUGGGGGUUUCUGUGUUAUUUUCCCUUCAUUUUAUGUACAUUCAUCUUUUUAAUUAUUGAAGAUAAGUGGUUCGUUGCUUUUGUUGUAGAUAAAAUUCAGACGACCUCAAUUGUGACAUGACAAUAUUUAAAACAUCUCUUAAAUUAUUAUAAAUUUAAUUUAUCUUAACUUUAUUGAAAAGAUAAAAGAAAAAUGUGGUGUAUGGAUAAAUUUUUUUUUAUCUUCUUAAUCAAAUGGAAUAAAUUAAAAUUUACAAUAAUUUAAAAUAUUUUAAAAAUUAUUAUUUCAUAAGAGAUUAAUAUGAAAUUAAUCGUUUUUACUUUUUUAAUGUGAAAGGACAAGAAAAGAGAAAGCAUGUGUCCCUGCUUUUUAGUUUUUAUUUUAUUUGAAAUCGGAGUUAUCCCAUAUACUUUACUAAUUUAGCUCUAACAUUACAAUGUUUUUAGGCUACACUUUUAUUUUUCUUUUUCCCCCUUUUUUUAUACAUGCAUGUGGAUUACUUUUCUCUAAGCUCCUUAAUAUUUAAGACAAAUCAUAAAAGCAAUUGAAGUAUAACAAGAUGAUCAAAACAUUUAACCAAAAAAAAAGAAAGAAAAAAGAAAGAAAACAUUGAAAAUGGAGAUGUUGAUUAAUUUAGAAGAGAUGCAAGCAAAAGAUAUUCCCAAAAAAAAGAAAAAAAGAAAAAAACAACGUUAGUUCAUCCAUGUCUGUCAAUGCGUUUUUUAUGGUUUUUUUUUUCCAGUUGUUUGUUGUAAUAGAUUGAUUGUAAAUUGAUAUGAAUUUGAUGUUGUAAUAUGUUCGCUUUUGUGGAAUUAAAUUUGAAUAUUCAAGAUUAUUCAAGUCUUAUCUAGUAUGUGUUCAAUUGUGUUGUCGAUAAUUUUGCAUUCGAAUAAUUUUUCACCUAAAAUAUUAGCAUGAGUAGUAGUCCUUGAAAUUUUGGUCAAAAUUAUUGUUAUUGUUUGUUUUAGAGGAAAUUUUUUUAUUAAAGCCUCGUUAACACUAUACCUUAUUAAGAUUAUAAGUUAGUGUCAGUGCAGGAUUUACAGCAACAAAUCUUGUCUAGCCACGUGUCAAAAGUACAAAUAAAUCAAGAGUAAGCACAUGACAUGGAUUAGGAUCCAAUAAGAUUUAAAUCCCAAGGAAAAGGACAAUUGUAUCCUAAAGUUUCAAUAAGAGAUACUGAGAUAUCUUUUGACUAAUGUUAUUUUUUUAGCUUUAUUAAUAAAAAGAUCAAAUAGUUUAUAACAAAUAAAAAUAUAGUAUGAAGCUAAAUGUGAUAAUAUAUACAUUUUACAUAAUUUCAAUAAAAAAAAUUUCAAUAAAAAACAUUUUAAUGUUUUACGAUCUAUUAGACAUAUUUUAUUAAAUUAAUAGGAAUUUUCUGAUAAAUAGCAACAUAAUAUUAAAAUAAAUUUAUAAAGAUUUAAAUGUAAAAUAAUUUUAGUAUAAUUAAUACGUGGGAUAUAUUUUGUAAAUUAUAAAAUUACUUAACCCAAUGAUUUUUAAAAAUCUUUAAAAUAAAUAAAAAUAAAUUAUUCACAUUUUGAUGUAAAUAUUUAAAACAUUUUUAUACAUUAGUCCACAAUUAUUUAUGUUAUAUUUGUAUUUAUUAGAAAUUUUGAAAGUCAAAUGUUUUUCACCUCUAUCUUAUUAGAAUUAUUGCACACAGAGAAAGAGCCAUAUAUGCUUUAUAGCUUUAAAAUCGAUUUGUUUUAUAGCUGGGAACAGAGAUGAUCAUUAUUAUAAGGAUUAAAAAAAAGAUAAAGAAUAUUAAUGAUUAGCGAAAUCUCUAUGGAAAUUGAAUUUAGUAAGAAAAAAUUGAGCUGAUUUUAGCGGUAUAGUAAUAUUUUAUAUAGAGAAAAGUAAAAGCUGCACCCAAGGUUAAGGGAAAUGGUCAAAACUCUUUUUUAAUCAUAAUACUCUUUUUCCUACAUAAUUUAAAAAUUUGACAUUAAUAUUUUAUAAUAAAUAAAAACAUAUAAUCCUAAAAUAAAUAAAAUAAUAUAUAUUUUAAAAUAAUCUCAAUAUUUAAAAUAUAUUUUAACAUUUUAUAGUCUAUCAGAUAUAUUUUAUUUUUUUUAAAGUAAAUUUUAUAAUAAAUACAAAACAUACUAUUAAAAUAGAUAUAAAAAUUUUAAAGUAUUUUGAAUAUUAUAUAAAAUAACUUUAAUAUUGUUAAUGCGUGAGAUGCAUUUUAUUAAUUAAAAAUUCUAUUUAACCCAAAGAUUUAUUUAUAAUAAAUUAAUAAUCAUAUUUUUGAAAUUAUUUUAAAUAUUAAAAAAUAUUUUAAUAUUACUAACUAUUAGAUAGACUAAACUAUUUAUAUUAUUUUCUAUUUAUUAUAAAAUUUCAAAGUUAAUCUUUUUAACUACUAUUCAAAAGAUAUUAUGAUAAAAACAGAAUUUUUCUGUUUUAUUAAAAAUUUAGAGUUUACACCUAUUUUUUCAAAUAUUCGGGGUGUAACUGUUUUAUUUAAAUAAAAUCUCAGUUAAAAAUGUACAGAGAAGAAAUUUCUGUUGGUAUUUUAGUCUUUUACCAAUUAUCACGAUUAGGCCUUGGCCUUGAAACAUUAAUUGUUUCACUUUUAGCGCUAGUGGCGUUGAAAGUUGUCAAGAAAAAGCAAGACCAUAUUCCACAAAAGCAGCUCUUUUAUUAAAGGCAAAGUAUAAAGUAGUCAAGAAUCGAAUAUCCUGUCGUCUACUCUUUUUUAAAUUCUUCUUUUAUUAUCUUUUAGAAUAGUUUUUGGUAAUUACAAUCAUUAUUCAGAGUUAUUGUUAUCUUCUGGGGCAGUCUCUGUUCAUCGAAGUCGUUACCUUUUUUUCAUGGAUCAGUUCCAGUGCCAAGCAGUAAUUUUCUUAGAACUCGGAUCUUUAAUUCGAGUUUCUUUGUGAAUUAAUAAUAAAAAAUUUUCAUUACACGCAAUUUAAGCUACGAAUUACUUUUUGCAAAGUUGAAUAUGAAAUUGGAGAAAUUAAAUAAUUUAGAAUGUUGGUAAAAAUUGACUAACAUAUCCCCAAUUACAGUAAAACCUCUCUACAGUCAUAACAUUAUAACAAAAUUAAUUUUAUUACUAUGUUGAGGUAAUAUAGGUUUAGUUACAAAAUUAUUGUUUUAAUAUGGUUAGUGUCAAGUGAUAUAAAGGUUAAGUAUGCAGUACAUUGAUAAUUAAAUAAUGAAGCGUGUCAAAUCUAACGUAUAUAUAUUAAUGAUAUAGAUAGACAUAGUUUUAAAAAACUAAUUAAUGUAUAUUUAUGUACUGUUAUGAAUAUGGAAAGUCAAGCCUACACUUUACAUUAUCCUUAAUUUUUUCUCUCAGUUAAAUUCUACAAAUAUUGUACAAUGAUUGGGUAAGAACUCUAAAUUAAGAAUAAAUUAUUGUCACAAAUAAUUUUAAAAAAUAUUUUAUUUCAUCUUAAACCUUUAAUGUAAGUAAAUAUAUAUAUAUGUGUGUGUGUGUGUGCAUAUUUUGCAAGGUAUAGAUAAUUGUUAGUAUAUGGAGACAAGUCUUUUAAGGUAGGACCUAGGAAAAUUUAUAACUUACUACAUUGGGGAGUUUUUAUUCCUUUUUAUAAUUGGCUCAUAUUGAUACAUUCUUACACAAAAUAUUACCAUUGACAUAUUUUACUACAAUUGGUUUAGAACAUUUGUUAGGAAAAAAAAAAGAAAAGAAAACAUUCAUUGGAUGUAGCUCUCCCUCGUAUGCUUUUUUCUCCAAAUAUUCCUGCGUCCACAGAAACAAGUCAGAGCACGCCGGUUGUUUUCCCGGCGUAAACCCUCUGACGCUCAAGUCAGAUAUGAAGGCUCUGGGAAUGCUUGCCACAGAUCUUAUGGUUUUUCUGUAGUUUCUAUUCUUUAGAGUUUCAUUUAUCUCUGAAUAUAAUCUCAAAAAUGCUAACCCUUUUACCUUCCUUGGCUACCUUUUUAUAGGCUUCCUCUGAAUCCCGGUCUUCCGUAGUCCACGCCCGUUAUUCUCCCCACCCUCGGAUGUGGAUGCCCCAUUAUCGCCAUUGUGGGCGAAUGGAGAUGGACUUCGUGCCUUGAUUCUCGGAUAGGAAUGCACGUCUUGCCAACUGUCGUUGACUGGGUCUCCUCGCCUCUCGACCUCUAGCCGGAAUGGCCUUAUGCCUCUAACAAGAGUUCGACCUCGUGAAUGGCAUACUCGCGGACGAGCCGAAUAUUUCUGCUCAUGUUCCCCUGCUACCUGGCUCUUACAGGACAUACCUGUUCGCAGAACUCCGCCAUCAAAUAUCUGCUCAUCACGUCUGGUCUCGUUGAAGUAUUUCCCUCAAACAACAUAUUUUACUACAAUUAGUUUAGAACAUUUGUUAGGAAAAAAAAAGAAAAGAAAACAUUCCUUGGAUGUAGCUCUCCUGACUAUUUAAAUCUUUUAAGGAAAAAAAGAAAAAAGAAAAACUGACACAUUCAAAUCUUGAAGCAAUUACAUUAAAACCUCUCCAUAAUGAUAGGAAUAAUCUCCAUUUAGUAAUAAAAAAUUUUGUUCGCAAUCUAGGCAGAGUUAUAAAUAAGAAUAAAAUCCUCAUUGUAAUAAGUUGUAUUUAUUAUGGAUCCCAUCCUAAGGAACUUGUCUCUAUAUAGUAAUAAUUAUUUGCAUAUUAUAAAUAUAUAUGUUGCAUUAGAUUAAAUGAACUUGUCUCCACAUACUACUUAGACAAUGAGAGAAAGUUAUUAAAGAGAACACAAAUAUUUAGAGAUUUUUAAGAUUACUUUGCAUGUUUAUAACAAUAAUACAUUGAUAUAUGUAUUAGUUUUUUGAUAUAUUAGAUUUGACAUGCUCUAUUAAUAAAUUAUUAAUACGAUGCAAACUUCAUCUCUCUAUCCUUGCAAUAAAAGUAACUAAGUUAUAACAAUAAUUAUUAAUAAAUUAUUAAUACGAUGCGUACUUCAUCUCUAUAUCCUUGCAAUAAAAGUAACUAAGUUAUAACGAUAAUUUUUGUAACUACAUGCUUAUUAGGUUUUAACUACUUCAUAAUAAUAAAUUAAUUUCGUCCUAAUAUUAUAAUUAUGUAGAGUUGUAGUGUAUAGACACACCCAAUUUAAAUAGUAAAUCAAAUAAAAUUGUCCCCACAAAAAAGAAAAAAGGGGUAAAGGAUUGUUAUUUCUUCAAACAUUAGGAGCACGUUUGUUCAAGUGCGAUGCCUUUCUUUUGAAGGCAACGUCAGUGGGUACCCAAUAGGACGUGUGUAAAUCUUUCCAAAAUUUCUCCGGUAUAACGGACAGAGAUCAUUACUUUUCUCUUCCAUAGACCACAGCAGCUUCAGUUAAUCAGACUCAAUCAAUUUUCUUGGUUUCUUCGCUUAUCAAAAUUCCAAAAUAUGGGUAGCAUAUUUCAAAUCACAUGCGAUGGUGCUUUUUUCAAUCGUUGCUUGGAUUGCUUUCUUGGAAAAGUAGCAAACACAAGUAAGCUCCAAGAUAACCUUGUUGCCUUGGAGACUGAAUUGGGAAAACUAAUCGUAGCAAAGAACGAUGUGAUGAUGAGGAUUGUCAAUGCUGAACGGCAACAACUGAGAACGCUGGACCAAGUGCAAGUGUGGCUUUCGAGGGUGGAAGCUGUUAAAACUGAAGCUGAUGAAUUGAUAAGACACGGCUCUCAAGAAAUUGACAAAUUAUGUGUUGGAGGCUACUGUUCCAAGCACUGCGCGUCAAGCUACAAGUUCGGGAAACAAGUGGCUAAAAAGCUACGGGAUGUGCAGACUUUAAUCGGCGAAGGAGUUUUUGCGGCGGUGGCUACUGAGGUGGUGCCUGAGAGAGCUCCAGAACCUGUAGCAGAUGAAAGACCCACUGUGCCAACAAUAGUAGGCUUGCAAUCACAACUUGAACAAGUUUGGAGAUGUCUUGUAGAAGAAUCAGUGGGAAUCAUUGGCCUAUAUGGUAUGGGCGGUGUUGGUAAAACUACACUAUUGACCCAUAUCAACAAUAAAUUUCUUGAGAGUCGAACCAGUUUUGAUUGUGUGAUUUGGGCCGUAGUUUCAAAGGACUUGCAACUCGAAAAAAUUCAAGAAGAUAUUGGGAAAAAGAUCGGUUUGGUUGAUGAUUCAUGGAAGAGUAAAAGUGUAGAGGAGAAAGCUCUCGACAUCUUCCGGAGUUUAAGAGAGAAGAGAAUUGUAUUGUUGUUAGAUGAUAUAUGGGAGCGGGUUGAUUUAACAAAAGUGGGCAUUCCACUUUCGGGACCAAAGAAUACUACCUCAAAAGUCGUAUUCACAACCCGUUUCAUCGAUGUUUGUGGUAGCAUGGAAGCUGACAAGAAGUUCCAAGUGGCAUGCUUAUCAGAAGAGCAUGCUUGGGAACUGUUUCGAAAAAAAGUUGGGGAAGAAACUCUUGAGAGUGAUCAUGAUAUCGUUGAGCUAGCCCAAACUGUGGCCAAAGAGUGUGGUGGUUUGCCACUCGCACUUAUUACUAUUGGUCGAGCUAUGGCCUGCAAAAGGACAGCCGAGGAGUGGAGACACGCAGUUGAAGUGCUAAGAAGAUCAGCUUCUGAGUUUGCAGGUUUGGGAAAAGAGGUGUAUCCUCUUUUAAAGUUUAGCUAUGAUAGUUUGCAGAAUGAGACGAUUAAAUCUUGUUUCUUAUAUUGUUGUUUAUAUCCCGAGGAUUAUGGCAUUCUUAAAUGGGACUUGAUUGAUUGUUGGAUUGGUGAGGGAUUCUUAGAGGAAUCUGACAGGUUUGGUGCAGAAAACCAAGGAUACUACAUUGUGGGCACUCUUGUUCAUGCGUGUUUACUAGAAGAGAUAGAAGAUGAUAAAGUAAAAAUGCAUGACGUUGUUCGUGAUAUGGCUUUAUGGAUAGCUUGUGAAAUUGAGAAGGAGAAGAGAAACUUUUUGGUUUGUGCAGGUGCUGGAGUAGGAGCGGUACCAGAUGUUGAAGGAUGGGAAAAUGUGAGAAGAUUGUCAUUGAUGCAAAACCAAAUUGAAAUUCUGUCAGAGGUUCCCACAUGCCCUCAUCUCCUCACUUUAUUUCUUGACUUUAAUUAUAAAUUGGAGAUGAUCACUGAUGGCUUCUUCCAAUGUAUGCCUUCUCUCAAAGUUUUGAAGAUGUCAAACUGUGGGCAUGUCAAAGUUUUGAAAUUACCUUUUGGGAUGUCAAAGUUGGGUUCACUACAACUUCUUGAUAUUUCACAUACCGGCAUAAGAGAGUUACCAGAAGAGUUAAAGUUGUUGGUAAAUCUGAAAUGUUUGAAUUUGAGGUGGACACAUAUGUUAAAUAAAAUUCCACGGCAGCUAAUAUCAAAUUCUUCAUGGUUACGUGUGUUGAGAAUGUUCGCUAUUGGCUUUGAAAAUUCUAAAGAACCAUCAGAAGACAGCGUUUUAAUUGGUGGGGGUGAAGUUUUAGUACAGGAAUUGCUCGGUUUGAAAUAUUUAGAGGUAUUGGAGUUGACCUUGCGAAGUUAUCAUGCUCUCCAUUCUUUUUUGAGCUCAAAUAAGUUAAAAAGUUGUAUUCGAUCUCUUUUCCUCAAUAAGCUGGGAGAUACAAAGUCGAUUGAUGCUACGGCUUUGGCAGAUCUAAAGCAUCUCAAUGAAUUAUAUAUUCUUUUUUUUNNNNNNNNNNNNNNNNNNNNNNNNNNNNNNNNNNNNNNNNNNNNNNNNNNNNNNNNNNNNNNNNNNNNNNNNNNNNNNNNNNNNNNNNNNNNNNNNNNNNNNNNNNNNNNNNNNNNNNNNNNNNNNNNNNNNNNNNNNNNNNNNNNNUCUUUCGCUAUACGGUUGUAAUGCUGUGGAAGAAAUAAUCAGCGUUGGGAAAUUUGCUGAGGUUCCUGAGAUGAUGGGACAUAUAAGCCCUUUUCAGAAUCUCCAAAAGCUUGAUUUAUCACAUUUGCCAGCUUUGAAGAGCAUCUACUGGAAGCCAUUGCCUUUCGCUCAUCUGAAAGAAAUGGUGGUGCAUUGGUGUGAUCGGCUUAAAAAGCUUCCGCUCGAUUCCAACAGUGCAAAAGAGCGUAAAUUUGUUAUUCGUGGAAGAGCAGACUGGUGGAACCGUCUUCAAUGGGAGGAUGAAGCCACUCAAAUUGCUUUCCAUUCCUGUUUCCACCUAAUGAAAUAUAAAUUCCUUAGCGGUGGUUGCAAAAUUUGAUUUCUAGUGAGUGCUUUUUUCUUAAACUCUUACAUUUAUUUCAGAUUCGUUUUUUGUCUCCUGCAAAUCACAAUUAAAUGCUGAAUUAUAUGGAGUCAAUGCUUUAGAAAAUUUUCAAGGCACUGCCAUUUCCUUUUUUCCAUUUUUUUUUGGGUCGAAUUGAUGCUCUGGCUUUUUACUUUUUGUUGUCAAAUUUUGCUCUGUUUUUUCAAGUUGAUGCUUGAAUAGUUGAAUUCAAUUAAUGCUCACAUAAAUUUGUUUAGUUGCCGUAAAAGGAUAUAAUUAGACUGAAGUACACACUUCUAGAAUGAAUACAAAAUGUUAAGUAUACUAGCCCUCUUUACAGAAAAUCAAAUGAAAAUCAAUUUUUUGGGGCUUUGAUUUUCUAUGGUCUAUUAUAUACUCUUUUUAAUAUCUUCUGUUCUAACUAUAACCAAAUCCUUUGUUCAAGGAUUUUUAUUUGGGGUAUUGAUAACUAUCCACCAAAAGAGUGAACACUUGGAUGCUGCUCAAGGAUCUCUAAUCAAUAGCUGGAAGCAACUGAGAAGGCGGUCGCUGCUGUUUACAAAGUGAUGCAGUAUUUGCCAUUCAUCUUAAUAAUUAUGAAGCUUUGGUAAAAUUUUCAAACAAAAUUGAACAUGUUGUUUGAGAUUUGGUUCAUGAUUUUGGAUGAAUAUCGUUGUUCCGUUUGAGUUGGAUGUGAAUUCAAAAUCUAUAUAUUCUUUGGUUUUCAAGUCUGAACUCAAUUUCUUUUUCUCAAGCAUGUUAUGCAGAAAUGAUUUUUACUAAAUCAUUUUUGAUGAAUUGUUUAAAUUAAACACUUGGAAUAAGAAUUGUAAACGUUUAUCAUAAGCAUGCUAAUAUGAUAAAUUGUUUUAUGAACGACUAAUUAAUUAAUCAAUUAAUAUUAAAUUAUAUAUUAAUCAAUUAGAUAUGCGUUACAUGUCAUGUUUAAAAACUAUUUAUUUAUAUUUCAAACAAAUUUGACUGGAUGUUGUGUAGGUAAUACUACAUAAUUUCAAAACAAAAAAAAGUAAUAAAAACACGUUAAAUUUUGUUUUUAUGAAGAAAAAUUUAAAAUUUUAUUAAAUAGGUGAAAAUAAUAAAUGGAUUCGUGUAUGGUUUGAGAUUCUUGACAUAAUUAUGAAAUAAGCCGGAUUCGACUUAGUUCAAUUUUGACGCGAUAAGAAGACGACACCACACAAACACACGACAAGAACCGUUACCUGAGAAGAUUGCCAUCAGGAAUUUUGAAAUUGAUUUCACUACAAUAUCUUAAUCUUUCAGAUACUCCCAUCACUGAGCUGCCAUAAGAGCUAAAAGCCUUGGUAAAUCUUAAGUGUUUGAACUGUACACAAAUUAUCUCUCUACAAUUCAAAAACAACUGAUUUGUUACUUUUCAAUGCUACAUGUUCUGCGAAUAUUGAGUUGUGGUUAUCUUGUUGAAAUAUCAGAAAAUAGAGUUCUAUUUGGUGGUAGUGAAUUGUUGGUUGGGGAGUUACCUAGUUUAAAACGUUUAAAUGUAUUAAGCAUCACCUUACAAGGUUUUUCUGCUGUCCAAAAACUUAUGAGCUCUCAAAAGUUUCAAAGCUGUACAAAAUGUUUGGAGCUUAUAGACUGUGAUGAUUCAAAGUCUUUUGCCUUGGCAGAGUUGAAGCAUCUCGAGAAACUAGUUUUUCGAAUUGUGGAAGAGUUUAAGUUCUGCUGUGUUGAAGUUGGAAAAGCUCAAGAAUGUUUUCGUUUGAACAGCUUUCCCCGAGGUAAUAUAAAGGCUUGUCAUAAAUUGAGGGACGUGACAUGGCUUGUAUUUGCUCCAAAUCUUACGGUUAUUCAAUAGAAAAAUAUAUGCAGAUGGAAGUAAUAAUCAGUGCAAGGAAAUUGGGUGAAGUUCCAGGGAUGAUGGCAGAUCUAAACCCUUUUGCAAAACUCCAGUAUCUUCGUCUGCGAGUUCUACCAAAAUUAAAAAGCGUCUAUUGGAAUGAGUCACCCUUUCCACAUGUCAGGGAAAUUAUUGUAUCUGAAUGCCCAAUUCUCAAGAAGCUUUCACUCGGUUUUAACAAUGCAAAGGAAUCUAAAAUUGUCAUUUAUUACAUGUUUAUAUCUAACUUUUGUUUUCCUUUAUGGUUAAAUUUUACUUUAUAUAUGUUGUUAUACGGUGACAUUCUCGCAUCAAUUGUUAGCUUUUUAAUUCUCUUCUCCCAUUAAUUGCCCUUCUGAUCAUGUAAGAUAUGCCGAUGUCAAAGAGUAGUAAGUUGGGAUACAAAUGUAAGAAUUAACCAGAUGACAUGUUGUUUUGAAGCUCUCGGAGAAGGACUAAUUAUGUCAUUCAAAGCAUCCAAUUUCGCUACUUUUUUUUUCAUUUGUUGCUUUUUCUAUUUUUAGAGAGCUUGAUUGUCAGUUGUCGUAAUGUAAUGUUUUAGUGUAGAAAAAUGAUAUUCGGCCAAGACAUCAAUAGGAGGGCACAUUGUGCAUGCACACUAGUGGAUGAUUUCGGCAUGCCGAAUCCAAUUAGUGUGGAUAACCCUUUAUAAGCAAUUGGCUUCUCUCAUACCAGAGCAAUGUAGAAUAUAUUUAUAAACUGUGGAUUACUCUUUAUUAGGCUUCUUCUAUACUCGAGCAAUGUGGAAUACCUUUAUAAGCAAUAAGCUUCUCCCCUACACUUUAUGUUAAUAAUAAUAAUAAUAAAAUAAAUCCAUUUUAAAAUAGACUUUUUUUUUCUUUUUCUAUAUAAACAAAAUGCAUUCUUCAAAUCAAUAGUGGGUGGAAGAAGUGAGUAGAGAAGAACUAGUCCCCUUUCAUUCCCCUAAAACCUCACCGAAACCUCUCUUGUGAACUUCUCAGAUUCUCUCUCAAUAUUUCUUAUGAUCUCGUUUUUGAUAGAAUCACUUCUUUUGCAUGUUGCAUUUGGUGUGUCUUUUUUGGGUAAUAUCUUAUCUGGAAUGCUGUCAUGAUCAAUAGAACAAGUAAUCAAUUUUUGGCUUGACGGAAGUCGAUUUAUUUAUUUACUAUUAUUUUUAUUUGAAAUUUUGUACAAUUGUGUUUCAUUCAUUUCUUUCCUUUUUUUUUAAUAUUUAUUAUGUAUAAUUGUGUUUCAUUUGAUAUUGAUCAUACUCUAGAUAACUAUGUGAUUGUAGCUGGGGAUUUUAAGUUUUGUGAAUUCAAGAAACUGUCAAAAUGCUAGUGAAAUUGGGACCUUUAUUCAUAAGCUUGUGGUUUUGAAAAGUAGCCCGGUUCAACUGAUGAAGUUCCUUUUUGGGAUUCUUUUUUUUCCUAGGCUGCAAUUCGGAUAUGUACCUGAUAGACAAUCUUUUGUGGGUUUAGCAUAUCUUCUCGGAUUUUGUCUUUUAUUCCUCGAUUUUAUAAUUACACACCAUGAAUGUUGAGUGAUUGUAUAGAAAAUUUGUGUUAUAACCAAAGCAUUGUGAAGGAGUUAAGUUAGUGGCUUCUGUUUUAUUGGCAUUGAUUGGGUAGAUUACGUGUUACAGUGAUUCAAUUUGUGAUCCAAACUUUGUUUAAAUUUCUGUUUUCCCAAAUUAUUUAUGUCAAAUUCAAAACCAGAAGCAUGUGCUGAUUUUUUCUUUUUGUAUUAAUCUGUGAAGUUUAUUUGGAAAGGAAGUAUCUGGGUCUAAUGGAUUAAAUUAUGUAAGUGGCAGAAAUUCCUACACACAUAAAUAUGCAUAAAUACAAAAGUAUACACAAAAAAAUGCACACACUCAUACAUCCAGUCAAUAUAGUUAAUGUAAGAGCACAUACCGGUUUGGUUAUCUUGCUGCAAGUGCACCGCAUUAGCCUUGCAUUCUGGUGCCAACUCCUCCGGCGGUUCACUCACUACCUUUCCCAAUGCUUUGGACCUCCAUUCGGUCUCCAUCAGAUUUCUCAGGAGCACUAAAUAAAGCAGCUAAAACUUGCUUCUGUAGUUCAUUUCUGUCUUUCGGGUGUCUAGGCAAUUUUCCUUCGUCGGUAUUUCGAUCUUCCUUUACAUGACUGAGGAAAUACAGUCAAAAGCUAAUCAAGUAACCAUAUAUGGAUGAGAAAUCCCUCCACCCCCCUUCCAAAACAAAUUCUAAGAAAUAUCAGAAUUCUUUCAAUAAAAACCCUUCCCCCCAUGCUGUGCCUGCUGAAUGAAAUAUAUUAAUCUUACGAGAAGUUGAGAAAAUAAAUUAAAGAACAUACCCUCCGGAAGAAUUCAAUUGUUGCAAUUUUCUUUCACGUGGAGGUCCUCCAAAGUUAGAGCACAUAUCCGUACACUGUUUAUGAAAUCAUAAUAACAGGGGACCAGAUAUUAAUAACAAAUCUUGACACCUAAAAGUCAACUGUGAUGAAAAACAUUAAAAAGAAUAUGAACUUGUUAUCUUGGAAGAAGAUAAUUUAAGAUAUAGCAAACUUGGCACAUUCAUAUAUGAACAGAAGGAAUUUGUAGACGUUUUAAAGCCAUAAUCGUUUAAUAAUCAUGAACCAAGCAAUAAUAGAUGAUUAUUAUGUUGGGUGCAAGCGGAAGUGCAGAAAAAUUUUUAUUUAAGAUCAGAGUAUUUUGCUGGAAAUUUCUGAAACUUUAUUGCUUAAUUCAUUUUUUCGUUUCUCUCUUACUUUUCAUACAACCAGAGUUCUAUAUUUAUAUGCAUUAUAGACAACUCUAGAGAUUACAUUAAUCAUGCUUUACAUUUCCAAAGCCACAUUGCAAACAUCAAUUCUACCCUUUACUUCACGUUGAAAAACAAACCAAAUAAUCCUUCAAACUUCUUGCUCAAUUUACUAGAUUACUAAUUAUAUCUCAACACCCCCUCUUAAUUAGUAAUCUUCAAUUGCUUCUUGAAUUUUUCAAACUUCUCAAUAAUGAUUGCUUUGGUCAGAAAAUCUGCUGGCUGCUCAUUAGUGCUGAUAAACUCCAUAUUAACUUCUCCUUUGCUUACUAAGUCACGGAUGUAGUGAUAACGCAGCUCAAUGUGCUUAGAUUUAGCAUGAAAUACGAGGUUCUUUGUUAGAGCAAUGGCUGACAUGUUGUCACAAUAAAUUGUUGUUGCAGCAUCUUGAUUGAACUGCAAAUCCUUGAGAAUUCUUCUAAGCCAAACGGCUUCACAAGCUGAUUCAGUUGCUGCAAUGUACUCUGCCUCGGCUGAGGAUAAAGCUACUGACUUCUGCUUCCUUGAGCUCCAUGAAAUCACAUUUGUACCAAGACAAAAUAAAUAACCUGAUGUGCUUUUUCUGUCAUCAAGGGAACCAGCCCAGUCACUGUCAGUAAAACCAACAAGCUUGCAAUUGUCUUCUUUUUCAUACAUGAUCCCCUGCUUUUUUGUUCCUUGAAGAUACCUUAAGAUUCUCUUUGCUGCAAUAUAAUGGGACUUCCUUGGAUCAUUCAUAAAUCUAGAAAGAACACUAACUGAGUGCAAAAUGUCAGGUCUUGAGUUGGUUAGAUAAAUCAACGAACCAACCAAGCUUCUAUAGAUUCUUGCGUCAGCCUUUUCUUCUUUUUCAUCAUGUUUCAAUUUUUCAUUCAAACCCAUAGGAGUAGGUGCUGGUUUGCAUUUGAACAUGUGGAAUUUCUUCAACAAAUCUUCUACGUAUUUUUCUUGACAAAAGAAGAUUUUUCCUCUGGCUUGCUUCACUUGAAUGCCAAGAAAAUACUUCAUUAAGCCCAAGUCAGUCAUCUCAAAUUCAUCUAGCAUGCUUUUUUUAAACUCUUCCACCAUUUUCAGAUUAGUGCCACAAUAAAUUAGAUCAUCAACAUAAAGGCAAACAAUAAGGAAAUCAGUACCUUCCUUUUUGACAUAAAGAGAAGGUUCACUUGAGCUUCUGUCAAAUCCAUUUUUAACGAAAUAUCUAUCAAUUCUGCUAUUCCACGCUCGAGGGGCUUGCUUCAAGCCAUACAAGGCUUUUCGGAGUUGAUAAACUUUGUUUUCUUCACCUUUCACUUCAUAUCCUUUAGGUUGCUCAACAUAAACCUCUUCUUCAAUUUCACCAUUUAGAAAUGCCGAUUUUACAUCUAGUUGAAACACAUGUAAUUCCAUUUGGGCUGCCAAGGCAAGAACAGUUCGAAUAGUCUCCAUUCGAGCUACGGGAGCAAACGUUUCUGUAAAAUCAACUCCAGGCAGCUGAGAGUAUCCUUUGGCAACGAGCCGCGCCUUAUAUUUUUUAACUGAACCAUCUUCAUUGUACUUGAUUUUGAAGAUCCAUUUCAGCCCAAUUGUUUCUUUUCCAUUUGGCAAAUUAACCAUCUCCCAAGUUUUAUUUUUCACAAUGGUGGCCAUUUCCUCGUUCAUUGCUUGGAUCCAAUUUUCAUUUCUUGAGGCCUCCUCAAAGUCUUGAGGCUCACAAGAAAAUAAAGCAAGUUCACAUGACUCAUAAAUUUCUCUCAUUGACUUUAUCUUCCUUGGAGGGCUUUCAUCAUCCGAAGAACUUUCUGCUGCUGAAUUUGGAGAAUUUGGUUCCAAAUUAUUUUGCUGUGAAGAAUUUGGUGGAGAUACAGGAGCUUCGAAAAAGCUAGAUGCUUGAGAUUGAUCUUUUUCCCACUGCCAAGCUGAUGCCUCAUCAAAUACAACAUCUCUUGAGAUAACAAGCUUAUUUGUUGUAGGAUUCAACAACCGAUACCCUUUAGACUCAUCACUAUAGCCAAUAAACAAAUAUUUUUCACCUUUUUCAUCAAACUUCUCUCUGUUUUGAGCUAGAAUAAGAGCAUAAGCAAUACUCCCAAAAAUCUUCAAGUGAUCAACAGUUGGCUUUCGGUUGUGCCAAGCUUCAAAUGGAGUUUUGUCUCUAACAGCUUUUGUAGGAGACCUGUUGAGGAUGUACACAGCUGUAUGACAUGCUUCUGCCCAUAAGUUGUUAGGAAUGCCUUUGCCUUUUAACAUGCUUCUUGCCAUCUCUACAAUGGUACGGUUCUUCCGUUCUGCAACUCCGUUUUGUUGUGGACUUCGGCUGACAGUAAGUUGUCUUUGAAUUCCAUUAUCCCUGCAAUAAUUCAUGAAUGGAGUGUAGAUAAAUUCACCACCACGAUCAGUUCUCAAGGUCUUCAUUUUGCAUCCACUUUGCCUUUCUGCAAGAGCUUUAAACUGAAGAAAAGUUGAGAAAGCUUCUGAUUUUUCAUUCAAAAAAUAAAUCCACAUCAUCCUUGUAUAGUCAUCAACAAAAAGAAUGAAAUAUCUCCUGUUAUUGAGAGAGAGAGUCCUUGUAGGACCACAAAUAUCAGCAUGCACCAACUCCAACGGAGCUUUGGCUCUCCAUGAAUUUUUAGGAAAUGGAAGUCUAUGCAUUUUUCCAUAUAUACAGCCCUCGCAAACUUUUUCAUAUCUUCCAACAUCAGGUAAGCCAAUCACCAUGUUCUUUUGCUUGAGCAAAUUCAGCCCUUUAUAGUUUAAAUGACCAUAUCUGAGAUGCCAUAAAUUUGACAAAUCUGAAUUUUCAGUUUUGAGAGCAACAUUCUCAUCAAGUGGCAUAACAAGAGGAAAAACUUUGUUCUUUGACAUUUCAACAACGGCCACUGUAUGAUUAUUAGUUUUAUCAAUGAUUUUGCAUUUUUCAUCAUCAAAAUAAAUUGAAAAACCCUUUUGAAUUAGCUGCCCCACACUCAAGAGGUUUUGAGUUAAAUUUGGAACAUAAAGAACGUCAUAAAUGAGCUUUUUGUUACCUCCCUUUGUAUGGACAGCAAUAGUGCCUUUUCCCACAGCUUUCUGCAUCUUUCCAUCUCCAAGCUUCACUUGCGAAUUAAAACUUUGGUCAAGGUUGAUGAAAAUGUCACGUUCUCCAGUCAUGUGGUUGCUACAACCGCUAUCCAAGUACCACAAAUUAUAUGAUUCACGUUCAGCACCUUUACUUGAAUAAAACAAGUAAUCUCCAUCACAUUCUUUUGUAAAAUUUGCCUCAUUUUUGCCUUUCUUAUUUUGAUACCAGCAAUCCCUUUGAGAAUGGUUAGGAAUGCGACACCUUGUGCAUUUAUAACGACAAUCUUUUGAUUCAUGAUUAGACCGAUUACAAAUGAUGCACUGAGAAUCUGAAUUUUGCUGUGAAUUCCCUCUGUCAUUUUUCCACUUGUUGCGGUUGUCGUUCUGUUCUCUUUGCCCUAUGCCACGCUGCUCGUUUCUUUGAGACGAGCCUCCGUUCUUCUGGUCUUUCUUGCUGCUUUUAUUCUGAUCUGAAUUAUUAAUCUUUGACUGAAAAGCUUGCUCUGUAGGCUGACUUGAAGGUCGAUUGAUUCUUUGCUCAUGAGACCGUAAUGAUCCUGACAAAUCUGAAAAAGUCAUCUUGGACAAAUCCUUUGAUUCUUCAAUGGCUGCUGCUACAUGAUCAAACUUUGGAGGAAGACAUCUCAGCACCUUUUCAUUCACCUUCUUGUCUUCAAUGGAGUCCCCACAACCUUUAAUCUGGUUCACAAUCUCAGUAACUCUACUGCAAAAAUCCUGAAUUCCUUCUCUGUCUUUCAUUGAUAAAUUAUCGAACUCUUUCCACAAAGUCUGUAACUUGAUGGUGACUGCCUUUUCAGAACCUUGAAAUUCUUGUUUUAGGAUUUUCCAAGCAUUUUUGGCCUUUUUGACACCAAAUAUUCUGGGGAAAAUUGACUUACUAACACCUUGCUGGAUAUAUCGAAGUGUCGUGGCAUUUCUCUGUAUGUUUUCUUUGUACUGCUGUUGAUGUGCUGGAGUCCAAUCUGAAGAACUUGCAGAUUCUGGUGGUUCAGCAUAUCCAUCUUCAACAACAUCCCAUAAAUUUUGAGAGAGGAAAAAGGUUUCCAUUUGAUUACUCCAAUAUUCAUAAUGUACCCCUUCAAAUAUUGGAACUUGACUGGGAGCAUAUGAGAAUAAUGUGGGUAGGGUAUUUGAUGUCAUUUUGAGGGUGUUUUGGAAAAGCUCUGAUACCAAAUUUGUUGGGUGCAAGCGGAAGUGCAGAAAAAUUUUUAUUUAAGAACAGAGUAUUUUGCUGGAAAUUUCUGAAACUUUAUUGCUUAAUUCAUUUUUUCGUUUCUCUCUUACUUUUCAUACAACCAGAGUUCUAUAUUUAUAUGCAUUAUAGACAACUCUAGAGAUUACAUUAAUCAUGCUUUACAUUUCCAAAGCCACAUUGCAAACAUCAAUUCUACCCUUUACUUUACGUUGAAAAACAAACCAAAUAACCCUUCAAACUUCUUGCUCAAUUUACUAGAUUACUAAUUAUAUCUCAACAUAUUAUUCCGUUUCUUCUAAGCUACGCAUACUUGCACAUCAGAAUAAAGUGAUAUACAAUGGUUGUGUGCAGACACAAACGCAUGAUCAACAGGAAAAAUCAUCUGAACAUUUGUAUUACUGAUUUGGCAUAUAAGAUUCUCAUAAUAGUUCAAAAUACAAAUAAAUGAAUAUAUAUAUAUUCCCCACCGGAAUCACCCCCUGGAUCCUCACUCAAGGUGUCUUCCGAGCCAGAAGAUCCCUCCUCACCACUAUUUCCGCUCGUGGAGGUUGUUUGGGGGGACAUCCUCCUAGCGCUAGUCCCAACACUAGACCUAAUGGGUUCUAAGGGGAUCCCGGGGUCAAAAGCAGGAUCGGUGAGCAGACUAGACAAGAAACCUAAUUCGUCGUCAUCAAUCUCAACGAUUUUCUCUUUACCCUUCGACAUUCCCUAAACUAUAAUCAGAACACCACCACCAACUACAACCCCAAGCAAAGCACAGAGAAAAGAAAUUAUCUACAACUAACCAAGACCGAGAAAAUAGAAGAAAUACCUGAAGCAGGGAUUCGAUCAGAGAGAGAUAGGGAUGAAAGCUUUAAUGCCGAGGUUCAUUCGCCGGAGAGACAAGAAGGGAGAAAAUGACGAGUUCGUGUUUGAGGAUUUUGGGUUUUCUUACUGAGAAGCAAACUCUUGGGCUGCCAGCAUUUAAUGACACAUAUUCCGAGAAUCUUGCAACCGUAGGUUUGAAAUUCAAAUGGAGGGGUGGAUUUCUGCCACAUCACUUCAUCUGCAAUUAAAUGCGACACGACUCUUGGCAGUCUUUUCCAGUCCCACGCGAGCAAGAACCGAUUGAGUUUCUACUGCUGGUCCAUUACAUUACCCAACACCAGAAACUGGGGGACUGGUGUUUGAGGGAAAUACUUCGACGAGACCAGACGUGAUGAGCAGAUAUUUGAUGGCAGAGUUCUGCAAACAGGUGUGUCUUGUAAGAGCCAGGUAGCAGGGGAACAGGAGUAGGAAUAUUCUGCUCGUCCACGAAUAUGCCAUUCACGAGGUCAAACUCCUGUUAGAGGCAUAAGGCCAUUCCUGCUAGAGGUCGAGAAGCGAGGAGACCCGGUCAACGACAGUUGGCAAGACGUGCAUUCCUAUCCGAGAAUCAAGGCACAAAGUCCAUCUCCAUUCGCCCACAAUGGCGAUAAUGGGGCAUCCAUAUCCCGGGGGGGGGAGAAUAAGGGGCGUGGACUACGGAAGAUCGGGAUUCAGAGGAAGCUUAUAAAAAGGUAGCCAACGAAGGUAAAAGGGUUAGAAUUUUUGAGAUUGCAACUAAGAAAAGAGAGCUCUAAGAACUGAAACUAAAGAGAAGCCAUAAGAUUCGUGGCAAACAUUCCCAGAACCUUCAUAUCUGACUUGAGCGUCGGAGGAUUUACGCCGGGAAAACGACCGGCGCACCCUGACCUGCUUUUGUGUUCGCAUGAAUUUUUGGGGAAGAAACCUUACGAGGAGAGAUCCUGGUCAUGGUAGAGUUGGUCGAGCAGAGGUCCUGGUCUUGGUAGAGAAGGCAACCAGAAUCUCGCAUCAACAAUUAUUUUACUUGAAAUUAUGUACAAUUGCAUUUCAUUCAUUUCUCUCUCUCUUUUUCUUUUUUCCCCCCAUAUAUUUUUUAUGUAUAAUUGCGUUUCAUUUAAUAUUGAUCAUACUGUAGGUAACCAUGUGAUUGUAGAUGGGGAUUUCAAGUUUGUUGAAUAUUCAUGUAAGUGAAGUAACCGUCACAAUACUAGUGAAAUUGGGAGCUUUAUUCAUGAGUUUGUGGUUUUGAAAAGUACCACAGUUCAGCUGAUGAAGGCUUCUUUUUGGGAUUCUUCUUUUCCUAGGCUGCAAUUAGGAUAUGUACAUGAUAGACAAUCUUUUGUUGGUUUGGCAUAUCUUCGCUGAUUUUGUCUUUUAUUCCCCAAUUUUAUAAUUACACACCAUGAAUGUUGGGUGAUUGCAUAGAAAAUUUGUGUUAUAACAAAAACAUUGUGAAGGAGUUUCUGUGCUAAUAGUUAGUGGCUUCUGUUUUAUUGGCAUUGAUUGGGUAGAUUACGUGUUACAGUGAUUCAAUUUGUGUUCCAAACUUUGCUUUAAUUUUCUGUUUUCCCCAACUAUUUAUGUCAAAUUUAAAUCCAGAAGCAUGUACUGAUUUUUUCUUUUUGUAUUAAUUUGUGAAGUUUAUUUGGAAUGGAAGUAACUGGGUCGGGUCUAAUGGAUUAAAUUAUGACAUUGAGGGGAAGGCACUAAAAGGGUUUGCUUGACACAUUUGGUUCUGUGUCUGCAAGAAAUAGCUUUUGCUUAUUGCAAUGCAGGGGGAAAUCCCGAUUUGGCUGGUGAAUUUCUCUGCAACAAACGGGCAAACACCUUGACUUCUUCUGUCCAUACUUCUGCUGGGGAGGCAAGGGGUAAAGAGUCUUCAAAAUCAUCAAAUAGUAACAUCUCUGAGAAUUCAUUUUAUGGAAAUGGAAAAUCUAGAGCUUCUAAUACAAAAUGGUAUCUGGUAUCAGGACGUACCGUUUCAAGUUUUCUUGGUAAAGAUUAUGUUAAACCUGCACAGCCAGCUAAUGGCACUUUUCUGGCAUCAAAGCCAUUGAAGUUGGAUCCAAGGGAGUUUCGCAUUUCUGCACUUUCAGAGAAGAAACUAAACCGAAACAAUCAAAGGAUGACCAUUUGCAGAAGGAUAUGGAAGAUUUUCUGUUUAAAUUGCUAGGAGAAGGGUUCCAGCUGUACAGGGAUGUGAUUCAGAUGGUUCAUGGUAACGUCUUAAAUAUAUUGAUGCCAAUUUAAUACAUAUUGUCCUUUUCAAUGUUCUUUCUUUCUUUCUCCUCUUUUUAUUCUUCUUCUUCUUCUUUUUUCUUUUCAUGUGCAUCUGAUCACUAAUUUGGUAUUAUUCUUAACUUGCAGAUAGUUGUGGAUAUGAUAUGCAAAAAGGUAAGGACUAUAUCUUCUUGAUGGAGGCCUCUGAUUUUUUAAAUCGCAUUUUCCUUUGUGAUUGAUAUAUCAUACCAAAGUCAAGUCUUAAAUACUGCUGUCAUAUGUUAAGGUUCAACUUCCAUUUUGAUUAACGUCGAUUUGCUACUGCUUCCAAAAGUGAGAAUGAGAUACUUUGGUUAAUUUCAGUAGUUGAACCCAAUAGAGUACUUUAUUUAGAUCUUCAUGGUUCAAAGGCCUGAAAAAACUUGCCGGUGUUUGCAAAAUGACAUUCUGUGCUUUUAUUUAGACUUAUUAUUAAAGACAACAUUUUGUUUCAGCCAAAAAUGUUUGUUUCGAUUAAAGACUGAUUUUAUAUUUCUAUUUUGUAACUUGAAAUAAUUGGUCUGCCUGUUUCUGUUGCUUGAUAACAUGAAUUUUUCCUUCUGAAGUUAAUUUGAUCAAUAAAGUAAUUCUUCGGAGAGGAUAUGCCCAUUCUAUAGUCAUUUUCUUAGCUAACAUGUUUUUUCUUCACUCUUCAGAGCAUGUCUAAACUAAUUGAUCGCUCAGCGGAGACUUUGGGUGAGAAGACAAAAUUUCUUGGUAAAUCCUCUGAAAAGGUAUGCAUAAUUCCCGAGUAUUAAAUAAUCAUUGGUCAUAAUUUUUGUACACGACUCUUUUUUUGGAGAUCGUUAAAAGUGGUUGAUGAUCUAUUUUGUAAUAUCAUAGAGGGAUCAUGAAUUCCUUUUCUUUUCUGUGGCUAGGCAACACUUUCGAGCCAAGCUAAGGAAAUCUAUUUUAGGUAAUGUGAAAACCAGUUGUAGGAUGUAAUAGUUUAUUAUGCCCUGCCAAUAACUUUUUGUAUAAUUGUCAGUUUAAUGAAUACAAGAGGAACUCUGUUGGCAAGUUCAUCCAUGAUAGAUGCUAAAAUUAUUUAUGCAUACCAGUUGCCUUAACUAAUUUUUCUCAACACUGGUAUUGAACAGGAAAAUGAAUAUGCAAUUUGUAUAUUGUGCCAUUGUGGAGAAUUUGGAUAUUCUUAUUUAAGUAACAAGGAGAGUAUUUGCCUCAUCUUUAAACAAUGAAUCUUUGAGAAAUGAGGAGUGGGUGAUUGGCAGUGUCUUCAUGUAAAUGUUCAUUUAUUUGUAUUUUGAACUAUUAUGAGAAUCUUUGUAUGCCAAAUUAGUAAUACAAAUGUUCAGAUGAUUUUUCCUGUUGAUCAUGCGUGUGUAUCUGCACACAACCAUUGUGUACCACUUUAUUCUGAUGCGCAAAUAUCUGUAGUUUAGAAGAAAAGAAAUAAUAAUCAUAUAUUAUUGCUUGGUUCAUGAUUAUUAAACGAUUAUGGCUUUAGAAAAUCCACAAAUCCUUUGUGUUCAUAUAUGAAUGUGCGAAGUUCGCUAUAUCUUAGAUUACCUUCUUCCAAGAUAACAAGUUCAUAUAUUUUUUAAUCCUUUUUCAUCACAGUUGAAUUUCAAGUGUAAGUUUUGUUAUUAAUAGCUGGUUUCCUGUUAUUAUGAUUUCAUAAACAGUAAGAGGAUAUGUGCUCUACUUUUGGAGGGCCUCCACAUGAAAGAAAAUUGCAACAAUUGAAUUCUUCCGGAGGGUAUGGUAUUUAAUUUAUUUUCUCAGCUUGUUGUAAGACUAAUAUAUUUCCUUCAGUACGCACGGCAUGGUGGGAAGGGUUUUUAUUGAAACAGUUAUGAUAUUUCUUAGACUUUGUUUUGGAAGGGGGUGGAGGGAUUUCUCAUCCAUAUAUGGUUACUUGAUUAGCUUUUGACUGUAUUGUCUCCGUCGUGCAAAGGAAAAUCCAAAUACUAACGAAGGGGAAUUGCUUAGGCACCCAAAGGACAGAAAUGAAUUACGGAAGGAAGUUUUUGCUGCUUUAUUUAGUGCUGCUGAGAAAUCUGAUGGAUUUCCUGAAAUUACGGUGAAGACGGAGUGGAGGUCCAACGCAUUAGGAAAGGUGGUGAGUGAACCGCCGGAGGAAUUAGUACCAGAACACAAGGCUAAUGUGGUGCACUGGCAGCAAGAUGACCAGACCUGUAUGUGCUCUUAUAUUAACUAUAUUGGCUGGAUUUGUGAGUGUGUACAUUUUUGUGUGUAUACUCACUUUUGGAUUUAUGCAUAUUAACGUGUGUAGGAUUCUCGAUUUCUGCCACUUACUGGAGAACUAGUGGAAAGCUUUAUACUGAUAUAUGUGCUAUAUAACUAAUGGAAACUACAAUAUGAAUAUUUUCUCUCACCUGGAGAACAGUGUAACUGAUAUAAUUUGUGGCUCUGGAAUACUGAAGAUUCUGCAAUAACUAAUGGAAAAUAUGAUAUGAAUAUUUUUUCUCACCUGGAGAACUUUGUAACAGAUACAUUUUGUGCUGGAAUGUCUAAAGAAUGCUUCAGUUUAGAUCAAAUAUCUUUUAGUUAGAAAAGAUAAAAUUCUCUGAAUCUGAAAGACUGAAACAUUUUGCAUAUUUCGUGAAAGGCAAGUAUCUGUAGAUACUAGCUCAUGCAUUGAGGUAAUAUCAAUGUUAAAGAAAAACAGCAAUAAUUUAUUAUACAGAAUUAGGUUCACUUGCUUUAAAUGCUGGUCUGAUCAACCAUAUCAACCUGUAAUGGUCCUGCAGAAAUAUAUAUACGGGGAGAAACUAGCUAAUUUUCCUUUCACUUAUGGGUUUGGUCUUUUUUUUCCCCUAUUUUUCAGCUUUCCUUCUCCUGAAGUAUGUUAACAAUUGCAGAUAAUGACGAAGAGGACCGCUUCCAGGCUCUUUGUAGAGCUGUGAUGGAAUAUAGGGGCACAAUGAAAGAAUAUUGUAAGGCUGUAUGUACUUUCUCUCAUGUCAUUUAUGUUUUCUCACACAUUUUGUAUAUGCCCUGAACAUGCAGCUUUGUAUGUGUCAAUUGCCUUUUACGUUUUAAAAGCCAUAAAGUAAGAAUACAGUUCCUUGUCAGGCUAUUGAUGCGUUCGCUCAGAAGGGUCAUGUUCAAGCAGGAAAACUUCUAGAACAGGUAAGGUUUCCAUCUACAGCCAUCCAUUGACAGCAGAUAUAUUUUCAUUAAGCAGACACUGUUAGCAUUCAAGAUGCUGGCAGAUUCACUUGAUUCUUAUUAGUUUGUUUAGUGGCAAACCAUAUAACCUGUAUUUCAAAGCCAAGUUGUGCUAUUGAUUAUGUUAACUUUAUUGUUAACAUAAAGUGAUAUGGAGGACAUAAUCAAUGUAGGAAAAUUAGGUGAAGAGAUGAUGUCAAAUCUUGAACCUCUUACAAAGCUCCAAGUUCUUUACUUGAAGAAGCUGCCAAAUUUGAAGAGCGUCUACUGGAAGGCAUUUCCAUUCCCAGAUGUAUGCAGAAUUUUUGUAUUAAUGCCCAGUUCUUAAGAAGCUGCCACUGGAUUUUCAAGGGGCGGGCCAAGGUAAAAUUCUUAUCAAGGGAAAGGAAGAUUGGUGGAAAGAACUUCAAUGGGAGGAUCAAGCAACUCAGAAUGCAUUGCUUCCAUUUUUCAAAUCAACUGACAAGUGAUUGAAGGGGGCAUCAUCAACAUCAUCAACUGGGAUGGAGAGAUUAUGGAGCAGAUCAGCAGGGUUUGUAUAUGAUCUUUGGUGGUUGCUUUCUUUUGUGAUUUUUUUUUUCUCAUUUUUUUCCCUUCCUGUCAUUUUAUCAUUUCUUUGUCUCGUUUUCUAUUGCUGAUGUUAGUGUAUGCUUACUGUUGCUUGACAAAGUUUGCUUGCUUCUUGUUUAUUAAUUUUUUUAUGGUCACAAAAUAUUACUUGUUCUAUUUGAGAGUGAUGUGAAUCAAUUUUCAAUUAUAUAUUUUAUGGUCAAUGUGAAUUCAAUUUCAUUUGUCUCCUGCAAUUAUUUAAAAAAUGCAGAGUCAUAAUAUGGAAAAGUCGACCGGCAAAAACUUUGUGAAAGCUUCGGAGUGAAACAGGGAAUUCACUUACUAACAGGGAAUUCACUUACUACUAAGGACAAUUGGUGGCGAGCUAUUCCAUUCAUUUUAUGUCCAUACAUCUAUUUAAUUAUUAAAGAUAAGUGGUCCAUUUGUAAAUUUCAGAUUGUGUCUCUCUGAAAAUAACAAUAUUUAAAAUGUCUCUUAAAUUAUUAUAAAUUUUAAUUCACUCUCGAUUUAAAAUGGAACAUGCUGAUGAAAUUUUUUUUCUUCUUAAUAAAAUUGAAAUAAAUUGUGUUUGCAGUAGUUUGAAAUAUUUUAAAGAUUAUUAUUUUAUAAGGGAGUAAUAUGAAAUGAAAUUUACUUUUCAUGCGUGAAAUGUUGAAAAAGGACACAGCAAGUGUCCCUGCUUUUAUUUUAUUUCAAAGUGGAGUCAUCUCACAUACUUUAACUCUAUCGUUACAAUUUUUCAGGUUACAUUUUUAUUUAUUUAUUUAUUUUCUUUUUUACACAUGCAUGUGGGUUACUUUUCCGUAAGCUCCUUAAUAUAUAUAUUUAACACAAAUCAUGGAAGAGAUGGGAGUAUAUCAAGAUGAUCAAAGCAUGAAACAAAAAUAUUUAAGAAGUAAAACACUGAAAAUAGAGAAGAGAUGCAAGCAAAAGAUAUUCCAAAGAAAAGCAAUCUAUCUCCUUUCGAAGAAUGUUAUGGAAGAGUUGAACCCAGCGAAGAAUGUUAUGGAAGAGCAAAUUAAUGAUAUUUUUGAUAGAGUCUAUUUGAUUAUGUAGCCUGAAUAGAUGUCUUGUUGAAAGAUAUCUCAGUGCAUUAGUUCAUCCUUGACUGUCAAUGUGUUUUUAAUGGUUUUUCCAAAUUUUUAUUAUUAUAGAUUGAUUGUAAAUUUGAUAUGAAUUUAAUGUUGAAAUGUUUUCUCUUUAGUGGAAUGAAUUUAAAAGUGCAAAAGCUUAUUGCACACAGAGAAAUAAACAUAUAUGCUUUAUAACUUUAGCAAUCGAUUCUUUUACAGCUGGAAACAGAGAUGAUGAUUAUCAUAGGGGUGAAGAAAAGGACAAAAAAUGUUAAUGGUUAACGAAAUUUCUAUGCAAAUUGAUUUUAGCAGGAAAAAAGUGAGCUAAAUGAUCUUAAUGUUCCACAAGAAAAAGCAAGAUCUUAAUGUUCCACAAAAGCGUUAUUUAUUUUUUUUUGGUGAGCCACGUGGAGCUCAAUUAUCAUUGUCUUUACUUUAAAAACGUUAUUUUAUUUUCUUUUAUUACAAAUUAAUGCUAACAAGAAAAAGCAAGAUAUAAUAUUCCACAAAAGCAAAUCGUAAUAUUCCACAGAGGAGUAAGAUCCACAAAAGCAAACAACUAGCUGGAUUCUUUUAUUGAACUACAAAUUAAAACAACAAAUUAAAGUUCAAAUAUUUAAAUAGUAGUGCGUUAGACGAUUAGGCUCUUUUAUUAAAGGGAAGUAUAAAGUAGUCCAGAAUCGAACAUCUCUAUUGUCUAGUCUUUUUUUUUUUUUUUAAUUCUUCUUUUAUUAUUUUUCAGAAUAGGUUUUGGUGAUUACUAUUGGGUUAUUAUUGAGAGUUAUUGUUAUCUUCCGGGGCAGUUUCUGUUAAUCGAAAUCGUUAAUUAAAAUUUUAGAACUCUUAUUGGAAGAAUGUUUUUCCGUUAUUUUUUUAUAUUCUAAUUUCAAUUGUAAGAAGUAGUCAUUUUAGAAUUUGGGUCUUGAAUCGAAUUUCAAUGCAUGAAUUAAUAUUUAAAAAAAAAAUUACUACACGCAGUUUAGGUUACAAACUAUUUUUUGCAAAGUUGAUUAUGAAAUUGGAAAAAUUAAGUAAUUUAUAAUGUUUGCAAAGGAAGAGACUAACAUACUUCCAAUUACACUAUAUCUCUAUUAUCAUAAUGUUAAGAUUAAACUAACUUAAAAUAAAUUUUAUUUGAAAAGUUAUAUCAAACGCAGUCUAAUUUUAUUAACUUGAAGAGAUAAUAGUUAUAGAAAUUAUUGUUCUAACUUAAUUAGUACAAGUGGUAUAAAGGUUAAGUGUGCACUAAAUUUGUUUAAAUUUUUUCCAGAAUAACUAACAGAGGUCAUUACUAGAAUUAUAAUUACUAGUCUAUUAGAUAGAAAAAAUUAUUUAUAUUGUUUUAUAUUUAUUAAAAAAUUUUAAAGUCAAUCUUUUUAAUUAUUAUUUAAAGGAUAUUAUAAUUAAAAAAAAUUUAAUGUCUUUAUUAAAAAUUUAAAAAUUUAAAAAUUUAAAAAUUUACAUGACCGCUCUAUAAAUAUUGAAAGUGUAACUGUCAUUUUCUCAUAUAUAUAUAUAUAUAUAUAUAUAUAUAUAUAUAUAAACCACGGUGGUGAAGCUUUAUUUAAUAUUAAUGAUUUAAAUAACAAUAUCUCAAUUAAAAAUGUAGAGAGAAGAAAUUUCGGUGGGUAUAUUAGUCUUUUACAAUUAUCAUGAUUAACCCUUCCUCUUGUAACGUUGGUCAGAAAAGUUUUAAAAUGCCUUGAUUUCUUUUACUUUUAACGUUAGCGGCCUUCCUUAUAUUUUAUUACAAAUUAGUCCUAACAAGAAAAAGCGAGAUCAUAUUCCAAAAAAGCAAAAGUGACAAAAAAACCAGCUGUAUUCUUUUAUUAAACUACAAUUUAAAAUGAUUUUAAAGUGGAUUCUUUUGAAUACAGGUGGGGUAGUCGAAUAGUCUUUUUCAAAUUCUUGUUUUAUUAUUUUUCAAAACUAGUUUUUGGUAAUUACAAUCGGGUCAUUCAUUAGUCAUUAUUCAGAGUUAUUGUUAUCUUCGGGGGCAGUGGGUAAAAGGCUAAAUGAUAAUUACUAAGUGUUUUUCCUUCAAAAGUUAGUGGCUCGUGUUUUGCAAGUGUGUACGUGCGAUGCUCUUUGUCUAAAGGCAAUUACAGUGGGUCCCGAAUCGGACGUGCCUAAUAAAUCUUUUAAAAAUUUUUCUAAUAAAUAUUCCUAAAAUUUCUCUUCCACAGGCAAUUACAGCAGCUUCAGUUAAUCAAACUCAAUCAAUUUUCUUUCUUAACAAAAUUCCAAAGAUGUGUGGCUGUUUUCAGAUCACAUGCGAUGGUACUUUUUUCAAUCGUUGCUUAGAUUGCUUUCUUGGAAAAGCAGCAUACAUACGUAACCUCCAAGAUAACCUCGUUGCCUUGGAGACUGAACUAAGGAAACUAAUCGCAGCAAAGAACGAUGUGAUGACGGCGGUUGUCAAUGCUGAACGGCAACAAAUGAGAAGGCUGGAACGAGUGCAAGUGUGGGUUUCGAGUGUGGAUUCUGUUAAAACUGGAGCCGAUGAACUUAUCACAGACGGCUCUGAAGAAAUUGGCAAAUUAUGUGUUGGAGGCUACUGUUCCAAGAACUGCAGGUCAAGCUACAAGUUCGGAAAACAAGUGGCUGAAAAGCUACAACAUGUGAAGAAUUUAAUCGCCGAGGGAGUUUUUGAGGCGGUGGCCACUGAGGUGGUGCCCGAGAGAGCUCCGGAACCUGUAGCAGAUAAAAGACCCAUUGAGCCAACAAUAGUAGGCUUGCAAUCACAGCUUGAAGAAGUUUGGAGAUGUCUUGCAGAAGAAUCAGUGGGAAUCAUUGGCCUAUAUGGUAUGGGCGGUGUUGGUAAAACCACACUAUUGACCCAUAUCAACAAUAAAUUUCUUGAGAGUCCCACAAACUUUGAUUGUGUGAUUUGGGUCGUAGUUUCAAAAGACCUGCGACUUGAAAAAAUUCAAGAAGAUAUUGGGAAGAAGAUAGGUCUAUCUGAUGAUUCAUGGAAGAAUAAAAGUUUUGAAGAGAAAGCUGUGGACAUCUUGCGGAGAUUAGGAGAGAAGAGAUUUGUAUUGUUGUUAGAUGAUAUAUGGGACCGGGUUGAUUUAACAAAGGUGGGCGUUCCACUUCCCGGACCACAAAAUACUACCUCAAAAGUCGUAUUCACAACCCGUUCCAUCGAUGUUUGUGGCAGCAUGAGAGCUAGGCCGGUUAAAGUGGCAUGCCUAUCAGAAAAGCAAGCUUGGGAACUGUUCCACGAAAAUGUUGGGGAAGAAACUCUUGAGAGUGAUCAUGAGAUCGUUGAGCUAGCCCAAACAGUGGCCAAAGAGUGUGGUGGUUUGCCACUCGCACUUAUUACUAUUGGUCGAGCUAUGGCCUACAGAAAGAAAGCGGAGCAGUGGAGACGUGCAAUUGAAGAGUUAAGAAGAUCAGUUUCAGAGUUUGCAGGUUUGGGAAAAGAGGUGUAUCCUUUUUUAAAGUUCAGCUAUGAUAGUUUGCAGUAUGAUACGGUUAGAUCUUGUUUCUUGUAUUGUUGUUUAUAUCCUGAAGAUUAUGGCAUUCUUAAAUGGGACUUGAUUGAUUGUUGGUUUGGCGAGGGAUUUUUUGGGGAAUCUGACAGGUCUGGUGCAGAAAACCGAGGAUAUGGCAUUUUGGACACUCUUGUUCGUGCAUGUUUAUUAGAAGAGGUGGAAGAUGAUAAAGUAAAAAUGCAUGACGUUAUUCGUGAUAUGGCUAUAUGGAUAGCUUGUGAAAUUGAGAAGGAGAAGAGAAACUUUUUGGUUUGUGCAGGUGCUGGAUUAAAAGAGGCACCGGAUGUUAAAGGAUGGGAAAAUGUGAGAAGAUUGUCAUUGAUGCAAAACCAAAUUAAAACUCUGUCAGAGGUUCCUACAUGCCCUCAUCUCCAUACUCUAUUUCUUGACUUUAAUAAGGAGUUGGAGACGAUCGCGGAUGGCUUCUUCCAAUUUAUGCCUUCUCUCAAAGUUUUGAAGAUGUCAAACUGUGGGCAUGUCAAAGUUUUGAAAUUACCUAUUGGGAUGUCAGAGUUGGGUUCAUCACUAGAACUUCUUGAUAUUUCAAAUACCAACAUAACAGAGUUACCAGAAGAGUUGAAGUUGUUGGUAAAUCUGAAAUGUUUGAAUUUGAGGUGGACAAUUUGUUUAAAUAAAAUUCCAUGGCAACUAAUAUCAAAAUUUCAAGGUUACGUGUGUUGAGAAUGUUCGCUACUGGCUUUGCACGUUUUGAUGCAGCAUCAGAAGACAGCGUUUUAUUUGGUGGGGGUGAAGUUUUAGUACAGGAAUUGGUCGGUCUGAAAUAUUUAGAGGUAUUGGAGUUGACCUUGGGAUGUCAUCAUGCUCUCCAAAUUUUUUUGAGCUCAAAUAAGUUAAAAAGUUGUAUUCGAUCUCUUCUCCUCCAAUUGGCCGGAGAUACAAAGUCGAUUAUUGAUGCUACGGCUUUCGCAGAUCUAAACCACCUCAAUGAAUUAUGGAUUGAUAGGGCUAAGGAGUUGGAAGAAUUGAAGAUUGAUUGUAAAGAAAUAGUACAAAAAAGGCGGGAACCUUUUGUUUUCCGCAGCCUUCACCGUGUUACUAUACAUAGCUGCCAGAAGUUGAAAGAUUUGACAUUCCUCGUUUUUGCUCCAGACCUCAAGUCUCUCGAUCUAGACCGUUGCGAUGCUAUGGAAGAAAUAAUCAGCGUCGGAAAAUUUGCUGAGACUCCUGAGAUGAUGGGACAUAUAAGCCCUUUCGAAAAUCUCCAAACUCUUCAUUUAAGAGCGUUUAACAUCUUUUCUCGACGACCUGCACGAUUGCCUUUCACUCAUCUGAAGGAAAUGGAGGUAAGUGGGUGCGAUCAGCUUAAAAAGCUUCCACUCGAUUCCAACAGUGCAAAAGAGCGUAAAUUUGUUAUUCGUGGAAAAGAAGACUGGUGGAACCGACUUCAAUGGGAGGAUGAAGCCACUCAAAUUGCUUUUCGUUCCUGUUUCCAACCUGAGCGGUUAGUCGCAAAAUUUGAUUUCUGGUGAUUGCGUUUGUCUUUUAACUCUUAUAUAUAUUCUUGUCGUUUGUUUUCUUCUCUGUUUUUAACUCUUAUAUUGCGUUUGUCUUUUGAAAAUCUCCAAUUAAAUGUUGAAUUAAUGGAAUUAAUGCUUCAUAAAUUUGCCGGCACUGCCAUCACUUUUUUUUUUUUUAAUACAAAUUGAUACUUUAUUUAUAUCUUCUUAGCGAUAUAAUUUCCUGUCAAUUGACGAACGAGAAGAACAUACGACUUAAACCAAUUCACGCAUAAACUUGCUGUAAAAAGAUAUAAUCUCACUGAAAUGCACACGUCUAGAAUGAAUAGAAUUAAAACAGGGAAAAUAUUUAAGUAUAUUAGCCCUCUUUACCGAAAAUGAAAUGACAAUAAAUUUUUUGAAAGUUUUGAUUUUCUAUGGUCAAUUCCACCUUUUGCAAUUUCUUCUGUUCUAACAAAAACCAAUUUCUUUGUUCAAGUAUUUUCGUUUGGGUAUUAAUAAUUCUCCACCGAAAGAGUGAACUCUUGCUCAAGGGAUCUCUAAUCAAUAGCCGGAAGGGCGCCGAGACCUGAUCGGACCUAGGCCCAAGUUUGGUCUUAAAGCCUGGGCUUGAGCCUGGCAAUUAAAUUAAAACAUUAAUUGAUUUCUUGAUUGAAUUGUCGUGUAAUUGAUUUAUGGGGGAUGACACAUCAACAUGCUUGAAAACACACUAAUCUCAGCAUCAUCGGUUAAUAACUUUUAGAAUUAUGGGUAAUCAAUAGUUAAGAUUAGUUGUCAUUAAUACUAAAUAUUUUUUUACUAUUUUCGUCUCUUCUAGAGGAUCUUCUAGAAAAAUGCAUCCACAACAAAAUUUAAUACUUUACAUAAUAAACAAAGCAUAAAUGUUAAAUUUAAGAAACUGCAUUGUAUUUCAGCUGAAGUUGACUUUAAUAUUUAGGGUAGAAAAAUAAUAAAUCCUUAAUGUGUUUAAUUUCUAUCACUUGUGUCAUUAAAAUUUUCUAGUCACCCUAACCAAUUACAUCUCAACCCACUUUUUUUUGGAUGAUUUUAUUUUUACACUAUUAUUUUCAUCAUUUUUUUUCCUUUUAACACCAACAUUAGUGUAUGUUACGUAACAUAAUUCAUAUUUGGAUAAUUUGAAAUUUGUUUGUGUUUUAUCUCAAAAUAGAGCUUCAAUCAAUUUGUACCUCAUAAAUUCACAAUAUCUAUGAGGGCUAAUAAGACCAAACUCUGGCAUAUUGUCAAAUGUGCUUAUCCUUUUGCUUGACAUGUCAUUUUAAAAUUGUCAUUCAAUGCCAAAAAAUCACAUCAACUGAUGGCCGACUACUUUAAUUUGAAAGCAUGCAUGCGAUCGCCAAUAAUUAUAACUUAAUUGUUAUUUUGAAAUUUUUUUCUUUAUAAUUUUUAAGUUUAAUACUACUACAUGUGCAGCACAUAAGUUGGAAAAUAUAACAUAAAAUUUGAAAAAUGUGUAGCUUUCGUUCCUUUUUUUUCUUAAAAAUGAGGAAAAAGAAUGUAAUUUUGUUUAAAUUACUGUUGUGAUAACAAUUAUUAUUUUAUUGAUUAAUUGGCAGAGAAUGGUUAUGGUUUCGCAUGGUUGUUAAAACAUUGGAAAAUCCACUACAUCAUCCGUUAAUAACUUUCAGAUUUAUGGUUAAUCAAUAGUUGAGAUUUGUUAUCAUUAAUGUUAAAUAUUUUUUUAAUAUUUUUUCUCUCUCCUAGAGGAUCAUCACAGCAAAAAUUUAAUAUUAUAAAUAGUAAACAAAAUAUAAACAGUUAAAUCUAAGAAACUGCAUUGCAUUUCAGCUGAAGCUAACUUUAAUAUUUAAUGGAGAAAAAUAAUUAAGUCCUUAAUGUACUUUAUUUACCCAUACUGAUACGCUCUUAAUUCGUGAAACUGAGCAACAUCAAAAUUAUCACUACUUCGAGCGAGUGUUUGCUCCAGAAGAAAGAACUGGAAGUUGAGAAAUGAGAAAGAAGAAAAGAAGAAGAGUCACAGCGAGGAAUAAAAGUGGUCCAUUCAUUUCAUGCCUUCCCAAAAUGACAAAAUCCCGCAAUAUAUAACAGACAAUCGAAAAUAACCAAUUUGACAACGCAACAGAAAAUGACAAAAAAGAAUCCAAAACAAACGUAGCCAAUCACAAUGCUUUUACAGAUCAUCCUAAACGACGUAGUCUCGUAGCCAAUCUAGAAGUUUCUUGUUUCGUUUGGGCCGUUGAUUCUCUUGCACUGGCUCAUGGUGAAUGUCCUCUUUGGGUUGACUGACUGUGGGUUCUCGGUUGAGCUCUUCCACUUGCGCCCCCUCUAAUGGCUCUAAUUUGAUAUAUAAAUUCGUAUCAUUCCCUCCUGCUUGAAAACACACAUUGUCCUCAAGGUGAAAUGCUGGAUAGAGCUUACAAAAGGCGUCAAAGUUUUCCCAAGACGAAUUCUUCGGUGAACUGACGGUCCAUUGAACUAACACUUGAAGCGUUGGCUUCCCCUGUUGCAAAACUAUUCGGGUUGCACAAAUGGCAGCCGGUAGCAAAAGAGGAUGGUUAUCCACACUCAACUCUGGUAAAGGAUGUGAAAUAGCAGGGUCGUUGCCAUGAUAAUGCUUAAGGACAGAGAUGUGAAAAACCGAGUGGAUUUUGGAAGUAUUGGGUAACUCCAAUUUGUAAGCUACAUACCCCACUCUAGCAAGUACCGUAAAUGGCCCGUAGUAUCACUUGGCCAACUUCUGACAGGCGCGAGAAGCUAUAGUGGUCUGUCGAUAUGGCUGUAAUUUAACCAGCACUUUAUCCCCUACUUCAAAGUGAGCUUCACGGCGAUGGGCAUUAGCUUUCUGAGCCAUUCGAUGUUGUGCUUGCCUCAAAUUAGCUUUUAAAGAUUGGAGAAGAGUAUUACGUUCAAGGAGAAUGUCCUCCAAAGUUUGGAUUGAAGUAGAGCCCUUAGCAUAAUGAGGAAUAGUUGGAGGCAAUCGGCCAAAUAAAGCUUGAUAGGGAGACAUCUUCAAGCCACUGUGGAAAUGAGAAUUAUAACUAAAUUCUGCCCAACUCAGUAAGGAAACCCACUUCCGUGGUUUGUCUUGAGUGAAAGCUCGUAAAUAUUGCUCCAAUCCUCAAUUUACCACUUCCGUUUGACCAUCCGUUUGAGGGUGGUAUGCCGUGCUAUGACGAAGAGUUGUGCCACUUAAGAGGAAUAAUUGUUUUCAAAAAUUGCUCAAGAACACUGGGUCUCGAUCGGAGAUAAUUGAACUUGGAAAACCAUGUAUUUUAAUGACCAUGUCCACAAAGAGUUCAGCUGUCUUGAGGGCAGUAAAUUGACAGGGUAACGGACCAAAAUGGGCAAAUUUUGUAAGACGAUUGACAACAACCAAUAUGACCGAGAAACCUUGUGCUAACGAAAGACCUAUAACGAAAUCCAUUGUGACCUCAUCCCAAACCAUAUUAGGUAUCGGCAAUGGUUGAAGAAGACCAGCAGGGGCUUGAGUGGAAUACUUAGUUUGCUGGCAUAUUAAACACUCUCGGAUAAACGUUUCCACAUCAUGACGCAUCUUGGGCCAAUAGAAUGUUGAAGAUAAUCUGAUUAAGGUUCUAGUGACACCCACAUGACCUGCCAGUGGUGUAGAGUGAAAUUCUUGCAAUAGUACGACUUUUAAAGAGGAGGUAGGACUGAUGUAAUAACGCUGACGGUGGAGAAGAAAUCCGUUUUGAACAGAGAAGUCAACUGACAGUUUGCCUUGUAAAAGUUGCUGGUGAAGUGAUAUUAAAUCAGGUAAUGUGGUAUUCUCAUUAAGUAAUGACUGCAGCAAUUCAAAUGAAGGAUGGCUGUUGAAAGAAAGGCAAGUGGGGGAGAUGUUGAUGUUAUCCUCAGGAGCUGUUUCAUGGACACGGGAUAGAGCAUCAGCGGCGCUAUUGGUACAACAUGGUCUGUACUCAAUUCUGAAUUGGAAACCCAAUAAUUUGCGGAGAUAAACUUGCUGAUCUAGUGUUUGUAUCACUUGUUGAAGGAGUUCUUUGAUACUCUUAUGAUCCGUGCGGAUAACAAAGAAUCGGCCCAACAAAUACUGCCGCCACUUAUACACAGCUUCUACAAUUGCAUGCAACUCCUUGAUGUAAGUGGAAGAAGCCCGCAAUUUGGGACCCAACUUCUUGCUGAAAUAAGCAAUUAAAUGCCCAUGUUGUGUAAGUACAGCUCCUAUGCCUACAUUAGAAGCAUCGGUCUCAAUGACGAAUUCGAAAGUAAAAUUCGGCAACUUAAGGACUGGAGCUUGCACCAUUGCUUGUUUAAGAGCUUCAAAGGCCUCCAUGGCUGUCAAAUUCCAUUGAAAGGCAUCAUUUCGCAGCAAAUCAGUGAGUGGGGCUGCCAAGGAAGCAUAACCACGGAUGAAGCGCCUAUAAUAUCCAGUGAGACCAAGAAAACCCCUCAACUGUUUGAUAGAACGUGGAAUUGGCCAAUUAAGCAUGGCAUCAAUCUUUUGGGGGUCGGCUUGUACUCCCGAGGCUGAAACAAUACGGCUUAGAUACUCAAUAGCGGCUUGGCAAAACAAACAUUUGGAUAAUUUAAUAAAAAAUUGAUGAAGAUGUAAACAAGCUAAUACUUUCUCAAGAUGAAGCAAAUGCUCGGCCAUGGAGGAGCUAUAAACCAAGAUAUCAUAAAAAAAAACGAUCACAAAUUUCCGGAGAUGAGCUGCAAAAAUCUGAUUCAUUGUGGCUUGAAAAGUGGAUGGGGCAUUUGUCAACCCAAACGGCAUGACAAGAAACUCAUAAUGGCCCUCAUGUGUUCAAAAUGUCGUUUUGUAUAUGUCGCGGUUGUGGACACGAAUUUGAUGGUAUCCCGCGCGCAAAUCCAAUUUGCUAAAAAUGGUGGCGCCCCCAAGUUCAUCAAACAACUCAUCGAUUGUCGGUAUAGGAAAUUUGUCUUUGAUGGUUACGGCAUUUAAUGCACGAUAGUCAACACAAAACCGAUAGGUGCCAUCUUUUUUCUUGACCAAGAGAACCGGGGAGGAAAAAGGGCUUUAGUUCGGUCGGAUUAUGCCCUACUCUGACAUUUCCCUGAUCAGUUUUUCCAUUUCAGAUUUCUGGAAGUGUGGGUAGCGGUAUGGACGAACAUUGACGGGGGCUGUGUUGGGUAAUAAAUGGAUUUUGUGGUCAAUAGUUCUGUGCGGUGGUAGGCUAGAAGGUUGGAGAAAUAGGUGUUUGUAUUGCUGUAAAAGGUUGAGAAAUUGAGCAGGAAGGGAAAAAGGAAAUUCAAGUGAGGAAGUGUCUGUGAUGGAAAAUGAAGGCAAAGCAUCGAUAGCGGGCACUGGUUGUAAGGCACAAAGGCUGGUCACGGUAUCACUUUGAACCAAUACCUGCAAUUGAUUAUAAGUGAUCAAAUUAUUAGAAGACAAAUCACCAUGAAGCAUCACUGGUUGCUCAUUUAAAGAAAACUCCAUAGGACACUUUGCCCAAUUUCUGUAGCCAUUGAAUGCCAAGGACCACAUAUGUGCCCUCAAUUGGCAAAAUGAAGAGGUCUACCAUAAAAGCCGUGCCUUGCAUUGUUAAGUUCACUUGAGGACAGAACUGUUUACACACCAGGAAGUCACCGUUGCCAAUAUACACUCGGAAAUUGGUAGUUGGAUGAAUGGCUAACCCCAAUCGUUCCGCUAACGCCGGUUUUAUGAAAUUGUGAGUGUUGCCACUAUCAAUCAGCACUUGAAAGGUGUGCGAAUCAAUUUCUCCAAUUAAACGAAGAGAGCGAGGAUUGGCCUGCCCUGCUAGAGCAUUUAAGCUAGAGAUGUCACCAGUAAUACCAGCAUCUACCAAUUCUGAUGGUUCCUCGUUAUUUUUGGGUUCCAAUUCUUCAUCAUCCGUGCCCAUGAGAAGUAGAAAUUUACUGCGACAGAGAUGAUUGUUGCUGUAUUUUUUGUCACAAUUGUAACAUAAACCCUUCUCGCGUUUGUCGCAAAGUUCAGCCGAAGACAAACGGCGAAUUGGUAAUGUUGGUGUCGAUAAUAAUGCAGGUAAAGUGUUUGAUUUAUUGGUAUUGUGGGUUUGUGAGGGAAGAGUUGAAGAUGAUACGGGGGUGAUGGCUGUGGUAACAGUUGCAAGUGAUGAGGAUGGAUAAAUGGGUUUGGGUUGUGUUUGGAAACCAUGUGAAAGGGGAUAUGGUUGCUGCCAUUUAGGCCAUGAGCGUGAGCUCUGUUUCACUUCGUCAUAUUUGGCCUCAAAAGCACGAGCUAAAGUUUCCAUUAGUGAAGACGGUCUAGAGAAAAGCAAUUCCCGUCGAAUGUUGGGUUUCAGACCAGUGAUGAAAAAACUAAUCAAAAGAAGUUCAGAAAUUCCAGUGACCUUGUUCAUUAAAUCUUCAAAAGCUGACUGGAAAUCUGCAACCGUGGUAGUUUGACUCAAUUUGGACAAAUCACCUUGGGGAUCUUCACACAAAGAAGCACCAAAACGAUAGCGCAAGUUAGCUAAAAAUUCUUGCCAAGUAGUGAGCAAGUGAUUGUUCUUUAUCCAUUGAUACCACGCUGCAGCGCGACCCUCCAUAUGAAAAGAGACAAUCCGUAGUCGGAGGAUCUCAGGUGUGUCAUGAAAGUCAAAAAAUUCUUCUAUUCGAAAAAUCCAUCCAUUUGGGUCAGACCCAUCGAAUUUGGGCACAUCCAUUUUCAUGGAACAAAGUACUGGAGAAACUUUAGAACCAGUAAGAACGCCAUCAUAUUUAGAAGAUGAAGGGUGUGAAGGGUUGGAGGAACCAACUGGUUUGUUGGAAGACCCAUGAAUUUAUGUACGUAACUCCUCAAAACGAGAGUCAACUGAUGUCAUGAAUUGUUGGAUUGUUUGAUGGAUGGACAGUUGCUACCCAUCAAGUUUGGCGUCAAAAGUUGCUUGAAGGGUCUGUAAAGCAUAAAGAAUUUCAGAAUUUGCCAUGAUCAAUGAAAGCACCAGUGAUACGCUCUUAAUUCGUGAAACUGAGCAAUAUCAAAAUUAUCACUACUUCGAGCGAGUGUUUGCUCCAGAGGAAAGAACUGGAAGUUGAGAAAUGAAAAAGAAGAAAAGAAGAAGAGUCACAGAGAGGAAGAAAAGUGGUCCAUUCAUUUCUUGCCUUCCCAAAAUGACAAAAUCCCGCAAUAUAUAACAGACAAUAAAAAAUAACCAAUUUGACAACGCAACAGAAAAUGACAAAAAAGAAUCCAAAACAAACGCAGCCAAUCACAAUGCUUUUACAGAUCAUCCUAAACGACGUAGUCUCGUAGCCAGUCUGGAAGUUUCUUGUUUCGUUUGGGCCGUUGAUUCUCUUGCACUGGCUCAUGGUGAAUGUCCUCCUUGGGUUGACUGACUGUGGGUUCUUGGUUGAGCUCUUCCACUUGCGCCCCCUCUGAUGGCUCUAAUUUGAUAUAUAAAUUCGUAUCACAUACAUGCGGUUAAUUUUUUAAGAUAAAGGGGAAGGAUGAUGCUCAAAAAUAUAAAUUAUAGAAUUAAUUGAACUCUCAAAUAAGUUUAAAGUUCAUUAUUUUUAAUUACAUGUUUAUAAUUUAUUUUUAUUUCGUAUUAAUCUAUAGAUCUAAAUCCACUUUGGAUUCAUAUACACAUAUAGACAUAAUGUGUAUGUUAAUCUAUAGGUCUAAAUUCACUUUAGGUCUAUAUAGGUAUUUUGACAAAUGUACUCCAAUCAUGCAUAUUGGCAAGUUCAAAUUCAAUUUGGAAUAUGGUCAUGGUACGUUCUUGUUCUUCCCUCUUUACGAGUGCAUUCCCCCCAACCUCAAGCUCCCUCUCUCGUCUUCAAUGUCACUGCUUAUAUCCUUAUGUUGUUCUAGUUUGAAACAGUGGCUUCCACUAUUUCAGGGCCCCCAAAAAUCCAGAAACAUACUAUUCAUCACGAUGACAAAAUUUUGGGCAGGCAGGUGCUUCCUGACUUUCACACGGUAAUUCUCAAAUUCUGAUUUCACCAUAUUUUAAUUACUGAUUAUGCUCUCCAUUAUAAUAGAAGUCGCCGCCACACUAGUGAUUCCAAACUUUAUCUUUUUUCCUUUUUUAAAUUAAUGCAAGUAGCCGCUGUCCUUUUUAUUAAUUAAUUAAUUCGGCCGCCCACAUUUCUUUUUCUAAUGUCUUCUACUGUCGAGUUUAUUUUAUUUUCCCUUUAUUCUUAAAAUAUACUUAUAAUAAUAAAAUAUAAAAAUAAAAAUAAAAAUUAACAUAUCAAAAUAUAAUUUAACAGAAAAUUAAGAUGAAAAAUAAAAAAAAAUAAAUUCUGAACAUAUCAAUCAAUAAAUGAAAAAUAAUAAUUUUUAUUUUUAUUAAAUAUAUUUUUUUCAGUAUUAAUCAAUUAUCUGAAUAACUAAAAUCAUUUAAAAAUAAAUAAACAAAUUAUUCUUUAUAAAAAAAAAAAACUUUUUAUAACACUCACUAUGCUGGUUGUAGGGUAGACGCUUUGGGGACUGAAGUUGGUAACUUCUACAAGUAGUCUUAAGUUGAUAACUUCUACAAGUAGUCUUAAGUUGACUGGCAAAUGUUCUCAGUAUUAUAUUGGUGUGUCGAUAUUAUCUCUAACUGCCUUAUAGAUAAAAAAAUAAUCUAAAUUUAAAAUUUAACAUAAAAUAAAAUAAUUGGUAGAAAAACAAUUAUGGUUCAUUUACUUAUCAGUAAUCAGAAUAGACUGAAAUCGAAAUGAGUUGUAUUACCGUUGAUGUGUUUAUGUUGUCCUCGAAUCGGAAUGAAUUAUUUUAAGUUACUAAAAUAUCCUUGGUUUGUUAUUCUAAUUAUUAUUAUUUAAUAUUUAUUAUAAUAUUUGUCAUAUCAUUAAAAAGAAAUAAUAAUGAUGAUAAUAUUAUCAUUAUUGUUUGUUACAUUAUUAUUAUUCAAAAAAAUUAUUGUUAAUAACAAUAAUUACUUUAUUUCAAUACUAAUAAUGAUAAAAUUAAUAAUAACAAACAACAAUAAUUAUUUAUUAUGCCAAAAAUAACAAUAAUAAUAAUCAUCAUCAUUUUUUUUCCCAAAGAAGCAUUAUCAUCAUUUCAAAAAAAAUAUCAUCAUUAUCAUCAUCAUUUUUGUAGUGGCUGCCUAUCGGCUGUUGCUUUCAUGUGAGAUUGACUUGCGACGCUUCAACGGCUAUUAUUUCUGGCAAUGUCAGGUGUUACUGUUUCAAUUUAGGAAGAAGCUGUUUCGUUGUGCUAACGAUGGGAGAUGUUGUGGCUGCGAUUCGGGGAGCUACUAGUUUAUUGCACUAAUGACGGCAGGUGCUGCUGCUUGAUGCGAGGUCCAUGGCCAGUUGUCAGCAGUUCGACUUUGGUAUGGGUGCUGCUGGUUCGAUUUUAGGUGUUGUCCAAUUUCAUUUUCAGGAUUUUAAUUUUAUUUUUCUUUUAUAUUUUCAUUAAUUAAUCAGGACAAAGUUGGAUUUUAGAAUUUGGAAUGAAGGUAAUUUUGUUAAUCAUGGAAAUGAGAUUCUGAUUGUCGAGAAUGAGCUUACACAAACAACUACAAAUUAAGUGAAAACAAAACGCUUUUUCUCUUUGUGUGAUUAAAACAUGAUAUGUACCAUAAAUAAAUAGGUAAAAAAUAAAUUAAUACAAUCCAAAACAGUAAACUAAUUACAAGAGGCACAAAUUUUUAUGUGAAAUACCAAAAAUAGAAAAAACCACAGCAUCUUAGUAUGAGAUAAUCUUCUACUAUAUUAAUGAGAUUAUAGCACAAAUUCUUCCUUAUAUAACACUAGAGGUUAACAACAUCAAGAAUUUCAAUAAUCUUGACUUACAAUACAGCCUAAUAUUUGUCUCUCUAAUAAGUAGAUAUCUAAAAUAACAGUCUCUAAUAAAUAAGUAUCUCAAAUAACAGUCUCUAAUAAGUAUCUCAAAUAAUAAUUUCUAAUAAGUAUGUAUCUCAAAUAAUAGUUAACAAGAGGAUAAAACAAAAAUUAAGAUUAGUAGGAUUGUAUAAGGCGAUGCUAUCAACUUAUCUUCUAAAUUUGAGAAAAAUAGUUAAAUUCACUUUUUCGAUUGUGACCAAAGAUGGAAACCUUUGCCCCAAAACCAAAGGAAUCACCAUUUCUCUCUCUCUCUCUCUCUCUCUCUCUCUCUCUCUCUCUCUCUCUAUCUCUCUCUCUCUCUCUCUCUUCUUCUACUUUUCUUAAUGUUAGCCGCCACUCGCUUUUAUUCUUUAUAGCAUUUAAAAAGCUACUUUUAAUGGUAAAUUUCAUUUAAGUCCAAAACUUAGUGAUAAUUGUACACCAAACAAUUCUUUUUGGACUAUGAGCUUUUGGGCCUCCAAAUGAGAUGAAUACAACAAAUCUCCCCCUUUAGAUCAUGUGGGGGGCACCACAAGCCUGCUCUCUGCAUAUAGUUUUUCAACUUCUCCUUGAAUAAUGACUUUGUCAUCAUACAUAACCCAUUCUCUGUUGUGUAAAUUUUCUCAAGCUGUAGCUGUUGCUUCUCAAGCACGUCUCGUAUCUAAUGAUAUCUCACAUCAAUAUGCUUAGAUUUCGAAUGGUUUAUCAAAUUCUUUGAACGGCACUCUGACUGUCGCAGUACAUAACAUAGCUGUCUCGUUUUACACCCAGCUCUUAUAGGAAAUUCAUUAUCCAUAAUAUUUUUUUGCAACCUUCAAUAAUUGUUAUAUCAUUUGCUUUAGUGGUAGAAAACGUAACUUAUUACUAAAGUUUAGAUUGCAAUGAGACUUCUCCCCCUGCAAAAGUGAGCAAACAUCCUAGAAGGAAUUUUUCGGAAUCAACAUCUUCUGCCAUAUCUACACACUUGUAACACAGGUUUGUCACCACUAAAAUAUAAACAUGCUCUGGAAAUGCCUCUAAGAUAUCUGAGAAUUUUUCAUUGUUGUCCAAUGCUCUUUUAUAAUAAAUACAAACAUAAUGAAUUUAUAAAACAUUUAGAGUAUUUUGAAUAUUAUAUAAAAUAAUUUUAAUAUAAUGCAUGAGAUAUAUUUUAUUAAUUUAAAAUGCUAUUUAAUCUAAAGAUUUAUUUAAGAUAAAUUAAUAAUUAAAUUUUUUUAAUUAUUUCAAAUAUUAAAAAUUUGUAAUAUUAUUAGUCUAUUAGAUAGAUUAAAUUAUUUAUUUUAUUUUGUAUUUAUUAAAAAAUUUUAAAGUCAAUAUUUUUAAUUACUAUUCGAAGGAUAUAAUGAUUAAAAAAAUCUUAAUAUUUUUUAUUAAAAAUUUAAAAAUUUACAUGACCAUUUCUAUAAAUAUUUAGGGUAUAUAUGAGCCACGGUGGAGAAGAUUUAUUUAAUAUUAUUGAUUUAAAUAAUAUCUAAUUAAAAAUAUACUGAGAAAAAAUUUCGGUGGGUAUUUUAGUCUUUUCAGCAAUCACAUGAUUAGCCUUUGGGCUUUGGCCUUGAAACGUCGGUCAGAAAAGUUUUAAACUGCUUAAUUGUUUUUCACUUUUAACGUUAGUGGCUGCUUAUAUUUUAGGAAAAUGAGAUUCUCACCACAGUGAGAACCACACUGAGCACAGAACGGUGCGUUUUGUGCUCAGUAUAAAUUCUAACUGUAGCGGAAAUAUCGCAACACAAACGCGCCAUUCCAAACCCACGCGCGUUCUCCCUCACGCCAGCAAAUCUCACCACGCUUCCUCCUCACUGUAAGCGCCCCCCCUCCCCGGGGGCGGUCGGCUGCGUCACGCUCCCUCACGGCGCCUCACUCUCUCGGCUCUCUUAGAAAAUUGAAUUGCGGCUUCCGCCGUGGGGUUCUCUCCUCAACUGCCGUUGUCUCGUCUCUGACAGCUGCCUUAAUCAAAUUCUGAAGGUAGUUUGCUUCAAUUCAUUACAUUAAUUUCAAAUUUGGUUUGUGUGGGAUUAUGAGUUUGUGAAGAUUUAGUUCUGUUUCAUGGUAAACUAUUUUUUGCUCAGUGUGUUGAGAAUAUCAGCACGGUUUAAAAUUCUUUUUAGAUUCUGUCGUAAAGUUUUCUUUGUAUUGGGCAAGUCAGUUACUUUAGUUUUGUGUCUGAAAACAAAAACACUUAGCUUAGUGAGUUUUAAGAGAUUUUGCUAUUUUGUUCAACGAAGCUUAAAAAGGGGAAGCUUUUAUGGCGUCUGUGAGCCGAGGCAAUUUGGAUCGGGUGCUUUUUCAGUUCAUUUGUUUGUUUCUUAUUUGGGUUCUUUAUUGUUAGAUGUUCUUUUGAGAUUCUGGCAUCUGGCAUCUGGCUACUUGCUUUUGUGGAGUUUUUUUAUUAUUUGAAUUCUGUGAAUUCUUUGUUUUCUUUCCCAAAUGAUUCCACUCUAUAAAAUAUAUAUUGUGCUUGGCUAGAAUUUUCUUUUAGAUAAUUGCAUCCUGUACAUUGGCUUAACCUGUCAAGAAUGAGAAUGAUGGAAGAUGCCUAUCUUGGAAAGAAUAUAUUGAGUUACAUAGUACCGGUUCCAAAUGAAUAAAUUGGAACUUGCCUAAAACAGGCACCAAUCCACCAUGACACCAAGCCUUUUUAAAAUUUUUUUUUUUUUAAGUUUAAAGAAACUUAUGUUGCUUCUUUAGAUCUGUUUUAGCUUAUGAUGAAUUUUGCUAAUGGUAAAAUCCCUCCCCUUCAAAGUUGGGGGAGGGGAAGCAUCUAUAUGCAUAUGUGUACAUUAUGGAGCUCGAACUACAUGUCGCAGUAAUACAUUAUUCUCUUUGCUUUGCAGGUUUUGAUCAACAUGAGUGAUUGGGAUGUAGGUCUGUGCUUGAGAGGCCGGAGUGAUGACCAGAAUUCUGUCAACCAGACCAAAGACAAUCAACUGAUGAAGUGUUGUUGUUCUCUAUAUUGAUUGUUGGAAAUUAUGUGUUAUUUCCAGAUUUUUAGAAAAUUAUGAUUGCUGGAAAUAAUUAUAUAUGUACAAUCAUUAUGUCCUCCAGCACAAGUGAAUUUCCAAACCCACAACUGAAAGCUUGCGAAAAAUUUGUAGAAAAUUUGUACAUCAAAUCCACAAGCUAAGUGUUGUAUCAGAAUAUGAAUGACAAUAAAACAAAAAUCUGUGUUCUUCAUUCUUAAAAUACUAAUACAAUACAAGUACAUUCUUAUUCUGAGAAAUAACUACCUAUUAACUCCAUAUUCAUUAUCUUGUUGAAAGAGUAGCUGCUGAAAAUGUCCAUGUCGCUGAGCUUGUAUGUGCUAUUAAAAAAAAAUUAAACAUCUUGUUGUCAUCCGAAAAAAUAAAGAAGGCAAGAUGAACAAAUAAAAAACUUAUCACUACUUACGGUGCAAGAAUUUUAUGUAGAUAUUGAAUAAACAUUAUCCUCAAUUAUUUGUCACAAUAAUUUAUAUUCAAUUCAUGGUGUGUUGCAGCAAGCUUCCAUUGUUUAACUAAAUGACAGCUGAAUCUUUACAACUAAUUAUCUUUACAAUCAAAUUUGGAAUUAAUUAAGCAAAUUACCGCUAGAAAUCGACGAGUGAAGCUAAGAGAGUGAGGCUGCAAGUCGAAUUUUUGAGACAGCCGAGAGAGUGAGGCGCUGUGAGAGAUGCAAUGGACGGGCGAGAGAGAGACGAAGCCGAUGGUGAUUGCUGCAUUGGUAGGAUUGAGGGAGAGAGCGAAAGAGCCAGAGCGUGCGUGCUUGUUCUGCCAGAGAGCGCGUAUGUUUUUUCUCAAUGCGCGUGUUGCGUAAUUAUCCAUCUACAGUGACCAUUUUAUAGUUAUCUUGAAACGCACCGUUCGGUGCUAUAUGUGGGGCUGAAUGUUGUGAGCAUAUCGGUGCUGUAUAUUUUAUUAAAAAUUAAUGCUAACAAGAAAAAACCCCUCAAUGAAUGAGGGUGAGAUUGCUAAAAAUUACGACAGGUGAUAUUUUAUUAUUAUUAUUAUUAUUGGGGGAGAAAUCCUCACCAAAGUGAGGAGAUUUUAUCAAAAUCAAAAUAAAAAUAUAACAAGAACUGAAAGUUGGGCAGCCUAAAAGCUAGAUAAACUAAAAUUCAGGCGCCUAAAAACAACCUUAUGCAAAAGAGAAGCAACAUGAGACCGAUCAAGUAAAAGAAUCCACCGCAACACCUAAAUUGGCCAAAUUAUCUGUUGGUAUUACAAGUUUCUUGUUAUAAAAGUGUAGAAUGAAGAAGGUGACGUAGUUUUAAGUUACAGCUGCAUGCCCGAUCGCAAUAUCAAAUAAUGAUUAAAUAUCAAAUAAUACUUAAAAUAGUUGCCUAGACCCGCCACAAUUUAUAUUAACUCUUAAAUUUAUAAAUAAUUAAAUUUUUAAAAGUUCGGAUUUAUAUUAAAAAAUCUUCAUAUAAAUAAAUAAUAUAUGCACUUUUACAACACAGUCUUUAAAUUUAAAUUUUUCUAGAAAAAUCUUCUGUAUAUCUUUUCUAUUAAAAAAUUUCCAUAUAAAUAAAUAAUAUACCUAAUUUAAUUGGACCCAGCGCAACGCAUAUGCAUAGAACACAUUCCGAAAAGCCAUGAUAUUCGGAAAUUGACGAAUGAAAAGUGAGGAGGCAGCAGUCAAUGCUAUUUCGGCUUGGCCCAAAAUUGAUUUAUCAGUUUGACGUGUGCCAGGAAUGAAGAACUGGAAUAUCACCAUCAAGCAAGCAACCUGCGGAGCAAUACCAUAGAAUGCACAAUCCGGCUUUGCAAGGUGACACUGGAGGCUUUUUGAAAAGUGCUUCACGCUCACUUGACAGAUUGAGCAUCCCCUCUGGAUAUUGCCCUCUCUGAUCGAAUCUGAGCACUCAAAUUUCGGUCCUCAGAUGGAGCUACAGCUUUCUCUCCAAUAACCAACAAUUUUCUAAACUCAGCACCUAGUGUGAUCAGAGUUGUUGAUAUUUGUAAAUGGAGAUCCCCGUAUUUGCAAAUGGAGACAUUUACCAAAUCACCAACAUGCUUCAUCCAGUCUACGAAAUUCUGCAGCUGAUUCAAAUCCGGAACCUGAACAAGAGUCGGAGGUAAAUCUUGAGCCAUAUCUAAAGCAGUCUGAAGUUCAAGUACUUGAGCCCUUGACAAUGGUUUUGAAAUUGGAACAUCUUGGAUUACUGCAGACUUGUGCCCCUUGGUUUCAAAGGUAAGGAAAGGCAUUGCUUGAGUACAAUUUGGAGGCAGCUUCUUCACCAAUUUUAUUUGGAGGCGAUUGGCAGCGGAUCCAGCUGCACCAAUUUCAGAGCAAAUACUGACACUACUUCGAACAGCACACUGAAGAAGUGAUAUGUCUACGGCAAAGGCAAUGCAGUCCUCAUUUUGGCUUGAGAUGCAGUAAUCAUCGAAGAGAGUUUCCUUGUGAAACUGGGCAACACAUUGAAUCCCUUCGCCACUGAGAAGGUUGCGGAGGAAGUAAGCUUUCUCUCUAGUGAGGAAGAGGUGGCAUACCUUCCCCAUGUCUAGGGCAGGUAGGAAUCUUUUUUCUAAGAGAUUUACUUCAUUCUCUGUGAGAAAUGCUUUGAACUUCAUCCCUCUGUCUCUAUCCUCACUUAUCAGUAAAAUAGUUGAAAGUGCUACAAGGAGAGAAAAGAAGAGUAUUAAGAUAUAUAUAGACAAGAAAAACAUUAGAUGUCGAUCUUACAAGCUAAUACUUCAAACAGUAUCCUAGAAAGCUAAAAACUGCAAAAUGGCUUGACAUUUGAAAAGAACACAUGCUUUUCCUCCUUAACUUGAGAAAAUGUUUAAUAUAGUGCACCUUACAGAAACAUUUAAGCAAUUAGAACUUUGCACAAAAAUAUUCAAGAAGACUAAACAAAUCAGAUGCAGUGUAUUUCUCCAAGCACAAAUGGCAUUGCAUUUUUUCCUCAACUGUAAUAUUUAUUGAUGAAAAUCAGUACAGGUCCCUCAUUUGUUAUGGAAAGCUUUCUUGUAGUCUGACUGGUUAAUUCACGGAUCUAUAAUUAUCUUGCAAAGUUACAGGCAUUUCUUUCGAUUUAAAGUCUUUGCAUCACCACCUCAUCACACACCUAGCCAAUAUUCCGUCUACUUCUACAACAAAAAGUUUUAAGUAAACGAUCCUAAUGCAUGCAGCCAAAUAAAAUGCAGUAAGAAUAUUCAACUUAAAACUCUGAAAGCCAUCUUGGUGAAUUGCCUCCUUAGGGGAAGUUCCAUGAUUUACUAUACUUGACAGGACUGAGCAAAAGCUUACAUACAACAGAUUUUGAAAAUGAUGAUGCCAAUAGAUACUCAUACAAUCCAUUGAAACUCCUAAGGUCCAUUGUUCACAGAGGUUUACAGAGUUUUGGUUAUCAAAUAGCUCAGACCUUAAUCCCAAACAAAAAACGAGUGAAAAUUAGAUCACCAGCAGCAAAUUGUAAAUUCUAACUUAACUCUUCAUCUCCUUUGUAAACAGGAGACAAAAUGGAGACACGCAAAAUGAAUAAGGAGAACAUUUGAACUCAAAUGAAAUGAGGGCACGAAAGCAAACAAAUGGCAUGCGCAAACAAACCAAGCCUCAAUCAAAAACUAAUUAACCAUUAAAAAACAAAACUGGUCAGCUUCUGGUGUUCUCAAAUUGUAUAACAAGAGAUCGACACAUCGAAUCAGAAGAACUCAAUUCAAAUUUGUCUCAAAAAUCAAAAUUAGAAGAUUUCACAUUUCGAGAGGAACAAGCGACAGGUCAGAUGCAAAAUUUUCAGCCAUAACAUGCCACAAUUAACGGUUUAUUUCCAUGGAUUUAGAGAGCUGACUGACCUUUUGGCUUUUGGAAUUGAGAAGAUCGCGCGCCAAAAUGGAAGAGGGAAAGCGAAAGUGCGGGUUUUAAUAGGGUAUUGGAUUAGCAAAUUUUAUUAGUUUGCGAGGGUAAAAUAGGAAAGUGAUAUCACUAUUAACCUUUUUUUUAAUAAGAAAAAAGAAUAAUAAAGAAUAUUUUAUUGUCAUUUGCAGCAUUUAUUUUUUUUAAAUGCUAUUAGAAAAAUACGACAACAAAGAAAUGCUCUUUUUUUUUUUUUUUUUUUUCUCGAAGGUAAAAUCAAUUAUUUAGCUCCUUAUAUGUAAUCAAACUACAUUUCUUACUUUAAGUCAUAUCCAACGGACCAACAAAGUAAUUAUUUUUUUUUUCAUUCAUUUUUGCAGAAAAUUAAUAACUUAAAAAUAUUGAAAGCUAUUGUAAAAUUUUUUAUUAUCAACCUCAUAGUUUUAUUUUUUGGGAAGAAUUGAAUUUUUUUUUUUAAUUUCCAAGAAUUUCAUUCUCUAGUUUUUCCAUUAAUAUUACUUAUCUUGAUACCCAUCUUAAUUAAAAUCUGUAGUUUUAUUCAAGAGUCAUGCUAUUCAUUCACUCACAGACCAAAGGCUUUCCGCAGCAAUAUUAUUAUUUAAAUUACAACAAAGGGGAAAUCAAAUACGUCAUACAGAAGCUUAAAGCUGAAUCUACAAAAUCUAGAGCUCUCAACUACAUAAAUUACACUUGAUGAUCCUCUACAAGAUGAAGCUUGUUCAAUAUCUCAUCCAAAGCUUGUAAAGUAACAUUAUAACGAUCUUGAGAUUGCCUGCCUUCCUCGACGACCUGCACGAUGCGUUUGUACAAAUCAUCAUACCUGUGCACCGGAUUUUUAAUAUCAAUGCCACUGCAGCUGUGAUCAAGAACAUAAGAGCGUUUAACAUCUUUUCUCCAUCAAGAAAGAAUGUAGUGAGAUGGGAUCUCCUGCAUGCCACUCUGGUUUAGAACACAAAGAAUGUGUCUGCAUAAAUAUCCUCUGAAAUUGAACAACCCACAAACACAAAGCACCUCCAAGUCGGAGGCAUUGUACAAAACAUCGAAAAUAGUUAUGUUUUACAAUCUAUUAGACAUAUUUUAUUAAAUUAAUAUAAAUUUUCUAUAAAAUAAGAAUAUAAUAUUAAAAUAAAUUCACAAAAAAUUAAAGAAUUUUGAAUGUAAAAUAAUUUUAAUAGAUUAAUACGUGAGUUUUUUUAUUAAUAUAAAAAUUAUUUAACUUUAAGAUUUUUUAAAAUCUUUACAAUAAGUAUGACUAUAUUAUUUACAUUUAAAAAUAUUUAAAUAUUAUUAACCUACAAUUAUAUUUGCAUUUGUUAGAAUUUUUUAAGUCAAAUAUUUUGCACUUCUAUAUUAUUAGAAUUAUUGCACACAAAGAAAGAAACAUAUACCUUUAGAAAUUGUUUUCUUUUAAAAUAGAGAUGAUGAUUAGUAUAAGGAUGAAAAAAAUGAUAAAGAAUAUUAAUGAUUAACGAAAUCUCUAUACAAAUUGAUUUUAGUAGGAAAAGAGUGAGAUGAAUGAUUUCUUUUACGGUUAGAAACAUAGAUGAUGAUUAUUAUAACGAAGAAAAAAAGAUAAAGAAUAUUAAUUAUUAAUGGAAUCUCUAUGCAAAUUGAUUUUAGUAGGAAAAAAAAUGAGUUAAAUGAUUUAGAGUGCGUUUGGAAUUGAGAUUGGGCAGCCAUAGAUUUUAAGUUACAAUACUGAAGUGUUUGAUAAAUACUAGCUGCUGCAGAUUGAAAGUUAUAUUGAUAUGAUUUUUCACAUGUAUCAUAGAAAAUAUAUUACAUCUUUAAUAAUUUUUUUAAAAUUUAUAUUUGCUAUAUAUUAUUAAUUUUUUUUUAUAGUUAUAACUUUUUUUCCACAGCAGUUGUAGCUUAAAAGUCACAGCAUCUCAAUCUCAAACAAAUCCUUAGACAUUCAUAGUGUGUUUAUUUUUUGGAUUGGUGAAUCAAAAUUAUUGACAACGCUAACUUCAUCUUCAUUGUUCGCAAUCCAACAGCAGCAGCAAUUGUCACCAAUAAUGAUAUCUCCAAUGAUGAUGACAAUUAUUAUUAUUAUUAUUAUUAUUAUUAAUUUAUUAAUUAAUAUAUUAAUGUUAAUAAUAUUAUUAUUAAGAUUAACAAUAAUUAGUAGUAAUACAAUUUUUUGAAUAAAAAUAAUCACAAUAAUUAAAAUACAAAUUAAUAAUUAUGACAAUAGUUAAUUAAUGUCUUUUUAGUAAUUUGUAAUAAUCUAACUCAUUUUGAUUCUGAUUAUUACAGCUUAAGUAAACAAAUUAUUAUGAUUCCUAUUUUCCUUUCCUAUUUUAACUCACUUCGAUUCCAAUCUAUUCCAAUUUCUAUCUAAUAAAUGCACCAUUAGUGCUAAAGUAAUAUUUCAUACAUAGAAAAAUAAAAACUACACCUAAGGUUAAGGGAAAGGACUUCAAAACUCUCUUUUGAUCAUAAUACAUUUUGUCCUAAUUAACUUAAAGAUUUUGAAUCUAAUAUUUUAUAAUAAAUAAAAAUAUAUUCCUAAAAUAAAUAUAAUAUCAAUAUUUAAAAUAUGUUUUAAUAUUUUACAAUCUAUCAUACACAUUUUAUUAUAUUAAAGUAGAUUUUAUAAUAAAUACAAACGUACUAUUAAAAUUAAUAUAUAAAAAAUUUAGAAAAUUUAGAAUAUUAUAUAAAAUAAUUUUAAUAUAAUGCGUGAGAUAUAUUUUAUUAAUUUAAAAUUUUAUUUUACCUAAAAAUAUGAUAAAUUAAUAAUUACAUAUUUAAAGUUAUUUCAAAUAUUAAAAAAAUUUAAUAUUAUUAGUUUUUUAGAUAGAUUAAAUUAUUUUUAUAAGAGAUAGAUUAAAUUAUUUUAAAAUACCUUAAUUGUUUUUACUUUUAACGUUACCGGCCUUUCUUUUAUUUUAUUGUAAAUUAAUGCUAACAAGAAAAAGCUAGAUCAUAUUCCACAAAAGCAAAAGUGACAAACACAAUCAGCUGGAAUCUUUUAUAAAACUACAAAUUAAAAUGGUUUUUUUUUUUUUUUGAUAAAUUACAUAUAAAAGUGGAUUCUUUUGAAUAUAAGUGGGGUAGGCUCUUUUAUUUUUUUUUAAUACUGUAUAACAAGAUUGUAGACUCCUUGAUUAAGCACAAGUAUAAAGUAGUCGAGACGAUACUUUAUGCUAGGUGUCCAUUGAAUAUUAGAUCUUCAUUUCUUUGGCCAUUUAAUUUUUUCGAGAAAUUUUUCUUACGAUCCCGGCUAAGCUUGAAGAAAAGACAACUCAACGGUUUUUUUAAAACAAGUUUCCGUUUUGGUUGGUGAAAUGAAAACGAAAUAAAGCACUUCCAUCCAAAAAUCAUUCUUCUGGAGAAAGGGAUGACAGAUUAAAGAAAAGGGGUGUACUGAAAGGAGAAAAAAGGUUCUUGCAUGAGAGCUGGACACGUUAAAAGAAGUUGAACAAAUGUCUCAAAAAGAAGCUAUUUCGCUUUCAUACUAAAGCCUAUUUGUAAUAGCAUCAGCAAUGCUCCACUAUCCACAUUCUUGUGCGGAUAUCAUUGCAAUCUACUAAUGGUAUAUAAACAUGCAUGUUGUCCCAUGAUGAUUAAGUUAACACACACUUGGAGGUACUUAAAUUAUGCCAUAAAGAGAUAUAGUUAUUACGCAUACAAAUGUUAUUCAAUGGUUAAAAUGUAUGAUAAAGAAAUCGCUUGAAUUUUUUAUUUGCCGUUACGUAAUUUUUUUAUUGAUUCCGAGUUUGAAUCUUAAAAGAAAUAAAGGGUUAGAAAAUUAAUUUGAACUUUGUCCACUCUUUAACUUAAUGAGUAUAAAAACAGAAAAUGCAGGUAAUUUAAUUUUGACAUCUAACAUUUAAGAGAUAGAGCUUGAAAGAGUCCAAUAUUAAAUUAUAAAAUAAUUGAAAUAAAGUUUGCCCCAUAAGAAAAAUUGAACAAAAAAUCUUAAGUAUGAUAUGAUGCUAGAGAAAUUAUUUAUCUCAAAACUUUUAUUAGGUAAUUAAGUCCUAAGAAUAUGUAAUUACACAUGUAACAAAAAUUAGAGAUGAGGGUCUUUUAUUAAACUACAAAUUGUAUAGUCUUUUUAAAAUUGUUAUAAAUUGGUGGCCCCUACAAUCCUCAAUAAUUGUGCCGAUAUUCACAAGUUGGUGGCCCCUACAAUUAUCAACUGUGCAAGUGCUCAUUCACAAUCUUCCAGGUCAUGCUCUUAAUAAUUGUUUUUUUUUUCUGCAUUCCCUUUCAUGCUCUUAAUAAUUGAAGAGCAUACUUUUCAAAUAUGGAGCCGCAGCUAAUGUCGCUAAUUUAAUUUGGGAUUAAAUUAGGGGACCAUUAUGUUGCAGUGUGCACUAAUUUUUGUGUUUAUCUAAACUCCUUAAAUUUAAGACAUAUUACGGCAUAAAUAAGAAUAUAACAAUAACAAAAGAGUUAAAAAGUGUAGAGAAGAUCUUGCAGAAAUAUAAAUAAUAUCUAUUUUAAAAUAAUAUCAAUAUUUAAAAUAAUUUUUAAUAUUUUAUGAUCCAUUAGAUAUAUUUUAUUAUAUUAAAGUAAAUUUUAUAAUAAAUAAAACAUACUAAAUUUAGAGUAUUUUAAGUAUUAUAUAAAAUAAUUUUAAUAAAAUAUGUGAGAUAUUCAUAUUUUAUUAAUUUAAAAUACCAUUUAACCUAAAGAUUUAUUUAUGAUAAAUUAAUAAUUAUAUUUUUGAAAUUACUUCAAAUAUUAAAAAAAUUAAUAUUACUAAUCUAUUAGAUAGAUUAAAUUAUAUAUAUUAUUUUCUAUUUAUUAAAAAAUUUUAAAAUUAUUUUUAAUUACUAUUCAAAAAAUAUAAUGAUAAAAAAAAAUCUUAACAUCUUUAUUAAAAAUUUAAAAAUUUUCAUGAUCAAUUCUCUAAAUAUUUAGGGUAUAUGUGAACCACGGUGGAGAAGCUUUAUUUAAUAUUAUUGAUUUAAAUAAUAUGUGACAAAACAACUAGGUGGACUACAAAUUAAAGUGGAUUCUUUUGAAUACAAGUGGGACAGACGAUUAGGCUCUUUUUAAUUUUUAUUAAAGGCAAGUAAAAAGUAGUCGAAUAGUCUUUUUCAAAUUCUUGUUUUAUUGUUUUUCAAAACUAACAAGAAAAAGCGAGAUCAUAUUCCACCCCAAAAGCAAAAGUGACAAAACAACCAGCUGUAUUCUUUUAUUAAACUACAAAUUAAAAUGGAUUCUUUUGAAUACAAGUAGGACAGACGAUUAGGCUCUUUUUAUUAAACGCAAGUAAAAAGUAGUCGAAUAGUCUUUUUCAAAUUCUUGUUUUAUUAUUUUUCAAAAUUAGUUUUUGGUAAUUACUGUUUUUCCUUCAAAAGUUAGCGGUUCAUGUUUGCAAGUGUGAAUGUGCGAUGCUCUUUUCUUAAAGGCAAUUACAGUGGGGCCCGAAUGCCUAAAUCUUUUUAAAAUUUUUGCCGUAUAACGAACAGAGGUCAUUACUAAAAUUUCUCUUCCACAGCCUACAGCAGCUUCAGUUUAUCAAACUCAAUCAAUUUUCUUUCUUAACAAAAUUCCAAAGAUGUGUAGCAUUUUUCAGAUCGCAUGCGAUGGUGCUCUUUUCAAUCGUUGCUUGGAUUGCUUUCUUGGAAAAGCAGCAUACCUUCGUAACCUCCCAGAUAAUCUUGUAGACUUGGAGACUGAACUGGGAAGACUAAUCGCAGCAAAGAACGAUGUGAUGAUGAGGGUUGUCAAUGCUGAACGGCAACAAAUGAGAAGGCUGGGCCAAGUGGAAUGGUGGGUUUCGAGGGUGGAUGCUGUUAAAACUGGAGCCGAUGAACUUAUCACAGACGGCUCUGAAGAAAUUGGCGAAUUAUGUGUUGGAGGCUACUGUUCCAAGAACUGCAGGUCAAGCUACAAGUUCGGAAAACAAGUGGCUAAAAAGCUACAAGAUGUGAAGGCUUUAAUCGCCGAGGGAGUUUUUGAGGCGGUGGCUACUGAGGUGGUGCCCGAGAGAGCUCCGGAACCUGUAGCAGAUGAAAGACCCAUUGAGCGAACAGUAGUAGGCUUGCAAUCACAACUUGAACAAGUCUGGAGAUGUCUUGUAGAAGAAUCAGUGGGAAUCAUUGGCCUAUAUGGUAUGGGCGGUGUUGGUAAAACCACACUGUUGACCCAUAUCAACAAUAAAUUUCUUGAGAGUCCCACCAACUUUGAUUGUGUGAUUUGGGUCGUAGUUUCAAAAGACCUGCGACUUGAAAAAAUUCAAGACGAUAUUGGGAAGAAGAUAGGUCUGUCUGAUGAUUCAUGGAAGAAUAAAAGUUUUGAGGAGAAAGCUGUAGACAUCCUGCGGAGUUUAGGAGAGAAGAGAUUUGUAUUGUUGUUAGAUGAUUUAUGGGAGCGGGUUGAUUUAACAAAAGUGGGCGUUCCACUUCCCGGACCACAAAAUACUACCUCAAAAGUCGUAUUCGCAACCCGUUUCAUCGAUGUUUGUGGUAGCAUGGAAGCUGACAGGAAGUUCCUAGUGGCGUGCUUAUCAGAAAAGGAUGCUUGGGAACUGUUUCGAGAAAAAGUUGGGGAAGAAACUCUUCAGAGUCAUCAUGAUAUCGUUGAGCUAGCCCAAAUUGUGGCCAAAGAGUGUGGUGGUUUGCCACUCGCACUUAUUACUAUUGGUCGAGCUAUGGCCUGCAAAAGGACAGCCGAGGAGUGGAUACACGCAGUUGAAGUGCUAAGAAGAUCAGCUUUUGAGUUUGCAGGUUUGGGAAAAGAGGUGUAUCCUCUUUUAAAGUUUAGCUAUGAUAGUUUGCAGAAUGAGACGAUUAGAUCUUGUUUCUUAUAUUGUUGUUUAUAUCCCGAAGAUUAUGGAAUUCUUAAAUGGGACUUGAUUGAUUGUUGGAUUGGUGAGGGAUUCUUAGAGGAAUCUGACAGGUUUAGUGCAGAAAACCAAGGUUACUACAUUGUGGGCACUCUUAUUCAUGCGUGUUUACUAGAAGGGAUAGAAGAUGAUAGAGUAAAAAUGCAUGACGUUGUUCGUGAUAUGGCUCUAUGGAUAGCUUGUGAAAUUGAGGAGAGGAGACACUUUUUGGUUUGUGCAGGCGCUGGAUUAGAACAGGCACCGGCUGUUAGAGAAUCGGAAAAUGUGACAAGAUUGUCAUUGAUGCAAAACCAAAUUAAAAUUCUGUCGGAGGUUCCCACAUGCCCUGAUCUCCUCACUUUAUUUCUUGACUUUAAUGAGGAGUUGGAGAUGAUCGCGGAUGGCUUCUUCCAAUUUAUGCCUUCUCUCAAAGUUUUGAAGAUUUCAAACUGCGGGAAUUUUACUUUUCAAUUACCUUUGGGGAUGUCAAAGUUGGGUUCACUAGAACUUUUUGAUAUUUCACGCACCGAAAUACAAGAGUUACCAGAAGAGUUAAAGUUGUUGGUAAAUCUGAAAUGUUUGAAUUUGAGGUGGACAAGCAAGUUAAUUAGAAUUCCACGGCAACUAAUAUCAAAUUCUUCAGGGUUACGUGUGUUGAGAAUGUUCGCUACUGGCUAUGAAUGUUUUCAUGAAGCACCAGAAGACAGCGUUUUAUUUGGUGGGGGUGAAGUUUUAGUACAGGAAUUGCUCGGUUUGAAAUAUUUAGAGGUAUUGGAGUUGACCUUGGGAAGUUAUCAGGCUCUCCAAAUCUUUUUGAGCUCAAAUAAGUUAAAAAGUUGUAUUCGAUCUCUUUUCCUCCAGUUGGCCGGAGAUACAAAGUCGAUUAUUGAUGCUGCGGCUUUCGCAGAUCUAAACCACCUCAAUGAAUUAUAUAUUUAUGAAGGUAUUGAGUUGGAAGAAUUGAAGAUUGAUUAUACAGAGAUAGUACGAAAAAGGCGGGAACCUUUUGUUUUCCGCAGCCUUCACCGUGUUACCAUAUUUAGUUGCGGUAAAUUGAAAGAUGUGACAUUCCUCGUUUUUGCUCCAAACCUCAAGUCUCUUGAGCUAUUGCAAUGCGAUGCUAUGGAAGAAAUAAUCAGCGUCGGAGAAAUUGCUGAGACUCCUGAGAUGAUGGGACACAUAAGCCCUUUUGAAAAUCUCCAAAGUCUUCAUUUAUCGUAUUUACCAAUUUUGAGGAGCAUCUACUGGAAGCCAUUGCCUUUCACUCAUCUCAAAAAAAUGGAGGUACGUAGAUGCGAUCAGCUUAGAAGGCUUCCGCUCGAUUCCAACAGUGCAACAGAGCGUAAUGUUGUUAUUCGUGGAUACACACUCUGGUGGAACCGACUUCAAUGGGAGGAUGAAGCCACUCAAAUUGCUUUUCGUUCCUGUUUCCAACCUCGUUCCUGAGCAGUGGUCGCAAAAUUUGAUUUCUGGUGAGUGCGUUUGUCUUUUAAAAAGAAGAAUUUAAAAGAAAUUUAUUCUUGUCGUUUUCUUCACUGUUUUUAUUUGAUUUCUGGUUAGUUUCUUUCUCUCUCUCUCUCUCUUUGUCUUCUGCAAAUCACAAUUAAAUGUUGAAUUAAUGGAAUUGAUGCUCUGGUUUUUUACUUUUUGUUGUCAAAUUUUGCCCUGUUCUAUCUUCUUAGCGAUUUAAUUUCCUGUCAAAAGACGAGCGAGAAGAACAUAUAUAUGACUUAAACCAAUUGAUACUUUAUUUAUGUGCAUUGUAUGUAAUAAAUAUUAAGUAUACUUUAUUUUUGCCCUGUUCUCUGUUUUUAUUUCAGUCUCUCUCUCUCUUUCCUGUCUUCUGCAAAAUAUAAUCAAUUAUUUUCAAAAUAUCAUUGAUGAUUUUUCUGCUCUAAUGCUAUGUAAAUAGUAUGUUAAGUAAAACAUAAUCAAUUAUUUGUGUUUUAUCUCUAAUUAGAACAUCAAUCAGUUCAGUACCUCACAAAUAAUUCGCAAUAUCUACAAAAUACUAUAAUGGCUACAAAACAAAUCCUGCUUGCAAAUUGUCAAGGAUACCUAUCCGUUCGCUUGACAAGUCAUUUGAAUAAAUAUUGUUCACAUUCCUUACUCUAUCAAUUAUCCAAAGCACCAUCAAUGGUCCUCAACUUUAGUUUGAAUAGUAUACAUGCCAUCACCAUUACCAAGAAUCAAGCAUGGAAGAGUCAUUCUAUAGAGUUAAUCGAAGCAAGGAAUGAUGUAUCAGAAAAUAUUUGGUGGAGAAUUCAGCACAAACAUAUUUUGGAUGAUCAGAAUCAAUAAAACCUGGUGGUUGCGCCAUAUAAACAUCUUCGGAAAGCUGACCUUGAAGAAAGGCGUUAUUGAUAUCCAAUUGACGAAGAGGCCAGCCAUGACUAACAUCAAUACUAAGAACAAGCCGUACUGUGGUGGACUUAACAACUGGACUGAAAGUGUCAUAAUAGUCCACACCAGGCCAUUGAUUGAACCCUUUGGCAACAAGAUGAGCUUUAAACCUGUCAACAGAACCGUUGGAAUGUCUUUUAAUACAAAAAUCCAUUUGCAGCCAACAAUAUUGGAAGGGAUGGGAGGUGGAACAAGCUUCCAUGUCCCGUUACGAACAAGAGCAUCAUACUCUUCUGACAUAGCUGGACGCCAGUGAAGAUUUUUGAUAGCUUGCGUCACAGUUGUAGGUUCACAAUCAGAAGAAGGGCUAAAAUGAGCACGGAGGUUAAGUUUUUGUAACGGCUUGUGAAUCUUAUUUUUAGCUCGGGUAGUCAUAUCAUGAUGACUUGUGGGGCAAUGAUCUAGUGGAGUUUAGGAAGAUGAUUGAACAGGAAGUGAAGAAGUGCUUUGUGUAGAGGUAGAAGUAGGUUGGGAGGAUUGCUGCGGAGAUGUUACCGGUAGAGAAGAAGGAGCAGUACACGGUGGCAACUCCAGAGGGCCCACAAUAGAUGGAGUAGGUGCCGACAAUGGAGUACUAGGAAAUGAAACAGGAAGAAUUGGUGGAACACUUGCGUAAUUAGGAGUGGUAGAUGAGCUUGUAAUGAUUUGUAUGGAAAAACAAACUCUACAAAUUUAACGUGACGUGAAAUAAAAAUUCAACCCGAUUGCAUAUUUAAGAACAUCUCAAAUGAAUUGCUUACUGCUAUCAUCAUCAUUAUUGUCUAUAUAAUAAUGGAUCUUUAUUAUAUAUAUGUUUCCACUAAAAUAUAUUUAAUUAUUCUUUAUUUUUCUAUUGUUGCGUGUAAGAUUUAUUUGAGUUCUAAGUUAUAUCAAUACAAAUGUUAUCUUAUCCAUAAAAAGUUAGAUCCAACAAUUAUGAAAAUUACUAUAGAGUUGCUUUCAAUUAUUUUUUUAAAAUACCAGGAGUAAAUAAUAAUUAGUUCAAAUGGUGGAGACUAAAAUGCGUUCACCUUUAUUUUUUAUCUGUUAUUUACUUUUGUCAUUACAUUAAUGCACAUGCUAUACAUUUGAGACAUUCCAUUAAUUGCCAAUUAUGUAUGUGAGAUAGUAAUUUAAAUUAAAAAAUAAAAGUGAAAGUUAAUCCUAUGCAAUGUGAAUAAAUUUCUUUCCUUUUUCCUUUACUCUUUUUAUUUGACAAUAAAGUUUCCAUCUAUCAUCUAUCAUCUAUGUACACAAAAUUUCUGCAACAAGUACAAAACAUAAAAAUAUAUGAAUAUUAAGGGAAACACGCAGAAGUUCAUCAUUUCAAUGUUCAGUAUUACCAAUUUUGGCAUUAAGCUUGUACGAAUAUAUUCUACUUCGAAAGCAAAAUAUUAGACUCGUGAUUUUAAUUCAUUCAUUAUCUCUCAUUUUAAUCCCAAAAUAUUCAAGAGUAUCCAAGUUACCAUAAGACUUCAGAGGCUCGAGCCUUAGCCAGAGAUGGUUAAUUGAUAGACUAUGUGCCUGGGUCGAGCACUGGAAGCCUGCAAUGCAGACUGAUUGAUUUAUCAGUUUAACGUGUGCCAGGAAUGAAGAACUGGAAUAUCACCGUCAAGCAAGCACCCUGUGGAGCAAUACCAAAGAAUGCACAAUCUGGCUUUGCUAGGUGACCCUGGAGGCUUUUUGAAAAGUGCUUCAUGCUCACUUGCACAGAUUGAGCAUCCCCUCUGGAUAUUGCCCUCUCUGAUCGAGUCUGAGCACUCAAAUUUCGGUCCUCAGAUGGAGCUACAGCUUUCUCUCCAAUAACCAACAAUUUUCUAAACUCAGCACCUAGUGUGAUCAGAGUUGUUGAUAUUUGCAAAUGGAGAUCCCCAUAUUUGCAAAUGGAGACAUUUAACAAAUCACCAACAUGCUUCAUCCGGUCCACGAAAUUCUGCAACUGAUUCAAAUCUGGAACCUGAACCAGAGUCGGAGGUAUAUCUUGAGCCAUAUCUAAAGCAGUUUGAAGUUCAAGACCUUGAGCCCUUGACAAUGGUUUUGAAAUUGGAACAUCUUGGAUUACUGCAGACUUGUACCCCUUGGUUUCAAAGGUAAGGAAAGGCAUUGCUUGAGUACAAUUUGGAGGCAGCUUCUUCACCAAUUUUAUUUGGAGGCAAUUGGCAGCGGAUCCAGCUGCACCAAUUUCAGAGCAACUACUGACACUACUUCGAACAGCACACUGACGAAGUGAUAUGUCUACGGCAAAGGCAAUGCAGUCCUCAUUUUGGCUUGAGAUGCAGUAAUCAUCGAAGAGAGUUUCCUUGUGAAACUGGGCAACACAUUGAAUCCCUUCGCCACUGAGAAGGUUGUGGAGGAAGUAAGCUGUCUCUCUAGUGAGGAAGAGGUGGCAUACCUUCCCCAUUUUGUCUAGGGCAGGUAGGAAUCUUUUUUCUAAGAGAUUUACUUCAUUCUCUGUGAGAAAUGCUUUGAACUUCAUCCCUCUGUCUCUAUCCUCACUUAUCAGGAAAUAAGUUGAAAGCACUAUGAAGAGAGAGAGAGAGAGAGAGAGAAUUAAGAUAUAUAGACAAGAAAAUAAUUAGACGUUGAUCUUACAAACUAAUACUUCAAGCAGUAUCCUAGAAAGCUAAAAACUGCAAGAUGGCUUGAAAUUUGAAAAGAGCACAUGGUUUUCCUCCUUAACUUGAGAAAAUGUUUAAUAUAGUGCACCUUACAGAAGCAUUUAAGCAAUUAGAACUUUGCACAAAAACAUCAAGAAGACUAAACAAAUCAGAUGCAGUGUAUUUGUCCAAGCACAAAUUGCAUUUUGUCCUCAACUUUAAUAUUUAUUGAUGAGAAUCAAUACAGGUCCCUCAUUUGUUAUAGAAAGCUUUCUUGUAGUCUCACCAGUUAAUUCACAGGUCUAUAAUCAUCUUGCAAAGUUAAGGGCAUUUCUUUCGAUCUAAAGUCUUUGCAUCACCACCUCAUCACACGCCAAGCCAAUAUUCCAUUUACCUCUACAACAAAAAGUUUUUAAGUAAAUAAUCCUAAUGCACGCAGCCGAAUAAAAUGCAGUAAGAAUAUUCAACUUAAAAAUCUGAAAGCCAACUUGGUGAAUUGCCUCCUUAGGUGAAGUUCCAUGCUUUACUAUAGUUGACAGAACUCAGCAAAAGCUUCCAUACAACAGAUUUUGAAAAUGAUGAUGCCAAUAGAUACUCAUUCAAUCCAUUGAAACUCCAAAGGUUCAUUGUUCAUAGAAGUUUACAGAGUUUUGGUCAUCAAAUAGCUCAGACCUAAUCCCAAACAAAAAACGAGUGAAAAUUAGAUCACGAGCAGCUAAUUGUAAAUUCUAACUUAACUCUUCAUCUCCUUUGUAAACAAGAAACAAAAUGGAGACACGCAAAAUGAAUAUGGAGAAAAUUUGAACUCAAAUGAAAUGAGGGCACGAAAGCAAACAAAUGGCAUGCACAAAAAAACCAAGCCUCGAUAAAAAACUAAUUAACCAUUAAGAAAAAAAUUGGUCAGAGAAUGAACUCCAAAUUCAGGAGUCAAGCAAGAAGCUUUCAUUAUUUCAGAAGCUCCUGUACAAAUUAAUAAGUUAUGCUCUUUGGAAGCAAACCUAAAUUCCAAGAGAAACAGAACCCAAAAAAUUUGCAAUUAUACGCAAAGGAAGUGAAGCACAGGAUUCUAUCACACAUAGGAAUUGUAUAACAAGAGAUCGAUAUAUCGAAUUAGAAAACUCAAUUCGAAUUUGUGUCAAAAAUCAAAAUUAGAAGAUUUCACAUUUCGAGAGGAACAAGCAACAGAUGAAGUUCAAAAUUUCAGCCAUAACAUGCUAAAAAUGCUACACUUAACGGUUCAUUUUCAUGGAUUUUCUCGGGAAACAAACAGAAAAUUACGGUUUAGAGAGUUGACUGACCUUUUGGCUUUUGAAAUUGACCAGAUCGCGCGCCAAAUUGGAAGAGGGAAAGUGAAAGCGCGAGUUUUAAUAUGGGUAUUAGAUAAGGAAAUUUUAUUAGGUUGCGAGGGUAAAAAAGGAAAGAGAUAUCAUUAUUUUAUUAUCGAUAAUUAUUAAAUUUUUUUCCAAAAAAAAGAACAAGCAAGGAUUUUUUAUUGUCAUCACUAAGUUAAAAAAAAUUGUUUCAAAAUUACUUGAGUCAUAUCCAAUGGACCAACAAAGUAAUCGUUUUUAUUUUUAUUGAUUUUUGCAGGAAAUUAAUAACUUAAAAAUACUGAAAGCUACUGUAAAAAUUUUUAUUAUCAACCUCAUAAUUUUUUUUUUUUGGGGAAGAGAAUUCAAACUUUUUUUUUAUGAAUAUCGCUGUUUCGUUUGAGUUGGAUGUGAAUUCAAAUCCAAAUAUUCUUUGUUUUUCAAUUUUGAACUCAAUUUCUUUUUCUCAAGAAUGUUAUGCAGAAAUAAUUUUUACUAAAUCUUUUUUGAUGAAUUGUUUAAAUUAAACAAUUGGAAUAAGAAUUGUAACGAUUUAUCAUAAGCGUGCUAAUAUGAUAACUUGUUUUACGAAGGAUUAAUUAAUCAAUUAAUAUUAAAUUAUAUAUUAGUCAAUUAGAUAUGUGUUACAUUUAUCAUGUUUUGUAGGUGAUAGUACAUCAUUUCUAAAAGAAUAUAGUACGUUAAAAUAUUAUUUUAAUGAAGAAAAUUUUAUUAUUUUAUUAUUAGGUGACACAAUAAUAAAUGGAUUUCUGUAAGAAUUGAGAUUCUUGAUAUAAUUAUUACAUAAGGAGAAGUUUAGUUGGUUCAAUUUUGACGUGAUAAGAAGACAACACAGCACAGAAAACCCAAAUUGCCACUUCCACUAAUAAAAGAUACCUGUUUGAAAAGUAAUUAUAAACUAUCUUCUUUGUGUUAUUUCUCAAAACUUUUGUGGCACAAAUGUUAUUUCCAUUGACAACAGUACGAAAUACCACCCCUUUCACUUGAGCAGGAGCAAAGCAAAGGUAUGAUGAGCUAUCUCUGUAUAAUUGAAACGCCAUUACUAAACGAUUCUUGAUGAUGGGAGCCACCGUGCCAGCUUUGUCGCUGAUUUGCAUGAUUUAUUAGUUGUCCAGAUGGCGGAUUUUGUACUGUUACCUUCGUUUCAUUCUUCAGAGCCAUGUACUGUUCUAGGAUACCAGAGAAACCAAGGUGGCAUUGAAGUUGCCCUGGUGGUUAGUUUUCCGAUCAUUUUUUUAUUCAAUUAUUUAUGUUUUUAGAAAAAUGUAGGAAAUAUGUAGAAAUGUUGACAGCUAUGAUUUUGAAACUUUUGCCUAAAAUUGUUAUCAUUACUUGUUGUUUCUUAUUUAAAGAGAAAUUCUAGAAACAUGAAAUGAUUAUUCUACGCUUGUUUUAAUAUUGUGCUAUGAAGAUUACGAAGGUUUGAUUAUAUGUCACUAUCAAUUGCCUUAAUCGUUUGUCGUAAAUCAAUUAAGCAUUUUGAUGCGAAUGAUUCCCUAUUAAAAAAUUCAAGUCAGAGCUGAAUUGCAAAGUAGUUAGUCGUGCUUGCAAUUCAAAUUAAGUAUUGUAUUUUCUCCCUGAUUUGGUUGAUUCAACUAUGUGCAUUUGCUUAUGAACGUUGCAGUAUAGAAAUCGAAAUAUCUUGUCUUUUGCUAAGCCCAGAAGCAAAUUCUUUGUAUUCUACUCAUCAGUUUUCUUCAUUCUCUUUGUUGAAAUUUUAUCUAAACAGCGGUUUCUUCGAAUUUAUGCCUUCGCUUACUCUUUUAAAUUUUAUCCAAACAACGGUUUUGAAAUUGUUUUCACUACAAUACCUUAGUCUUUCAGAUGCUCCCGUCACUGAGUUGCCAGAAGAGCUAAAAGCCUUGGUAAAUCUUAAGUGUUUGAACCGGAGUACACAAAUUAUCUCUCUACAUUUCCAAAGCAAUUGAUUUGUUACUUUUCGAUGCUACAUGUUCCGCGAAUAUUCAGUUGUGGUUAUCUUGUUCAGAUACCAGAAAAUAGCGUUAUAUUUAGUGGUAAUGAAUUCUUGGUUUGGGAGUUGCUUAGUUUAAAACGUUUAAAUGUAUUAAGCAUCAUCUUGAAAAGUUUUUCUGCUGUCCAAAAACUUAUGAGCUUCCAAAAGUUUCAAAGCUGUACACAAUGCAUGGAGCUUGUAGACUGUGAUGAUCCAAAGUCAUUUGCCGUGGCAGAGUUGAAGCAUCUUGAAAAACUAGGUUUUUCAAGUUGUGGAAAUUUGGAAGAGUUAAAGUUCUGCUGUGUCGAAGUUGCAAAGGCUCGAGAAUGUUUUCGUUUGAACAGCCCUCACUGAGUUAAGAUGAAGGCUUGUCAUAAAUUGUGGGAAGCGACAGGUUAUUCAAAUAGAAAAAUUUAUGGAGAUGGAUGUUAAUCUUAAGGUUAUUCAAUUAGAAAAAUUUGAAUAAAAUUUAUGGUAAGUGCUUUUCCAUUUAUUGCAUAUUUAUAUCUAAUUUUUAUUUUCCUUUAUUGUUAAAUUUUGGUCUCUAUUUGUUGUUGUAUGGUGGCAUUCUUGUACAAUUAUUAGCUUUUCAUUUCUCUUCUCACAUUAACUGCCCUUCUGAUCAUGUAGGAUUUGCUGAUGCAAAGAGUCAUAAUUUGGGAUACAAAUGUAAGAAUUAGACAGAUGACAUGUUGUUUUGAAGCUCUCAAAGAAGGACUAAUUAUGUCAUUGAAAGCCUCCAAUUUUGUGAUUGGUUUCUUUUUAUUUUAUUUGUUGUUUUCUCUAUUUUCAGAUCACUUAAUUGUUAGUUGUUGUAAUGUAAUGUUUUAGUAUAGCAAAUUAUAUUCGGCCAAGACAGUGAUAGGAGGGCACAUUGUGCAUGCACACUAGUGGAUUUGGCAUGCCAAAUCCAAUUAGGAUGGAUAACACUUUAUAAGCAUUAGGCUUCUCUCAUACCUGAGUAAUAUAGAAUAUGUUUAUAAGUUGUGAAUCACCCUUUACAAGUGUUAGGCUUCUGCUAUACUCAGUGAUGUGAAAUAUAUUUAUAAGCACUAAACUUCUCCCAUACACUUUAUGUUAAUAAUAAUAAUAAUAAUAAUAAUAAUAAUAAUAAAAUAAUAAUAAAUAAACCCAUUUUAACAGACUCUUUUUUCUUUUUCUAUAUGAACAAAUGCAUUCUUCAAAGCAACUGUGGGGAGAAGAAGUGAGUAGAGAAGAACUGAGCCCCUGUCAUUCCCCUAAAACCUCACCAAAACCUCUCUUGUAAGCUUCUCGGAUUUUCUUUCUAUAUUUCUUAGGAACUCAUUUUUUAUUGAAUCACUUAUUUUGCAUGCUGCAUUUUUUGGUUGUCGUAUUUGUGUAUUAUCUUAUCUGGAAUGCUGUUAUGAUUGAUGGAACAAGUAAUCGAUUUUUGGUCUAAUGGAAGUUGAUUUAUUUAUUUAUUGUUGUUUUUAUUUGAAAUUAUGUACAAUUGUAUUUCAUUCAUUUCUCUCUCUUUUGCUUUUUUCCCCCCAUAUAUUUGUUAUGUAUAAUUGCGUUUCAUUUAAUAUUGAUCAUACUGUAGGUAACCAUGUGAUUGUAGAUGGGGAUUUCGAGUUUGUUGAAUAUUCAUGUAAGUGAAGUAACCGUCACAAUACUAGUGAAAUUGGGAGCUUUAUUCAUGAGUUUGUGGUUUUGAAAAGUACCACAGUUCAACUGGUGAAGGCUCCGUUUUGGGAUUCUUCUUUUUCUAGGCUGCAAUUAGGAUAUGUACAUGAUAGACAAUCUUUUGUUGGUUUAGCAUAUCUUCGCUGAUUUUGUCUUUUAUUCCCCAAUUUUAUAAUUACACACCAUGAAUGUUGGGUGAUUGUAUAGAAAAUUUGUGUUAUAACAAAAACAUUGUGAAGGAGUUUCCGUGCUAAUAGUUAGUGGCUUCUGUUUUAUUGGCAUUGAUUGGGUAGAUUACGUGUUACAGUGAUUCAAUUUGUGUUCCAAACUUUGCUUUAAUUUUCUGUUUUCCCCAACUAUUUAUGUCAAAUUUAAAUCCAGAAGCAUGUGCUGAUUUUUUCUUUUUGUAUUAAUCUGUGAAGUUUAUUUGGAAUGGAAGUAACUGGGUCGGGUCUAAUGGAUUAAAUUAUGACAUUGAGGGGAAGGCACUAAAAGGGUUUGCUUGACACAUUUGGUUCUGUGUUUACUCUGCAAGAAAUAACUUUUGCUUAUUGCAAUGCAGGGGGAAAUCCCGAUUUGGCUGGUGAAUUUCUCUGCAACAAACAGGCAAACACCUCAACAUCUUCUGUCCAUACUUCUGCUGGGGAGGCAAGGGGUAAAGAGUCUUCAAAAUCAUCAAAUAGUUACAUCUCUGAGAAUUCAUUUUAUGGAAAUGGAAAAUCUAGAGUUUCUAAUACAAAAUGGCAUCUGGUAUCAGGACGUACCGUUUCAAGUUUUCUUGGUAAAGAUUAUGUUAAACCUGCACAGCCAGCUAAUGGCACUUUUCUGGCAUCAAAGCCAUUGAAGUUGGAUCCAAGGGAGUUUCGCAUUUCUGCACUUUCAGAGAAGAAACUAAACCGACAAUCAAAGGAUGACCAUUUGCAGAAGGAUAUGGAAGAUUUUCUUUUUAAAUUGCUAGGAGAAGGGUUCCAGCUGUACAGGGAUGUGAUUCAGGAGGUUCAUGGUAACGUCUUAAAUAUAUUGAUGCCAAUUUAAUACAUAUUGUCCUUUUCAAUGUUCUUUCUUUCUUUCUCCUCUUUUUAUUAUUCUUCUUCUUCUUUUUUCUUUUCAUGUGCAUGUGAUCACUAAUUUGGUAUUAUUCUUGACUUGCAGAUAGUUGUGGAUAUGAAAUGCAAAAGGUAAGGGCUAUAUCUUCUUGAUGGAGGCCUCUGAUUUUUUAAAUCGCAUUUUCCUUUGUGAUUGAUAUAUCAUACCAAAGUCAAGUCUUAAAUACUGCUGUCAUAUGUUAAGGUUCAACUUCCAUUUUGAUUAACGUCGAUUUGCUACUGCUUCCAAAAGUGAGAAUGAGAUACUUUGGUUAAUUUCAGUAGUUGAACUCAAUGGAGUACUUUAUUUAGAUCUUCAUGGUUCAAAGGCCUGAAAAAACUUGCCGGUAUUUGCAAAAUGACAUCUGUGCUUUUAUUUAGACUUAUUAUUAAAGACAACAUUUUAUUUCAGCCAAAAAUGUUUGUUUCAAUUAAAGACUUGAACCAUUUUCAUUUAACCUGAUUGUGAUGCUUUACAUUAUGCAUGUUCCUCUCAAUCAAUAAAAGUUGAGGUCAUGAUUUUAUAUUUCUAUUUUGUAACUUGAAAUAAUUGGUCUGCCUGUUUCUGUUGCUUGAUAACAUGAAUUUUUCCUUCUGAAGUUAAUUUGAUCAAUAAAGUAAUUCUUCGGAGAGGAUAUGCCCAUUCUAUAGUCAUUUUCUUAGCUAACAUGUUUUUUCUUCACUCUUCAAAGCAUGUCUAAACUAAUUGAUCGCUCAGCGGAGACUUUGGGUGAGAAGACAAAAUUUCUUGGUAAAUCCUCUGAAAAGGUAUGCAUAAUUCCCGAGUAUUAAAUAAUCAUUGGUCAUAAUUUUUGUACACGACUCUUGUUUUGGAGAUCGUUAAAAGUGGUUGAUGAUCUAUUUUGUAAUAUCAUAGAGGGAUCAUGAAUUCCUUUUCUUUUCUGUGGCUAGGCAACACUUUCGAGCCAAGCUAAGGAAAUCUAUUUUAGGUAAUGUGAAAACUAGUUGUAGGAUGUAAUAGUUUAUUAUGCCCUGACAAUAACUUUUUGUAUAAUUGUCAGUUUAAUGAAUACAAGAGGAACUCUGUUGGCAAGUUCAUCCAUGAUAGAUGCUAAAAUUAUUUAUGCAUACCAGUUGCCUUAACUAAUUUUUCUCAACACUGGUAUUGAACAGGAAAAUGAAUAUGCAAUUUGUAUAUUGUGCCAUUGUGGAGAAUUUGGAUAUUCUUAUUUAAGUAACAAGGAGAGUAUUUGCCUCAUCUUUAAACAAUGAAUCUUUGAGAAAUGAGGAGUGGGUGAUUGACAGUGUCUUCAUGUAAAUGUUCAUUUAUUUGUAUUUUGAACUAUUAUGAGAAUCUUUGUAUGCCAAAUUAGUAAUACAAAUGUUCAGAUGAUUUUUCCUGUUGAUCAUGCGUGUGUAUCUGCACACAACCAUUGUGUACCACUUUAUUCUGAUGCACAAAUAUCUGUAGUUUAGAAGAAAAGAAAUAAUAAUCAUAUAUUAUUGCUUGGUUCAUGAUUAUUAAAUGAUUAUGGCUUUAGAAAAUCCACAAAUCCUUUGUGUUCAUAUAUGAAUGUGCGAAGUUCGCUAUAUCUUAGAUUACCUUCUUCCAAGAUAACAAGUUCAUAUAUUUUUUUUAAUCCUUUUUCAUCACAGUUGAAUUUCAAGUGUAAGUUUUGUUAUUAAUAGCUGGUUUCCUGUUAUUAUGAUUUCAUAAACAAUGAGAGGAUAUGUGCUCUACUUUUGGAUGGCCUCCACAUAAAAGAAAAUUGCAACAAUUGAAUUCUUCUGGAGGGUAUGGUAUUUAAUUUAUUUUCUCAGCUUGUUGUAAGACUAAUAUAUUUCCUUCAGUACGCACGGCAUGGUGGGAAGGGUUUUUAUUGAAAGAAUUAUGAUAUUUCUUAGACUUUGUUUUGGAAGGGGGUGGAGGGAUUUCUCAUCCAUGUAUGGUUACUUGAUUAGCUUUUGACUGUACUGUCUCCGUCGUGCAAAGGAAAAUCCAAAUACUAACGAAGGGGAAUUGCUUAGGCACCCAAAGGACAGAAAUGAAUUACGGAAGGAGGUUUUUGCUGCUUUAUUUAGUGCUGCUGAGAAAUCUGAUGAAUUUCCUGAAAUUACGGUGAAGACGGAGUGGAGGUCCAACGCAUUAGGAAAGGUGGUGAGUGAACCGCCAGAGGAAUUAGUACCAGAAUACAAGGCUAAUGUGGUGCACUGGCAGCAAGAUGACCAGACCUGUAUGUGCUCUUAUAUUAACUAUAUUGGCUGGAUUUGUGAGUGUGUUCAUUUUUGUGUGUAUACUCACUUUUGUAUUUAUGCAUAUUCACGUGUGUAGGAUUCUCGAUUUCUGCCACUUACUGGAGAACUAGUGGAAAGCUUUAUACUGAUAUAUGUGCUAUAUAACUAAUGGAAACUACAAUAUGAAUAUUUUCUCUCACCUGGAGAGCAGUGUAACUAAUAUAAUUUGUGGCUCUGGAAUACUGAAGAUUCUGCAAUAACUAAUGGAAAAUAUGAUAUGAAUAUUUUUUCUCACCUGGAGAACUUUGUAACAGAUACAUUUUGUGCUGGAAUGUCUAAAGAAUGCUUCAGUUUAUAUCAAAUAUCUUUUAGUUAGAAAAGAUAAAAUUCUCUGAAUCUGAAAGACUGAAACAUUUUGCAUAUUUCGUGAAAGGCAAGUAUCUGUAGAUACUAGCUCAUGCAUUGAGGUAAUAUCAAUGUUAAAGAAAAACAGCAAUAAUUUAUUAUACAGAAUUAGGUUCACUUGCUUUAAAUGCUGGUCUGAUCAACCAUAUCAACCUGUAAUGGUCCUGCAGAAAUAUAUAUACGGGGAGAAACUAGCUAAUUUUCCUUUCACUUAUGGGUUUGGUCUUUUUUUCCCCAAUUUUUCAGCUUUCCUUCUCCUGAAGUAUGUUAAUAAUUGCAGAUAAUGGCGAAGAGGACUGCUUCCAGGCUACCGGCAAAAACUUUGUGAAAGCUUUGGAGUUAAACAGGGAAUUCACUUACUGCUAAGGACAAUUGGUGGCGAGCUAUUUCAUUCAUUUUAUGUCCAUACAUCUAUUUAAUUAUUAAAGAUAAUGUACGCAUUUGUAAAUUUCAGAUUGUGUGUCUCUGAAAAUAACAAUAUUUAAAAUGUCUCUUAAAUUAUUAUAAAUUUUAAUUUACUCUCGAUUUAAAAUGGAACAUGUUGGUGAAAUAUUUUUUCUUCUUAAUAAAAUUGAAAUAAAUUAUGUUAGCAGUAGUUUGAAAUAUUUUAAAGAUGAUUAUUUUAUAAGGGAGUAAUAUGAAAUGAAAUUUACUUUUCAUGCGUGAAAUGUUGAAAAAGGACAAAGCAAGUGUCCCUGCUUUUAUUUUAUUUCAAAGUGGAGUCAUCUCACAUACUUUAGCUCUAUCAUUAGGAGCCGGCUAAGUUACGUUAAACGUAAUUUACGCCAGGCACAGCAAUAAUGACAAGUCCCAUGACUAGUAUUGUUGCUGUGUCUGACGUAAGUUACGUUUAACGUAACUUAGCCAAAGCCCUAUCAUUAAUAUAUAUUUAAAUUUAACACAUGCAUGUGGGUUACUUUUCCGUAAGUUCCUUAAUAUAUAUUUAACACAAAUCAUGGAAGAGAUGGGAGUAUAUCAAGAUGAUCAAAGCAUGAAACAAAAAUAUUUAAGAAGUAAAACACUGAAAAUGGAGAAGAGAUGCAAGCAAAAGAUAUUCUAAAGAAAAGCAAUCUAUCCCCUUUCGAGGGCAAACUUAUCAGGUUUAAGAAAAGUACAUGCUUUGGAUUGGUAGUUGCAGCCUUGCAGGAUAAUUGUUUUUGCCACUAUAUUAGUUGGAGGAGUUGAACCCAGUGAAGAAUGUUAUGGAAGAGCAAAUGAUAUUUCUGAUAGACUCUAUUUGAUUAUGUAGCCUGAAUAGAUGUCUUGUUGAAAGAUAUAUCAGUGCAUUAGUUCAUCCUUGUCUGUCAAUGUGUUUUUAAUGGUUUUUCCAAUUGUUUUUUUUUUUUUUGAAACUGAUUAAGCAUCAGGUUACUGCAUUACACAGAUAUAUAUACAACUGCUAUGACAGCAGGUCAUUACACUGAUAUUUACAAUCAGAUAUAUAUACAUGGGACUUAUAUUAUUACAUUUUUAUUCUAUGAAGUACAUGCCCAUCCCAAAUACCCCUCACGGAGGAGGGAUGUCUCUACUCCACUCGCAUUUCGCAAGGGAGAAAGACGUUUAUAGAAAUCUCCACACAAUUAUGUUUAAUUGGAGGAGGUUGAGUCCGUGGGGACUCGAACCAUUGCCCUCAAAGUCAUGCUUAACUUUGAGGGCAAUGGUCCACCACUGGGCUACAAGCCCAAGUGGCGGUUUUUCCAAUUGUUUAUUGCUAUAGAUUGAUUGUAAAUUGAUGUGAACUUAAUGUUGAAAUAUUUUCUCUUUAGUGGAAUGAAAGUUAAACAUUCAAGAUUAGAUUAUUCAAGGUCCACAUAGUAUGUGUUCCGUUGUGUUGUCUGUAAUUUUGCAUUUAAAUAAAUUUGAGUGCUGCCGUUUCGCUCCCACAAUCUCUCGCCUUUUUUUAAUUUUAAAAAUUAAAAUAUUAAUAAAAAACAAUAAAGAAAAUCGAAUCCUUUAUGUCAUUCCAUCUUUACAACUCUCUCUCACAAACUCCAUCUAACAGACUUCUCUCUUACUAUCUCGGUCGAACAAGACCAGUGACAAUGAUGACACGACCGCCGACGAUGAGAUGGUCAUCGCUAAAGAAUCGGGCCGUGUAUUUUACAAUUUCUUGGUUUGUGACAACAAUGGAAAACUCCUGAAAAUUUUGAAUUUGUAGUCGAGCAAAGGAAGAAGCAAGUUAUCUUCAAAGCAUUUUCCAGUAAUAGCUGAUGAAAUUUAAUACUUCAAGCUGGCCCUUUGCUGUCACAACUAGAUGCAUUUGCACUGUCAUUACAAUUUAUGGAAAUUAAAGUAAUUAAUGGUUCUAAUUAAUAGCUUCCCAAAAAACCAAUCUGCCCUUGUGAGAACCAAAGCAUUAAUUUCUUGUAAGAGCUGCAGAAGGCCAGAGAAUUUCAGAUCGUGAAAAGGAGUGUGUGAGUGAGAGAGAGAUCGUGAAAUAGUGAGAGACAAUGAGAGAGAGAGCCGCUCGACUGAGAUGGUGAGAGAGUUGCAAAAAUGGAGUAAGGAGCAGAUAAGAUUAUGUUUUCUUUAUUAUUUUUUAUUAAUAUUUUAAUUUUUUUAAUUAAAAAAGGGCGAGAGAUUUUGGGAGUGAAACGGCAGCAUGUUCCAAUAAAUUUUUACCAAAGUUUCUCUCGUGUUUCUCUCACCUUUCUAGAUACCAAGCAUUUUCCAAUAAAUUUUUACUAAAAACUUAGCAAGCCCUUGAAACUUUGGUCAAAAUUAUUGUUAUUAUUACUUUUAGAGGAAAAACUUUUAUUAAAACCUCAUUAACACAAUUCUUAAUUAAAAUUAUAAGUUUGUGUUGGUGUAAGGAUUUGCAGGAGCAAUUACUGCCUAGCCAAGUGUCAAAAGCACAAAAUAAAUCAAGAGAAAGUAGACAUGAAUUAGGAUCCAAUGAAAUUUAAAUCCCGGAGAAAAGAAAUAAUCAUGCAGAUUAUCAAGAUUUCAAUAAGGGAUAUUGAUAUCCUAUUUUGAUUAAUAAUAUCCUUUUACUGUGUUAACUCAAAAAAUAUGUAUAUUCUAAUAUUUUACAAUAAAUAGAAAUCUAAUAUUAAAAUAAAUGUGAUAUAUAUAUAUAUAUAUUAAAUAAUUUAAAUAUAAAAAAUAUUUUAAUGUUUUACAAUCUACUACACAUAUUUUAUUAAGUUAAUAUAAUUUUUCAAAUAAAUAGGGACAUAAUAUUAAAAUAAAUUUAUAAAAAUUUAAAUUAUUUUGAAUUUAAAAUAAUUUUAAUAUUAUUAAUAUGUUAGAUAUGUUUGAUUAAUUAUAAAAAUUAUUUACGCAAAUUUUUUUAAUAUUUUCAGUAGAUAUAAAUAUAUUACUUACAUUUUGAUUAUUUAACUAUUAUUAUUCUACAAUUAUUUAUAUAAUGUUUGCACUUAUUAGAAUAUAUUUAAAGUCAAAUCUUUUGCACUUCUACCUAGCUAGAAUUAUUGGACGCAGAGAAAUAAGCAUAUAUGCUUUAUAACUUUAGAAAUCGAAUUAUCUAUACAAAUUGAUUUUAGCUGGAAAAAAAGUGAGCUGAAUGAUAUAGGCGAUUAGUGUGGUAAUAUUUCAUAGAGUUAGACUAUUGAAUUUGGCACCCCUCCAAUCUUCUCAUGAUUACCUUUUUGAGUUAUUAAUACACUUCUAAUUUUUCGUUUAAUUUUUUUUAUUGUUAUACUCAAAGUAGUAUUGUGAUAUUUUAUAUUUCUUUUGCAAUCUUAUUAUUAUUUUACACAAAAUUAAAAAGUUUUCUAGGUGAUGAACUUUUGAGUUUUGAACAUUAAUCAUUGGCUUAAAUUUCAUAUAUUUUACAUUAUAAUUUGAAAUUAAGUACGAAAAUAUUUAAUAAAUUAUGAAAAGAUUAACAGAUUAUUCUAAAUUGAUACAACUUAUUUUAGUUAAAUAAAAAGUAACAGGUAAAAAAAAAAAGGAUUGGUUAUGAAAUUUGUUGGAAAAAAAUCUGUGUGUGUUUAAUUUUUAUUUGUCCUUAAUUGUAAUUUAUUUGAAGUGAGGUUUUAUAAGGAUAAUGAAGGGGUGCCAUAGUUUCACUCUAUUUCAUAUGGAGAGAGAAGUAAAAGGUACACCUGAGGUUAAUGGAAAGGACUUCGAAAGUUUCUUUUGAUUAUAAUACUGUUUGUUCUAAUUAACUUAAAAAAUUUUACUUUAAUAUUUUAUAAUAAAUUAAAUUUUAAUCUUAAAAUAAGUAUAAUCAUAUAUUUUAAAAUAAUCUUAAAAUAAAUACAAUCAUAUAUUUUAAAAUAAUCUUAAAAUAAAUACAAUCAUAUAUUUUAAAAUAAUCUUAAAAUAAAUACAAUCAUAUAUUUUAAAAUAAUCUUUAUAUUUAAAAUUUAUUUAUUUGUACAUAUUUUAUAAUAAAUAUAACACAUACUAUUAAAAUAAUAUAUAAAAAAUUAAAGUAUUUUGAAUAUUAUAUAAAAUAACUUUAAGAUUCUUAAUAUGUAAGAUAUAUUUUAUUAAUUUAAAAUUCUAUUUAAAAUUUUAUUAAUUUAAAAUUCUAUUUAACCCAAAGAUUUAUUUAAGAUAAAUUAAUAAUCAUAUUUUUUAAAUCAUUUCAAAUAUUAAAAAAUAUUUUGAUAUUACUAGUCUAUUAAAUAGAUUAAAUAUUUUUAUUAUUUUGUACUAAUCAAAAGUUACAGCUCGAAUGAUAUUAUGAGAACAGAAUUUUUAUGUCUUUAUUAAAAAUUUGGGUUUGUAUAAUUAUUUUUUCAAAUGUUAGGGGCAUAGCUGUCUUUUUACUUUUAUAUAUGUGAACCGCGGUGGUGAAAAAGUGUGAUUUAAUAUUAGUUAUUUAAAUAAUAUCUGAAUUAAAGAUGUACAGAGAAGAAAUUUCGGUGGGCAUUUUAGUCUUUUAACGAUUAUCAUGAUUAGGGAUUAGGUCCUGCUCUUGAAACGUUGGUCAGAAAAGUUCUAAAAUGCGUACAUUAUCUUUACUUUAAAAAAGUUAUUUUAUUUUAUUACAAAUUAAUGCCGACAAGAAAAAGCAAGAUCUUAAANNNNNNNNNNNNNNNNNNNNNNNNNNNNNNNNNNNNNNNNNNNNNNNNNNNNNNNNNNNNNNNNNNNNNNNNNNNNNNNNNNNNNNNNNNNNNNNNNNNNAUAAAGAUGAAGAAAAGGGCAAAAAAAUAUUAAUGAUUAACGAAAUCUCUAUCCAAAUUGAUUUUAGCAGGAAAAAAGUGAGCUAAAUGAUGUAGACGAUUAGUGGUAAUAUUUCAUAGAGUUAGACUAUUGGCACCCUUCCAAUCUUCUCACGAAUCCUCUUUUUGAGUUAUAUUUAUUUUAUUUUUAAAAUAUCUUUUUUCUCUUUUACUACACUUCUAAUUUUUCAUUUAAUUUUUUUAUUGUUAAACUCAAAGUAGUAUUGUGAUAUUUUUAAUUUCUUUUGCAAUCUUAUUAUUACUCUGCAUAUAAAUUAAAAAGUUUUUUAGGUGAUGAAUUUUUGAAUGUUAAUCAUUAGCUUAAAUUUCACAUAUUUUACAUUACAAUUUGAAAUUUAAUAUGAAAAUAUUUAAUCAAUAAGAAUUAUGAAAAGAUUAAUAAAUUAUUCUAAAUUUAUACAACUUAUUUUAGUUAGAUCAGAAGUAGCAGGUUAACAAAAGAAAGGAUUGGUUAUGAAAUUUGUUGGAAAAAAAUCUAUGUGUGUUUAAUUUUUAUUCGUUGUUAACUCUAAUUAAGUAGGUUAAAUAUUUUUGUUAUUUUUUACUUAUCAAAAAAUUUAAGAUCAAUAUUUUUAGUUACCAUUCGAAGGAUAUUAUGACAAAAACAGAAUUUUCACUUCUUUGUUAAAAAUUUGGGGGUUUGUGUAACUAUUUUUUCAAAUGUUAGGGGCAUAUCUGUCUUUUUACUCUAUAUAUAUGAACCAUGGUGGUGAAAAAGCGUGAUUUAAUGUUAUUUAUUUAAAUAAUAUCUCAAUUAAAAAUGUAAGGAGAAGAAAUUUCGGUGGGCAUUUUAGUCUUUUAACGAUUAUCAUGGUUAGGCCCUGGUCUUGAAACGUUGGUCAGAAAAGUUCUAAAAUGCGUUCAUUUGUCUUUACGCCAACAAUAAAAAGCAAGAUCUUAGUGUCCCACAAAAGCAAAUCGUAAUAUUCCGCAAUGGAGUUAGAUCCGCAAAAGCAAACAAAUUCUUUUAUUAAACUACAAAUUAAAGUGGAAUCAUUUACUAAACAACAAAUUAAAUUUGAAAUAUUUAAAUAGUCGUGCGUUAGACGAUUAGAGACUCUUAUUAAAGGCAAGUACAAAGUAGUGAAGAAUCGAAUAUUUCUAUUGUCUAGUCUUUUUUUAAAAAAAAUUUUCUUUUAUUAUUUUUCAGAAUAUGUUUUGGUGAUUACUAUUGGGUUAUUAUUCAGAGUUAUUGUUAUCUUCCGGGGCAGUUUCUGUUCAUCGAAUUCGUUAAUAAAAUUUUAAAACUCUUAUUGAAAGAAUGUUUUUCCGUUAUCUUUUUUAUAAUCUAAUUUUAAGUGUAAGAAGUAGUCAUUUUAGAAUUUGGGUCUUGAAUCGAAUUUCAAUGCAUGAAUUAAUAUUUAAAAAAAAUUUACUACAUGCAGUUUAGGUUACAAACUAUUUUUUGCAAAGUUGACUAUGAAAUUGGAGAAAUUAAGUAAUUUAUAAUGUUUGCAAAGAAAGAGACCAACAUACUUCCAAUUACACUAUAUCUCAAUUAUCAUAAUGUUAAGAUUAAACUAACUUAAAAUAAAAUUUAUUUAAAAAGUUUAUCAAACGCAGUCUAAUUUUAUUAACUUGAAGAGAUAAUAGUUAUAGAAAUUAUUAUUCUAACUUAAUUAGUAAAAGUGGUAUAAAGGUUAAGUGUGCACUAAAUCUAUUUAAAUUUUUUUCCAGUAUAACUAACAGAGGUCAUUACUAGAAUUAUAUUACUAGUCUAUUAGAUAGAAAAAAUUAUUUAUAUUGUUUUAUAUUUAUUAAAAAAAUUUAAAGUCAAUCUUUUUAAUUACUAUUUAAAGGAUAUUAUAAUUAAAAAAAUUUUAAUGUCUUCAUUAAAAAUUUAAAAUUUUAUAUGACCGUUAUCUAAAUAUUUAAAGUGUAACUGUCAUUUUCUCAUAUAUAUAUAUAAUUUCAUCAACCCCUUAUACUUUAUGUUAUUUAUAUUUUAUUCAUGAAUAUUAUAAAUUUUUUGAAAUAUAAAAUUUCGUUUAACCCUUUAUACUCAAUUUUAUUUUAUUAAAACCCUAGAGUAUGAAUUCGUCCCUAUAAUAUUAAAUUCUCAAAAUAACUUCCAUUUAAUUAAAAAAUAUAAUUAUUAUUAAAUGAAUUAUAAUUAUUAUUAUUAUGUUAUUAUAAUCAUAAAAAGCGAGAUCAUAUUCCACAAAAGCAUAAGUGACAAAACAACCAACUGGAUUCUUUUAUUAAUCAACAAAUUGUAUAGUCUUUUUCAAAUUGUUAUAAAUUGGUGGCCCCUACAAUCCUCAAUAAUUGUACCGAAAUUCACAAGUUGGUGGGCCCUACAAUUCUGUUCCGAUAAUUUAACUGUGCAAGUGCUCAUUCACAAUCUUCCAGGUCAUGCUCUUAACAAUUGUUUUUUCUUUUCUGCACGCCCUUUCAUGCUCUUAAUAAUUGAAGAGCAUACUUUUCAAAUGUGAAGCCGCAUCUAAUGUCGCUAAUUUAAUUUGGGAUUAAAUUACGGGACUAUUAUAUUGCAGUGUGCACUAAUUUUUAUGUUUAUCUAAACUCUUCAAAUUUAAAACAUAUUAUGGCAUAAAUAAGAAUGUAACAAUAACAAAAGAGUAAGAAAGUGUAGAGAAAAUCUUGCAGAAAUAUAAAUAAUAUUUAUUUUUAAAAUAAUAUUAAUAUUUAAAAUAAUUUUUAAUAUUUUAUGGUCCAUUAGAUAUAUUUUAUUAUAUUAAAAUAAAUUUUAUAAUAAAUAAAAACAUACUAUUAAAAUGAAUAUAUAUAGAAAAUUUAGAGUAUUUUAAGUAUUAUAUAAAAUAAUUUUAAUAAAAUAUGUGAGAUAUUCAUAUUUUAUUAAUUUAAGAUACCAUUUAACCUAAAGAUUUAUUUAUGAUAAAUUAAUAAUUAUAUUUUUGAAAUUACUUCAAAUAUUAAAAAAAUUAAUAUUACUAAUAUAUUAGAUAGAUUAAAUUAUAUAUAUUAUUUUUACUUAUUAAAAAAAUUUUAAAAUUAUUUUUAAUUACUAUUCAAAAAACGUAUUCAAAAAACAUAAUGAUAAAAAAAUCUUAACAUCUUUAUUAAAAAAUUAAAAACUUAUAUGAUAAAUUCUCUAAAUAUUUACGGUAUAUGUGAACCACGGUGGAUAAGCUUUAUUUAAUAUUAUUGAUUUAAAUAAUAUGUCAAUUAAAAAUGUACAGAGAAGAAAUUUCGGUGGGUAUUUUAGUCUUUUAAGCAAUUAUCAUGAUCAGAUCAGCCUUUAGCCUUCAAACGUCGGUCAGAAAAGUUUUAAAAUUAAUGCUAAAUUGUUUUUCACUUUUAACGUUGGUGGCCUUGAAAUUGCUUGUAUUUUAUUAAAAAUUAAUGCUAACAAGAAAAAGCUAGGUCAUAUUCCACAAAAUCAAAAGUGACAAAACAACCAGCUGGUUUCUUUUACUAAACUACAAAUUAAAAUAAAUUUUUUCGAUAAAUUACAAAUUAAAGUGGAUUCUUUUGAAUACAAAUGGGACAGACGAUUAGGCUCUUUUUAUUAGAGGCAAGUAAAAACUAGUCAAGAAUCGAACAGUCUUUUUCCAAUUCUUGUUUUAUUAUUUUUCAAAACUAGUUUUUGGUAAUUACAACCGGGUCAUUAAUCAUUAUUCAGAGUUAUCUUCCGGGGCAGUUUCUGUUCAUCGAAUUCGUUAAUAAAAUGUUAAAACUCUUAUUGAAAGAAUGUUUUUCCGUUAUCUUUUUUAUAAUCUAAUUUUAAGUGUAAGAAGUAGUCAUUUUAGAAUUUGGGUCUUGAAUCGAAUUUCAAUGCAUGAAUUAAUAUUUAAAAAAAAUUUACUACAUGCAGUUUAGGUUACAAACUAUUUUUUGCAAAGUUGACUAUGAAAUUGGAGAAAUUAAGUAAUUUAUAAUGUUUGCAAAGAAAGAGACCAACAUACUUCCAAUUACACUAUAUCUCAAUUAUCAUAAUGUUAAGAUUAAACUAACUUAAAAUAAAAUUUAUUUAAAAAGUUUAUCAAACGCAGUCUAAUUUUAUUAACUUGAAGAGAUAAUAGUUAUAGAAAUUAUUAUUCUAACUUAAUUAGUAAAAGUGGUAUAAAGGUUAAGUGUGCACUAAAUCUAUUUAAAUUUUUUUCCAGUAUAACUAACAGAGGUCAUUACUAGAAUUAUAUUACUAGUCUAUUAGAUAGAAAAAAUUAUUUAUAUUGUUUUAUAUUUAUUAAAAAAAUUUAAAGUCAAUCUUUUUAAUUACUAUUAAAGGAUAUUAUAAUUAAAAAAANNNNNNNNNNNNNNNNNNNNNNNNNNNNNNNNNNNNNNNNNNNNNNNNNNNNNNNNNNNNNNNNNNNNNNNNNNNNNNNNNNNNNNNNNNNNNNNNNNNNNNNNNNNNNNNNNNNNNNNNNNNNNNNNNNNNNNNNNNNNNNNNNNNNNNNNNNNNNNNNNNNNNNNNNNNNNNNNNNNNNNNNNNNNNNNNNNNNNNNNNNNNNNNNNNNNNNNNNNNNNNNNNNNNNNNNNNNNNNNNNNNNNNNNNNNNNNNNNNNNNNNNNNNNNNNNNNNNNNNNNNNNNNNNNNNNNNNNNNNNNNNNNNNNNNNNNNNNNNNNNNNNNNNNNNNNNNNNNNNNNNNNNNNNNNNNNNNNNNNNNNNNNNNNNNNNNNNNNNNNNNNNNNNNNNNNNNNNNNNNNNNNNNNNNNNNNNNNNNNNNNNNNNNNNNNNNNNNNNNNNNNNNNNNAUUGUGGGCACUCUUGUUCGUGCAUGUUUGCUAGAAGAGAUGGAAGAUGAUAAAGUAAAAAUGCAUGACGUUGUUCGUGAUAUGGCUUUAUGGAUAGCUUGUGAAAUUGAGAAGGAGAAGAGAAACUUUUUGGUUUGUGCAGGUGCUCGAUUAGAAGAGGCACCGGGUGUUAAAGAAUGGGAAAAUGUGAGAAGAUUGUCAUUGAUGCAAAACCAAAUUGAAACUGUGUCAGAGAUUCCCGCAUGCCCUCAUCUCCAUACUCUAUUUCUUGCCUCUAAUAGGAAUUUCAGGAUGAUCACGGAUGGCUUCUUUCAAUUUAUGCCUUCUCUCAAAGUUUUGAAGAUGUCACGCUGUGGGCAAUUCGAAGGUUUUCAAUUACCUGUUGGGAUGUCAGAGUUGGGUUCAUCACUAGAACUUCUUGAUAUUUCACAUACCACCAUAAGAGAGUUACCCGAAGAGUUAAAGUUGCUGGUAAAUCUGAAAUGUUUGAAUUUGAGGUGGACAGGUGCGUUAAUUAGAAUUCCACGGGGACUAAUAUCAAAAUUUUCAAGGUUACGUGUGUUGAGAAUGUUGGGUACUGGCGGGUUCAUUUUUUAUGAAGCACCAGAAGACAGCGUUUUAUUUGGUGGGGGUGAAGUUUUGAUACAGGAAUUGCUCGGUUUGAAAUAUUUAGAGGUAUUGGAGUUGACCUUGGGAAGUUAUCAUGCUCUCCAAAUUCUUUUGAGCUCAAAUAAGUUAAAAAGUUGUAUUCGAUCUCUUUACCUCUAUUUGACCGGAGAUAAAAAGUCGAUUAUUGAUGCUACGGCUUUCACAGACCUAAACCACCUCAAUGAAUUAUGGAUUGAUAAUGGAAUUGAGUUGGAAGAAUUGAAGAUUGAUUAUACGGAGAUAGUACGAAAAAGGCGGGAACCUUUUGUUUUCCACAGCCUUCACCUUGUUACGAUAUAUAGUUGCCAUAAAUUGAAAGAUUCGACAUUCCUCGCUUUUGCUCCAAACCUCAAGUCUCUUUCGCUAUUCAAAUGCCGUGCUAUGGAAGAAAUAAUCAGCGUCGGAAAAAUUGCUGAGAAUCCUGAGAUGAUGGGACAUAUAAGCCCUUUUGAAAAUCUCAAAAGUCUUGAUCUAUCAUAUUUGCCGGAGUUGAAGAGCAUUUUCUGGAAGCCAUUGCCUUUCACUCAUCUCAAAGAAAUGGGGGUAAGAGCAUGUGAUCAGCUUAGAAAGCUUCCACUCGAUUCCAACAGUGCAAAAGAGCGUAAAUUUGUAAUUCGUGGAGAAGAAGACUGGUGGAACCGACUUCAAUGGGAGGAUGAAGCCACUCAAAUUGCUUUUCGUUCCUGUUUCCAACCUGAUUCCUGAGCGGUGGUCGCAAAAUUUGAUUUCUGGUGAGUGCGUUUGUCUUUUAAAAGAAGAAUUUAAAAGAAAUUUAUUCUUGACGUUUUCUUCACUGUUUUUAUUUCAGUCUCUCUCUCUCUCUUUUUGUCUUCUGCUAAUCACAAUUAAAUGUUGAAUUAAUGGAAUUAAUGCUUCAUAAAUUUGCCGGCACUGCCAUUACUUUUUUUUUUUUUAAUACAAAUUGAUACUUUAUUUAUAUCUUCUUAGCGAUUUAAUUUCCUGUCAAUUGACGAACGAGAAGAACAUAUGACUUGAACCAAUGCUCGCAUAAACUUGCUGUAAAAAGAUAUAAUCUCACUGAAAUGCACACGCCUAGAAUGAAUAGAAUUAAAACAGGGAAAAUAUUAAGUAUAUUAGCCCUCUUUACCGAAAAUCAAAUGACAAUAAAUUUUUUGAAGUUUUGAUUUUCUAUGGUCAAUUCCACCUUUUGCAAUUUCUUCUGUUCUAACAAAAACCAAUUUCUUUGUUCAAGUAUUUUCGUUUGGGUAUUAAUAAUUCUCCACCGAAAGAGUGAACUCUUGCUCAAGGGAUCUCUAAUCAAUAGCCGGAAGGGCGCCGAGACCUGAUCGGACCUAGGCCCAAGUUUGGUCUUAAAGCCUGGGCUUGAGCCUGGCAAUUAAAUUAAAACAGUAAUUGAUUUCUUGAAUGAAUUGUCGUGUAAUUGAUUUAUGGGGGAUGACACAUCAACAUACUUGAAAAUACACUAAUCUCAGCAUCAUCCGUUAAUAACUUUUAGAUUUAUGGGCAAUCAAUAGUUAAAUUAGUUGUCAUUAAUACUAAAUAAUUUUUACUUUUUUUGUCUCUUCUAGAGGAUCUUCUAGAAAAAUGCAUCCACAAUUAAAUUUAAUACUUUACAUAAUAAAGAAAGCAUAAAUGUUAAAUUUAAGAAACUGCAUUGUAUUUCAGCUGAAGUUGACUUUAAUAUUUAGGGUAGAAAAAAAUUAAAUCCUUAAUGUGUUUAAUUUCUAUCACUUGUGUCAUUAAAAUUUUCUAGUCACCCUAACCAAUUACAUCUCAACCCACUUUUUUUUGGAUGAUUUUAUUUUUACACUAUUAUUUUCAACAUUUUUUUUUCCUUUUAACACCAACAUUAGUGUAUGUUACGUAACAUAAUCCAUAUUUGGAUAAUUUGAAAUUUGUUUGUGUUUUAUCUCAAAAUAGAGCUUCAAUCAAUUUGUACCUCAUAAAUUCACAAUAUCUGGCAUAUUGUCAAAUGUGCUUAUCCUUUUGCUUGACAUGUCAUUUUAAAAUUGUCAUUCAAUGUCAAAAAAUCACAUCAACUAAUGGCCGACUACUUUAAUUUGAAAGCAUGCGUGCGAUCGCCAAUAAUUAUAACUUAAUUGUUAUAUUGAAAUUUUUUUCUUUAUAAUUUAAGUUUAAUACUGCUACAUGUGUGGCACAUAAGUUGGAAAAUAUAACAUAAAAUUUGAAAAAUGUGUAGUUUUCGUUCCUUUUUUUUCUAAAAAAAUGGGAAAAAAGAAUGUAAUUUUGUUUAAAUUACUGUUGUCAUAACAAUUAUUAUUUUAUUGAUUAAUUGGCAGAGAAUCGUAAUGGUUUCGCAUGGUUGUUAAAACAUUGGAAAGUCCACUACAUCAUCGGUUAAUAACUUUCAGAUUUAUGGUUAAUUAAUAGCUGAGAUUUAUUAUCAUUAAUGCUAAAUAUUUUUUCUCUCUCCUGGAGGAUCAUCCACAGGCAGGUGCUUCCUGACGAUGACAAAAUUUUGGGCAGGCAGGUGCUUCCUGACUUUCACACGGUAAUUCUCAAAUUCUGAUUUCACCAUAUUUUAAUUACUGAUUAGCAUAUAUUCAAGUGCUCUCCAUUAUAAUGGAAGCCGCCGCCUCACUCGUAAUUCCAAACUUUAUCUUUUUUUCCUUUUUUAAAUUAAUGCAAGUAGCCGCUGUCCUUUCUAUUAAUUAAUUAAUUCGGCCGCCCACAUUUCUUUUCCUAAUGUCUUCUACUGUCGAGUUUAUUUUAUUUUCUCUUUAUUAUUAAAAUAUACUUAUAAUAAUAAAAAAAUAAAAAUUAACAUAUCAAAAUAUAAUUUAACAGAAAAUUAAGAUAAAAAAUUAAAAAUAAAUAAAUUAUGAGCAUAUCAAUCAAUAAAUGAAAAAUAAUAAUUUUUAUUUUUAUUAAAUAUAAAUUUUUCAGUAUUAAUCAAUUAUCUGAAUAAAUAAAAUCAUUUAAAAAUAAAUAAAUAAAUUAUUCUUAAAAAAAAAAAAAAAACUUUUUAUAACACUCACUAUGCUGGUUGUAGGGUUGACGCUUUGGGUACUGAAGCUAGUAACUUCUACAAGUAGUCUUAAGUUGACUGGCAACAACUAUAUUGGCAUUUAGAAAUAAUGUACUGCAACCAUAUUGGCAUGUUCAAAUGUUCUUAUUAUUGUAUUGGUGUGUCAAUAUUAUCUCUAACGGUUUUAUAAAUAAAAAAAUAAUCUAAAUUUAUAAUUUAACAUAAAAUAAAAUAAUUGGUAGAAAAACAAUUAUGGUUCAUUUACUUAUCAGUAAUCAGAAUAGACUGAAAUCGAAAUGAGUUGUAUUACUGUUGAUGUGUUUAUGUUGUACUCGAAUCGAAAUGAAUUAUUUUAAAUUACUAAAAUAUCCUUGGUCUGUUAUUCUAAUUAUUAUUAUUAUUUAAUAUUUAUUAUAAUAUUUUUCAUAUCAUUAAAAAAAAAUAAUAAUGAUGAUAAUAUUCUCAUUAUUGUUUGUUACAUUAUUAUUAUUCAAAAAAAUUAUUGUUAAUAACAAUAAUUACUUUAUUUCAAUAAUAAUAAUGAUAAAAUUAAUAAUAAUAAACAUGACAACAACAAUAAUUAUUUAUUAUGCCAAAAAAUAACAAUAAUAAUAAGAAUAAUAAUCAUCAUCAUUUUUUUGCCAAAGAAGCAUUAUCAUCAUCAUUUCAAAAAAAAAAUCAUCAUCAUCAUCAUCAUUUUUGUAGUGGCUACCUAUCGGCUGCUGCUUUCAUGUGAGAUUGACUUGCGACGCUUCAACGGCUAUUAUUUCUGACAAUGUCAGGUGUUGCUAUUUCAAUUUAGGAAGAAGUUGUUUCGGUGUGCUAGCGAUGGGAGAUGUUGUGGCUGCGAUUCGGGGAGCUACUAGUUUAUUGCACUAAUAACGGCAGGUGCUGUUGCUUGAUGCGAGGUCCAUGGCCAGUUGUCAGCAGUUCGACUUUGGUAUGGGUGCUGCUGGUUCGAUUUUAGGUGUUGUCCAAUUUCAUUUUCAGGAUUUUAAUUUUAUUUUUCUUUUAUAUUUUCAUUAAUUAAUCAGGGUAAAAUUGGAUUUUAGAAUUUAGAAUGAAGGUAAUUUUGUUAAUAAUGGAAAUGAGAUUCUGAUUGUCGAGAAUGAGCUUACACAAACAACUAUAAAUUAAGUGAAAACAAAACACUUUUUCUCUUUGUGUGAUUAAAACAUGAUAUGUACCAUAAAUAAAUAAGUAAAAAAUAAAUCAACACAAUCUAAAACAGUAAACAAAUUACAAGAGGCACAGAUUUUUAUGUGAAACACCGAAAAUGGAAAAAACCACAGCAUCUUAGUUUGAUAUAAUCUUCUACUAUAUUAAUGGGAUUAUAGCACAAAUUCUUUCCUAUAUAACACUAGAGAUUAACAACAUCAAGAAUCUCAAUAAUCUUGACUUACAAUACAGCCUAAUAUUUGUCUCUCUAAUAAGUAGAUAUCUAAAAUAACAGUCUCUAAUAAGUAUGUAUCUAAAAUAAUAGUCAACAAGAGGAUAAAACAAAAAUUAAGAUUAGUAGGAUGUGUAUAAGGUGAUGCUAUCAAUUUAUCUUCUAAAUUUGAGAAAAAUAGUUAAAUUCACUUUUUCGAUUGUCCGACCAAAAAUGGAAACCCUUGCCCCAAAACCAAAGGAAUCACCAUUAUGUUUUUCUCUCUCUCUCUCUCUAUCUCGUUCUUUUCUUCUUCUUUUCUUAAUGUUAGCCAUCACUUGCUUUUAUUCUUUAUAGCAUUCAAAAAGCUACUUUUAAUGGUAAAUUUCAUUUAAGUCUGCAACUUAGUGAUAAUUGCACACCAAACAAUCCUUACAUAGUGUUUUGGGCCCUCAAAUGAGAUGAAUACAACAAAUCUCCCCCUUUAAAUCAUGUGGGGGGCACCGCAAGCCCGCUAUUUGCAUAUAGCUUUUCAGCUUCUCCUUGAAUAAUGACUUUGUCAUCAUACAUAAUCCAUUCUUCGUUGUGUAAAUCUUCUCAAGCUGUAACUGUUCCUUCUCAAGCUGUAAUUAUUCCUUCUCAAGCACGUCUCGUAUCUAAUGAUACCUUACAUCAAUAUGCUUAGAUUUCGAAUAGUAUAACAGCACUCUGACUAUCGUAGUACAUAACAUAGCUGUCUUGUUUUACACCCAGCUCUUGUAGGAAAUUCUUCGUCCACAAUAUUUUUUUGCAACCUUCAAUAAUUGUAAUAUCAUUUGCUUUAGUGGUAGAAAAGGCAACUUAUUACUAAAGUUUAGAUUGCGAUGAGACUGUUCCCCCUGCAAAAGUGAGCAAACAUCCUAGUAGGAAUUUUUCGGAAUCAACAGCUCCUGCCAUAUCUACACACUUGUAACACAGGUUUGUCACCACCAAAAUAUAAACAUGCUCUGGAAAUGCAUCUAAGAUAUCUGAGAAUUUUUCACUGUUGUCCAGUGCUCUUUACCGAGGUUGAAGAGAAACCACUGACUACACUAACUGUAUAGGCAAUAUUUGGUCUUGUACAAAUUAUGGCGUACAAUAAACUGCCAACUGCUGAAGCAUAAGGAACUCCUCUCAUGGAGAAAUGGGUUUUACUCUUGAGAUUUUUGGGACCAUGAAGAAUAAAGAUGUAAUUUCUUAUACUGCCAUUGUUUCGGGAUAUAUAAAUAGAGAACAAGUCGAUAUAGCUCGACAGUGUUUUGAUCAGAUGCCAGAACGAGAUUAUGUCUUAUGGACUACCAUGAUUGAUGGGUACCUUCGAGUGAAUAGGUUCAGAGAGGCUUUGACACUUUUUCAGGAGAUACAAACUUCAAAUAUAAUGGGAGACGAGUUUACCAUUGUUAGCAUUCUUACAGCUCGUGCGAAUCUGGGGGCACUAGAACUGGGAGAAUGGAUAAAGACUUAUAUUGACAAAAACAAAGUCAAGAAUGAUAUAUUUGCGGGGAAUGCUUUGAUAGACAUGUACUGUAAAUGUACUGUAAAUGCGGAGAUGUUGAGAAAGCUCAAAAGGUAUUCAGGAAGAUGCUUUGAAAGGUCAAAUUCACAUGGACGACCAUGAUUGUUGGCCUUGCCAUCAGUGGAAAUGGUGAUAAAGCUCUUGAUAUGUUUUCCCAAAUGCUCAGGGCUUCGAUCAAACCAGAUGAGGUAGCUUAUGUUGGUGUUCUGUCUGCCCGUACUCACAAUGGUAACGAAACUUUUGUGAUAAAUAGUUGCAACUUAAGGUGAGAACUGGAGGAAGGGAAAUAGAUUGAAGUUGUUCAAUCAUCAGUAGUUGCUACUUGGUUUUAAGUUGUUCAAUCAUCGGUCGUCUCUAUUUGGUUUUCUCCAAUAUCUCAUCUUCAAUUUUGACUCAGAUUGUAUCUUACCACUAGUAAUUACAUAGACUUGCUGCCAAAGGUAAGAAUGGGAAUAAAUUAAAUAGAUUAUGUCGAAAACGAAAUAAAUUUACUAUUGUUCUGUUCAUUCUAUUUGUUUCCUACAAAAUAUUUCUCCUGCCUAAAAUUUUUUGAAUCAGUAAGUUUUUACCUUAUGGAUGAAUUGUGUUGAGAGUAAUUCCAUUUCUCAGUCUCUUUAUGUUUCAAUGAAGACGUAAAACUUGUGUUCUAGUGCACCAACGUUUAUGCUUCUUACAAUUUGACUUUAAUUUACUUUGUAAAAUUUUUGUCAAAAAGUACUAAAAAGUAGUGCACCAAACACCAACUUUAUUACAGAGAGGACUUUAGUUAAAUUUUAAGAAAACACUCAAAAGAAAGAGUUGUAAAUUAUUAUAAAAAUAUUUCACAUAAAUAAAAGCCAUCCCAUGCUGCAAAGAUCUUGCUAUAAUCACCAAAAACUAUCGGGAGCUUUUAGGGUUUCCAUAAAAAUGCCAUUUCGUUCCAUGUAUAUGAUUCUAUAGUCUCACUGGCAAGUAAACCACAGCCCAACAGCACUGACUGUCCAUGAUGAUUCACCCCAAUGAACGAAACCAGCGUUGCAUCAUAUCUUUCUGUCAAGCAUGUAAUAUCAAUUGAUUUGAGCUAUUAACAUCAUUUCCAAAUACUCCAUUGGCAUCUACAUUACCAUUUCCCUCGGCAUCAAUGAUAAGAGUUCGAAACAGUCUAAUCUUUUGAACUUCUUCAGCACCAUCUAAGAGCAAUGUUCUUUUGGUUCCAAUACCCAUGUGCUUAUGAUAUUUGUAAAAUAAUUAUUUGUAAAAUAAUUAGUUCAAUUUUGACAUAAUACGGAAUAAACACAACCUGCCAAUCUAAGUUACUAUCUUUUCCCGUCAUCAGGUACCUGUUUGAAAAAUAAUUAUAUACAAUUUUAUUUGCGUCGUCCCUCUAAAAAUUUGGGACUCAAAUGUUAUUUCUAAUUGCUAAAAGUACGAAAUUGCCCCCUUUCUCUUCAGCUAAAGGAGUGCAAAGUCAUCUGUAUAAUUGAAUCUGCAUCAUCAGUUUCUAUUGCUGGCUGGUGUUACUGCAUGCUUACAGUUGCUUGACAAAGUGAGCCAGUUUUUUGUUUAUUAAUUUUUUUUCUUGUCGAGACAGUCACAAAGUAUUACUUGUUCUAUUUGAGAAUGAUGUGAAUCAAUUUUUCAAUUAUGCAUUCUGUGGUAAUUAUUGUGAAUUUAGUUUCAUUUGUCUUGUCUCCUGCAAAUUUUGAAGAAAAUGCAGACAUACAAAUUUACAAUAUGUAUUUGCGUUAGUAUAAAAACAAUUGUUAGAUGAUUAAAGCGAUUUAUUUUUUUUUUUACAGCAUUUGAUUGUAUUAGUUAAAAUCAUUUUUUAAGGAUAAAAAUAAAUAGAAAAUUAUUCUCAUGUAGUGUGGAAAUCUUUUCUAAUUUCUUGUUGACUUGUACAUUUAUUUCAGAAUUUCCAUUCAUUAAUUCUACUGUUUUAAUCUUUGACUUAGCUACCGUAGUUGACUUUUUAUAUCAAAGGCUUAAACAGCAUGCAUUUUUGAAUUGACUGAGAAUAAUUUGGUGGACAAAUUACUAGUAAAGGACUUCAAAUGGUUGAAUUGACUGUGGGUUUUUCAUGCCCAAGUCACUCGUCACGUCGUUUCAUCGAAACAAAGUGCCCGGUGCAAAUGGUGUGAUGUAAAACACCUUUUUAAAUUGUCAUUUUUUUUCCUUUGCUUUUGCUUUAAUUUUCUAAAUGCUCAACGCCAUAAAUCCAUGUAUUCUUAAUUUUCGUUUGCUGUAUUGAUUCCCAACCCUCUAUGUCACAAGGUUUUGAAUGCCAGUAAUUAAGUUAAAUUAAACAUAUUUUAAGUCCUACUUUAAAUUAUUGAAAAAUGUAUUAUGGUUGAACUGAAUUUUAACUAAAAAAUAUAUACAAAAUAAAAGAUUAAUCAUAUCUUUUUAUGAGGAAGGUCAGUCAUCAUUCUGACCACAGACACUUAAAAUUAAUUGAGUGGAAUAUUGCAAAAUAUAUAUAAACCAUGCCAAAACUAGAUGUUUGAGUAAUGAAAACGAGAAUUCAUAUGACUCAGAAAUAUGGUCGCUUUCCUUUUUCUGAAAGGCAAAAAAAAAGGGGGAACCAAAAAGGACCAAAAUGAACAAAAAUGGAAGGCGAAGGUAAGCAGACAUGUUAUAUGUUUUACCUAAGAUGCCAAAUGCAACUCCCCAUUGAUGGUGAUCGAACAUUAUGGCCAUUUUCUUAGUAAACAAAAAAUGAAUUUUGAACACUCAACAACGAAACUUGAGCAGAAGAUCAAGCAAGGGCCUCGAUCUCAAAGAAGAUACUAUGAAACCCUACUUAAUGGUUAAAUAACUUUCAUUCAGCUUUGGACCCUAUUUCGUGAUACGGAAAGACAAACCUUUCUUGGCCGGCAGUGUCCCAGAUCUGGGCUUUGAUGAUCUAGAGGUUGAUGGUGACAGUUCUGGUUUGGAACUCGACGCCAAUGGUUUAUUUCGAUUCAAAGCAAAACUCAUUCUUGGUGAAUCUCGAAAGAAUCUGAGACUUGCCCACGGCCGAGUCACCGAUCACCACUACCUUGAAUACAUAGUCUAUUUUGUCAGGAAUCAUAUUCUCUCGUUGUUGAUGACGAUGAUCGGUGCCAUCACCACUCAUUUCUUCGUUCAUUCAUUCUAUGUCCAUUGAUCUUUUUGAAUUAUUGAAGACAAGUGGCUCACCGCUUUUAGUAUUGGUAAAAUUCAGAUAAUCUCUAUUCCGAAAUAAUAAUAUUAAAAAUAUCUCUUAAAUCAUUAUAAACUUCAAAUCUAUUUUAAUUUUAUUUAAAAGAUAAAAGAAAAAUAAGUUAUGUUGGUGAUUUUUUAUUAUCUUUUUAAUAAAAAUAGAAUAAAUUGAUGUUUAUAAUUAUUUAAAGUAUUUUAAAGAUUGCUAUUUUAUGAGAGAAUAAUAUUUCAUUUUUUUUUUCGUGUGAAAGACCGAAAAAGGACAAAGCAAGUUUCCCUAAUUUUUAUUUUAUGUGAAAUUGGUCAUCUCAUAUACUUUACCCUUCAACACUCUAAUUUUUUUGGUUAUAAUUUUAUUAUUUUUUCUCUUUUACACAUGCAUGUGAAUUACUUUUCUUUAAGCUCCUGAAUAUUUAAGACAAAUCAUGGAAGAGAUGAGAGUAUAACAAGAUGAUCAAAAUAUGUAACAAAAAAAUUUUAGAAGUGAAAAAUAUGUUAGAGUCGAAGUAAAACUCUGAGGUGAUGUUUGAUUUGAAGAAAAUGGAGGAGAGAAAAAGAGUGGAAUGGAGAGGAAAAGAGAGAAAAGGAGAGGAGAGGAGAGGAGAGUGAACUUUUUUUCUAAUGUUUGGUUUGUCACAUAAAUAUACAAAGAAAGGAAAUCUCCAAUUUUUUAUUUAGACAAUUUUAACCUUAAUAAGUAUUAAGCUUUCAAUAUUUAUCAUGUGUAUAAUUUAAAAAAAGUAAAUGGUAGAAAGCGGUUUCUGAUUCCGGCCACAUCGCCGGCAAUGGAAGGUACUUAUCAGAACAUCAAGAACCGGCCAUCAUUCCCUAGCCAUCACUGCUGUAGGAACACUGCUAAAAAGCUGCCGAUUGAACCGCGAAAAGUCGUGGAAAUCGUUGCCUCAAAUCGGUGAGUUUCGCCUUUUUCUGGUCAUGCCGUCGCCUUGGCUUUGUCCAUCAACGCUGCCACUUCCAUUUCAACCAUCCAUAGCCACUAUUAACCGCCAAAUCGCCGCCGAUCAGCGGGAUCUGUGGAAGUUAAAAAGUUUCUAAAAUUUUUUAAUUGGAUUUGAACAACAUACAACCAUUUUUUGAUCUCAAUAACGACAUAGUAAUGUUGAUCGUUGGUCGGCAAGUCGAAUGGUAGUGGCGGUGAGUAACACGCGCCAAUGACAUCGGCGGCGGCGGCGGCACUAUCCGGCUACUGUUAAAAUUAAUAUUUUAUAUUUGUAGAUUAAAUAAAUUUAUUUUAUUAAACUUUUUAAAUCAUUAUUUAAAUUUAAUUAAUUUAAAAUUAUCUAUGAUGUUGAAUUGAUAAAAUAAAUUUAUAAAUAAUAAUUAUGUGAUUACAUUAAAUAAGUUAAAAAGUUGAAGGGUUAUUUUUGGAAGAUUUAGUUUCCAACACAAAGGGAAUUUGAAUUCUUCACUUCUUAGUGUGGAAUUCAAAUUCUAUAUUGUAAUGGAUAUUAAAUUCCAAUAGAAAUUAAAUUCUUAUAAGUUAUGUCAAACCAAACAACGGAAAUAAAAAAAAAGAAUUUAAAUUACUUUCCUUUCCUCCACCCUCUCCUUCCAACCAAAUACAUCCUGAAAAUAGAGAUAUUGAUUAAUUUAGAAGAGAUGCAAGCAAAAGAUAUUCCACAAAAAAAAAAAAGCAAUAUGUCCCUUUGGAGGGCAAACUUGUCAGUUUUAAAAAAGUACAUGCUUUGGAUUGAUAGUUGUAGGAUAUUUGUUUUGUCACUAUGUGUUAGUUGGAGAAGUCAAGCCUUGUGAAGAAUGUUAUGAAAGAGCAAAGGAUAUUCCUGAUAGCUGAUAGAGCUCUAUUUGAUUAUGUAUCCAAUGAAUGGAUGUGUUGUUGGAAGAUAUUUGAGUGCAUUAGUUCAUAUGUGUCUAUCAAUGUGAUUUUAAUGAUUUUUCCACUUGUUUGUUGUAAAAGAUUAUUGUAAAUUGAAAUGAACUUGAUGUUGUAAUAUUUUCUCCUUAGUAGAAUUUCACCUAGUAUGUAUUUAGUUGUGUUGUCUAUAAUUUUGCAUUCGAAUAAGUUUCACCUAAAAUAUUAGCAUGAGUAGUGGCCCUUGAAACUUUGGUCAAAAUUAUUGUUAUUAUUUCCGACUAGAUGUAAAUUUUUUAUUAAAUCUCGCUAACACAAUUCUUAAUUAAAAGUAUAGGUUAGUGUUGGUGCAAGACUUGCCACACCAAAUUCUGCCUAACUGUCAAAAGUGCAAAAUAAAUGAAGAGAAAGCACAAAUACACGACUUGAAUAAGGAUACAACGAAACUUAAAUUCAAGAGAAAAUGAUAGCUAUAUCUCAAGAUUUGAAAAAACGGUCAUGUAGAUUUUUAAGAUUUCAAUAAGCGACUGAGAUUCAAAUAAUAUCCUUUAAUUCUAUUAACAAAAAACAAAGACUCAAAUAUUUUAUGAUAAAUAAAAAUAUAAUAUUAAAAUAUAUGUGAUAAUAUACACAUUUUAAAUACUUUCAAUCCAAAAAAAUAGUUAUGUUUUACAAUCUAUUAGACAUAUUUUAUUAAAUUAAUAUAAAUUUUCUAUAAAAUAAGAAUAUAAUAUUAAAAUAAAUUCACAAAAAUUUAAAGAAUUUUGAAUGUAAAAUAAUUUUAAUAUAUCAAUACGUGAGUUUUUUUAUUAAUAUAAAAUUUAUUUAACUUUAAGAUUUUUUAAAAUCUUUACAAUAAGUAUAACUAUAUUAUUUACAUUUAAAAAUAUUUAAAUAUUAUUAACCUACAAUUAUAUUUGCAUUUGUUAGAAAUUUUUUAAGUCAAAUAUUUUGCACUUCUAUAUUAUUAGAAUUAUUGCACAAAAAGAAAGAAACAUACACCUUUAGAAAUUGUUUUCUUUUAAAAUAGAGAUGAUGAUUAGUAUAAGGAUGAAAAAAAGGAUAAAGAAUAUUAAUGAUUAACGAAAUCUCUAUACAAAUUGAUUUUAGUAGGAAAAGAGUGAGAUGAAUGAUUUCUUUUACAGUUAGAAACAUAGAUGAUGAUUAUUAUAACGAAGAAAAAAAGAUAAAGAAUAUUAAUUAUUAAUGGAAUCUCUAUACAAAUUGAUUUUAGUAGGAAAAAAAUGAUUAAAUGAUUUAGAGUGCGUUUGGAAUUGAGAUUGGGCAGCCAUAGAUUUUAAGUUACAACACUGAAGUGUUUAGUAAAUACUAGUUGCUGCAGAUUGAAAGUUAUGUUGAUAUGAUUUUUCACAUGUAUCAUAGAAAAUAUAUUACAUCUUUAAUAUUUUUUAAAAAUUUAUAUUUGCUAUAUAUUAUUAAUUUUUUUUUAUAGUUAUAACUUUUUUUCCACAACAGUUGUAGCUUAAAAGUCACAGCACCUCAAUCUCAAACAAAUCCUUAGACAUUCAUAGUGUGUUUAUUUUUUGGAUUGGUGAAUCAAAAUUAUUGACAACGCUAACUUCAUCUUCACUGUUCGCAAUCCAACAGCAGCAAUUGUCGCCAAUAAUGAUAUCUCCAAUGAUGAUGACAAUUAUUAUUAUUAUUUUUAUUAUUAUUAUUAUUAUUAUUAUUAUUAUUAUUAAUUAAUUAAUUAAUUAAUUAAUUAAUUAAUUAAUAUAUUAAUGUUGAUAUUAUUAUUAUUAAGAUUAACAAUAAUUAUUAGUAAUACAAUUUUUUGAAUAAAAAUAAUCACAAUAAUUAAAAUACAAAUUAAUAAUUAUGACAAUAAUUAAUUAAUGUCUUUUUAGUAAUUUGUAAUAAUCUAACUCAUUUUGGUUCUGAUUAUUACAGCUUAAGUAAACAAAUUAUUAUGAUUCCUAUUCUCCUUUCCCAUUUUAACUCACUUUGAUUCCAGUCUAUUCCGAUUUCUAUUUAAUAAAUGCACCAUUAGUGCUAAAGUAAUAUUUCAUACAUAGAAAAAUAAAAACUACGCCUAAGGUUAAGGGAAAAGACUUCAAAAUUCUCUUUUGAUCAUAAUACAUUUUGUCCUAAUUAACUUAAAGAUUUUGAAUCUAAUAUUUUAUAAUAAAUAAAAAUAUAUUCCUAAAAUAAAUAUAAUAUCAAUAUUUAAAAUAUGUUUUAAUAUUUUACAAUCUAUCAUACACAUUUUAUUAUAUUAAAGUAGAUUUAUAAUAAAUAUAUAAAAAUUUAGAAUAUUUAGAAUAUUAUAUAAAAUAAUUUUAAUAUAAUGCGUGAUAUAUAUUUUAUUAAUUUAAAAUGUCAUUUUACCUAAAAAAUAUGAUAAAUUAAUAAUUACAUAUUUGAAGUUAUUUCAAAUAUUAAAAAAAUUUAAUAUUAUUAAUCUUUUAGAUAGAUUAAAUUAUUUUUUAUAAGAGAGAUUAAAUUAUUUUAAAAUGCCUUAAUUGUUUUUACUUUUAACGUUACGGGCCUUUCUUUUAUUUUAUUGCAAAUUAAUGCUAACUAGAAAAACAAAAACAAAAGUGACAAACACAACCAGCUGGAAUCUUUUAUAAAACUACAAAUUAAAAUGGAUUUUUUUUUUUUGUUGAUAAAUUACACAUGAAAGUGGAUUCUUUUGAAUAUAAGUGGGGUAGGCUCUUUUAUUUUUUUUUUAAUACCGUAUAACAGGACUGUAGACUCUUUUAUUAAGCACAAAUAUAGAGUUGUCGAGACAAUUAGGGUCUUUUAUUAAACUACAAAUUGUAUAGUCUUUUUUAAAUUGUUCAGAUAUUUAUAAAUUGGUGGCCCCUACAAUCCUCAAUAAUUGUACCGAUAUUCACAAGCUGGUGGCCCCUACAAUCCUUAAUAAUUGUUUUUUUUUUUUUCUGCAUUCCCUUUCAUGCUCUUAAUAAUUAAAGAGCAUACUUUUCAAAUGUGGAGCCGCGGCUAAUGUCGCUAAUUUAAUUUGGGAUUAAAUUAGGGGACUAUUAUAUUGCAGUGUGCACUAAUUUUUAUGUUUAUCUAAACUCCUUAAAUUUAAGAUAUAUUAUGGCAUAAAUAAGAAUAUAACAAUAGCAAAAGAGUUAGAAAGUGUAGAGAAGAUCUUGCAGAAAUAUAAAUAAUAUUUAUUUUAAAAUAAUAUCAAUAUUUAAAAUAAUUUUUAUUAUUUUAUGAUCCAUUAGAUAUAUUUUAUUAUAUUAAAGUAAAUUUUAUAAUAAAUAAAAACAUACUAUUAAAAUGAAUAUAUAGAAAAUUUAGAGUAUUUUAAGUAUUAUAUAAAAUAAUUUUAAUAAAAUAUGUGAGAUAUUCAUAUUUUAUUAAUUUAAAAUACCAUUUAACCUAAAGAUUUAUUUAUGAUAAAUUAAUAAUUAUAUUUUUGAAAUUACUUCAAAUAUUAAAAAAAUUAAUAUUACUAAUCUAUUAGAUAGAUUAAAUUAUAUAUAUUAUUUUCUAUUUAUUAAAAAAUUUCAAAUUAUUUUUAAUUACUAUUCAAAAAAUAUGAUGAUAAAAAAAUCUUAACAUCUUUAUUAAAAAAUUAAAAACUUACAUGAUCAAUUCUCUAAAUAUUUAGGGUAUAUGUGAACCACGGUGGACAGAGGUCAUUACUAAAAUUUCUCUUCCACAGGCAAUUACAGCAGCUCCAGUUUAUCAAACUCAACCAAUUUUCUUUCUUAACAAAAUUCCAAAGAUGUGUAGCUUUUUUCAGAUCACAUGCGAUGGUGCUUUUUUCAAUCGUUGCUUGGAUUGCUUUCUUGGAAAAGCAGCAUACAUACGUAACCUCCAAGAUAAUCUUGAUGCCUUGGACACUGAACUGGGAAGACUAAUCGCAGCAAAGAACGAUGUGAUGAUUAGGGUUGUCAAUGCUGAACGGCAAUAAAUGAGAAGGCUGGACGGAGUGCAAGUGUGGGUUUCGAGUGUGGAUGCUGUUAAAACUGGAGCCGAUGAACUUAUCACAGACGGCUCUGAAGAAAUUGGCAAAUUAUGUGUUGGAGGCUACUGUUCCAAGAACUGCAGGUCAAGCUACAAAUUCGGAAAACAAGUGGCUAGAAAGCUACGAGAUGUGGAGACUUUAAUCGCCGAAGGAGUUUUUGAGGCGGUGGCUACUGAGGUGGUGCCUGAGAGAGCUCCAGAGCCUGUAGCAGAUGAAAGACCUACCGAGCGAAAAGUAGUAGGCUUGCAAUCACAACUUGAACAAGUCUGGACGUGUCUUGUGGAAGAAUCAGCGGGAAUCAUUGGCCUAUACGGUAUGGGCGGUGUUGGUAAAACCACACUAUUGACCCAUAUCAACAAUAAAUUUCUCGAGAGUCCAACCAACUUUGAUUGUGUGAUUUGGGUAGUAGUUUCAAAAGACCUGCGACUUGAAAAACUUCAAGAAGAUAUUGGGAAAAAGAUAGGUUUGGUUGGUGAUUCAUGGAAGAGUAGAAGUGCAGAGGAGAAAGCUCUCGACAUCUUCCGGAGUCUAAGAGGGAAGAGAAUUGUAUUGUUGUUAGAUGAUAUAUGGGAGCGGGUUGAUUUAACAAAAGUGGGCGUUCCACUUCCUGGACCACAAAAUACUACCUCAAAAGUCGUAUUCACAACNNNNNNNNNNNNNNNNNNNNNNNNNNNNNNNNNNNNNNNNNNNNNNNNNNNNNNNNNNNNNNNNNNNNNNNNNNNNNNNNNNNNNNNNNNNNNNNNNNNNNNNNNNNNNNNNNNNNNNNNNNNNNNNNNNNNNNNNNNNNNNNNNNNNNNNNNNNNNNNNNNNNNNNNNNNNNNNNNNNNNNNNNNNNNNNNNNNNNNNNNNNNNNNNNNNNNNNNNNNNNNNNNNNNNNNNNNNNNNNNNNNNNNNNNNNNNNNNNNNNNNNNNNNNNNNNNNNNNNNNNNNNNNNNNNNNNNNNNNNNNNNNNNNNNNNNNNNNNNNNNNNNNNNNNNNNNNNNNNNNNNNNNNNNNNNNNNNNNNNNNNNNNNNNNNNNNNNNNNNNNNNNNNNNNNNNNNNNNNNNNNNNNNNNNNNNNNNNNNNNNNNNNNNNNNNNNNNNNNNNNNNNNNNNNNNNNNNNNNNNNNNNCAGGAAGUCCUAGUGCGUGCUAUCAGAAAAGAUGCUGGGAACUGUUUCGCGAAAAUGUUGGGGAAGAAACUCUUGAGAGUGAUCAUGAGAUCGUUGAGCUAGCCCAAACUGUGGCCAAAGAGUGUGGUGGUUUGCCACUCGCACUUAUUACUAUUGGUCGAGCUAUGGCCUACAGAAAGAAAGCGGAGCAGUGGAGACGUGCAAUUGAAGAGUUAAGAAGAUCAGCUUCAGAGUUUGCAGGUUUGGGAAAAGAGGUGUAUCCUCUUUUAAAGUUUAGCUAUGAUAGUUUGCAGAAUGAUACAAUUAGAUCUUGUUUCUUGUAUUGUUGUUUAUAUUCUGAAGAUUAUGGCAUUCUUAAAUGGGACUUGAUUGAUUGUUGGAUUGGUGAGGGAUUUUUGGGGGAAUCUGACAGGUUUGGUGCAGAAAACCAAGGAUAUGACAUUUUGGACACUCUUGUUCGUGCAUGUUUAUUAGAAGAGGUGGAAGAAGAUGAAGUAAAAAUGCAUGACGUUAUUCGUGAUAUGGCUAUAUGGAUAACCAGUGAAAUUGAGAAGGAGAAGAGAAACUUUUUGGUUUGUGCAGGUGCUGGAUUAGAAGAGGCACCGGAUGUUAAAGAAUGGGAAAAUGUGAGAAGAUUGUCAUUGAUGCAAAACCAAAUUGAAACUCUGUUUGGGGUUCCCACAUGCCCUCAUCUCAUCACUUUAUUUAUUGACUUUAAUAGGGAGUUGAAGACUAUCGCGGAUGGCUUCUUCCGAUGUGUGCCUUCUCUCAAAGUUUUGAAGAUGUCAAACUGUGGAAAGCCUUAGAAAGGUUUGGAAUUACCUUUGGGGAUGUCAAAGUUGGGUUCACUACAACUUCUUGAUAUUUCACACACCUGCAUACAAGAAUUACCACAAGAAUUAAAGUUGUUGGUAAAUCUGAAAUGUUUGAAUUUGAGGCGGACAAUUUGGUUAAAUAAAAUUUCAUGGCAACUAAUAUCAAAAUUUUCAAGGUUACGUGUGUUGAGAAUGUUCGCUACUGGCUGGUUCAGUUUUCAUGAAGCACCAGAAGACAGCGUUUUAUUUGGUGGGGGUGAAGUUUUGAUACAGGAAUUGCUCGGUUUGAAAUAUUUAGAGGUAUUGGAGUUGACCUUGGGAAGUUAUCAUGCUCUCCAAAUUCUUUUGAGCUCAAAUAAGUUAAAAAGUUGUAUUCGAUCUCUUUUCCUACAGUUGUUCAGAGAUACAACGUCGAUUAUUGAUGCUACGGCUUUCGCAGAUCUAAACCACCUCAAUCAAUUAUGUAUUAGUAACGGUUCUGAGUUGGAAGAAUUGAAGAUUGAUUAUACGGAGAUAGUACGAAAAAGGCGGGAACCUUUUGUUUUCCGCAGCCUUCAACGUGUUACCAUAGAGGAGUGCCAUAAAUUGAAAGAUUUGACAUUCCUCGUUUUUGCUCCAAACCUCAAGUCUCUUUCGCUAUACGAUUGCGGUGCUAUGGAAGAAAUAAUCAGCGUCGGAAAAUUUGCUGAGACUCCUGAGAUGAUGGGACAUAUAAGCCCUUUUGAAAAUCUCCAAAUGCUUUAUUUAAUGGCAUUGCCGGAGUUGAAGAGCGUCUACUGGAAGCCAUUGCCUUUCACUCAUCUGAAAGAAAUGGAGGUACUUGGGUGUGAUCAGCUUAAAAAGCUUCCACUCGAUUCCAACAGUGCAAAAGAGCGUAAAUUUGUAAUUCUUGGAGACACACAGUGGUGGAACCGUCUUCAAUGGGAGGAUGAAGCCACUCAAAUUGCUUUUCGUUCCUAUUUCCAAACCUGAUUCCUGAGCGGUGGUCGCAAAAUUUGAUUUCUGGUGAGUGCGUUUGUCUUUUAAAAGAAGAAUUUAAAAGAAAUUUAUUCUUGUCGUUUUCUUCUCUGUUUUUAUUUCAGUUUGUUUCUCUCUCUCUCUUUUUGUCUUCUGCAAAUCACAAUUAAAUGUUGAAUUAAUGGAAUUAAUGCUUCAUAAAUUUGCCGGCACUGCCAGUACUUUUUUUUUUUUUUAAUACGAAUUGAUGCUUUAUUUAUUUCUUCUUAGCGAUUUAAUUUCCUGUCAAAAGACGAGCGAGAAGAACAUAUGACUUAAACCAAUUGAUACUUUAUUUAUGUGCAUUGUAUGUAAUAAAAUUUUCUCUGUUUUUUUCAAAUUGAGGCUUUAUUUAUAUUUUCUUCGUGAAGAGUGAUUUAAUUUCCUGCCAAAAGACAAACGAGAAGAACAUUAGAGUCAAACUAAUGCUCACAUAAAUUUCCCGUAAGAAUAUAUAUAUAAUUAGACUGGAAUGCACACCUCUAGAUUGAACAGAAUUAAAGCUGAGAAAAUAUUGAGUAUAGUAGCCCUCUUUACAGAAAAUGACGCGAAAGUUAAUUUAGAAAGAUAUAUUCUUGAUUAAUCCAUUUUCUGAAGUUUUUUAUUUUGUAUGGUCAAUUAUACCUUCAUACUAAAAAAAAAAAAAAAAAAGAGAAAAUAUGUAAUCCAUGAAUGGUUAAUUUUGUUUGUUUGUUUUUUUUUCUUAAAUAUCAUUCUUUUUCGGCCACCCAAGGACAUUUUCACAAAUACCUUUUGUGUGCAGAAGUCUUCCAAACCAUCAAUGGAAAAAUAAAAAAUAAAAAAAACACGGUCCAGUAUACCUCAAAAUAUCAUUGAUGACUUUUCUGGUCUAAUGCUAUGUAAAUAGUAUGUUAAGUAAAACAUAAUCAGUUCAGUACCUCACAAAUAAUUCGCAAUAUCUACAAAAUACUAUAAUGGCUACAAAACAAAUCCUGCUUGCAAAUUGUCAAGGAUACCUAUCCGUUCGCUUGACAAGUCAUUUGAAUAAAUAUUGUUCACAUUCCUUACUCUGUCAAUUAUCCAAAGCACCAUCAACUUUAGUUUGAAUAGUAUACAUGCCAUCACCGUUACCAAGAAUCAAGCAUGGAAGGGUCAUUCUAUAGAGUGCAGAACAUGACUCUAUGCGGUAGUCAAUUUGACACACGACGAACACCAUAUGCUGCAUAACAUACAAAUUAAUUUCCCAUAUGUGAUGCAAUUUUCUCCUCAACAUAUGCGCAAUUCUUUCCAUUCCGGCAUUUACACUCAAAUUUUCCUUCCUUUCUCUUUGUGGUUGAAUCUUACACCACAACUCAUGUGAUGCAAUCUCCUCUCGCUGCCUAAAUUGCACUCUCAGCAAAGCAGCAUAUGUAAGCAAGCUUGAAGAUAAUCUUGCUGCUCUGCAGAAGAACGGCAAAAGUUAAUCGAAGCAAGGAAUGAUGUAUCAGAAAAUAUUUGGUGGAGAAUUCAGCACAAACAUAUUUCGGAUGAUCAGAAUCAAUAAAACCUGGUGGUUGUGCCAUAUAAACAUCUUUGGAAAGCUGACCUUGAAGAAAGGCGUUAUUGAUAUCCAAUUGAUGAAGAGGCCAGCCAUGACUAACAUCAAUACUAAGAACAAGCCGUACUGUGGUGGACUUAACAACUGGACUGAAAGUGUCAUAAUAGUCCACACCAGGCCAUUGAUUGAACCCUUUGGCAACAAGAUGAGCUUUAAACCUGUCAACAGAACCGUUGGAAUGUCUUUUAAUACAAAAAUCCAUUUGCAGCCAACAAUAUUGGAAGGGAUGGGAGGUGGAACAAGCUUCCAUGUCCCGUUACGAACAAGAGCAUCAUACUCUUCUGACAUAGCUGGACGCCAGUGAAGAUUUUUGAUAGCUUGCGUCACAGUUGUAGGUUCACAAUCAGAAGAAGGGCUAAAAUGAGCACGGAGGUUAAGUUUUUGUAACGGCUUGUGAAUCUUAUUUUUAGCUCGGGUAGUCAUAUCAUGAUGACUUGUGGGGCAAUGAUCUAGUGGAGUUUAGGAAGAUGAUUGAACAGGAAGUGAAGAAGUGCUUUGUGUAGAGGUAGAAGUAGGUUGGGAGGAUUGCUGCGGAGAUGUUACCGGUAGAGAAGAAGGAGCAGUACACGGUGGCAACUCCAGAGGGCCCACAAUAGAUGGAGUAGGUGCCGACAAUGGAGUACUAGGAAAUGAAACAGGAAGAAUUGGUGGAACACUUGCAUAAUUAGGAGUGGUAGAUGAGCUUGUAAUGAUUUGCAUGGAAAAACAAACUCUACAAAUUUAACGUGACGUGAAAUAAAAAUUUGAAAGGUGGAUGGGUCAAAACAUAAAUAAGCACUUUGAGAUAAAGGAAUAUCCUAGAAAAACACAAGGCUUAGAGGGUGGUUCGAGUUUAUGUGAUGAAACACAAACAUUCAAAAAAUUUUAAGUUUAUAUUAAUUAGGAGUGGUACCAAAAAUUAAUUAGCUAUGGGGUUGUUGGAUGUGUUUUGGAUAUUUACAGUUAAGUUUGAGUAUCUCAACUUAAAAUUUGUAGUUUUCACUUGAAAAAAUUCAGUUAAAUUUUGCAAUGCAGACUGAUUGAUUUAUCAGUUUAACGUGUGCCAGGAAUGAAGAACUGGAAUAUCACCGUCAAGCAAGCACCCUGUGGAGCAAUACCAAAGAAUGCACAAUCUGGCUUUGCUAGGUAACACUGGAGGCUUUUUGAAAAGUGCUUCACGCUCACUUGCACAGAUUGAGCAUCCCCUCUGGAUAUUGCCCUCUCUGAUCGAGUCUGAGCACUCAAAUUUUGGUCCUCAGAGGGAGCUACAGUUUUCUCUCCACUAACCAACAAUAUUCUAAACUCAGCACCUAGUGUGAUCAGAGUUGUUGAUAUUUGCAAAUGGAGAUCCCCAUAUUUGCAAAUGGAGACAUUUAACAAAUCACCAACAUGCUUCAUCCGGUCCACGAAAUUCUGCAACUGAUGCAAAUCUGGAACCUGAACCAGAGUCGGAGGUAUAUCUUGAGCCAUAUCUAAAGCAGUUUGAAGUUCAAGACCUUGAGCCCUUGACAAUGGUUUUGAAAUUGGAACAUCUUGGAUUACUGCAGACUUGUACCCCUUGGUUUCAAAGGUAAGGAAAGGCAUUGCUUGAGUACAAUUUGGAGGCAGCUUCUUCACCAAUUUUAUUUGGAGGCGAUUGGCAGCGGAUCCAGCUGCACCAAUUUCAGAGCAACUACUGACACUACUUCGAACAGCACACUGAAGAAGUGAUAUGUCUACGGCGAAGGCAAUGCAGUCCUCAUUUUGGCUUGAGACACAGUAAUCAUCGAAGAGAGUUUCCUUGUGAAACUGGGCAACACAUUGAAUCCCUUCGGCACUGAGAAGGUUGUGGAGGAAGUAAGCUUUCUCUCUAGUAAGGAAGAGGUGGCAUACAUUCCCCAUUUUGUCUAGGGCAGGUAGGAAUCUUUUUUCUAAGAGAUUUACUUCAUUCUCUGUGAGAAAUGCUUUGAACUUCAUCCCUCUGUCUCUAUCCUCACUUAUCAGUAAAAUAGUUGAAAGCGCUACAAGGAGAGAAAAGAAGAGUAUUAAGAUAUAUAUAUUAUAUAGACAAGAAAAACAUUAGAUGUCGAUCUUACAAGCUAAUACUUCAAACAAUAUCCUAGAAAGCUAAAAACUGCAAGAUGGCUUGAAAUUUGAAAAGAGCACGUGCUUUUCCUCCUUAACUUGAGAAAAUGUUUAAUAUAGUGCACCUUACAGAAGCAUUUAAGCAAUUAGAACUUUGCACAAAAACAUCAAGAAGACUAAACAAGUCAGAUGCAGUGUAUUUGUCCAAGCACAAAUUGCAUUUUGUCCUCAACUUUAAUAUUUAUUGAUGAGAAUCAAUACAGGUCCCUCAUUUGUUAUAGAAAGCUUUCUUGUAGUCUCACCAGUUAAUAUGGAUAUUAGAUAAGGAAACUUUAUUAGGUUGCGAGGGUAAAAAAGGAAAGAGAUAUCAUUAUUUUAUUAUCGAUAAUUAUUAAAUUUUUUUCCAAAAAAAAGAACAAGCAAGGAUAUUUUAUUGUCAAUUGCAACCUUUAAUUUUUUUAAAUGCUAUUAGAAACACAAGAUAACAAAAAUGUAGUGAGAUGGGAUCUCCUGCAUGCCACUCUGGUUUAGAACACAAAGAAUGUGUCUGCAUAAAUAUCCUCUGAAAUUGAACAACCCACAAACACAAAGCACCUCCAAGUCGGAGGCAUUGUACAAAACAUCAAAAGCCCUUGAAUCCUUCUCGUUGCCACCAACCUCGAAUUCUUCCUUCACUAUGUAUGUUAUAGGUCCAUCAGAACUAAUAUGUUUUGUGCUAUAGUAAGAGUACAUAGCCUCCACCUCCAUCUGAAACUUCCUUAACAUUUCAUUUGUGUACAGUUUUGAGAGUUGAAAUUCAUAGUAACAUCUUGGUUUCCGGAUACAACUUGAAUUUCUUGAAUCCAUAUCUGCCAAGGCUACCAGUUGAUAAUUCGCCUGCAGUGCUUGAUCAUACUUGUCUAAGAAUUCUUUCAAAGGAGUAUUCUUAUCAAGAUAUCCUUCAAAGUAUGAAGUAGAAACCUCAUUCUGCAGGAACGAAAACACUCCUGAUAAAAAAGCUUCCUUCAAAUAAAUAGGAGCCCACCUUUUAUGAUCUUCAUAUAAAGUUUGAAUCCAUCCGUGAUCCUUUAUUCCAUGACAUUGAAUCAUGUCUUCCCAAGCUGCUUCAAAUUUCUCAGGCCUGAGAGAGUGAUAAAUUGCUCUAUGUAAUGCAGCUUUAAUAGCUUCAUAUUCAAACAAUCCUUGGAGUUUCUCUGGAAUUUUUUUGCAUGAUGCAUGACAAUGAAAAGAAAUGAUAAGCUCUUGGGAAAACAUCACCAACAGCAAUUUGCAAGAUUCUACAUUGGUCAGUGAUGAUUGUUUGUGGAGAGCGCCCUAACAUACAUGUAAGCCACGCCGUAAACAACCAUGUAUAUGAUUCUAUGGUCUCACUGGCAAGUAAACCACAACCCAACAACACUGAUUGUCCAUGAUGAUUCACCCCAAUGAAUGAAACCAGUGGUACAUCAUAUCUUUCAGUCAGGCACGUAGUAUCAAUUAAGACCACAUCACCAAAGUACCUAUAUGCAACUCUUGACCUGGUAUCAGUCCAGAAUAGGUUUUUCAAGCAUCCCUUUUCAUUUAGAUCCACUACAUUAAAAAAGUUUGGAUCUGUCAACUGCAAAUGACAAAAGAAACUCUGGACAGCUUGUGCAUCUCCUGGUUUAAGCUUCAAUUGAUUUGAGCUAUUAACAUUAUUUCCAAAUACUCCAUUAACAUCUACCAUUUCCCUUGGUAUCAAUGAUAAGAGUUCGAAACAGUUUAAUUUUUUGAACUUCUUCAGCACUAUCUAAAUGCAAUGUUCUUUUGGUUCCAAUACCUAUGUGCUUAUGUGACUUGUAAAACUUUCCGCUUCUUGGGCUUAACAAGUGGUUAUGCUCAAGCUCGACUUCAAUGAUUCUCCACCUUUUGGUUUCCAUCAACCUAAACUUUAUCAUUGCUGGACAGCCAGUUCUUGUUUCUGGUCUUGGGCGGUUUGCCUCGCUUUUCUUCUUGAAGCCUGCACUACUACAGCUCAGCUUUCCUCUAUACUUUUCUCUACUCUUUCGGUACCAUGGAUUGCUAACUCUAACACCAAAACCCUGUUCCUUGGCAUAGCAAUUGUAAAAGUAAUAUACAUCAUCAUACAUCUCAAACUCCAUUCCAACAGUAGGAGGCAAGGGAUUUUGGAUUAUCCCAGUUUGUCCAACAUAUUCAGUCAUCGCACAAUCUCCUACAACCUCAAAAUCAUCAGUGUCAUCAUCACCUACUGGUUCGGUGUUGAGAGAAACUUCAUCCAUCUACAAUGGAUGUUCAAUGAAGUGAGCUUUAAGGAGAAAAAGCAAAAUCUGUUCAAGGAAUGAUAAUAUAAUCAUACAGUUACUUUCACAAAGCUUCAUAUUUCAUCACUGCUUUACCAACAUGCAACUGCCAGAGAACAAACAGACAUGUCAUAGACGCUUGAAUUAAGUAUUGGUACAAAUGAGCACACAUCAUGUGGGACAAAAUUUCAGUCACUAAACCCAAUACCACUUUUUACAUCAUACCAAGGAACAGAUUAAACCCGACACCUUCUUUUAAACCAUACCAAGGAACAGAUUAAAUCAUCAAUGAAAAAUUAAUCACAUAAUAACUUAACCAGACAAAUGAAGAGCCUGAAACAGCACAAAACUUGAAUCUGAUUAUGAUAAUUGUUGAGUCCUUGUAUCUACAGCUUUCCUUCAAUGAUAAGACAAUGAACAUAAACGAGACACAAAAAAAUUAUUUUAAACUGACAGCCCAUGAUAUAAAUCAAACAAAAUCAACUCCUUUUUUUACACAUUACAUCUCAUAUUCAUUUACAUUGAAACACAAAAAGGAAGCAGGAGUGGGAAAAAAACAACAGCAGAGGAACUUAUUUCCAUAAGGUUUACGAAAUAAGGAAUCUAUUAAAACCCAAAACUUGAGGUCACCACUAAGAAUUUGGUUCUCAUUAUUUUUUUCUUCAUUUUUCACCAAUUGAUGAACUUAAAAUACAAUCAUAAAUGAUAAAACCCCAUCUCCAUCUUUUUGAACUAGAGCUAAAGCAAAGCAUUUUAAGAUGUUUCAUCAUUUUUUUUUUUAAAAAAAACUCAAUAGUACAAUGUUUUUCAAUGCUAAAUGCACAAUUCAAUCUUCUCCUAAUUUACUCUAAUAAUCUCUUAAUUAAGGAAGAUUAAGCUUCAGUUGUAAGCUAAAACAAAUUUCUUAAAUCAAGCCCCAAUGCUUUAUGCUAUUCAACAAGGGCUCAUAAAUGAUAAAACUACUUCUAUAAAGAUACCCAUUUUCUAAAUUAAUUUCACAAACUGAAAUCAAACUCCUGAAACGUAACGAGCAUUAAUAUAAUCAAGCCCGAACAAGAAUUGAAAAAUGAUACAUAAACUCGUUUACACAUUUCGACAGACACUUUGCAAUCAAUGAGCAAAAAAUUAAUGGAGAAGAUAAAAUUCAAACGAAACAUGCCUUACAUUGAUAAAUUAGAAGGGCAAAAGAAAUUUUAGUACGAUAUGCGAUCAGGGUCUUGCCACGGUGAUGUUAUUUGUGAAGUUCGAGCGACUCAGCAGCCUUCGAGGUUGAAAAUUUGAUUGACCAAAAGCUUCCCGUUCGUUGAUUCUCUAAUAGUAGAAACGAGACUGGCAGUAUACACAAGAAGUUCGCCGAUUUUAAAUUCCGUUGUUUGAGAUGGAAAAUUUUUUGAAAAAAUUAAUGUGUUCGAUGAAAAUCAAAAUCUCAAAAACCUCUUGUUUUUCAUUUUUUUGGAAAAAACCAUUGAGAUCCUUACUAUUUUUUCUUAUAUCAUCUUCCUUAAUAAUUUGCAAAGUCUAUCGCAUAGCACCCAUGUAUGAUGUAUGCUGCGUUGUAAUUUACAAAAUUGCACAUGAAUAAAUCCAGCUAAAAUUUGUUAAAAGAAAAUAAUAAUAACAUGUUAAAACUUUAAAAUUUGAUUAUUCGAAGAAAUUUUAAUUUAGUUAAGUAGGUGACAUGAUAAUAAAUAGAUACGUAUAAUGUCCGAGAUUUUUUAUAAGAUUAAUAAAUAUGAUAAAUUUGGAUUAGUUCAAUUUUGACAUAAUUCAUAAUAAACACAGCUUGCUAAUCUAAAUUGCCACCGUUACUCAUCAUCAGGUACCUGUUUGAAAAAUAAUUACAAACAAUUUUAUUUGUGUUGUUUCUCUAAAAGUUUGAGACACAAAUGUUAUUUCAAAUUGAUAAAAGUACGAAAAUUCCCCCUUGCUCUUCAACUAAAAAUGAAACAUGCAAAUAUACACACUAAUUUAGAUGUGUGAAUAACAAAUAUGGAACGACACAUGCAAAGUCAUCUGUAUAAUUGAAACGCCAUGCACUAGUAGUAGGUAAGAGAAACCAAGGUUGAAGUUGCUCCAAUGGUUACUGUUAAUUUAUUUUUAUUUAUGAUUUUUUUUGUAAAAUGUAAGAAAUAUGUAGAAAUGUUGCCAGCAAUGAUUUUGGAACUUUGCAUAAAAUUUUUAUCAUUAUUGUUUUUGGUAUUAAGAAAUCCGAGGCGGUGAUUAGACGUAUGUUGCAACAAUUAAGAAAUUUCUUAUUGGAGAUAAUUUGGUAGGUUUGCAGCAAUUAGAGAAUAAUUUUCCUGCCAGUUAAUCAAUCAAUAAUAAAUUUCAAAUUGCAGAAAAUAAAAUAAUACAGCCUCACUUAGAAUCAUCUUUUCUAUCUCUUUCAAUUGUGGCAAUCAUUUGCAACAAAUAAAUCAAUUUGAUGCACAUCAUUUCCCCAAUUCAAAGUUCAAGUCACUGCUCAAUUACAGAGUAGUUAGUGGACAUGCAUGCAUGUUUAAUUAAGUACUGCAUUGUAGUAUCGAAAAUCAUAACAUCUCACCAAUAUCAGAUUAUUAACCAUGGAAAUCAUAUCACAAUAUCAUAUAGAAUUCACAAAUCUGAAAAUCAUCACCAAACAAGUACCCAGAGAAAUAAUCUCGUCAUAUCCAGACCUCAACGGACGGGCAAUGACGUACUAUUUGGGUAACGUCACACCCUGGAGCUACACGGAUAAAUAGGAAAAUACCAUCUCAUAUCUCAUCAUAUUUGUGCAUGCAUAAUCUAGUCCCCAAGGGACAAAAGCGCCCAAGCACACGGCCCAAAGCCUCUAUGUGUACUCAGACGGGCCCCAAAGGCCUGUAUCUCAUAUGUAUCAUAUGUAUCAUUUGUAUCUCAAUAUCUGUUUGUAUCUCAUUUCCGUAUAUCUAUAAUCAUCAUACCGCAUGCAUAUGCCCCCAAAAGACAAAAGCGCCCAAACACAUGGCCCAAAGCCUUUAUAUGUGUUUAGACGGGUCCCAAAAGCCUCUUAUCUCAUCUUAUCUGUAUCACUGUAUCUGGAGAGAAGGGUACUGUCUAAUGAUUUAAAAAACAAUCAUUAUACUCAUAUUUACAUACCUCUUAAUCAUAUUUGAAAUCAUAUCACAUUUGAAUCCACUUUUCUAAUCUUUAAAAUAUUAUCAUGCUUUAUUCAAAGUCGAUACGCAAAAUCAAUAACCAAACAUUUUAAAUCAAAUUAUUAACCAUGGAAAUCAUAUCACAAUAUCAUAUAGAAUUCACAAAUCUGAAAAUCAUCACCAAAUAAGUACCCAAAGAAAUAAUCUCGUCAUAUCCGGACCUCAACGGACGGGCAAUGACGUACUAUCUGGGUAACGUCACACCUUGGAGCUACACGGAUAAAUAGAGAAAUACCAUCUCAUAUCUCAUCAUAUCUGUGCAUGCAUAAUCUAGUCCCCAAGGGACAAAAGCGCCCAAGCACACAGCCCAAAGCCUCUAUGUGUACUCAGACGGGCUCCAAAGGCCUGUAUCUCAUAUGUAUCAUAUGUAUCAUUUGUAUCUCAAUAUCUGUCUGUAUCUCAUAUCCGUAUAUCUAUAAUCAUCAUACCGCAUGCAUAUGCCCCCAAAAGACAAAAGCGCCCAAACACAUGGCCCAAAGCCUUUAUAUGUGUUCAGACGGACCCCAAAAGCCUCUCAUCUCAUCUUAUCUGUAUCACUGUAUCUGGAGGGAAGGGUACUGUCUAAUGAUUUAAAAAAUAAUCAUUAUACUCAUAUUUACAUACCUCUUAUCAUAUUUGAAAUCAUAUCACAUUUGAAUCCACUUUUCUAAUCUUUAAAAUAUUAUCAUGCUUUAUUCAAAGUCGAUACGCAAAAUCAAUAACCAAACAUUUUAAUAAAAUACCAAUGCAUAAAUAAAAUUCAUUUCGAGAAAUCAUUAAAUCAGAACAUUUAAAAUACUUAUUUCGCAAACAUGCUUUACUAUCAUCGCUAACUAUGAAAAUAAGUUUUGUAUAUUCCACUUUCAGUGAUGGUGUUCACGGUCGGUUAUCGUCCAUAUCUGCAGACCGAUUCUCGCUCGCGAAUCCUCCUAAAUCAAGGAAACGACAUAAUUAUUUUUUGUAAAUCGGAAUUAUGACUAAAUUUUAUGCAAUAAACUCAAAACGAACAUCUAUUCAUAAUUGACAACUCCUAUAUCCAUAAAAUUACUAAAAUAUCCUUGAGUCCGUAGAUCAUUAACAUGCUCCGAAAUCGUAAAUCACUGAAUUACCCUCGGAAUCGUAAUUACACCCGAUCCUCAAUUAUAGGAAUUACUAACAGAUCCACAGGCUUAGAAAUUACAAAAUUGCCCUCGUAGUGUGAAAUUACCAAAAGCCGGAAGUUGGUCAACAAUGGCUAGGAAGCUCAAAUCGUAAAGUUCCAAUCACGCUGAGUUCAAUGGUACCGGCGGUGAGCUCCAACGCGCGACAACGAUGCCAGAAUCUAGCUCGGCAGCCGUGAAUUCCACCAAUCGACCGGCGGCACAACAGUGACUCUCGGUGCCUAUGGAUGGUCGAAAAUGGAAGAGGGAGCCGUGGGGAACAAAAUCCAACCGGUGGUGUCACCAAAACCGGUGAAAAUCCCGGCGGAGCAAAGUGAAACAGUCGCGGGUUUCAUGCUUCGAUCGCCGGUGUUCCGAUUGGUUUUUGGCGAGGAGGAUGGCAAGGGAACGACAGCCGGCUUCUAAGCUUCAGAUUGGUACCAAGCUCGGCCGAAACGAUGGCCGGAAAUGGGAGAUAUGACCGGGUCAAGGUCGCGGGUUCCGGGUCGGGUUUUUUGGUCUGUAGUUGGGUCGGUUUGGUAGCUUCUCUCUCACUCUCUGUUACACGUGCAUAUGUUUCCUCUGUUUCCAGCUUAUUCUUUUGCUUUUACUAACUUCUUAACCGCCUCAUACUUAUUCAUUUUUAAUUCACAUAUGUUACAAUAAUUCCCGAGUAUUAAAUAACCAGUGGUCAUAAUUUUUGUACAAGAUUCUUUUUUUUUUUUGGAGAUCGUUAAAAGUGGUUGACGAUCCAUUUCGUAAUAUCAUAGAGGGAUCAUCAAUUCCUUUUCUUUUCUGUGGCUAGGCAACACUUUUUGGCCAAAGUAAGGAAAUCUAUUUUAGGUAAUGUAAAAACCAGUUGUAGGAUGUAAUAGUUUAUUAUGCACUGACAAUAACUUUUUGUAUAAUUGUCAGUUUAAUGAAUGCAAGAGGAACUCUGUUGGCAAAUUCAUCCAAGAUAGAUGCUAAAAUUAUUUAUGCAUGCCAGUUGCCUUAACUAAGUUUUCUCAGCACUGGUUUUGAACAGGAAAAUGAAUAUGCAAUUUGUAUAUUGUGCCAUAGUGGAGAAUUUGGAUAUUCUUAUUUAAGUAACAAGGAGAUUAUUUGCCUCAUCUUUAAACAAUGAAUCUUUGAGAGAUGAGGAGUGGGUGAUUGGAUGUGUCUUCAUGUAAUUGUUCAUUUAUUUGUAUUUUGAACUGUUAUGAAAAUCUUUAUAUGCCAAAUUAGUAAUACAAGUAUUCAGAUGAUUUUUCCUAUUGAUCAUGCAUUUGUAUCUGCCCACAACCAUUGUAUAUCACUUUAUUCUGAUGCGCAAGCAUCUGUAAUUUAGAAGAAAAGAAAUAAUAAUCAUAUUUUAUUGCUUGGUUCAUGAUUAUUAACGAUUAUGGCUUUAAAAAUCUACAAAUUUCUUGUGUUCAUGUAUGAAUGUGCCAAGUUUGCUGUAUCUUAGAUUACCUUCUUCCAAGGUAACAAGUUCAUAUAUAUAUAUUUUUUAAAUCAUUUUCCAUUACAGUUGAAUUUCAAGUGUUAGUUUUGUUAUUAGUACCUGGUUUCCUGUUAUAAGGAUCUAAUAAACAGUGUACGGAUAUGUGCUCUACUUUUGGAGGGCUUCCACGUGAAAGAAAAUUACAACAAUUGAAUUCUUCCGGAGGAUAUGGUAAUUAAUUUAUUUUCUCAACUUCUUGUAAGACUAAUAUAUUUCCUUCAGUAGGCACAGCAUGGUGGGAAGGGUUUUUAUUGAAAGAAUUCUGAUAUUUCUUAGACUUUGUUUUGGAAGGGGGUGGAGGAAUUUCUCAUCCAUAUAUGGUUACUUGAUUAGCUUUUGACUGUAUUGUCUCUGUCGUGCAAAGGAAAAUCUAAAUACUAACGAUGGGGAAUUGCUUAGGCACCCAAAAGGCAGAAAUGAAUUACAGAAGGAAGUUUUUGCUGCUUUAUUUAGUGCUGCUGAGAAAUCUGAUGAAUUUCCUGAAAUUACGGUGAAGACCGAGUGGAGGUCCAAAGCAUUAGGAAAGGUGGUGAGUGAACUGCCGGAGGAAUUUGUACCAAAAUACAAGGCUAAUGUGGUGCACUUGCAGCAAGAUAACCAGACCGGUAUGUGCUCUUAUAUUAACUAUAUUGACUGGAUUUGUGAGUGUGUGCAUUUUUUUGUGUAUACUCACUUUUGUAUUUAUGCAUAUUAACAUGUGUAGGAUUCUUGAUUUCUGCCACUUACUGGAGAACUAGUGGAAAGCUUUAUAUUGAUAUAUCUGCAAUAACUAAUGGAAACUAUGAUAUGAAUAUUUUCUCUCACCUGGGGAGCUGUGUAACAGAUAUACUUUGUGGCUCUGGAAUGCUGAAGAUUCUGCAAUAACUAAUGGAAAAUAUGAUAUGAAUAUUUUGUCUCACCUGGAGAACUUUGUUACAGAUACCCUUUGUGGCUCUGGAAUGUCUAAAGAAUGCUUUAGUUAGAUCAAAUAUCUUUUAGUUAGAAAAGAUAAAAUUCUCUGAGUCUGAAAGACUGAAACAUUUUGCAUAUUUUGUGAAAGGGAAAUAUCUGUUGAUACUAGCUCAUGCAUUGAGGUAAUAUCGAUGUUAAAGAAAAACAGCAAUGAUUUAUGAUAUAGAAUUGGGUUCACUUGCUUCAAAUGCUGGUCUGAUCAACCAUAUCAACCUGUAAUGAUUCUGCAGAAAUAUAUAUACAUGGAGAAAGUAGCUAAAUUUUUCUUUCAUUUAUGGGUUCGGUCUUUUUUCCCCUUAUUUUUCAGCUUUCCUUCUCCUGAAGUAUGUUAACAAUUGCAGAUAAUGAUGAAGACGACAGCUUCCGGGCUCUCCUUAGAGCCGUGAUGGAAUAUAGGGGCACAAUGAAGGAAUAUUGUAAAGCUGUAGGUACUUUUUCUCCUUUCAUUUAUGUUUUCUCACACAUUUUGUAUAUGCCCUGAACAUGCACCUUUGUAUGUAUCAAUUGACUUUUAAAUUUUAAAAGCCAUAAAGUAAGAAUACGGUUCCUUGUCAGGCUACUGAUGACAUUCGCUCAGGGGGAUCAUGUUCGAGCAGGAAAAUUUCUAGAACAGGUAAGGUUUCCAUCUACAGCCAUCCAUUGACAGCAGAUACAUUUUCAUUCAGCAGACUCUGUUAGCAUUCAAGAUGCUGGCAGAUUCACUUGAUUCUUAUUAGCUUGUUUAGUGGCAAAGCCUAUAACCUGUAUUUCAAAGCCAAGUUGUGCUAUUGAUUAUGUUAACUUUUUUGUUAACAUAAAAUGAUAUGGAGGAAAUAAUCAGUGUUGGAAAAUUAGGUGAAAAGAUGAUGUCAAAUCUUGAACCUCUUACGAAACUCUAAGUUCUUUACUUGAAGAGGCUACGAAAUUUGAACAGCGUCUACUCGAAGGCCUUGCCAUUCCCUGAUGCAUGCAGAAUUUUUGUAUUUAAAUGCCCAGAGCUUAAGAAGCUGCCACUGGAUCUUGAAGGGGCAGACCAAGGUAAAAAUCUUAUCAAGGGAAAGGAAGAUUGGUGGAAACAACUUAAUGGGAGGAUCAAGUAACUCAGAAUGCAUUGCUUCCAUUUUUUAAAUUGACUGACAAGUGAUUGAACGGGGCAUCAUCAACAUCAUCAACAGGGAUGGAGAGAUACCGGAGCAGAUCAGCAGGGUUUGAAUAUGACCUUUGGCGGUUGCUUUUUUUUUGUGAUUUUUUUUUCAUUUUUUCCUUCCUGUCAUUUUAUCAUUUCUUUCUCUGUUUCUAUUGCGGGUGUUACUGCAUGCUUACUGUUGCUUGACAAAGUUUGCUAGCUUUUUGUUUGCAGUGUUGCUAUACACUCCGAGUCAAGCCUCGAAAAUUUAUUAAACGAAGCCGUUUCGACAGUAACAAUUCUUUUCUUUUCCCUUUGCAUGUCUCUUUCAUCUGCUGUUUCUCUAUCACUUUUCAUUUUUGAUUUCCUUGCUUCUCAGCUGCCCCUAAAUUGUUAUUCUAGCAAUAUACUUUCUCAUCUUUGAAUUUUCAUCCUUGAGUACUCCCACAGCCGUAAUUUCAUCAUCAUAGACUUCACUUGGAAUGCUGUAUUUUUUCGAUUCUUGAGCUACUUCAAUUACAUCUUAGUAUAGGAUCCUCAUCUUCCUUUAUUUCUUCAUCUUAUGAGGUAAUAAAUGGAUUUCACAACUCAUCUACUUUUAAGCAAUUACAUAUUAUACCUUGAAUGAUUCAACUGUUCUGACAGUUAAAGAUUUUAUGCUCAACCUGCAGUGCUACGAACAUUGUCCAUGAAAGAUGAGUUUCAGCAUAUAAAAUGAAAUAUAGAUGUUUAAUCUAAAAUAACCCUUCACUGCCAGAAACCUAGGUCACAAAAUUCACAGAUAAUGAUAAAGAGCUAAAAAAUUUGAAAAACUCUACAGAUCACACAUCAAGCAAGAUAUCAUGUUUUUUUCCCUCAUUCAGUGGUGAUUGAUUCGCUUUUUGAUGAUGGAUAUGGUAUAAAAGUGUUGACCCAAUUUCAAGCAAACACAAAUAGAAACACAAACACAAUCGGGACUAGAGUUGUGGGCGAUUAUCUUAGGUGUACAAGUGAAACGGUGGUGGCUGUCGAUGGUGGUAGUGGGGUGGUUGGGUAUGCGUGAUGGCUAGAUUUUAGGACAAUAAUGAUUGGAGUUGACCUCAAUCAACGAAGGAAAGUGACAACAAUUUUGACAUCAAACGGUGCAUUUUUUAGCUUAGUAAAAUGGAGCCGUUUCGAUUUUGGGGUUUAAUCCGGGGUUUGACUCGGUGCAAGUAUCAUUUUCCUUUUGUUUAUUAAAUUUUUUUAUGGUCACAAAGUAUCACUCGUUCUAUUUGAGAGUCAUGUGAAUCAAUUUUUCAAAUUUUCAAUUUUAAAUUUUGUGGUCAAUGUGAAUUCAAUUUCAUUUGUCUCCUGCAAUUAUGAAAAAAUUAAAUAGUCAUAAUAUGGAAAAAUACACCGGUAAAAACUUUGUAAAAGCUUCGGAGUGAUACGGGGAAUUCACUUACUACUAAGGACAAUUGGUGGCAAGCUAUUCCAUUCAUUUUAUGUCCAUCCAUCUAUUUAGUUAUUGAAGAUAAGUGGUCCAUUUGUAAAUUUCAGAUUGUCUCUCUCUCCCUCUUGAAAUAACAAUAUUUAAUAUAUCUCAUAAAUUAUUAUAAAUUUUAAUUUACUCUCGAUUUAAAAUGGAGCAUGUCGAUAAAUUUUUUUUCUUCUUAAUAAAAUUGACGUAAGUUGUGUUUACAGUAGUUUGAAGUUUGAAAUAUUUUAAAGAUUAUUAUUCUAUAAGGGAGUAAUAUGAAAUGAUAUUUACUUUUCAUGUGUGAAAUGAAAAAGGACGAAGCAAGUGUCCCUGCUUUUAUUUUAUUUCAAGGAGGAGUCAUCUCACAUACUUUAGCUCUUAACAUUACAUUUUUUCUGGUUACAUUUUUUAUUUAUUUAUUUUUUUUUUUUUACACAUGCGUGUGGGUUGCUUUUCUGUAAGCUCCUUAAUAUAUAUUUAAGACAAAUCAUGGAAGAGAUGGGAUUAUAUCAAGAUGAUCAAAGAAUGUUAAAAAAGAAAAAAGAAAAAAAAAAGAAGUAAGACACUGAAAAUGGAGAAGAGAUGGAAGCAAAAGAUAUUCCAAAACAAAGCAAUCUAUCCCCUUUCGAGGGCAGACUUAUCAGGUUUAAAAAAGUACACGCUUUGGAUUGGUAGUUGCAAUCAAGGGAAAAUAAAUAGGAUCCAAUGAAAUUUAAAUCUCGGAGAAAAUAAAUAAUCAUGCAGAUUUUCAAGAUUUUAAUAAGGGAUACUAAUAUCUUAUUUUGAUUAAUAAUAUCCUUUCAUUGUGUUAACUCAAAAAAUAUAUAUUUUAAUGUUUUGCAAUAAACAGAAACGUACUAUUAAAAUGAAUAUAUAAAGAAUUUAGAAAAUUUUGAAUGUUAUAUAAAAUAAUUUUAAGAUAAUGCGUGAGAUAUAUUUUAUUAAUUUAAAAUGUUAUUUUACCUAAAAAAUAUGAUAAAUUAAUAAUUACAUAUUUGAAGUUAUUUUAAAUAUUAAAAAAAUUUAAUAUUAUUAAUCUUUUAGAUAGAUUAAAUUAUUUUUUAUAAGAGAUAGAUUAAAUUAUUUUAAAAUACGUUAAUUGUUUUUACUUUUAACGUUACCGGCCUUUCUUUUAUUUUAUUGCAAAUUAAUGCUAACAAGAAAAAGCUAGAUCAUAUUCCACAAAAGCAAAAGUGACAAACACAACCAGCUGGAAUCUUUUAAUUACUAUUCAAUAAUUCGAGACGAUUAGGGUCUUUUAUUAAACUACAAAUUGUAUAGUCUUUUUAAAAUUGUUAUAAAUUGGUGGCACCUACAAUCCUCAAUAAUUGUACCGAUAUUCACAAGUUGGUGGCCCCUACAAUUCUGUUCGGAUAAUUUAACUGUGCAAGUGCUCAUUCACAAUAAUUGUUUUGUUUUUUUUUUCUGCAUUCCCUUUCAUGCUCUUAAUAAUUGAAGAGCAUACUUUUCAUUUUCAAAUGUGGAGCCGCAGCUAAUGUCGCUAAUUUAAUUUGGGAUUAAAUUAGGGGACCAUUAUAUUGCAGUGUGCACUAAUUUUUGUGUUUAUCUAAACUCCUUAAAUUUAAGACAUAUUAUGGCAUAAAUAAGAAUAUAACAAUAGCAAAAGAGUUAAAAAGUGUAGAGAAGAUCUUGCAGAAAUAUAAAUAAUAUCUAUUUUAAAAUAAUAUCAAUAUUUAAAAUAAUUUUUAAUAUUUUAUGAUUCAUUAGAUAUAUUUUAUUAUAUUAAAGUAAAUUUUAUAAUAAAUAAAAACAUACUAUUAAAAUGAAUAUAUAGAAAAUUUAGAGUAUUUUAAGUAUUAUAUAAAAUAAUUUUAAUAAAAUAUGUGAGAUAUUCAUAUUUUAUUAAUUUAAAAUACCAUUUAACCUAAAGAUUUAUUUAUGAUAAAUUAAUAAUUAUAUUUUUGAAGUUACUUCAAAUAUUAAAAAUAUUAAUAUUACUAAUCUAUUAGAUAGAUUAAAUUAUAUAUAUUAUUUUCUAUUUAUUAAAAAAUUUAAAAUUAUUUUUAAUUACUAUUCAAAAAAUAUAAUGAUAAAAAAGAAUCUUAACAUCUUUAUUAAAAAUUUAAAAAUUUACAUGAUCAAUUCUCUAAAUAUUUAGGGUUAUAUGUGAACAACGGUGGAGAAGCUUUAUUUAAUAUUAUUGAUUUAAAUAAUAUGUCAAUUAAAAAUGUACAGAGAAGGAAAUUUCGGUGGGUAUUUUAGUCUUUUCAGCAAUUAUCAUGAUCAGAUCAGCCUUUAGCCUUGAAUCGUCGGUCAGAAAAGUUUUAAAAUUAACGCUAACAAGAAAAAGCUAGGUCAUAUUCCACAAAAGCAAAACUGACAAAACAACCAGCUGGUUUCUUUUACUAAACUACAAAUUAAAAGUGGAUUCUUUUGAAUGCAAGUGGGACAGACGAUUAGGCUCUUUUUAUUAAAGGCAAGUAAAAACUAGUCGAAUAGUCUUUUUCAAAUUGUUGUUUUAUUAUUUUUCCUUCAAAAGUUAGUGUGGCUCAUGUUUGCAGGUGCGAAUGUGGGUCCCGAAUCAUUACUAAAAUUUCUAUUCCACAGCCCACCGCAGCUUCAGUUAAUCAAACUCAAAUCAAUUUUCUUUCUUAACAAAAUAUUCCAAAGAUGUGUAGCAUUUUUCAGAUCACAUGCGAUGGUGCUCUUUUCAAUCGUUGCUUGGAUUGCUUUCUUGGAAAAGCAGCAUACAUACGUAACCUCCAAGAUAAUGUUGAUACCUUGGGCACUGAAUUGGGAAAUCUGAUCGCUAGAAAGAACGAUCUGAUGAGGAGGGUUGUCGAUGCUGAACGGCAACAAAUGAGAAGGCUGGACGGAGUGCAAGUGUGGGUUUCGAGGGUGGAUUCUGUUAAAACUGAAGCUGAUCAAUUUAUAAGAGACGGCUCUCGAGAAAUUGAAAAAUUAUGUGUUGGAGGCUACUGUUCCAAGAAUUGCAUGUCAAGCUACAAGUUCGGGAAAAAAGUGGCUAAAAAGCUACGGGAUGUGCGGACUUUAAUCAGUGAAGGAGUUUUUGAGGUGGUGGCUGACAGAGCUCCAGAGUCUGUAGCAGAUGAAAGACCUACUGAGCGAACAGUAGUAGGCUUGCAAUCACAACUUGAACAAGUCUGGAGAUGUCUUGUAGAAGAAUCAGCGGGAAUCAUUGGCCUAUAUGGUAUGGGCGGUGUUGGUAAAACUACACUACUGACCCAUAUCAACAAUAAAUUUCUCGAGAGUCCAACCAACUUUGAUUGUGCGAUUUGGGUUGUAGUUUCAAAAGACCUGCGACUCGAAAAAAUUCAAGAAGAUAUUGGGAAAAAGAUAGGUUUGGUUGGUGAUUCAUGGAAGAGUAAAAGUGUAGAGGAGAAAGCUGUCGACAUCUUCCGGAGUUUAAGAGAGAAGAGAUUUGUAUUGUUGUUAGAUGAUAUAUGGGAGCGGGUUGAUUUAACAAAGGUGGGCAUUCCACUUCCCGGACCAAAAAAUACUACCUCAAAAGUCGUAUUCACAACCCGUUUCAUCGAUGUUUGUGGUAGCAUGGAAGUUGACAGGAAGUUUCAAGUAGCAUGCUUAUCAGAAAAGGAUGCUUGGGAACUGUUUCGAGAAAAAGUUGGGGAGGAAACUCUUCAGAGUCAUCAUGAUAUCGAUGAGCUAGCCCAAAUUGUGGUCAAAGAGUGUGGUGGUUUGCCACUCGCACUUAUUACUAUUGGUCGAGCUAUGGCCUACAGAAAGAAAGCGGAGCAGUGGAGACGUGCAAUUGAAGAGUUAAGGAGAUCAGCUUCAGAGUUUGCAGGUUUGGGAAAAGAGGUUUAUCCUCUUUUAAAAUUCAGCUAUGAUAGUUUGCAGAAUGAUACGGUUAGAUCUUGUUUCUUGUACUGUUGUUUAUAUCCUGAAGAUUAUGGCAUUCUUAAAUGGGACUUGAUUGAUUGUUGGUUUGGCGAGGGAUUUUUUGGGGAAUCUGACAGGUCUGGUGCAGAAAACCAAGGAUAUGACAUUUUGGACACUCUUGUUCGUGCGUGUUUAUUAGAAGAGGUGGAAGAUGAUGAAGUAAAAAUGCAUGACGUUAUUCGUGAUAUGGCUAUAUGGAUAACUUGUGAAAUUGAGAAGGAGAAGAGAAACUUUUUGGUUCGUGCAGGUGCUGGAUUAAAAGAUGCACCGGGUGUUAAAGGAUGGGAAAAUGUGAGAAGAUUGUCAUUGAUGCAAAACCAAAUUGAAACUCUGGCAGAGGUUCCCACAUGCCCUCAUCUCCAUACUCUAUUUCUUGACUUUAAUAGGGGGUUGGAUAUGAUCGCGGAUGGCUUCUUUCAAUUUAUGCCUUCUCUCAAAGUUUUGAAGAUGUCAAACUGUUCGAAUUUGAAAUUACCUGUUGGGAUGUCAGAGUUGGGUUCAUCACUAGAACUUCUUGAUAUUUCAGAAAACAGCACAAGAGAGUUACCGGAAGAGUUAAAGAAGUUGGUAAAUCUGAAAUGUUUGAAUUUGAGGUGGACAGAGCAUUUAAAUAAAAUUCCACGGCAACUAAUAUCAAAUUCUUCAAGGUUACGUGUGUUGAGAAUGUUCGCUACUGGCCGGUUCAAUUUUCAUGAAGCACCAGAAGACAGCGUUUUAUUUGGUGGGGGUGAAGUUUUGAUACAGGAAUUGCUCGGUUUGAAAUAUUUAGAGGUAUUGGAGUUGACCUUGGGAAGUUAUCAUGCUCUCCAAAUUCUUUUGAGCUCAAAUAAGUUAAAAAGUUGUAUUCGAUCUCUUUACCUCGAGUUGACCGGAGAUACAACGUCAAUUAUUGAUGCUACGGCUUUCGCAGAUCUAAACCACCUCAAUGAAUUACGGAUUGAUAAUGGUAUUGAGUUGGAAGAGUUGAAGAUUGAUUAUACGGAGAUAGUACGAAAAAGGCGGGAACCUUUUGUUUUCCGCAGCCUUCAACGUGUUACCAUAGCGGAGUGCCAUAAAUUGAAAGAUGUGACAUUCCUCGUUUUUGCUCCAAACCUCAAGUCUCUUCGGCUAUUCUAUUGCGGUGCUAUGGAAGAAAUAAUCAGCGUCGGAAAAUUUGCUGAGACUCCUGAGAUGAUGGGACAUAUAAGCCCUUUUGAAAAUCUCCAAAUGCUUGAUUUACAAGGUUUGCCACAUUUGAAGAGCAUCUUCUGGAAGCCAUUGCCUUUCACUCAUCUGAAAGAAAUGGAGGUACUUAGGUGCGAUCGGCUUGAAAAGCUUCCACUCGAUUCCAACAGUGCAAAGGAGCGCAAAUUUGUUAUUCGUGGAGAAGAAGACUGGUGGAACCGACUUCAAUGGGAGGAUGAAGCCACUCAAAUUGCUUUUCGUUCCUGUUUUAAAAGUGAUGCUUUAUUUAUAUCUUAUUCGUGAAAAGUGAUUUAAUUUCCUGCCAAAAGACGAACGAGAAGAACAAUAGAGUCAAACUAAUGCUCACAUAAAUUUCCCGUAAGAAUAUAUAAUUAGAUUGGAAUGCACACCUCUAGAUUGAACAGAAUUAAAGCUGAGAAAAUAUUGAGUAUAGUAGCCCUCUUUACAGAAAAUGACGUGAAAGUUAAUUUAGAAAGAUAUAUUCUUGAUUAAUCCAUUUUCUGAAGUUUUUAUUUUGUAUGGUCAAUUAUACCUUCAUACUAAAAAUUUCUGAAGUUAUAAAUUAGUGCAACUUGACAAUUUUUACUGAUGAUAUCUUCUAUUUUUCCCUUUUUUUUUUUUUCACUUUCAUAGACUGGCAGCGGAUCCUGCGGCACCAAUUUGAGAGAAUAUACUGACACUACUUCGAACAGCAAGCAGAAGAAGUAAUAUGUCUACGGCAAAGGCAAUGGAGUCCUCAUUUUGGCUCGAGAUGCAGUAAUCAUCGAAGAGAGUUUCCUUGUGAAACUGGGCAACACAUUGAAUCCCUUCACCACUGAGAAGGUUGUGGAGGAAGUAAGCUUUCUCUCCAGUGAGGAAGAGGUGGCAUAUACCUUCCCCAUUUUGUUGAGGGCAGGUAGGAAUCUUUUUUCUAAGAGAUUUACUUCGUUCUCUGUAAGAAAUGCUUUGAACUUCAUCCCUCUGUCUCUAUCCUCACUUAUCAGGAAAUAAGUUGAAAGCACUAUGAAGAGAGAGAGAGAGAGAGAGAGAGAGAGAGAGAGAGAGAAUUAAGAUAUAUAGACAAGAAAAAUAUUUGACGUUGAUCUUACAAACUAAUACUUCAAGCAGUAUCCUAGAAAGCUAAAAACUGCAAGAUGGCUUGAAAUUUGAAAAGAGCACAUGCUUUUCCUCCUUAACUUGAGAAAAUGUUUAAUAUAGUGCACCUUACAGAAGCAUUUAAGCAAUUAGAACUUUGCACAAAAACAUCAAGAAGACUAAACAAGUCAGAUGCAGUGUAUUUGUCCAAGCACAAAUUGCAUUUUUUCCUCAACUUUAAUAUUUAUUGAUGAGAAUCAAUACAGGUCCCUCAUUUGUUAUAGAAAGCUUUCUUUCUUGUAGUCUCACCAGUUAAUUCAGAGGUCUAUAAUCAUCUUGCAAAGUUAAGGGCAUUUCUUUUGAUCUAAAGUCUUUGCAUCACCACCUCAUCACACGCCAAGCCAAUAUUCCAUUUACCUCUACAACAAAAAGUUUUAAUUAAACAAUCCUAAUGCACGCAGCCAAAUAAAAUGCAGUAAGAAUAUUCAACUUAAAAAUCUGAAAGCCAACUUGGUGAAUUGCCUCCUUAGGUGAAGUUCCAUGCUUUACUAUAGUUGACAGAACUCAGCAAAAGCUUCCAUACAACAGAUUUUGAAAAUGAUGAUGCCAACAGAUACUCAUUCAAUGCAUUGAAACUCCAAAGGUUCAUUGUUCAUAGAAGUUUACAGAGUUUUGGUCAUCAAAUAGCUCAGACCUAAUCCCAAACAAAAAAUGAGUGAAAAUUAGAUCACGAGCAGCUAAUUGUAAAUUCUAACUUAACUCUUCAUCUCCUUUGUAAACAAGAAACAAAAUGGAGACACGCAAAAUGAAUAUGGAGAAAAUUUGAACUCAAAUGAAAUGAGGGCAUGAAAGCAAACAAAUGGCAUGCACCAAAAAACCAAGCCUCAAUCAAAAACUAAUUAACCAUUAAGAAAAAAAUUGGUCAGAGAAUGAACUCCAAAUUCAGGAGUCAAGCAAGAAGCUUUCAUUAUUAUCAAAGUCAAUUAUCUUUGUUAGUAUGCGAGUGUGACGACUAUAGGUUGUUCUUUUUCUAAUGUCAUAUGAUUCCAAUUUUAGGUACAGGGCAUCUCUCUCUCUCUCUCUCAUCGCUAAGUGGAUAUUUUUCUCUUUUGUCAUAUACUUUAGUUAUUCUUCAAUUUACUAACUAAAAUGAAGGCCGCUUUAUUAAGAAGUUAUAUCCAGUUAUAUAAUUUGUUGUAUUUAAUAUAUGUUUGGGCUCAUAAUUUUUUUUAAAAAUAUAUAUUUCAUUCUCCAUAAUUUUUUCCCAUCAUAGCUACGAAACGUCUUAGUUUCGACUAAAAUCCUAAAAUUGGUCCUUAAUUGAAUAUGCAUUGCAAUUUGCAAAUGUAAUAUUGUGAAUGGGACACUGGAGAUACCAAAAUGGUCAAAUGCGAAAUAAGUUAGGAUUGUACGAUGUAGUUUGUAUUCAUAUUCAAUGCCUUUUUUUUCAAAAAACAAAUUGAAAUGCCAUUACUAAACGAUUCUUGAUGAUGGGAGCCACCGUGCCAGCUUUGUCGCUGAUUUGGUAUUAUUCUUAACUUGCAGAUAGUUGUGGAUAUGAUAUGCAAAAAGGUAAGGACUAUAUCUUCUUGAUGGAGGCCUCUGAUUUUUUCCCUUCUAUGUAAUUUAGUAAAUCGCAUUUUCCCUUGUGAUUGAUAUAUCAUACCAAAGUCAAGUCUUAAAUACUGCUGUCAUAUGUUAAGGUUCAACUUCCAUUUUGAUUAACGUCCAUUUGCUGCUGCUUCCAAAAGUGAGAAUGAGAUACUUUGGUUAAUUUCAGUAGUUGAACCCAAUAGAGUACUUUAUUUAGAUCUUCAUGGUUCAAAGGCCUGAAAAAACUUGCCGGUAUUUGCAAAAUGACAUUCUGUGCUUUUAUUUAGGCUUAUUAUUUAAGUGAUAAAAACUCCCGUAACCUGCUGUCAAGAAAAUUUCAGAUUGUUAAAAGACAACAUUUUGUUUCAGCCAAAAAUGUUUGUUUCGAUUAAAGACUUGAACCAUUUUCAUUUAACCUUGAUUGUGAUGCUUUACAUUAUGCAUGUUCCUCUCAAUCAAUAAAAGUUGAGGUCAUGAUUUUAUAUUUCUAUUUUGUAACUUGAAAUAAUUGGUCUGCCUGUUUCUGUAGCUUGAUAACAUGAAUUUUUCCUUCUGAAGUUAAUUUGAUCAAUAAAGUAAUUCUUCGGAGAUGAUAUGCCCAUUCUAUAGUCAUUUUCUUAGGUAACAUGUUUUUUCUUCACUCUUCAGAGCAUGUCUAAACUAAUUGAUCGCUCAGCGGAGACUUUGGGUGAGAAGACAAAAUUUCUUGGUAAAUCCUCUAAAAAGGUAUGCAUAAUUCCCGAGUAUUAAAUAAUCAUUGGUCAUAAUUUUUGUACACAACUCUUUUUUUGGAGAUCGUUAAAAGUGGUUGAUGAUCUAUUUUGUAAUAUCAUAGAGGGAUCAUGAAUUCCUGUUCUUUUCUGUGGCUAGGCAACACUUUCGGGCCAAGCUAAGGAAAUCUAUUUUAGGUAAUGUGAAAACCAGUUGUAGGAUGUAAUAGUUUAUUAUGCCCUGACAAUAACUUUUUGUAUAAUUGUCAGUUUAAUGAAUACAAGAGGAACUCUGUUGGCAAAUUCAUCCAUGAUAGAUGCUAAAAGUAUUUAUGCAUACCAGUUGCCUUAACUAAUUUUUCUCAACACUGGUAUUGAACAGGAAAAUGAAUAUGCAAUUUGUAUAUUGUGCCAUUGUGGAGAAUUUGGAUAUUCUUAUUUAAGUAACAAGGAGAGUAUUUGCCUCAUCUUUAAACAAUGAAUCUUUGAGAAAUGAGGAGUGGGUGAUUGGCAGUGUCUUCAUGUAAAUGUUCAUUUAUUUGUAUUUUGAACUAUUAUGAGAAUCUUUGUAUGCCAAAUUAGUAAUACAAAUGUUCAGAUGAUUUUUCCUGUUGAUCAUGCGUGUGUAUCUGCACACAACCAUUGUGUCCCACUUUAUUCUGAUGCACAAAUAUCUGUAGUUUAGAAGAAAAGAAAUAAUAAUCAUAUAUUAUUGCUUGGUUCAUGAUUAUUAAACGAUUAUGGCUUUAGAAAAUCCACAAAUCCUUUGUGUUCAUAUAUGAAUGUGCGAAGUUUGCUAUCUCUUAGAUUACCUUCUUCCAAGAUAACAAGUUCAUAUAUUUUUUUUAAUCCUUUUUCAUCACAGUUGAAUUUCAAGUGUAAGUUUUGUUAUUAAUAGCUGGUUUCCUGUUAUUAUGAUUUCAUAAACAGUGAGAGGAUAUGUGCUCUACUUUUGGAGGGCCUCCACAUGAAAGAAAAUUGCAACAAUUGAAUUCUUCCGGAGGGUAUGGUAUUUAAUUUAUUUUCUCAGCUUGUUGUAAGACUAAUAUAUUUCCUUCAGUACCCAAAAGGACAGAAAUGAAUUACGGAAGGAAGUUUUUGCUGCUUUAUUUAGUGCUGCUGAGAAAUCUGAUGGAUUUCCUGAAAUUACGGUGAAGACGGAGUGGAGGUCCAACGCAUUAGGAAAGGUGGUGAGUGAACCGCCGGAGGAAUUAGUACCAGAAUACAAGGCUAAUGUGGUGCACUUGCAGCAAGAUGACCAGACCUGUAUGUGCUCUUAUAUUAACUAUAUUGGUUGGAUUUGUGAGUGUGUACAUUUUUGUGUGUAUACUCACAUUUGUAUUUAUGCAUAUUAACGUGUGUAGGAUUCUUGAUUUCUGCCACUUACUGGAGAACUAGUGGAAAGCUUUAUACUGAUAUAUGUGCUAUAACUAAUGGAAACUACAAUAUGAAUAUUUUCUCUCACCUGGAGAACUGUGUAACAGAUAUAAUUUGUGGCUCUGGAAUACUGAAGAUUCUGCAAUAACUAAUGGAAAAUAUGAUAUGAAUAUUUUUUCUCACCUGGAGAACUUUGUAACAGAUACAUUUUGUGGCUCUGGAAUGUCUAAAGAAUGCUUCAGUUUAGAUCAAAUAUCUUUUAGUUAGAAAAGAUAAAAUUCUCUGAAUCUGAAAGACUGAAACAUUUUGCAUAUUUUGUGAAAGGGAAGUAUCUGUAGAUACUAGCUCAUGCAUUGAGGUAAUAUCAAUGUUAAAGAAAAACAGCAAUAAUUUAUUAUACAGAAUUAGGUUCACUUGCUUUAAAUGCUGGUCUGAUCAACCAUAACAACCUGUAAUGGUCCUGCAGAAAUAUAUAUACGGGGAGAAACUAGCUAAAUUUUCCUUUCACUUAUGGGUUUGGUCUUUUUUUCCCCUAUUUUUCAGCUUUCCUUCUCCUGAAGUAUGUUAACAAUUGCAGAUAAUGACGAAGAGGACCGCUUCCAGGCUCUUUGUAGAGCUGUGAUGGAAUAUAGGGGCACAAUGAAAGAAUAUUGUAAGGUUGUAUGUACUUUCUCUCUUGUCAUUUAUGUUUUCUCACACAUUUUGUUUAUGCCCUGAACAUGCAGCUUUGUAUGUGUCAAUUGCCUUUUACGUUUUAAAAGCCAUAAAGUAAGAAUACAGUUCCUUGUCAGGCUAUUGAUGCGUUCGCUCAGAAGGGUCAUGUUCAAGCAGGAAAACUUCUAGAACAGGUAAGGUUUCCAUCUACAGCCAUCCAUUGACAGCAGAUAUAUUUUCAUUAAGCAGACACUGUUAGCAUUCAAGAUGCUGGCAGAUUCACUUGAUUCUUAUUAGUUUGUUUAGUGGCAAGGCAUAUAACCUGUAUUUCAAAGCCAAGUUGUGCUAUUGAUUAUGUUAACUUUAUUGUUAACAUAAAGUGAUAUGGAGGACAUAAUCAAUGUAGGAAAAUUAGGUGAAGAGAUGAUGUCAAAUCUUGAACCUCUUACAAAGCUCCAAGUUCUUUACUUGAAGAAGCUGCCAAAUUUGAAGAGCGUCUACUGGAAGGCAUUUCCAUUCCCAGAUGUAUGCAGAAUUUUUGUAUUAAUGCCCAGUUCUUAAGAACCUGCCACUGGAUUUUCAAGGGGUGGGCCAAGGUAAAAUUCUUAUCAAGGGAAAGGAAGAUUGGUGGAAAGAACUUCAAUGGGAGGAUCAAGCAACUCAGAAUGCAUUGCUUCCAUUUUUCAAAUCAACUGACAAGUGAUUGAAGGGGGCAUCAUCAACAUCAUCAACAGAGAUGGAGAGAUUCUGGAGCAGAUCAGCAGGGUUUGUAUAUGAUCUUUGGUGGUUGCUUUCUUUUGUGAUUUUUUUUUUCUUCCUGUCAUUUUAUCAUUUCUUUGUCUCUUUUUUUAUUGCUGAUGUUAGUGUAUGCUUACUGUUGCUUGACAAAGUUCGCUUGCUUCUUGUUUAUUAAAUUUUUUAUCGUCACAAAAUAUUACUUGUUCUAUUUGAGAGUGAUGUGAAUCAAUUUUCAAUUAUAUAUUUUGUGGUCAAUGUGAAUUCAAUUUCAUUUGUCUCCUGCAAUUAUGAGAAAACUGCAGAGUCAUAAUAUGGAAAAGUACACCAGCAAAAACUUUGUAAAAGCUUCGGAGUGAAACAGGGAAUUCACUUACUACUAAGAACAAUUGAUGGCGAGUUAUUCCAUUCAUUUUAUGUCCAUCUAUCUAUUUAAUUAUUAAAGAUAAAUGGUCCAUUUAUAAAUUUCAGAUUGUCUCUCUCUGAAAAUAACAAUAUUUAAAAUAUCUCUUAAAUUAUUAUAAAUUUUAAUACACUCUCGAUUUAAAAUGGAACAUGCUGAUGAAAUUGUUUUCUUCUUAAUAAAAUUGAAAUAAAUUGUGUUUGCAGUAGUUUGAAAUAUUUUAAAGAUUAUUAUUUUAUAAGGGAGUAAUAUGAAAUGAAAUUUACUUUUCAUGCGUGAAAUGUUGAAAAAGGACAAAGCAAGUGUCCCUGCUUUUAUUUUUAUUUUAAAGUGGAGUCAUCUCACAUACUUUAGCUCUAUCAUUACAAUUUUUCAGGUUACAUUUUUAUUAUUUAUUUAUUUUCUUUUUUACACAUGCAUGUGGGUUACUUUUCCGUAAGCUCCUCAAUAUAUAUUGAACCCAGCGAAGAAUGUUAUGGAAGAGCAAAUUAAUGAUAUUUCUGAUAGAGUCUAUUUGAUUAUGUAGCCUGAAUGGAUGUCUUGUUGAAAGAUAUCUCAGUGCAUUAGUUCAUCCUUGUCUGUCAAUGUGUUUUUAAUGGUUUUUCCAAUUGUUUAUUAUUAUAGAUUGAUUGUAAAUUGAUAUGAAAAUUUGAUAUGAAUUUAAUGUUGAAAUGUUUUCUCUUUAGUGGAAUGAAUUUAAAAGUGCAAAAGAUUAUUGCACACAGAGAAAUAAACAUAUAUGCUUUAUAACUUUAGCAAUCGAUUCUUUUACAGCUGGAAACAGAGAUGAUGAUUAUCAUAAGGAUGAAGAAAAGUAGUGCGUUAGACGAUUAGACUCUCUUAUUAAAGGCAAGUAUAAAGUAGUGAAGAAUCCAAUAUCUCUAUUGUCUAGUCUUUUGUUUAAUUCUUCUUUUAUUAUUUUUCAGAAUAAUUUUUGGUGAUUACAAUCGGGUUAUUAUUCAGAGUUAUUGUUAUCUUCUGGGGCAGUUUCUGUUCAUCGAAUUCAUUAAUUAAAAUUUUAGAACUCUUAUCAGAAGAAUAUUUUUCGGUUAUCUUUUUUAUGUUCUAAUUCCAAUUGUAAGAAGUAGCCAUUUUAGAAUUUGGGUCUUGAAUCGAAUUUCAAUGCAUGAAUUAAUAUUAAAAAAAAAAAAUUCACUACUCGCAGUUUAGGUUACAAAUUACUUUUUGGAAAGUUGACUUUGGAAUGUUUGCAAAGAAAGAGACUAACAUAUUUCCAAUUACACUAAAUCUCUAUUAUGAUAAUGUUAAGACUAAAUUAAUUUAAAUAAUUUUUAUUUGAAAAUUAUAUCAAACGCAGUCUAAUUUUAUUAAUUUUAAGAAAUAAUAAUUAUAAAAAUUAUUGUUCUGACUUAAUUAAUACAAGUGAUAUAAAAGUUAAGUGUGCACUAAAUCUGUUUUAAUUUUUUCCAGUAUAACUAACAGAGGUCAUUACUAGAAUUAUAUUACUAGUCUAUUAGAUAGAAAAAAUUACUUAUAUUGUUUUAUAUUUAUUAAAAAAUUUAAAGCCAAUUUUUUUAAUUACUAUUUAAAGAAUAUUAUAAUUUGAAAAAUUUUAAUAUCUUUAUUAAAAAUUUAGAAAUUUACAGUCCUCUAAAUAUUUAAGGCGUAACUGUCAUUUUCUCAAGAAGCUUUAUUUAAUAUUAUUGAUUUAAAUAAUAUCUUAUUAAAAAUGUACUGAGGAGAAAUUUUGGUGGGUAUUUUAGUCUUUUCAGCAAUCAUCAUGAUUAACCUUUGGUUGGCCUUGAAACGUCGGUCAGAAAAGUUUUAAAAUGCUUAAUUGUUUUUCACUGUUAACGUUAGUGGCCUUGAAAUUGCUUAUAUUUUAUUAAAAAUUAAUGCUAACAAGAAAAAACUAGAUCGUAUUCCACCCCCAAAGCAAAAGUGAUAAAACAACCGGCUGUAUUCUUUUAUUAAACUACAAAUUAAAAUGGAUUUCUUUAAUUAAAGUGGAUAUCAUUUAAUUAAUGUUUGAACAUUAAAGUUCUGAUAUAUAACCACUAUGCCGACCACCUAAUUGCUGCUAUUUAAUUUCGUUCCAGUUCUCUCUCUCUCUCUUUUUCUUUUUUUUUUGGGCCAAGCAAUAAAUAGUAAAAAUUCAAUAAAAGCAAUAUUAAUGCUGCAAGUGAGUCAUGUUAUUUAUUGUCAAUUAGGAAAUGUGAACCUAAUUUGAUUGCAUCCCUUUAAUCAUUUAAUAAUUAUGUAAGCACCAUCCCUUUAAUUAUUUAAUAACUAGAAAAUAGAACACUGCGUUUCACGCGGCUUUGAAAAAAGAAUUUAGUAUUAUCUUUUUUUCUUACUUUACACUUGAUGAAACUGAUAAAAAAUAUGAAUUGAUUUUUUUUAAAGAUGAGGCAGCCUUAUAAAAAAUAAAAAAAGCUAUUAGCCAGCAAUACAAAUAAAGAAGGAAUGCAAGAUAAAGAAUAAAAUGAGAGAAUAUAUUAUAGAGUGAUCUUAUUCAUUCUAAUUGUGUGUGUACAAAACAAAAAGAUGAGCUCUCCUUUUAUAACUACAUAAUUACUUCAUGAAAUUAAUGAAAAAUUAUGAAUCAUAAUUUCUUGUGAGAUAGUGGGAGUUAUUGGGAAGCUAAAAGUUGCUAAUGGGAGAUAGUGGGGAGACUAAGAGAUAUAUAUUAUGAACAUCUACAUUUAUUUUAAUAAAUUCAUAACACUCCCCCUUAAAUGUUCAUUACAAAGAAUAUGCCUCAUUAAAAUCUUUACAUAAUUGUUAUUGUGUAAUAACAAUCAAAUUAAUUAUAAGAAGAUGAAAAGCCAAAUCUAACAGAAAAUUUCUCUAUUUAUUAGAUAAUAGAGAAUAUAGCAAGAUGAGAAAUGGUAAUGCCACAUCAUCUCCUCACGUCCCAACUUUAUAUAUAUAUAUAUAGAUAAUAUAUAUUAUUCCUGUCCUACAUUCACAUAUUUAAUUGUCCUUUUGAAAAUAUUCAUGAGUUAGGCCAAGUAAAGUCAAAGAAAUUGGGAAAAAGGAACAAAAGGACAAACCUAAAUUAAUUGAACCUAAUUCAUGAAAAUGCACACUUUUGUGUUGCGGACGGCGGACCCUAAAGCUUCGUUGUUUGCAGCUGCAAUUAAUUCUUUUCCUUCAAAAGUUAGAGGCUCGUGUUUACAGUGGGUCCCGAAUCGGACGUACCUAAUAAAUCUUUUAAAAAAAUUUGCCGUAUAAAGGACAGAGGUCAUUACUGAAAUUUCUCUUCCACGGGCAAUUACAGCAGCUUCAGUUAAUCAAACUCAAAUCAAUUUUCUUUCUUAACAAAAUAUUCCAAAGAUGUGUAGCAUUUUUCAGAUCACAUGCGAUGGUGCUUUUUUCAAUCGUUGCUUGGAUUGCUUUCUUGGAAAAGCAGCAUACAUACGUAACCUCCAAGAUAAUCUUGUAGCCUUGGACACUGAAUUGGGAAAUCUGAUCGCUAAAAAGAACGAUGUGAUGAGGAGGGUUGUCGAUGCUGAACGGCAACAAAUGAGAAGGCUGGACGGAGUGCAAGUGUGGGUUUCGAGGCUCGAUGCUGUUAAAACUGAAGCCGAUGAACUUAUCACAGACGGCUCUCGAGAAAUUGAAAAAUUAUGUGUUGGAGGCUACUGUUCCAAGAACUGCAGGUCAAGCUACAAAUUCGGAAAACAAGUGGCAAGAAAGCUACGAGAUGUGGAGACUUUAAUCGCCGAGGGAGUUUUUGAGUCGGUGGCUGAGAGAGCUCCGGAACCUGUGGCAGAUAAAAGACCCACUGAGCCAACAAUAGUAGGCUUGCAAUCACAGCUUGAACAAGUUUGGAGAUGUCUUCUUGUAGAAGAAUCAGCGGGAAUCAUUGGCCUAUAUGGUAUGGGCGGUGUUGGUAAAACCACACUGUUGACCCAUAUCAACAAUAAAUUUCUUGAGAGUCCCACCAACUUUGAUUGUGUGAUUUGGGUCGUAGUUUCAAAAGACCUGCGACUUGAAAAAAUUCAAGAAGAUAUUGGGAAGAAGAUAGGUCU
rnacentral:lncRNA from 1 species